rnacentral:lncRNA from 1 species
UCCUCCCGGCACUUCUAUUUUUCCUUCUCAACCGGAAGCGCACCAAGCUUCCCCCUCAGCCCCCCGCAUGGCCCGUGAUCGGCAAUAUCCUCGACCUCGGGACCACGCCGCACCAGAACCUCCACAACUUCCGAGCCAAGCACGGGCCUGUGACGUGGUUGAAGCUCGGUUCCGUGAACACCAUGGUGAUCCAAUCAGCUCAGGCCGCCACAGAGUUCUUCAAGGGCCAUGACUUCGCGUUCGCAGACCGCAAGUGUCCCCAUGCAUUGACAGCUCUCAAUUAUGACCAAGGCUCGCUCGCUGUGGGUCGUUACGGUGGCUACUGGCGCGUUCUCAGGCGUCUCUGCUCUGUUGAGUUCCUCGUGACCAAGCGCGUCAAUGAGACGGCCCAUCUCAGGCAGAAGUGUGUCGACAACAUGGUCGUUUAUUUGGAGGAAGAAAUGGCGGUUAAACAAGUAACAACAGGUUAUUUCUUACGUGCUUCGUGUUACGUUGGACGUUUGCGUUGCAUGUGUAACCUUGAAUGACUGAAAUAAUAGUUUUCUUCUUCAAAGGAAAAAAAAAAAAAAAAGCAACAGAGAGAGAGAGAGAAAGGAACGUUUAAACUCCUUACAAAAAUAUCAAAAUAGGAUGAAGGCCAAUACCCUACACAAUAUUCCCACUAGUGUCACAAGUUCUUCUCAUUAAUAUAUGUAAAAUCAACGGUUAAGAUAUCUUGGGACUUUUGCACCAUUAAGAGUUAAUGAUUCACGCUGUCAAAAGAAUCGUAACCUGCAACUAGAUCUACCUAAGAAAACAUUGGGCCUGCUUUUUACGGAUGAAGGAACCGGCGGUCUUUCUUUUUUGCAAAAUGUACAAUUAAGUUCCAGAAUCUUUUUUUUUUUCUUUUUUCUACUAUUGAGUUCUUAAAUUAUACAUCUUUUAAUUUGAGUUAGCCCUCCUCUUAAAUAUGCGAAUGCAUUGGUUACGAUGAAUAUUGCAUCCCCACCAUAUGUUAGCACUGACUAGACUAACUAAUUAGGGAGACAUGAAUUCUUUUUUACUUAGUGCUAAGAUGGGUAAGAAAGAUUAUAAAAAUAAAGAAAUCUAAAUCCAAGUAAACAUUCACCAACCCAAGCGUUGCCUCAAUUUAUUGCAUGACCCCGGGCGACAACUUACCUCGACCCCUAGUUAUUCAAUUUUUCUAUGUCAUUCUAUUUUUAAGUUUUUUAAGAAGUCACUUAAGACACCAUGUUGGCUUUCAAUGAGGACCUAACCGCCAUGUCAACAUUUAUAUAUACUUCUUUAAUGGAAGGACUAAAUCAAAGAAGAAGUUAUACGGCUCGAGGAUCUAAUUGCACAACAAAUUUAGGAACCUAAUUAAAACUUUUUACAAAAGUUUAGGGACUGCUGGUACUUUUAUCCCUUUGUUUUGUUACUAUAAUUGACGAAUUCAAUAAAAUAGAUACCAGUGUAAAUAAUUCAAGUUGCCCAAGAGCUAUUGGUGUUUAAAGUGCUAUUUAGUCAAACUUGCUUUCAUUCUUCUCGAGUUUGAGUCGAACUAGAGUGGCUCUACUGUUGAAUUAUGCCAAGCUCGAGUAGCUUUACCAUUGAAUUGUGUCAAACUCGAGCAUGAUCAAGUAGUUGGGUUUUAUAUAUCUUCUGAUGCAUUGAUCAAGUAUAUCCCCAUUACUAUGCAAGAGAAUGCAAAAGUAAACUUUCCACUUUAUUUUAUUUGUGCAAGCCAAGUUGGAGUUUUUAAGAGUUCAGAUGCUAAUUUAGUUUUUAUUAGUGAAAAAUAUUCGAAAACAAGCUUAUCAAGAACUUUAUUAAGUUCGACUUGAGCUUGAAAAAUCCAACUUUUGUCUUGAAAGUUGCAGCUUGGAGGUUGAUUCCUCCAUCCCUCCUUAAACUAGUUGUAUAACUUGGUGCAAUAAUUUUUUUUUUUUCAUUUCUAAUUCAUUACGUUCUGCUAUACAUUCUCUAAUUAUAAUUAAUCGUUAAAAAUUUCUAAUUUUUAUGCAGAACAAGGAAUCGACUUAUCCCACUUCCUCUUUCUCAUGGCAUUUAAUGUGGUGGGUAAUUUGGUGCUCUCACGGGAUCUUUUGGACCCAAAAUCGAAGGACGGGCCUGAGUUCUUUGAUGCCAUGAACCGGUUCAUGGAAUGGGCUGGCAAGCCCAACGUAGCCGACUUCCUGCCGUGGUUGAAAUGGUUGGACCCACAGGGGAUCAAGGCAAGCAUGGCGAAGGACAUGGGUCGAGCCAUGAAGAUUGCUGAAGGUUUUGUAAAAGAGAGGUUGGAGGAGCGAAAGCAAAGGGGAGAGAUGAGAACGACAAAUGACUUCUUGGAUGCGGUAUUGGAUUAUGAGGGCAAUGGAAAAGAAGGCCCUCGCAAAAUCUCUUCCCAGAACAUCAUCAUAAUAAUUCUGGUAUCCUCUCUUCCACUCUUGGCAAAAAAGAAAUGAUUAACAUCUUAAGGAUAUUAGGUCCAGUUCGGUUUGUAAAGUGGGGUGGUAAACUUAAUUGACAAUUAACAAGCAGGUCAUAUCACGCGUCAUUUUCUACAAACUUGUGUUUUCGUAGAACAUUCUAGCACUAGAUUUUGUAAUAACUAGCCUUUUCCAAUCAACUAUCUAUGAAAACAUUUUACACUUUAAGUUUGUAGAGAACGUUGCAUAACAAAAAGCUACUACUAUUAUAAAGAUGUUUCCAUUCUUUCCUGAUUUAGCCAAUCUGUGCUCAUUUUGUAAUAACUAGCUAAGAAUGUUCUACAAAUCACAAGAAUGAUUUAUGGUUAUUUUCUUUACAAAAAUAAAAAAUAAAUCUAGUGCUAGAAAGACACAUUGAAUGAUUUGUUAAGUUAAGUUGAUGUCAAUUUCACUAAUUAAUAGAACAUGUUGGGUAUCCACAAUGGAUGAGUGAAUGGUAUGUUGAUCAAAUGUAUGAUAUGAUAUUGACUAAAUAUAAUCGAUGUUCAAACACCAGCAUUGAGUAUAAGAAGCCAAUAAGAUUAAGUUGACAAGGCAUGAACAGUUUUUGUCCAUGGACUUAUAAAUGAAAGUCAAGUUAAUGUCGGUCGAGUCAAGAAGUAUUGACAUUGGCUCACAAAAUUUGGUCGAAUCAAACCGACUGCAAGGAUAAAACUAGCGCGAACAGUUAUUGUAGCCAAACUUCUAGGACGGAACAAUUUUUAAAGUUGUUGACCGGCAGUUGAAGUGAAGCAAUCGUUGUAGCCGAGACUACAAAAAGAGCACAUCUUAAGGGAAAAAGACGCACACACAUAAAAAGAACACACUUCACUUUCUUGCCAUUCAUUUUCAGUUAUUUCUCAGCAACUUAAUUCUUGCCAUUCCAGUUGUUUAUUUCAUUUUUUCCAAUCAAACACCUGCUCUUGCCCUUUUAUAAAUAUUCCUGUUGUCAUUAGUGGAUUCAUUUCGUCAAUUUUAGGAUCCAAUCAUCAAAUUCUUGUUCCUUUCUUUAUGCGCAAUUGUCUGUCAAUUUGAAGCAUAGGAGCUGCUAUGUUUGAUAAGGAUUGUAUCAGGUGAAGCAUGAUGAUUUUUACUGUUAAGCCCACGAUUUGAGGGAGUGAUUUUCGAGCGAAACUGAUUAUCUUAAUUAUAGCAAAAGAAUCAGCAUUGGUGGUAACCCUAGCAAGAAAUGAUCUUGUACUAAAUGUGUCUAAUUCAUGGUGCAGGAAAUGUUUUUCGCUGGAUCAGAGACUACAAGCAGCACCAUCGAGUGGGCAAUGGCGGAGCUACUCCACCAACCCGUGUCAAUGAAAAAGGCCAAAGAUGAGAUUAACCAGAUUGUGGGGUUGAACAGAAAACUCGAAGAAAGUGACACGGAAAAAAUGCCGUUUUUGCAAGCUGUGGUGAAGGAAACCCUGAGAUUGCAUCCACCAUUACCUUUGCUUAUCCCACGAAAUGCUAUAAAAGAAACCAAUUUCAUGGGAUUUGAUAUACCCAAAGAUACCCAGGUUUUCGUGAAUGUAUGGGGCAUUGGAAGAUGUUGGAGAAAUCCUCAUGAAGUGUUUUGAAGUUGACAAAACGUUUCCAUCAGUCUAGUCUGAAGGUCUGCAGACUCUGUUAGUUAAAGUCUGAAGACUUCCGGACAGCCAGACUCAAGACUCAAAGUCUAUCCUCAUUGACAGUCUCUAAUCCGUUGAAGAAAGGUUAUCCAGAACUGGAUGUUUUGUUCAGGAUUUAACCUUAUCAUCUAGAGAAGAUCUCGUGGCUGGAGAAGACGUAUCAGAAUCCUUUGAUUGAUCAAGUUUGAUUCAAUGAAUGAAGAUUCGAUGAUUGUCUAAAUAUUAUUGGAAGGUUCUACUUAUGGAAACCGAGAUCCUGAUUGUAUGGACGAACAUGAUUGAUGGGCUAUCAACACGUUCCUUUAAUAGCUCGAACAAUCUUCCUAAUUGAUUCCGUCCAACGGGUAGAUUGGAGGAAUUCCUUUGGUAAGUGCCAACGGGUAUGAUGGCUUAAAGGAGUAUAUAAGGAAGACGUUCUUAGUUGUUCGAGGUGUGCGCGAUAGAAGAAUUCCAAAGUCUGAAGCUCCUAUUUGUUUAGAUAAUUCCUUUAGCGAUACUUGUAUACAAANNNNNNNNNNNNNNNNNNNNNNNNNNNNNNNNNNNNNNNNNNNNNNNNNNNNNNNNNNNNNNNNNNNNNNNNNNNNNNNNNNNNNNNNNNNNNNNNNNNNGAAUCAAGGCAAAGCUGUGCUGUAACUUCUCUUUUGAUCAUAGUGAAAUCCAGCCGGUGGGCUGUCAGUGCGGAAGAGUGGACGUAGGCUUGGAAUAAGCCGAACCACUAUAAAUCCUGUGUUCAAAUUUCUCUCUCUACCUCGAUCGUAUUUCAUUUUGUUAAGAAUUGCUUCCGUAUUUGGGACAAAUUGUUUGUGCGCCUAUUCACCCCCCCUCUAGGUGUUUAUACUAGCAAUAUCAAUUGGUAUCAGAGCCUGUGUACUUACUUUAUUUGAAGUGUUUUACUUCAUAGUAAAAGAUCCAUGGCUAGUAUGCUAGCAUCAGGGCUGAUGGAAGGGCAAAGCAAUACUAGACCACCCUACUUUGAUGGAAAGGAUUACAACAUCUGGAAGAACAAGAUGAAAGCUUUCCUACGAUCAAAGGAUCCUCUGGAAUGGGACGUUGUAGAAAAAAGAAUUACUCCUACCACUGCAUCAGUCUCUGAAAGAGGAAAAGAAACUGAAGAAACCAGCGGAAUGUCUCAGGAAGAAAUAAUCAAGAGACAAACACUCGAUGCAAAAGCAAUUUACUCCUUAUAUUGUGCUUUAUCACCAACUGAAUAUAAUAGAAUAUCUUCUUGUGGUACAGCAAAAGAAGUUUGGGACAGAUUGCAUAUCACCUAUGAAGGAACAGAUCGAGUGAAGGAAACAAGAAUCAACAUUCUUCUCGGUCAAUACGAAGCCUUCAGAAUGAAACCAGGAGAAUCAAUAUCUGACAUGUUUAGUCGUUUUACAGAUAUUGUGAAUGGUCUUGAAAAUCAAGGUCAACCAACUUCUGAUCCCAUGAAGGUAAACAAGCUACUGCGUGGACUCUCCAGGGAUUGGAAUCACAUAAAGACUUCGAUAAGAGAGACGCAGAGAAUUAUGCCACUAUCUGUUGACGAGCUGAUUUGAACUCUUCAGUCCUAUGAAGUGGAAAGGAUCAAUGAAGAUGAAGAUCCAAAAGGUAAGAAAUCCAUUGCAUUAAAAUCAAAUGAUGAUUCUGAUGAUACAGAUUCUGAAGAUGAUAUGGACGAUGAGGAGCUUGCUCUCAUGAUAAGAAGAUUAAGAAAACUAAAUAGAAAAGGAAGAAGGUUCAACUCAAAGGAACAAAGCUUUCAAAGACAGCAGACCAAGUCUGUUGAUGAUGAGGAACCAAAUAAAGAUGUAGUCUGCUUUGAAUGCAAGAAAAAGGGACACAUCAGACCCAACUGUCCUUUUCUGAAGAAGAAGAGAGGAAAAGCUGAAAAUUUUUGAAAAGCUCUCAAAGCUGAAACCUGGAGUGAUACUGAGUGUGAAGAAAGUGAUAAUGAAUAUGCCAAUCUAUGUCUGAUGGCACAAUCAGACUCAGACUCUGGAUCAGACUCAGGAUCAGACUCAGACAGUGAAUUUGAGGCAAGUAAUUUUAAAAUUUCUGUCAAAGUUUCUAAAUAUAUUGAUGAACUAUGCUUUAGUCUUAAGACUUCUCUAAAAAGAAUUUCCAAACUGAAAAAAGAAAACUCAGCUCUAAAACAAAAGGAAAAUGUUUUAGCAGAAAGAGUUAAAAGUCUAGACUUGUAUGUUUCCAAUCUUAAAGGAAAUGAAGAAAAUCUUUUAAAAGAAAAUGCUUUUUUAAAAACAGACUUAUCAAAUAUAUCAAAGAAAUUUUCUAUAGGGUCUGAAAAACUUGAGAAAAUUCUUUCAGCACAAAGACCUUACUUCAAUAAGUCUGGUCUAGGUAUGACAGAAGAAACAAUUCCCUUGAUUGAUUUUCCCAAAGUAAAAGAAAGAAUUAAGAAAAGACUUUCGAGUGAGGUUUACAAAAAUCACUUCAAGAAAGUUUUUGUAAAACCUGUAGGUAGAAAUGCUCUCAGAUGUUCUAAGUGCAACAGUCCGGAUCACUUUGAAAAAGAGUGUCCUAUGGUAUGGAAACCUGUUAAGAAAGUAUGGGCUAAUACUGUUUAUCUUACUAACACCAAAGGACCCAAGAAAAUUUGGGUACCAAAGAAAGCUUGAGACUUUAUUUUAAAUGCAGGUCUCCGUCAAGAAAUAGGUAAAGUGGUAUCUUGACAGCGGAUGCUCAAGACACAUGACAAGAGACUCAAAUUGCUUUAUAAAGCUUGCUCAAGUAAAUGGUGGAAAAGUUUCAUUUGGAGGAAACAACAAAGGAAGUAUUGUGGGAUUUGGAACCGUGAAAAUUGGAACUCUCACAAUAAGUAAUGUUUCCUUAGUGGAAGGACUCAAUUACAAUCUUCUCAGCAUUAGUCAAUUGUGUGAUACUGGUUUCAAGAUCUUCUUUCAAGAAGGAACAUGUUCUGGAAUCAGUAAAGACUCUACUCAGUCUUUCAUGGGUCGAAGACAUGAAAAUAUCUAUCUUCUAGAUGUGAAACCAAAUGAAUCACAAUACCUUAUCUCAAUUCAAGACGAAGCAAGCUUAUGGCACAAAAAGCUUGGUCAUGUCAACAUGAAGCAAUUAGCCAAAAUCUCAUCAAAACAGCUUGUUCGAGGUCUACCCAAAUUGCCAUACCAAAAGACUGAUUCAUGCACUCCAUGUAUUCUGGGAAAGCAGGUAAGAAAUUCUUUUAAGCCGAUAAAUCAUGUCUCUACUAAUCAUGUACUACAGUUGCUGCAUAUGGAUCUCUUCGGACCAACCAGAACUCAGAGUAUUGGGGGUAAGAAGUAUUGCCUAGUAAUUGUUGAUGAUUACUCCCGUUUUACUUGGGUAUAUUUCCUUGCAAGUAAGUCCGAAACCUUUUCGUAUUUUGAAAAAUUUGCUAAAAAGAUUCAAAAUGAAAAAGGAUGUGUUAUCUCUAGUAUAAGAACAGAUCAUGGAGGUGAAUUUGAAAAUCAAGAUUUUACAAAAUUCUGUGAUGAAUCUAGCUUUAAGCAUGUGUUCUCCUCUCCAUAUACUCCUCAGCAAAAUGGAGUUGUGGAAAGAAAGAACAUAUCUCUUCAAGAAAUGGCUAGAACUCUUUUAAUUGAAAGUAAAUUUUCUUCUCGAUUUUGGGCUAAAGCUGUUUCAACAGCAUGCUAUAUCAUCAAUAGAGUCUUCUUAAGAUCUAUUCUUCAGAAAACCCCUUAUGAGUUAUUCAAAGAAAAGAAGCCUAUUGUUUCAUACUUUCAUGUAUUUGGUUGUAAAUGUUUUAUAUUGAAAAAUGCAAAAGAUCGAAUUGGUAAGUUUGAAGAAAGAUCAAAUGAAGGUAUCUUCCUUGGAUAUUCUACAUCAAGCAAAGCUUACAGAGUCUAUAACAAGAAGAGUCAGUCUGUAGAGGAGUCAAUGAAUGUCAAAUUUCAAGACUCAACGCAAGAUGAAUCAAGUCAGACUCAUCAAGAAGAGUCUGAACCUGCUCCAGACCCUCCAAAGUCUACAACUCAAGAAGCAUCUCAGACUCUGGAAAACCAGCAUCAGGUUGUUAGUGAAGAUCCAAAUAAAGAAAGAGAUCAUCAACCAGACAAAUCAACAAGUAACUGGAAGCAUAAGUCCAGUCAUCCCAAAGAUCUUAUAAUUGGCGAAAUUAAUGAAGGAAUUCGCACCAGAUCCAAAAGGCGAGAAGAGUCUAGUGCUGUGGCACUCGUUUCUGAAAUUGAACCAAAGAGCAUAGAAGAAGCUUUAUCUGAUGAAAGCUGGAUUGAAGCUAUGCAAGAAGAGCUCAGACAGUUCAGCAUAAAUGAUGUCUGGGAAUUGACAUCCAAACCAAAAGGUAAAACUGUUAUUGGAGCUAAAUGGGUGUUCAGAAACAAGAUGAACGAGAAAGGAAAAGUCGUACGAAAUAAAGCAAGACUCGUGGCCAAGGGAUAUACGCAAGAAGAAGGAAUAGACUAUGAUGAGACUUACGCUCCAGUGGCAAGGUUAGAAGCUAUUCGACUAUUACUUGCGUUUGCUUGUUAUAAGAAUUUCAGGUUAUUCCAAAUGGACGUCAAAAGUGCCUUCCUAAAUGGAUUUAUCCAUGAGAAAGUUUAUGUGGAACAACCACCAGGGUUUGAAGACCCAAAGAAGCCAGACUCAGUCUUCAGACUGAAAAAGGCUUUGUAUGGUUUAAAGCAAGGACAUCGGGCUUGGUACGACAGAUUAAGUAAGUUCCUAAUACAAAAUGGUUUUGUCAAAGGUAAAGUAGAUACUACUUUAUUUAUCAAGAAAGAAAAAAAAAAGUUUCUUACUUGUUCAAAUAUAUGUGGAUGAUAUUAUUUUUGGAUCCUCUAAUGAAAGUCUGUGCAAGAAAUUUUCAAAGUCUAUGCAGGAUGAGUUUGAAACGAGUAUGAUGGGAGAGUUAACAUUCUUUCUUGGUCUUCAAGUAAAACAAUUGAAGGAAGGAACUUUUAUUUAUCAAGAAAAAUAUGUUAAUGAUCUUGUCAAAAGGUUUGGACUGGAAAAGUGCAAAAAGACCGACAUACCAAUGUCAAGUUCUUUAAAGAUAGACAAAGAUGAAGAAGGGAAGAAAGUUGAUCAAAAGCUGUACAGGAGCAUUAUUGGAUCACUUCUUUAUCUUACUGCCUCUAGACCUGAUAUUUUGUUGAGUGUUUGCAUCUGUGCUAGGUUUCAAUCAGAUCCUAGAGAAUCUCAUCUCAGUGCUGCGAAACGCAUCAUUAAAUACGUCGCUUCAUCAUCAAGCAUCGAUCUUUGGUAUCCUAAGAAGGGAGACUUUAAUCUUCUGGGAUAUUCAGACGCAGAUCUGGCCGGUUGCAGAGUUGAUAGAAAGAGCACUUCAGGAACUUGCUAGUUGCUUGGAAGCAGAACAGUAUCUUGGUUUUCAAGGAAACAAAGCACUGUGUCUCUUUCAACAACAGAAGCAGAGUAUGUAGCUCUUGGAAGUUGCUGUUCGCAAAUUCUAUGGAUAAAACAACAGCUAAGAGAUUUUGAAAUUGAAGACUCAUGCACGGAGAUUAAUUGCGACAACACCAGCGCUAUCAACCUCACCAAAAAUCCAAUUCUUCACUCAAGAGCAAAGCAUAUAGAGAUUCGACAUCACUUUAUUAGAGAUCAUGUUCAAAAUGGAGAUGUUUCAAUUCAAUUUGUUGACUCAAAGAAUCAAUUGGCUGAUAUACUCACAAAGCCUUUGGAGAAAAAUCAAUUUGAGUCUAUACGGUCCAGACUCAACAUUUUGAGGUAUGAGGAUAUCAAAGUCUAAAGACUUUCAGACUCAGGCUUACAAGACUUUAUUUACAGUCUUGGCUCAACCUUCAGACUGUAAGUCUUUCUCUCUCCAAUCUUAUCUUGAAAAGGUACGAUCAUCAGACUGUGUUUAAAUUGUUGCUAUAUUUAAAUAACGUAAAUAUUGCAUCGAUUCAUUUUCAAAAGGGAAGUUAUUUUUGAAAUAGCUAUUUUUGCGGAUAAAGACAGUUAUUUUGAAAAGGCAUAUUUUUAUUUCCUUUGUGACGAUUUGUUUACUCUUCUUUUUAACCGAUUGUGCACUGUCGAUUCCUCUUCACUUUUCUAUUCACUUUUCUCUCAAAAACCCUAGAAAGCAUCGAUCCUCCAUUCCCAUUUGUCUUCUUCGCUAAAUCUUCAAAAAGUUGUCAUCUUUUCUGGGAAAGUCAAGCAAGGAAUCUUUCAAACACUGAGAAAGAUGUCAUCUUCACGAAAGUCCUCAAGAAUCGCAAGCAAGGGACCACAGAGAAUGAGUGAGGGGCCUACGCACUUCGAUCUUACUGAAGAUGAAGUUACUCCAGAUUAGCAACCGAGCCCACAACAUUCUCAGUAGCGUCAUUCUCCACCAUCUAAUCCUCAAGGCAUUGUUCAUCAGCAUCAGGAAGAAAUCGUCGAGGAUGCAGACCCCGUAAGAGUUCAAAAGCCCGCUUUUAUUUACAAGCUAUAUCGUGCCUUAAAAGGAAUUCGUACUCCUUUGAACUAUGUUGAUGAUUUUGUUAAAGAAAAAGGAUAUAGGAACGAAUAUAUCUUUCUGCGAAAAAUGGAAAGUUUGGGAAUCGCUCGUAAAGGGGUGGCUGAGGAAACCCUUGCGAAUAUCCCAAGUGAUCCUCGUGACUGGGGGCCAAAUCCUGUAGAUGGGAAUGACGAUGAUAAUCUGUUCAGUCUAUUUCAACCGAAAAUGGGUAUUGUGGCUGAAAUUCAAGGAAAAAGGGGAGAUUUGUUCAGAUCAAAGGAACAAAAGGAUCUGUACUCGAAAUUGCUGAAGCGUGGGGUAAUAAACCCUAGGAGUGUGGACUUUGAUUUUCUGGAUGCUGUGAAAGUGAACUUGAGGGAAAAGUUCAGUUAUCUUCAGCUUGAAAAGUUCUACUCUGACUCAACUGAGGCUUAUGCUGAAUUGACUGCAUAUUUCUAUUCAAAUCUUAGCUUUUUAGAUGCGAAUAGAUUCUCCUUCAGCGUUAAAGAACAAGACUAUGUUGUGGAUAUGAAUAUGCUGGCAGAUGUGUUAGAAGUUGAGAGAGGCAGAUAUCAACCAAUCAAAGUUUCCAUUGCUCGGGCCACACUUGAACUGGUGAAGGACAGGAGAACGGAUGAGAAGAUCACCUACUCAAGGAUGAAUGCAUUCAACAUCUUGCUUCACAAGAUUGUGAUUAAUUGCCUUCGGCCGAAAUCAACUUCCAAAACUGAUAUUUCAAGCUCUGAGGCAAAGUUGAUGUAUGCCAUCCUCUGUGGAAAGAAGUUUUCUCUCCCUCAUACUGUUAUGUUUCACAUGUAUAGAGCAGUGAUGAAGGACAGAGGUCAACUCCCUUACCCAAGCCUUGUUACGAAGUUAUUCAGACAUCUGAAUAUUUAGCCUCCGCAAAUCUUUUGUGUUCGAUCAUGCGAUCAUAUAGUGGUAGGACUGAAAAUGGUGACCAAAAUGCGUCUGAAGGAACUGAGCAAGGAAUUGGAGAAAUUCAAGGAGAAGACUCCUGCCAAAUCUCAUCAACUCUCUUCUACUGCUAAGAGAAAAGGGAAGGAGCCCAUGGCUGCUCCAUCAAAGAGAAGAAGAGCUCUCCUCGUUGAGGAUGAAGAUGAUGACGAUGACAUCACCAUCUCUGCAAUGGCUUUGAAGAAUUUAAGUCGUCCUAUUCCACAGAAAGAAUCGGAACAAAAGACGAAAGAAGCAGAGGAAAAGGAAGAAGAAGAAAGAGAAGCAGAUGAGAAGGAAGAAGAAGAAAGAGAAACAGAGCAAGAAGUAGAGGAAGAAAGACCUAAAGAAGAAAGAAGAGAAGAAGGAGAACCUGAGGAAAUCUCUUCUCCACCUGUAGGCAUGGAAACAUGGGGAGAUCAGGAGAAAGGAGUGACGUCCUCAUAUCCUGAUGCAAGUGAAGGAGUCAGUUGCUCACCUGUAGACCCAGAAGAUGUUUAUGCAUCUCAAUUUCCAGAGGAAGGUCAUGAAGCUUCAUCGCCAAACCUGCGAGAUUAUGCUGAUCCACCAUCGUCUGCUUUUACUCCAUCAGAUCGAGCCGAAGCAAGUACUCAGACUGAUAAUGGAGCAGAUUUUCGCAGAAUCUUGGAUAUUCUCAUGGAAAUGCGAGGUCAAAUUUAUGCAUUGGGAUGCGAAGUUCAAAGUUUGAAGAAUGAAAGUCAAGCUUCUUCCUGUUCAUUGAAUGAUAAGAUGCAAGCCCUCUCUAUUUAGAAUCAGGCCAAUGCCAAGAGUGAGGAGGUUGUACAGCUGAAGGAAGACUUCAAAAGGCUGGAAGGCAUCGUUCAGUCUAUGGAAGAUUUCCAGCUUGUCCGCGUUCCCAAGCAAUCUUGACUUCAUCUCAUCCUUUUUAAUGCUGACAAAAAGGGGGAGAGAUGCAUGAUUUGAUCAAAAACUUUCAAUCAUUUUUUAACUAUUUGUUGGAUUGUGUUGUUGUUUAACUGUCUGUUUUUGACAGACUUUGACAGACUUUGACUUUGUUUUGUGUCUGGAUGAGAACUGAACUAGACUUGGACUUGACUGCUUCUAUUAACAAGUAUUGAUAUCUUAUGGAUGGUUUUAUUAUAUAGACUAACCUAUUUUCUGUGGUUGCAGAUUCUAGUGUUAAUCUUUUAGCCAUUCAUCUCUAUAAGAUAUGCAUAUGUGUUUGAGAAAUGUUUUGCAGGUCAAAGUUAUCCAAAUCUGCAGGAAUGUUUUGUCACCAUCAAAAAGGGGGAGAUUGUUGGAGAAAUCCUCGUGAAGUGUUUUGAAGUUGACAAAACGUUUCCAUCAGUCUAGUCUGAAGGUUUGCAGACUCUGUUAGUUAAAGUCUGAAAACUUCCGGACAGCCAGACUCAAGACUCAAAGUCUAUCCUCAUUGACAGUCUCUAAUCCGUUGAAGAAAGGUUAUCCAGAACUGGAUGUUUUGUUCAGGAUUUAACCUUAUCAUCUGGAGAAGAUCUCGUGGCUGGAGAAGACGUAUCAGAAUCCUUUGAUUGAUCAAGUUGAUCAAUGACUGAAGAUUCGAUGAUUGUCUAAAUAUUAUUGGAAGGUUCUACUUAUGGAAACCGAGAUCCUGAUUGUAUGGGCGAACAGGAUUGAUGGGCUAUCAACACGUUCCUUUAAUAGCUCGAACAAUCUUCCUAAUUGAUUCCGUCCAACAGGUAGAUUGGAGGAAUUCCUUUGGUAAGUGCCAACGGGUAUGAUGGCAUAAAGGAGUAUAUAAGGAAGACGUUCUUAAUUGUUCGAGGUGUGCGCGAUAGAAGAAUUCCAAAGUCUGAAGCUCCUUUUUGUUUAGACAAUUCCUUUGAGCGAAUACUUGUAUACAAAAGAGAGUCUAUAUUUGUGAGAGACCUUGAGAAGGUGUGGUAGAACAUCUACACUGUGGAAUCAAGGCAAAGCUGUGCUGUAACUUCUCUUUUGAUCAUAGUGAAAUCCAGCCGGUGGGCUGUCAGUGCGGAAGAGUGGACGUAGGCUUGGAAUAAGCCGAACCACUAUAAAUCCUGUGUUCAAAUUUCUCUCUCUCUACCUCGAUCGUAUUUCAUUUUGUUAAGAAUUGCUUCCGUAUUUGGGACAAAUUGUUUGUGCGCCUAUUCACCCCCCCUCUAGGUGUUUAUACUAGCAAUAUCAGAAGAGACCCAGAUGCUUGGGAGAACCCAUUAACAUUCAAACCAGAGAGGUUUCUAGGAUCUAAAAUUGACUACAAAGGUCAAAACUUUGACCUAAUUCCAUUCGGAUCAGGCAGAAGAAUGUGCGUCGGACUUUCGCUGGCGGAUAGGGUGCUUCAUCUCGGUCUUGCGAAGUUGCUCUACCAUUUCGAUUGGGAACUCAGUGAUGGUUUGACUCCAGAGACCCUCGACAUGAGAGAGCGGGCGGGAAUAGCACUAAGGAAGCUCCAUCCUUUAAAGGUGAUACCUAAAAAACGUAGUGUGUAAGGUUUUUAGAAUAUUAUGGUAACUAGUUAUAUUCAUGACUAGUUAUUUAGGAAAUGACAAGACGUGAUGUCAUGUAUCCAAGGAAGACUUCUUAAGAAUGGUGUUUUUAUUCCACAAAUACCUUAGGAAAAUUACCCUAAAUUUCUUAAACUUAUUAUACUUUUACCAAUUUAGUUAUAAAUAUUCUUAUUAUAAAAAUUAGUCCCAAACAUUUUCACGUUUUGCCAAUUGAGCUCAUAUGAUCAAUUUUGAUUAGAAAUCACUAACACAAAUGUCAGGCAUCCUACAUGGUGCAAUUGUCGUAGAUGUGGAAAAUUUUUAAUAUAUUUUUAAAAUUUUUAAAUACUUUUUCUUUUCUUUUAUUUCUCUGCUAGUUGCUGAGCCUUGAGGAUGACUACUAACCAACCAUAGGCUACAACCGAUGAUGGUCACCCUCGCCAAAAUCUGGCAAGGGAGGACUUUGCUACCUUGCCAAAUUCGACAAGUCACAGCUUCAUGUGAGGCUCGACUUUGCCCAAUCUAGCGAGGGCAAGGCACAACCUCAUUAGUCUUCACAAGGGCUGAUCUCAGGUGAGACUUGCCGAAAGAUCAUGAGGCCAACCUUCCCUAAAGGCUAGCAAGGGACAACCUUGCCAACUUCAAGCAAAGCUCAACCUCGUCAAAUCUGCUUAGGACAAGCCUUACUCAAGGCUAACAAGGGUGACCUCACCUAAUGUGGCACCCCUUGACGGCCCCCGAAUCGUUAGGGUCACCACAGUCAACUUACCCUUUACUUGACUUGAUAAUAUAUCACUCUGAUACCAAAGAGUUAUAAUAAGUCUAUAAGUCCUGGGGGUUUAUAUAUAUUUUCCAUAGGUCCCUGCGUAGAAAUAUGACGAAAGUGUAUCCAACAACUCCCUUCCCUAUAUUCAGAAAACGAUGCACACCAACUAAACAUUUAUAGAUAAAAGCCGAACACUUUUAUUUACUUAAACCAGAUGGACAUCAUUAAUUGGUACAUCAAAAUUCCAUAAUCUUCUGUACUUGGCUAUACUUCAAAAGAUGACCGACAUCUCCUCCAACAGUCGUAUACUCAAAGUCCAUCGUUCAGUGUCGGCGUCCAAAAGUUCCUUUUUUUGCUAUCCUUCUCCUUGCGGUCAUAUCCAACCACUUGAUUCAUCUACCGGUGGUAGUGACAACAGAGGUAUCUUAUCUAGUUUGAAAUGUUAGUCCCCAAACGGGGUGAGUACUGUCGACACCCGAAAUUUCCGUCGACAUUUUAAUCAUCCAUUGUUUGCAAAAAAAAAUAAAGAGCUAAAAAGAAAAAAAAAGAGAGAAAUAAAGAGUUGAAGCAGAAAAGAAAAGAGAAAAAGAAUGGAAACAAGAAAAAGAAAAGAAAAAAAAGAAGGAAACAAAAAGAAAAAAAAUGAGAGAAAAAGAAAAACAUAAAAGAAAGAAAAAAAAUAAUAGAAAAGGGAAUGACGAUUCUCUCUCAUGGGGGGCUCGCUCUCUCACGUUCUCUCGCUCUCUCAAAUACUGGGACGCUGAUUCUCUCUGAAGGGAGGGCUCUGGAUCACGAACUCUGGUUCUCCAGAGGGGAUUCUCUCUUUCUGGGACUCUCUCUCUCUCUGCGGUUCUCGUCGAAGGUUAGGGUUUUUCCUCCGUCGGUGCGGGAUUGGAGGUGUUUCCUCUAUUCGGUGAGGAGUUUGCUCGGGGGAUCCGGUUUCCGAAACUGAUUGGCGUCGGUAGCAGCGACGGCAGCAACGGCGGAGCUUGAUUCGACCUCUCUCGUUCGUUAUUAACCGCCUGCUCGCCUCGGUUCUGACUCCGUGCUCCGAGCUCCGAGGAUAGAGAUCCGAAGCUUGAUCGACGGCGGCGACGACAGCGGCUUCCGAUCAUCUUCUUGUUCAUCAUCUAUCGUCGGGACUCCCUCAAACCUUAGAAGACAGAGCAAUUGCCGAUUGAAGAGUUGGAAGUGCGAGGCUCGGAUCUGCACCGCCUUCAGAGAAGGCUCAACAACGAUUUCCCUCUUAAUCGAGUCAUUUCCGAGGGUUUUUCCUCUCAGAUCUCGGCAAGUUUCAUUCAGAUUAUUGAUUUGUUUUCUCUAGUAAUUUUUUUUUCUAGAGUCAUCUCAAUCCUCCCUCCCCUGCCGUUUUCUUUUGUUGACACUGAGCAUGUAUUUCCUCUCGCCGAUUCACCCAUUGAAAUUGCCGGCCAUUCAUUGCAGUCGCCGAUUCAAUCAAAAUCUCACAAGGAGUUUGGAUCAGUCAUUACUCGAAGAACAGCUUCAAUCAUCUGAAGACAGACGCAGCAAAGCAGAGACAAUUUUUUUCAGAGUUCUUGAAGAGGCUGACUGAUAAAGUUGUUGAGGUAUGAAUAUCUGUACUUGAAUAUGUCAAGAACUUCCUGCUGUGAAAUCCUUCUAGAGCUUAAUCUCCUCAAAUAAUUGAUGCCUUAUGCGAUUGACUGCUGGAUUAUGAUGAAAACGUGAGAAAGCAAGUUGUCACUGUUAUUUGCAAGUGUGGCUUACUUGACUUUUGUUCAACUUGACCUUCUGUUGAAUAUAACUACUAUAUUUUUCUCUUUUCAAAAGACUAAAAAAAAAACCAUUUAUACCUGUUCAUACUGUUCCUCAGUGGCAAGCAACCAUUCGAUCAUACUCAUACCAAAUGUUUGACCCUACUCAGUUAGUCUUCGCAAGCUGCAGAUAGCGUUAUUUGUCUACUGCGUUUUUUCAUCUGGUUUAACUGGCAAAUCAAGAACAAAUUCCAACGGGUCCUUUCUAAUGAAGAGUUGUCCUAGUAACAAAUAUUAAAAAGGUGCUAUGGUCUCGUUCCCCCUUUAGUUUUUAUGUUUCCAUCAGUGUAAAUCAAGCUGCGCAAGCUAGACAUGCACCAGAAGAAAGUUGAUUCAUUUUAGUAGAAAUUGGUCCUCUGUUGCUGCUGUGUUCAUCUUUUUUUAGAAUUCCUUGUUCAUAAUAUUGAAUGUGUUCUUUGCCUGAAAGUUGUGAGUUCAUUGGUACACUUCAAUCUGGAUUGAUGUCUGGUAUUUUGCCCUUUGAUGAGUUUGUAGUUGUCGGUAGACCGGUAUGAGUUGUGCCUGAAGUUCACCUUAGUGGAGAAACAUUUCCUCAGCAGCAAAUGAUUUUAUAUCAGGAAAGGAUUUUAUAUCCUUGGUGCAUGUUGGAUGAUCUGGGAAUCUGGUUCAGCUUUUGUUAGGGCCAGUAACAGCAAUGAUGUUUGAGUUUGUCAAAGAAAUACCUAAACCUGAAACUAAAUGGAGGCUGGACUUCAUCUCUCUUUUAGGCGUAUUUUUCUUUACAUGGGUUAUCAUUCAAUUACUUCCUGUUGUCUUGAUAGAUCUGGCUUAUGAGAAAGAAUAGAUACUUGGGAGUAUGAUGAAAAUAUGUGGGUUUAGUGAUCCAUAUUGGCUGAUUUCCUAUGCUUAUUUUCUCUCUUUAUCUUCAAUCUACAUGCUGUGCUUUGUGACUUUUGGCUUAGUCAUAUAUAGUUAAUCCCUAUUGCGUUAUGUUUACCUACGUUCCAAUGUCCCAUUAAAGUUGCAAUGCUUGUGUCUUACUGCACUUCCUCUGUAAAGUUUUACUAGAAUGAGAUUAUGUGUGCUUUUAGUGAGUUAAAUGCAGAUCACGUGCAAUUGAUGUUUGUUGUUCAUGUGUGAAUUUGCUGAUAUUGAAAGUUGGAAUUUGUCUUGGUCUAGAAUGCAUGCUUUGUUUCUAUAACCUCGAAUACUUGUGAAUUUGGUACGAAUUUUUUGUGUGAGGAGUUUGGGAUUAGGUCCUUCACAUAAAAACUGCAAAAAAUGAUUGUAUGUUUGCCUUGCUGCUCUGUUCUACUUUUGAUGGACCUUGAUCUCUUCCAGGAUUUUGUAAAUUCACGUGCUUUUUUGUUACAAUAUAUAAUGAAAUGCUCAAGUUAGAUCAGAGUUGGCUUUCGAAUGUCUUUUGACCGUUGAUCGGUAGAUAUAAUUGAUUCAUGUCUGAAAUUGAACCAUUGAUGAAAUAAGUUUUGCCAUGGUCAAGGAGUCAUAUGGAUCUUCAUGCCUAUUUGUUUGUCGUCUGAACAUGUAUUGUUAUGUCCUGUUUUGAUAAAGAAAGGUAAAUAAAACAGCAUGUUCUAGAUUAAAAUCAAAUUAGUGCUGUUCAAGUUUCCAUCAGUGAUUGCAGACAUUUGGAAACUCAUUAUGCCUUUGUUCCGCUCCUCAGUGACCUGCAUUACUUGCUGAUUUUCUGUUUCUUUCGCUGAUCUAACCUUCUGUGCAAAUGAAUUGAUAUGAGCUGAUUGUUGUGGUUUUCUGUGUUUGAUGUCCUCAUGAAAGUCGAAGAUGGUUUGAUUAGCUUUCUAACGAGCUAUAAUACACCCUGAUCCGAUAUCAUUAGCCACAUGAAAUCUUCUUUAAAAGUCUACUCCAGAAGAAGUCUACUCCAGAAUUUGGAAAGUUGUUCUGGUCUGUGCGGUUAUUUCUGUUACUGAUCUGACCUCUUUGCUAAAUGUCUUCGUUUGAGCUAGAAAAUGAUUUCAAUUGUGUUCGUGACCUUCUAAGGAUUCAUAGGAGGCUUCUCAAAAUUUCCAUUGACAUAUUAUAUGUGUGAUUUGGUCAUCACUUGCCCUGCCUUUCCUUUUUUCAAAUCGAGCUUUGAAAUCUGGAAUUUGUCUUGAACUGCAAUGCUGUCUUUUCUGUGGCUAGUUGUUGUUAGUCUUAAGAUGAGAUAGUAGAUUUGUCCAAAUUGUUUUCAAUAUGUUGUAGAAUGACGGUGUGACAUGCUACUAUGAUCUAUUCUUGAUUGACUUGUUCAUGUUCUUAAUAUUUUUAGAAAUUCAUGCGUUAGGAAUCUUGAGGUGCUUCCUUCAUGGAAUGACAUCCUUUAUCAAUUGUCUACAAAACGGUUUUAGGUACCAUGUGGGUUACACAUUGAUUGCUCCGUUUGCCUUUAAUACAUAUGUUGAGUGAAUUCAAUGGUGUAUGUUUUGGAAUAAGUGAUCUUUAGUUGGUUCAUUCAUUGUUUUGGGUUGAUUGAGGACCAAGGUCAUGUGGCUUGAAUGUUUGUCAUGUUAUAUGCUUUGUGUGUGAUCGUUAGAUAGAUGAUUUAGGUGUAAUACAUAAUGAUGCUAAAUCUUGGGAUUUCACUUAGAAUUUGGUGUAAGGACUUCAUGACUUUAGUCACCAUUUUUGAACACUAAUAAUGUCCUGUUCUUUGAUGUUUUGAUAUGUUUGUUUGUUCCCUUCCACUGCAUAUACCAAGUUAUAGGUUUAUUAGAUUAGGUUUAGAUUAGGAUCCCGAAGAUGGAGAAGGCGUGAAGAUGGUGAAUGUCGAUUUCCACUCCGACUGUUAUCAUGUAAUGCUCAUUUUCCCGACAUAUGUCUCGGGUUUUAUGCAUUGUAUAAAGCCCGACGAGUUGCGGGUUUCCUUUCUUUCUCGAUUGUUUUCUCUUUUAUAUACUUUAGAAUUACAUGAUUAGGUUUACUGAUUUCUCUUGAUUGUUUACUUCAUGUCUUGUGCUUUCAAUUUCAUUGAUUGUUUUCUUUUCAUUUUUUAGAAAUAGAAUAGAAUGAAAGUAAUCCACCACGCAUGAUCACUUAGUCUAGGAAUUGAUGAUCCUGAAAAAUGUAAAAAGAAACACAUGGACAUGUUAGGAAAAACACAACAUACUGUUUAGGUACCGAAAGGGCGCUAAUAGCAAUAUUAGCGUAACCCAAGUCCCCGAACCUAGAUAUCUGGUUGCGUAGGAAUCGAUGGAACACUCUCGACCCUCGAUUGGGUUUCUAGCUGACCCCGAAAGUUGAGGCUAGUGGCGACUCCUGUAUAUUCUUAGGUUGUUAAAUACCUAGAUCGCAUAAUAAACCUACUGUCACGCGGGGUACGAGCUUCGGAGAGCUCGCGAUCUUGAGAUCAAGUAUCCCUAAACCCGACCUUUCCCAACCUUGGAUACUUUUCGAGAGGGGCGGCGAGAUCGGGUCGCGACAAGUACAACCACUUAGCCGUAAAUAUCCACCAAACUACACGAUGCGUCAGACAGAACAAUCAAGGUAUCACGAAUAAAACACAUACCAUCCAUGCAUUUGAACAUACCUCACCAUACAGCCAUGCAUAUAUCACCAUACAACGUGCAUAUACCACCAUGCACUUGUACAUAUAUCAUCAAGCAGCCAAGCAUAUAUCACCAUGCAACGUGCAUAUACCACCAUGCACUUGUACAUAUAUCAUCAAGCAGCCAAGCAUAUAUCACCAUGCAAUGUGCAUAUAUCACAAUGCAUUUGUACAUAUACCAUCAAGUAGCCAUGCAUAUAUCAUCAUGCAACGUGCAUAUACCACCAUGCACUUCAUGCUUGCAUUUCCAUGAGGUUCAUCCCAUGCCAUAUGCAUACAUCCAUAUGUAUGAUUCAAUUUCAAUUCUUUCUUUUACAUGGAUUUCAUCAUUUUUCUUUCAAGGGACCAGUGUUUGCAUCCCACAUUUAUUGCUCGCAUCCAACCUGGCGUUAUGAGGAGCCUCCAGCACACACUUCCGGGCAUCUCGUAUCCCACCUGGCAUCACGGGGAAUCUCCGAGGUUCGCUAUGAAAAUGGUUACCCCUACCCUUUGGGCAUGCAUCAUAAUACAACCCCUCACCCUCCAGGCAUGUAUCAUAAUACAAUCGGGCAUCCUAACACUCCCGGGAAAAACCUCUGGGCAUGUAUUCAUAAUACAACCAGGCAUCCAAAGGGCAUCAACUCAUUCAAACCUUUGGGCAUCCAGACUCCCGGGAUAUCGUCGGCUCACACCUCCGACGGUAUCAUCAUUAUCACAAUCUAUAUUCACAUAUAUGUCUCAUUUUCAACAUGGCAUUUGAUGCAAAAAUAUCAUAGGUCUAAACCAGCUUUUUGAUGUCAUAUGGUAUGCCAAACAUCACCAUAUAAGCAGUACACAUAACACCCAUGAUAUCAUAUUUCAUAAAGCAGUUCAUUGGUUUUUGAAAAUAGAACCAAUUUUCGGGUAAAACAGAAUGCACCUCUUUAGUAAAAAUUCUUGGAAAAUUUGUAAAAAAUCUCAAUAAAUUCUGAAAAUUUAACAUGAGGUAAAAAAUAUCCAGAUGAAGAUAUUUCGUGAAGAACACCAUGUCAAGAAAGUUCUACAUCAAUCACAUAGAUCCACACAUCACAGCAAAAAAAAUUCCAACACCACUUUUUGCACAGUUUCGGAAAUAAUUUCGAUUAAACCUGUAAAUGAACUUCGAAAAUUAUGAUAUUUUGAUAUGUUAUAGAUGAGAUCUAGAGGUAAACUUCUCAUGAAUAAAUCGAAGUAUAAUUCCUUUUGGAUUAAAAGAAAUUUUUUAUAACUCUCCCUAACUCUCGGUUCACUGUGCAGAUUCACCCUUUUCAAAGAAAAUCAUUUUCCCGAUCAAUGCUUGUCAUUUUAUUUUAAAAUUUUAGUAUGUUAUUCCUCAAGAUGUCACCUACAAUUUUCAUCAAGGACACAAGAUCAAAUUUCAUCCAGAUAAUUUUAUAAAAUUCAUAGAGUCGCACUAGAUCAAAAUAAUUGUUUCCAGAUCUACUUUCUUCAAAGAAAAAUGGUUUCACCGACCUAUACUUGUUCAUUUCCUCUCAAAUUUUUAUAUGUUACUAUAUAAGAAGUUAUUUACAACUUUCAUCAAGAAGUCGAAGUGAGAUUCCAACUAGAACAUCGCAUGCAACUCACGAAAUCACCGGAGAUCAAAUAACAGUUUCCAGGUCUAGUUUCUUAAAAGGAAAAUCAUUUCACCAACCAAUACUUAUCCGUUUCAUCCCAAUUUUUAGUAUGUUAAUCUUCAAGAAGUUCUCUACAACAUUCAUCAAGAAGUCAAAAUCAGAUUCCAACUAAAACAUUGCAUGUAAGUCACGAAAUCACCAAAGGUUGGACUGUUUUUCCAGAAAACAGAAUGUUAGGCUAGAACACAACUUUGAAAUUUCACACUUCAUCCACAUCCGAGAUUCACCAUUCAUCACACACCAAACACAACAAGCAAAGGGUAGAUCAAUGAACUCUGCUUGCCUCUAAUCCAAGCAAAACACAGCAAGCAAACGACGGCUCGACAGCGGGACUCGGCGGCUCGACGGUGGCGACGAACCUCCUCCUUCUUCCUCGCACACUCGCUCUCCCUCUCUCGAUUUCUCUCUCUCUCUCUCUCUCUCAGAGUAACCCUCUCUCUCAAUCGGCCCACUCUCCCUCUCUUUCUUUCCCCUUCUCUCAAUCGGCCCACUCUCCCUCUCUUUCUUUCCCCUUCAUCAUUUGCAAUCAUUUGGUUUGCAUAGCUAAUGCCACUUGGCUCUAGGGGAAAGACACUUGGCAAGCUUCUCUUGCCACUUGGGGAUUUACAUGCAACGAAGAUGGGCCUCAUUUGGCUGGGCUUGGGCCAGCCUUGGUUGACUACUUUAUGGGUUCCUUGGGCCGGGCCUCUUGGCCCACUUUGGGUCCAACACUUUUGGGUCUAAAGUCCAACUUUUAAAUGGCCCAAAAUAAUACUCAAUAAGCCCAUAAUUGCUCUUAACAAUUUACUUUAAUCCCCACUUAAUUUCAUAAUCUCAAAUACUCACAUGGCCAUAAAAUUUUGUAAUAUAAAUCAAUAAAAAUCCAACUUAUAAAGUACAUGGCCAAGAAUAAAAUUUUUAUAUCAAUUUAUCCUUUAAUACAAAUCCUUAAUCAUUCAUGGACAUAGGAAAAAUUUCCAACCAAAUAAUUGUCCAUUAAAAUGCUCGGCCUUAAUCUAUUACAAUUUUUCAGUCUAGUGGCCACAACAUACUUCAACGACACAACCAUUCACUUUUCCAUAGGUCGUAAUGCCUCUAGAAAUUGCCAUGAAAUUUUGGGAUACCACAAUUCUCCCCUCCUUAGAAAAUUUCGUCCUCGAAAUUAGACAUUGCCUAUGUCUCUUUACCCCAGUGAGGGUACCUUUCCCUCAUUUCAUUUUCACUUUCCCAUGUGGCUUCCUCCACAUCAUGAUGUCACCAUAAUAUCUUAACCAAUGGUAUUUUCUUCGUCUAUAGGACUUGUUCCUUUCGAUCCAACACUUGCACAGGCUCCUUAAUGUACCUCACUUCCUCAUCCACUUUGAUGGCUUCAUGAUCGAGUAUGUGACCAGGGUCUUGGCUGAUACGUCCUUAGCCAUGCCUAUACUUUUCUGAAAGCUUUUGUUUUACACAUUCUACCAGGUAUAACUUUUCAUCCCAAUUUCCUUUAAAGUCAAGGAUGCAAGCUCUUAACAUGUCCUCUAAUGCUUGGAUCACUCUUUUCGUUUGUCCAUCCAUCUGUAGAUGAAAAGUAGUACUAAAUGGGAGCUUCGUCCCUAAGGCGGUUUGAAGACUUCGCCAAAGGUUGGAAGUAAAUCUUGAAUCUCGAUUCGACGUGAUAGUUACGGGAACACCAUGUAAGCGUACCACUUGGCUUACACAUAUAACAACAAAUUUACCCUUCGGAUAGUCUACGCGAACUGCUAGGAAAUGGGCAGACUUAGUCAAGCGAUCUACUAUCACCUAGAUAGAAUCAUGGCCACUUGAUGUCCUUGGUAAUCCUUGCACGAAAUCCAUCAUCACAUGAUCCCAUUUCCAUUAUGGUAUAUCUAAUGCUCUCAAUCGAACACACCAUUUAGCCGAAUUAUUCCUGUACCUUUGUCACCAUCAAUUCAAGCAUAGAACCAUCAAAAUCGACACCAUUAACAACUCAUCUAGUUCAGUCCAACAAACACAUUCACUACGCUUUCACUGCAACAUAGAUUCAAGCCUAAAAUAUAGUAUCAUUCAUUCGGUUCAAAUAUUGAUAGUCCACCAAAAUAAAACUUGUCUAGUUUCUAUCAAGUAUAUCUCAUGUCUCACCCUAAGGGAUCAUCACUUGGACUAAUCACUCAUCAAAUCCACAACUUGAACUUUCACCUUUUCACCUUGGAAAGACUAUAACCACAAUUGAUCAUAUCCACUAAUUCCACAAAACCUUCUCAAACUGAGAUCAUCACCAAAAUUCAAAGUUGACCAUCAUCAAUUAAGCCUAUUAUUCCGACAUAUAAACCACAUAUAAUUUCGUGUCUCAUAUGACCACUCAAACUCAUGACUUCCAAGAUCAAUCUAUACAUACUAAAUGCCUCCAUGUAAUGCAUCAAGACUUCCAAUGAGAUCCUCUAAUAGGAAGUCACUACUUAGCUCAAGUGAUCAUAAGUUAAUCCUCGAAUUCAUAACUGCACUCUCCAUAAUUCACUCCUAAGCUUGUUUGCAGCACUNNNNNNNNNNNNNNNNNNNNNNNNNNNNNNNNNNNNNNNNNNNNNNNNNNNNNNNNNNNNNNNNNNNNNNNNNNNNNNNNNNNNNNNNNNNNNNNNNNNNCUUAGAUGCUGCGCAUGUUCUUCAGGUCCUUUAGAAUAUAUCAAGAUAUCAUCAAAUGAAGACAAUCACAAUUUGAUCCAAAUAAGGCUUAAUUAUCCUAUUCAAUAAAUCCAUGAAUGCAGCUAAGGCAUUCGUCAAUCUAAAUAGCAUAAUUAGGAACUUAUAAUGUCCAUAGCGAGUCCUAAAUGCGGUCUUAGGAAUGUCUUCUUUCUUAAUCCAUAGUUGAUGGUAUCCUGACCUCAAGUCAAUUUUUAGAAAAGAUCGAACUUCCUUGCAGUUGGUCAAAUAGAUCAUCAAUUCUAGGUAAUGAGUACUUACUCUUAACAAUUACAUGAUUCAAUUGCCUAUUAUCAAUGCACAAAUGCAUCGACUCGUCCUUUUUCACAAACAAAAGUUCUACAAGCUUAACCAUACUUUCACUGCGCCACUCUGAUAGAAUUAUCCUAGAAACACUAUCUUCCUAGUUCAGUUCGUAGUUCGGUUUAUUCCUGCCCCCUUUUGCCAUCCCAGAAGUCUGCUAGGAGCUGCUCCUUGUUUAGGUCCUCUGACCUCGGUGUCCACUCCCCGCCCUCAAUGGACUGGGUCGUUACAGGUACACUAGCUUUCGCCUGGUUCGAACCCAAACUACACAUCCAUUGGAGGGUCUCGUUUCGAUAGGAACUAACUUACAUAGAUAUUAUUCGCUUUGGCCUAUCCCAUCUUAGCCUCAUAGUUUUAUCCUUAGAGCACGAGUAAGUACUACCUCAGGAGAUAAUUCAUCCUAGUCCAUUGCUUACGGAGUUAGUCCAUUCCUACGAUGAGGUCAAAGUUAUACAUAACUAUCACUAUCAAGUCCAUUUCUAGAUCUCAUUCCCCUAGGGUUAUCUCACACAUCUCACAUGCUAACCUAGAUAACAACAUGUCUUUCAGUGAUGUAGAAAUACGAAGAGGCAUAUCUAAAGAUUUGUUCCUAUUUUUCACAAUCAUCUAUAUUUUUCGAACACAAAUGAAUGUGUGCCACUCAUAUCAAAUAACGCAUAUACCUUCUUAUCCCUCUAUCAAAAUCGUACCUGAGAUAACAUUUUCGGAAGCUUCCGCUUCCUCUUGAGUGACCGCAUACACCAUUCCUUAUGCUGGUGGCCUCUGUGGAUUCCUUGGUAGGUUUGGUCCACCUGUACUUUGUUGUACUUGUCGCACCGAGCCAACACUCAGCUGCGACCUCUCUUGUGCACAAUCUCUAUUAAAGUGACCUCUUUGCCCACAGUCAAAACAUUUCAAUCGAUCAUUACAGGAUCCUGGUCCAAGCAGUUCAUUGGUUUUUGAAAAUAGAACCAAUUUUCGGGUAAAACAGAAUGCACCUCUUUAGUAAAAAUUCUUGGAAAAUUUGUAAAAAAUCUCAAUAAAUUCUGAAAAUUUAAAAUGAGGUAAACAAGAUCCAUAUGAAGAUAUUUCAUGAAAAACACUAUGUCAAGAAAGUUCCACAUCAAUCACAUAGAUCUACAAAUCACAGCAAAAGAAAUUCCAGCACCCCUUUUUGCACAGUUUCGGAAAUAAUUUCGAUUAAACCCUUAAAUGAACUUCGAAAAUUCUGAGAUUUUGAUAUGUUAUAUAUGAGAUCUAGGGGUAAAAUUAUAAUGAAUAAAUUGAAGUCUGGUUCCUUUUGGAUUAAUAGUUAUAAUUUUUUAUAACUCUCCCUAACUCUCGGUUCACUGUCCAGAUUCACCAUCUUCAAAGAAAAUCAUUUUCCCAAUCAAUGCUUGUCUUUUUAUUCUCAAAUUUUAGUAUGUUAUUACUCAAGAUGUUGGCUACAAGUUUCAUCAAGUUUCAUCAAGGACACAAGAUCAAAUUUCAGCCAGAUAAUUUUAUAAAAUUCACAGAGUCGCACUAGAUCAGAAUAACUGUUUCCAGAUCUACUUUCUUCAAAGAAAAUGAUUUCACCGACCUAUACUUGUUCAUUUCCUCUCAAAUUUUUAUAUUUUACUCUCCAAGAAAUCCUAACAACUUUCAUCAAGAAGUCGAAGUGAGAUUCCAACUAGAACAUCGCAUGCAACUCACAAAAUCACCGAAGAUCAACAUAACAGUUUCCAGGUCUAGUUUCUUCAAAGGAAAAUCAUUUCACCAACCAAUACUUAUCUGUUUGAUCCCAAUUUUUAGUAUGUUAAUAUUCAAGAAGUUCUCUACAACUUUCAUCAAUAAGUCGAAGUCAGAUUCCAACUAGAACAUUGCAUGCAAGUCACGAAAUCACCAAAGGUUGGACUGUUUUUCCAGAAAACAGAAUGUUAGGCUAGAACACAACUUCGAAAUUUCACAUUGUAUCCACAUCCGAGAUUCACCAUUCAUCACACACCAAACACAACAAGCGAAGGGUAGAUCAAUGGACUCUACUUGCCUCUAAUCCAAGCAAAACACAGCAAGCAAAUGAUGGCUCGAUGGCGGGGACGAACCUCCUCUUUCUUCCUCGCACGCUCGCUCUCCCUCUCUCGAUUUCACUCUCUCUCUCUCUGUCUCUGUCUCUGUCUCUGUCUCUCUCUCUCUCUCUCGGUAACCCUCUCUCUCAAUCCGCCCACUCUCCCUCUCUUUCUUUCCCCUUCAUCAUUGCAAUCAUUAGGCUUGCAUGGCUAAUGCCACUUAGCUCUAGGGGAAAGACACUUGGCAAGCUUCUCUUGCCACUUGGGGAUUUACAUGCAAAGAGAUGGGCCUCAUUUGGCUGGGCUUGGGCCAGCUUGGUCGACUACUUCAUGGGCUCCCUGGGUCGGCUCUGGCCACUUGGUCACUUUUGGGUCUAAGUCCACUUUUAAAUGGCCCAAAAUAUUACUAAAUAAGCCCAUAAUUGCUCUUACAAUUUACUUAAUCCCCACUUAAUUUCAUAAUCUAAUACUCACAUGGCCAUAAAAUUUUGUAACAUAGAUCAAUAAAAAUCUAACUUAUAAAGUACAUGGCCGAAGAAUAAAAAAUUUCUAUCAAUUUAUCCCUUUAAUACAAAUCCUUAAUCACUCAUGGACAUAGGAUAUAUUUCCAACCAAAUAAUUGUCCAUUAAAAUGCUCGGCCUUAAUCUAUUACAAAUUUUUCGGUCUAGUGGCCACAACAUACUUCAACGACACAACCAUUCACUUUUCCAUUGGUCGUAAUGCCUAUAGAAAUUGCCAUGAAAUUUUGGGAUGCCACACCUAAGGCUAGUAAGGGCAAUCCUCAUUAAUCAUAACCUAUGGCCAAUCACCGGCCAUCACCAAGGCUUGGCAAAGGAAGAAAACGAAAAAAAAAAUGAAAAGACAAGAAAACUAAAAAUAAUAAAUUUUAAAGAUUCAAAAAUAUUAAAAUACUAUUUUAAAAAAAAAAAAAGGUCUGCUGGCAUUCACUUUAACGAUUUCUAGUCAAAAUAGGCUAGAUGGACUCAAUUAGUAAAACUUGAAAAAAAUUUGGGAUUCAAUUGAUACAAUUAAAAAGUUUAUGACUGAAUUAGCAAAAGUACAACAUAUUAUGAUUUUUUUGAUAAUUUUCUCCAAAUAUCUUUGGGCAAUUACAAGUUUUUAUGUCAGCAUUUGGGUCUUGUUUAAAUUGUAUGACUUAAGCAUGUAGCCGGUAGCUCACUUACCUUUUAAGCCAACAAUAAAACUUUACUUGUCAAAAAAAAAAAAAAACAAAUUGCCCUAAAGUUGGUUCUACACAAGAGUCCACAAAAUGGAUGAUUGUGAUGAACUCGAUCCACUAGACACCAAUCCAUAUAAUAUAAUCUCAAAUCAAAGACCAUGAACAAUACUAGUUCCUUGAAUAGGUCGAAGCUUGAUAGGGAUUGAUUUUGAUCCAUCAAAAUUGGAAUCCUGUUAAUGGAUUCAAACAUGACGUUGAACCCAAUAACCCGAUUGCUAGUGCAUUGCCAGCUUCCAGUAGCACAUCGGUGGAAUCUACGGAAGAUAGUGAAACUCCAAUUUGACUCUUAAGUACAUAAGUGAGAUGCUCAAGGAGAGGGAGUUGGAGGAGAAAAACUAAAUGUUUGCUGGAUUGGCUGACCACCCUCUGGGCCAAAGGAAAAAAAAAUAGUGUGAUGUCCUCUACUAGAAGGGUACCCUUCCGACCACCCAAAAAAAAAAAAAAUACUUGCCAACCAGCAAAAAUUUGGCCAACCAGCGAACUCAGGUCUUCAUUUGAGAUUAAUUUAGCCACUUUAGACCCUUAUUUAAAAUAAUGUCCAUCUUAGGCAAUCUUUUGAAAAAAAUAACACCACUUUAGACGCUCAUUCAAAAAAAUUUCUUACUUUGCCAAAAAUUAGUCAUCUGAAGUGCAUGAUGGUAAAUGUAUACAAAUUGUUGAAUCUCUUUGUAUGUUACUAAGGUAAGAUUUUGCUAUAGUGCCAAACAUCCAAACAGGUUGAUAAUUUACUAUUUAUAUUUUCAUCGUUAAAUUCCUUCAAUAGAUGGCAAUUUUUCGCCCACUUGUAAAUUUAGCAAUUUAAUAAAAGCUUGCUGUGUAAUGUACGGGUAUUUUUCACUAAACCAUCCGACUUCGUUGGGCUUGAAUAAGACUCAUUUGAUUUCAUUUGUGUAAUGCUUGCGGAGAUUACUUUCGUUGGUGGUGUUUUUUUUUUUAUUGCUCUAAUUUCUAACACAUGAUAGUAAGGCCGAGUAUCGGUAUAGGGUCAACCCUAGACUAAUCUCGGACUGGCCCAACCCAGCCAAUACUGGGUCUGUGUCCUUAGUCCCAGAACUCAAAUUUCUUGAAAAAAUUUCAAAUAAGAGUCCAAGGUUCUAUCAAUUUCUUAAAAAAAGAUUUAAAGUGUAUCUUUUUGUUUUUUUUUUUUCAAAAAAAGACCUAAAGUUGCCAUAGGAGUUUCAAAUAAAGGUCUACCUCACUGACUGGUUAAGUAUUCUGGUCGAAAAGGACAUUUUUGUCCAAAGACAAUUUUAAACCAAAUUUUAAUUAAAUUAUUUUAAAAAUUAAUCUAAAAGCUUUUCAAAAAAAAAAAUACAUGCAGUGUGGGCCCUCACCUUUGGUCGACAAGGGUUGCGGCUCUCAUCGAGGUACUUGCAACCUCGAUGCCCUCCUUCAUCCUUUGGAAGGUAAACUUCAUCCCAAGCUACCUUAGCACCACCCACCCCUGCCCAGGUUCGGACCUUUCCACAAUAAUUGUCUAAGGAUUUUCUCUAUCUGGUCCACUAUAACUAUAGGCAAAACAAAUACACUAGCCCAAUAGGCUUGUAUAGUGUGAAGAACUAACCUAAUAAGCUGAAGCCAUCCAGCAAGAGAGAGGAAUCGAAGAGUCCAAGACUGAACCCUUGCAGUGAUAUGGUUGACAAGGGCACAAGAGAGAGGAAUUGGUGAGUCCAAGAUUGAUGAUUGAAUUAUUAAUAUAGUAAUUUUGGAAAAUUGACAUGCCAUCUUACUAAAGCAAAAGUGAGUGCAUAAUUAACAUGAAGUAGUCCUCUUUGGGUGCUUUUGCCGUUGUUUUGGCGUUGCCCUCGUUCUUUUACCUUGACACCCUUCCACUCGCUUUGACUUUUGUCUUCGUGAGUGUAAGUUUUUGGUGCCGAGUUCUUGCUGUAUAGCUUUAUAUAGCUCUUUGGUUAAAGUCAAUAUAAUCUUACCUUUUACCAAAAAAAAAAAAAGUUGAUAAAGCGAUCUAUAAAAUUCAAGAUAGAACAAGACAUCAUAAUUUUGAUAGGAAUUUUCGAUCUUUGGUAGCUGGAGAUUACAUUGAGUACUAAACUUAAGUAAUAAGAUUCGGUUGCAUAAUUCGCAUAAGUUGUCGGACCAAUAUUGAAAUUAUUAUAACUAAGAAUCUAAUUUUACCUAAUUCGAUGAAAUGGAUGUACGAGAAUCAACAUGACCAGCACGUUUACUCCAUUUCGUAGCCAAAAGAUUUUUUUUUUCCUUUUUAUAAUGUGGACGGCAUAUAUUUCUUUUUCUUUAUUGUUUUGGGUUGGUUUCUCGUGAAGUGAAGAGGAUAAGAGUGGAUAUUUAUAUCCUGUUUUCCACGCAAUAAUCGCAUAGGUGCAGGGUGAGCAAUAGCUGAAAGCUUGGCCAAUGGAGUACUGCCCUACUUCGCCCUUUUGGCUCGGCCUCCUCCUCUCGGCACUUCUAUUUUUCCUUCUCAACCGUUGGAAGUGCACCAAGCUUCCCCCUCAGCCCCAUUUACAUUUAUUGGCUCAUUUCAUCUUGUGGACUUUAAUGUCAAAAUGUUGACGAAGGAUAUUUUUGCGACUUAUUCGCCAUACAAGAGAUUGUACACUUUGCACAGUAUUCUCCAUUAUGCUCCCACUCAGAUUAGAUAAUAAUGAUAUCGUCUCAUCAUAUAGUUGUAAUUGAGAGUGAGUCGAAUAUAAUUUCUCACUUCUCAUGUUACUCCUAUUUGGACGAACUCUACUAAGUCCAUUAUCUUGAUCUAAUGUUUCUAAUAUGGAGUAAUUCUCACAUAUUUCACCCUUCUUAAGAAAUUCAUUAUUUAAAAAUGUGACAUUCCGUGAUUCAAAUUUAGCUAUACUCUCACUUUUCUGCCCACUUAUAAACACAUACCCUUUCGAGUGUUUUGAGUAUCUUAUGAAAAUACUCUUCUUACCUCCGGGUUCAUGAGUAUAGGCAGUACAAUAUCACAGUUUAAAAAAACUUAAAUUCAAUUUUCUACCUGUCUAUAACUCAUAUGAAGUUAAAGUAACUAGUUUGAAAAGUAUAUGGUUAAGUAUAUAGGCAGCAAUUAAUAAAGCAUUACCCCCAAAAAGUGAUAGGUAAGUUAGCAUGUGCCACCAUGGAUAUAAAUUUUUUAAUAGGGUUCCGUUUCUCCUUUCCGCAACACCAUUUUGUUGAGAAGUAUAGGAAAUGAAAAACUAUCUUUCUAUUCAUUUUUUAUCACAUAAAUUUAUGAACUCAUCAGAUAAAUAUUCAACCUCAAUCGGAUUUCAAUACUCAUGUUUUCUUAUCUAAUUGAUCUUUUACUAAGCUCAUAAAUUUUUUGAAAUAACUCAAUGCUUCAGAUUUAUGAGAAAUCAAAUAGACAUUUCUUAAUUAAGUAUAGUUAUCUAUAAAUAUGAUAAAAUAAAUAGCAAUGUGCAUUCCUCUCACAUUUAUUAGACUAAAAUUGUUAGAAUGAAUUAAUUGCAAAGGAAAUUCAGCUAUUUUACAUUUUCCAAAUUGUUUUCUUAUCAUUUUCUCUACUAGGUAAUGCUAACGUAUAGGCAAAUCAACUUUUUCAAUGUUGCCCAAUAAGCCCUCUUUGGCUAGCCUAUUCAUAUGUUGUUGGCCAAUAUGAUCAAGUUUAGCAUGCCACAUAUUCACAUAAUUAUCAUAUGAAUUAAAAGACGUGAAGAGGGAAUAACAUUAAUAUUACUAUAGUCAACAUUUAAUACAAUAAAAUCAUUUAGAAAAUAGCCAUAACCAUAGAAGCUUGUAUUUAAAUACAAAUCCAUACCAUUAUUUUGGAAGUUCAAACUAAAAUCAAAUUUUACAAAUACUAAAACAGACACUAAAUUCUGACGAAUUUCGGAAUAUAUAAUAUACAUCAUGUUGGAAUAAGGUGUGUUCACCACACAUGUUUAAUUGACAGGUGCCAAUCUCUUUUAUUUAGCUCUAAAGUUGUUUCUUAUAUAGAUCCAUUUAGUUCUAGUUAGUGCUUGUCGGAAUUCUACGAAGAAUUCUCUAUCCUUUGCUACAUGGUUCGUUGCUCCCGAAUCUAUAGUUCACAAAGGAUUAUGUUCAAUUAAGAAUAUUGAAUUUGAUACAUAAGCAAAGUUCUUAAGAAUGCAAGGGGUGUUGUUCUUCUUUGGCUCACAACAGUUGCGAGCAUGGUGAUCGUUCUUAUCACAAUUAUAACACUUCGCCCUUGACAACUUAUUCAUUCGAGGAUGCUUUCCUCUUUCAUAUUGGUUAACUUUUGAUUUAUUUCCCGAAGAACUUGCUUCAUUGCCUUUCUACCUUUUGAAUGAAUCAAGAUGUUUGUGCUUGGAGCUUGAAACCUCUUGUGAGCUAGAAUUGGCAUAAUAAAUGUCAGUUUACGGUUUAGCUGCCAGGAGGCAGUCCUCUUUUAGCUCAAGAUGACGCAUUGCAUCCUCAAAGGUUUUAAUAUUCUCAUUGUGUAUCAAGUGCACUUUCAUAUGCUCCCAACUUGGAGGUAGGGAAUAUAUCACUGCUUGCACUUGCUACUUGUCAGUCAAGACAUAGCCAGCAUCUUUCGACUUAUUAAUCAUGUUUAACAUCUUUUUCAGGUGUUGUUUCAUGUAGAGGUGUGCAACCGGAUCGGGUCAACUCGGUUCCCGGUUCGGCCCACCCGGAAAACAGGGUCGGGAAUUGGUUCCGGUUGAAACCGGUCCGGGAACCGGUUCCCAAAGUUCAUACCUUGUUUGAACCGGUCCGAGAACUGGUUCCGAGGGAAUACCCACUUGGGAACCGGAUCAAUCGGACCAGUUUGGGAACCGGUUUGAGAAUCGAUUUUUGGGCCCCAAAACAAAACCCUAGCCGUUUCUAAAUUUCUAUCUUUACUCUCAGUCUCUCAUGUAGCACGCUCGUCGCUCUCAGCGUCUCAUGAUCUCACCUCCGCCAAUCCAUCUGAGCAGAAGCAGCAUUGCCUUCCUCCAGAUCAGCGCCCCCAUCUUGGUCCCAGCCAUCCUCGCCACCCCGGUGCCGUCGGCCUCGCUGCUCGAGAAGGCUGGGUGCAAGACAUUCGCGGGCCUCCUUGUCUUGACACCAAGGUCGACUCCUCAUGGGUGGCCAACAUGGUGCUCAAGUCCACCCCCGUCGCGAUCUUCACCAUUGACAGUGUCCUCCUCCCCUCUGAGCUGUUCGGCAAGUCCCUGUCCCCCGCGUCAGCGCCGUUGCUGGUAAGCACGAUUUUUACUAUUCGUCUUGAGCUACUGGCUAAUUAGUUCUACUUACCCCCACGCCGGCACCGUCGAUGUUUGCUCUUUUGAUUCGUUCUUGUAUUGCAAGUCUGGUGUUUUUUUUCUCCGUGGGACAAAUCUUGAGAAUUGGUCAGGAGUUGAGCGAACGAGCGAACGAGCGAACGAGCAUUUUAGGUUAUUGUGAAUCACAAUAGUUUGUUUCAUCCUAAUAGUUUGUUUCAAUGCUGUCUAGCAGCUGAUCAAUGACAAAAAUGCACACACACAUGCUCAAAGCGAGAUAUGUAUGGUUAUUACACUUGCUGCAUUUCACUAGGUGUGGUGAUAUAAGAUAGUCAAUAUACCCCAUAGGAUCAAGUAUGUGGUCAAGGGCAUACUUAUACGUGUGAAUUUGGCACGUCGUACAAGUUUGAUUCCCACACCACUGAGUACAAACAUUUUCAGGGGUUUGCCUACCUAAGGUCCUAAGGUUGGUGCCUCAAUCCUAGUUAUAAAAAAAUAUAAGAGUGAUUACCUAGGAGGAGCGGGAAGAAGCUAGCACAAACUUUUACAAAUCAGAAUAUCUGUUUGAGAAUCCAUGUUGUUUCAGUGAAAUAGGAUAGUUUUAGUUCAUUGGAGCCUGUCUUCCUAUCCUCUGGACAUAAUUAUUGUUUUAGCUUUGUGACAGAUGUGUUAAUUCCGCAGAUUUUCUGUCAUUCAUGAAUUUCUGCAGUGUAAUUCUUGUCACGGUUUGGUUGCAGGAUGAGAUGUUAAGACAGAGAUUCAUGGUUUACUAGCAAGAUGUGAAAUGUGCACGUUCAGAAAUUUUUUGCAAAACAAGUUCCAAUAUAAACAGGGUUAACCUUGUUCUUGUUCUUGCUGCUGUUUCUGUUGCUGUUGACAUCAAGUCAAGGAGGGCAAGUGGGUUGUGGUUGGCUUUGUUAGCCUGAUUUAUCGUUAAUUGUUUUGCUGAGAUUGAGGUUAUUAGAAGAGAAAUCAGUGUUAUGUUGCCUAGCAUUGGUGUUUUAUAUCCUAGAAAAUUUGACUUCAAAGAUUGUUCUUUGUUUGGAUACUUCAUUUUAUCCGCAUAUCGGAGUGUUCAUUGUCCUUUGGAUUGGAGUUGUUCUAAGCAUCCGAUUCAAUCUUGCCACUGAAAUAGGACCCUGAAAAGAACUCUUUCAAUUAGAUGUUCUUUGGAGAAAUAGAUUAGCAAAGAUUGAUUGGUAGUCAGAGAACAUGGGUUAUUAAGCUCUAUGACUCAGAGUUUACUGGUUCGCUAAGUUUUCCCUCAGAGGUCAGGAUACAUUAGGCACCAUUUGUUUUAUUUGAUAUGUCGUGAUUUCGAUAGAUCUAUCCUUCACUAGCAAGGAUCCAUAUCAUUUUGGAGUAUACAUUGUCUAUCUCUAGAUUAGAGAUUGUUCUGAGCUUACAUUUGAUUCUUGCAAUCAAAUUAGAAUGCUGAAGAAACACCUUCAUGGUUUACUAGCAAGAUGUGAAAUGUGCACGUUCAGAAAAAUUUUGCAAAAUAGGUUCCAAUAUAAACAGGGUUAACCCUGUUCCCGGACAAGAAAAAUAGGGUGGGUUGGGAACAGAGUCCAAUGCAAACAGGGUAGGGAACAUGGUCCAAAAAAAGAGAACCGGUUAUAACAGGGUUGGGAACAGGGUCCAGGUCUAGACCCUACCCACCUUGGACCCGAUCACCUCUAGUUUCAUGGUCUGACUAUGAGACUUCUUAUAAGAGUCAAAUCUUAUAGUGAGUUAUCUUAGUUUGGUCACUGAUGUAUGACCAAAUAUUGCUACCAAUACUUCCCACAUUUCUUUGGCAUUCUCAAAACGCCUAAACUCUAGCAUGACAUCAUUUUCCAUGCUACUCAGCAAUGUAAUGCAAGUAAGGGAGUUCUUUUUUUGCCAUACAACAAAUGCAUCCUUAUCUCUUUUAUGUUGUGCAAUGUUCCCAUCUUCAGAUUCUUCCAUAAUCAGAUUAAGAGUUUCUAGUGCCUUUUGCUCUUCUAUAUUGGAUUUUCAUAUGUCAUAAUUCAUAAUUAUCGUCGUUUAGCUUCUUACAUUUGUUCAAUUCAGAUACUAUGCUCUUAGAUGUUGAAGCCAUUGGAUCUAAAUAUAUCAGACACAUAUACAUGAAUAAUCCUUUUUUUUUUGGUAAAGGUAAUAAUAGAAUAGAAAGAGGAAAAGCCAAUUAUACAAAAGACUAAAAACUUUCACUCAAAAAGCACACAAGCAAACUGAGUGAAAAGGAGCUGGUGUAAAAGAAAGAAGGAACAACCAAUACAAUCGACAACAACAAGAGCAAACGCCCCCAAGUUCGAAGGAAGCAAAAAGGGUACACAUCCAAAAGCAGCACGAGCGCAACAGGCGCAACAAGGUCCAGGCGAAGGACAAGAGCAAAACCCCAACACCAAUCGAGCUAGUGAAGAACAAACCCAGCAGCCUAUUAGAGCUUAGCUGGGCCAACAAUGAAGAUUGAAGGAUCAAAUCCCCACCCAUGUUGAAGCCUCCUAUUUCUCGGGUUGUCAGGCACCUUGCCAUUGGUUAGUACUUUGUCCCUGACAACUUUUAUGAGAUGAUUCUUCAAAGCCGCAACCUCAAGCACUUCGCCCUAGAAAAAUGAUGCUUUUCCUUUUCUUCCAGAUAAGAUGGCACAUGGCCCUAAAAGAGAAAUGGGCAAUAGAGUGGAAGAAGUCCUUACCAGGUAAAUAUUUCAGAGCCCAAAGGAGAAUCUUUGCCCAUGACCUAUUAUGCCAGGGAAGAUUACAUCUCCCCGCCCAAAAGAAAGCAAGCAUCACGGGAACAUGACACUCGAAGAAGAGAUGGUCAAUCGAAUCAGGAAAAUAAUUGUAGAAGGCACACACUUCAUAAUCAAUUCGUCCAUGAGAAAUGAGUAAAGCCUGAGUAGGAAGGCAGUUCUUGGUAAUAAGCCAAAGGUUGAACUGGUAUAUGGGAGCAAUGGCAUUAUUCCAAAUAAAGUGAGCCCAAGGGACACGGUUCUUUCUAGGUCUUAAUGCCUCCCAGGCUGAGGCCACUGAAAAGGAAUUGGAAGAGGACUCACGCCAAGAGAAGCUGUCAGUAGAAUCAGCCAGGAUUGGCAAGGAGAAGCCCCAACACUCCAAUAGAUAUAUGAACGCACAGUUUGCCGGUGCAAGGAGGUCUGCCACUAUUGCUUUCCUAGAAAGGCCUGAACUAAGAAUAGGAGAGUCUGGGAUAAUGAGGCUCCAAGGGCCUUGCUGGUGCCCAUUGUUGUGCCAUAGAGAGACUGAACGACCAUUGCCUACUCUCCAACAGAAGGAUAACCUGAAAUUUCUUCUACGGUGAAGGAUUUUCUUCCAAGCCCAAGAGCAUACUGUUGGGAUAGUCGUGACCCAAAAAUUCUCUCUUUUAAAGAAAUUUGAAUGGAUCCACCGACAUCAAAGGGACUCUUUAUCUGUGAACAAGAUCCAUAUAUACUUAAGCAUAUACGCUUUAUUGCGGUCCUUCAACCUUCGAAUACCCAGACCAUCUUCCACCUUGGGAACACAGACAUCCUCCCAAGAAACUUUAGCUUCGCCCUAUCCAAGGGUAGGACCCUUCCAAAGGAAUUGCUUUAAAAUACGCUCAAUACACUCUAUAACCGAGUAGGGAAGAGAAAAAACAGUAGCCCAAAAGGCUUGAAUGGAAUGUAGGACUGACCUAAUCAAUUGUAGCCUUCCAGCAAAGAAAGAAACCGCUGAGCCCACGACUAAACUCUAGCCGUGAUCUGAUCAACGAGAGUAGUACAAUCCGCUUUGCUAAGUCUUGAAGUAAUAAUGGGAAACCCCAAAUAACGCACUAGCAGCUUCCCUUCUUGAAAACCCAGUGUCAAGAGAAUAUUCCUUUGCAAAGAAGUGGAACCCCCUGUAAGAAAGACCUCGCUUUUGUUUUUGUUAGGCAACAUUCCGCUCCAUGAAGAGAAGAUACCAAGGCCUCUAUUGAGGAGAGUCAUUGAAGCCCAAUCUGUCUGGCUAAAAAGAAAGACAUCAUCGGCAAAAAAUAGAUGGGAUAGCUUCACAGACUUGCACCUCCAAAAAUACUUGAAGUCCUUAUGAGCUGUGUGAGAGCUCAAGAUCCCAGAGAAAAUCUCCAUAACCAGGGUAAAUAAGUAGGGGGACAUGGGAUCCCCUUGCCGAAGCCCACAACCACCUGAGAAGAAGCCAUGCAGCUCACCAUUGAUCGAGAUAGAAUAUUUAGGUGUACAGACACAAACCAUGAUGAGUCUGAUUAUCCACUCAGGGAAACCAAAAGCCGAAAGGGUAAGCUCAAGGAAAUCCCAAUCCAUAGUGUCAUAGGCUUUCUUGAAGUCCACCUUAAUAGCACACUUAGGUAGAUAAGGCUCAAGGUGGAAUCUUGCAAACAGCUCCUGGGCUAGAAGAAUAUUAUCCCUUAUCCUCCUACCUUUAACAAAGGCGUUCUGGAACGGACUAAUCAAAUCAUCUAACACAACAACUAAACGAUUAGCUAAAAUCAUAGUAAUAACUUUGUAAAUUGUGUUACAGCAAGCUAUGGGUCUGAAAUCAGAAACAGCACAAGCGUUGGGAACCUUAGGCACCAUGGCUAAUAUCGUGUUAUUCACCUCUCUUAGCAACCAGCCCGAAGAGAAAAAUCCUUUACUGCCUCUAAAACUAGAGGCCCUACUACGUCCCAAUUAUUCUUAAAGAAUUCAACAAUAAAUGCAUCUGGUCCAGGGGCUUUACCACAGGCCAAGGAGAAUAGAGUAUCCCGAAUCUUAGAGUCAAAGACUGGACGAGAAAGAAAGCCAACUUGAUCAACCGAGAGAGGCGGCCGAACGAACUCCUUCAACUCCUACAAAGAAGGCUUCGAGAGGGCUGUCUGCAGAGUCAAAAGGUCACUAAAAAAGGAGACAAAUAUAGGUGGAACCAAUUCAGGGUUCAUAAUCAAGGAGCCUAAAGGAUCCUUAAUCGAAAGAAUCCUAUUCCUGAGUUGUCUUCUAGUGACCAAUUGAUGAAAAAACUUGGUGUUCCUGUCACCUUCCUGAAGCCACCUGAUUCUUGAUUUCUGUCGGUAAAAAGACUGCUCCUGAGAAUGCAACUCAACAAACACCCGACGUUGAGAUUUCUCCAAAUCCGCAAGGGCAGAACUGCCUGGGUCUUGCUGAAGACCAACCUGGGUGAUACGAAGAGCAUUCCUCACGUCAGUAGUUCUCACAAAAAUGUCAGAGAAGGCCACUCUAUUAAGUUGCUUUAGACGCCCUUUCAAAAGCUUUAACUUGCGAACAAGUUUGUACAUAGGAACACCUUCCACCAGACUCUCCCAGACUUGCUGAACAAUAGAGGAAAAGGACAGGUGUUUCAUCCAUAGAUCAAAAAAUUUGAAAGGCUUCUUCUUAAAAAUCGGGUUAAGAACCCUGACAACCAUGGGCGAAUGAUAAGAUAUACCCAGGUUUAGAAAGUUAGCUUCAGAAUAAGAAAAUACAGUAUUCCACUUGGCAUUCACCAACACCCUGUCAAUCUUUCUCAUCUUCCUGGCAGCACCAGAAGAAGUAAACCACGUAAAUCGAAGGCCCACAUACCUCAAAUCCUCCAAAUCAGUUUGUGCUAAACAUUGACUGAAAUCAUCAAAACAAGGUAUCCAAGUAGUGGUACUCCCAACUCGGUCGGACGGAUCUUUUAAGGCAUUAAAAUCACCAGCAACCAACUAGGCGAAGUCCUGCACAAAGCUGUUCAUCCGUAUAAGGUCAUCCCAAAGAGGCUGACAACGGGUAUAGGAAUGCUCUCCAUACACCACUGAAAUAUAAGAAGACAUCCUAGACAGAAGAAGCUCCAAGUGGCCAUGGAUAGCCUGAUCAUUAACAGAAGAGACUUCAAAGAGAACCAACUCCGGGUUCCAACCGACCCAGAUUCUACCUCGAGGGGAAUAGUCAUAAUUUGCAAUCCAGUUCCAUCCCAUCAAAAAAGUUAAGGAGAUAGAGUGAAAAAGAGACUCAGGAGCCCUAGUCUCAAGCAGCCCAACAAAACAUAAAUUGUUCGAUGACACAAACUUCUUCACUUUAGCACGCCUAAUGGGGUUAACCAAACCCCUUAUAUUCCAAAAACCUAUACACAUUGUUGAAAGGUAAGAAGAUUACCUCUUCUUGGUGGUCCUACACCGACCAAAGGCUGGAGUAGGUAGAGCCGACGGGGAAGGGUCAGGAUGCAACUUGAGAAGUUUGUCUUGCAUGGAUUCAUUAUUCCCAAGAGUUGGAGGCGCUCUCGAAGAAGGCAUAGAGAGCAAAUCGUCAUCCGAAUAUCCAUCUAUGUCUUCGCCCGAACUAGGAGGAACCAAAGAAGGUUCAACAAGAAUAACUCCUAUGGAAGACCGCCCUUCUUGAGCUUGCGUCUUCGUGCCAGGAUUCGGAGCCUUCGUUGGAACAGGCUCUUUCAGCUUCAAAGAUUGACUUUUAUCUCCAGAGGGAACAUCGUCUUUAAUCUUCAAAGAUAUCCCACCACCUGCGGAAGAAGAAAGCCUAAACGAGGCAUCAACCUUACCUAGUGGAGGCUUAUUCUUUUUACUUUUAACUUGCUUCUAAGUCGUUUUAGUCCCUUGCGAAGGAAUAACCACAGGGGCAGCAAGCUUCUCCGAAUUCUGGACCGAAUCAUCACCAGAAGCAGAGCAAAUAACGCUUUGAUGAAUAAUUUGAAAUAAGGUUUCAGAAUUAAAAGGUCACUAUGUUUCCAAUUAUCAUCCAAAAAUUCUAACUUGAAAUUCUCAUUAAUAUAGUCUUCUAUACAAAAUAAGUUCUUUGAAACUACAGAAUCUUCUAUGAACUACCUCAAACAAUUAAUGAUAACAGAAGCAAUUGACAUUGAAUAUCCAUUAAUGAUGAAUAAAAAUAUUUCCACAUAAUAUAACCAAUACAUCAAUUGCUACAACGACAUCAAUAUGGUAGAAAUUAUCUACAUAAGAUAUUCAUAAAACAUACUAAAUAAAUGCUACUAGAAACAACUAACACUAAGUCAACCUAUGAAUAGGGAAAUAUUCUUUUAAUUUCUUGGAAAUUUCCUUCGUAAAUUCUUUAGGCACAUUUGGCAACCACGGAAAAACAGAUGAAAAUCCCUUAGGAUUUCUCCUUCACAUAUUCAUUCCCCCAUGGAUUGAACUCAUUCAUUGGGUUGAAGUCUUUGUGGCUUCAAUCUUAUAAUAUUCCUUUUUAAAAAGCCACUAUAAGUUUCUUAUAAUCAGGAACCACAUUGACCUCCCAUAGGCGAUUGAACACUCAUUGCCAUUCAGAUGGAAGAAUGUCAAUGAAGAAUCGCACCAUCUUAAAAGCUGGCAUAGGGUAACCCUUGCAAAUGACUUCUUGUAUCUUCUUAUUGACCUUGUAAACAUGAUCAAAUAAAUCACCAUUUUCCCAUCAAUAAUCAGCCAACUUAACUAUCAUCCUUACAAGCCUUGUCCUUUGUCUUUUUGACUGUGCACGAAUAGGUGUACGCAUACGAAGGGGAGGCAUUGUUCUUGCAACGAAUGCAGAACAAAAAAUGAUUACUUAUAAUCCAUAGGGACAUAAUUGAAAAAGAAACAUAUUCUUCAUUUUUUUUGUCAACGGUCAACAAUCAACAGUCAACGCGGUUAACAAAGUCAAUGGUCAACGGAGAUCGGGUCGGCUCAGACGGGUCAAACAUGGGUCGGGUCAAACUGACUAACUUGACUAGGUGACGUCAUCAUGACUCACCAACACGUGCCAUGUGCAUGCAUGGGCAACUGCCAACUAACGUCACCAUGACGUUAGCUGGCACGUGUGGUGCCGCAAGUGCCCUAGAAACCAUUGAUGCACACGCCGACAAGGCCUUUUCUUCUAGUCGCACGUGGUGGCAUGUCUAACGGCAUCGAUGGCGGGCAACUUGUGACAUCCAGAUUUUUGUUGACCCUCGAAUACGUGACGGUCCGUGACAGAUCGACAGAAUUAUCGUUGGACUAUGUCAUUGGUACCAUUUGUGGACACUGUUUUGUUAUUAUCGUUGGACCAAUACGUUAUGUUUAGUAAUGGUCUGAUCAUAGAAUAAAUUAUAGUCCCGUCGAAAAUCUUUCUUACGUUCUAGCAAGACCGAGGCUCAUUCCAAAUAAUAUGUCGACAAGUUACCUAUCAUUCGAACUUUAGCCGUCUCCAUUGAGUAUGUACCCUAGGCGAUGAAGCCGAGAGACACCAUUUCACGCCCAUGCAGCCACGUCCAUCUACUUUCUUCCAUUAAGACAAAAAACUAUGGAUUCCAUGGCCAUGCAUGAGGACCAUGCACGUCUCUCCAUUGUGCGGAUCAAUAAACAAAUAGGAAAUUGACCCAUGCAGCCCAUGCUGCUCGAAGACCCUAUUUCCCCGGCCAUGCAUUCACGUCACACAUCUUCCAUGCACGUUCGUGGAGAUUCCAUGCAGCUGGUCAACUAUGGGUGAUGAUUGUUGACCAAGAGCCACGUAGCUCGUCCUUCGGUGGACAGCAAAAAGGGAGAAUGUGGCUUUGCUGAGGAUACAUCCCUUGCAUGAGGAAGUAAGGUGGCUGCAGCAAAAAGAGACCCUUACGCAUGGACACGGUAGGUGCAGCUGUCCGUUCUUUCCGCGGCCAUCGAGAAUUUACCUUUGUUGACCCAUAAAGUCAACCAACGAAGGAACAAAAUGGCUCGGAAAUGAGAGCAAGAGAGAGAAAAAAACCGGGCGAAAUAAGGCAGAGAGAGAGAGUAGCGAGUGAGAGAGAAAGCAGCGAGCGUGAGUGAGAGGAAAAGAAGGAGGUCACCCCCUCCGCCCGUGCACACGCGCUGCCGACGCCACUUGCUCGCACUUGCUGUUGCCGAGCUGUGUCUAUGACCGCGAGCUUCUCGAUUUCUCGCCGUCGACACCAUCGGAUUUAAGGCAAGUGAAAGUCUACUAGCCUAUGUAAUGCAAUGCUGUUGUUGUUUGAUGUAGUGCAGUUAAUUUUGGAAAUAUUUGAGUUUGUAUGUUGGAUAUUGAAUUUUUGAAUGAUUGAGGUAGAUUGGGAUUAGGGGAUUGAGGAAAUGCUCGGGUUUUCUUUGUGUGUUUUUGGUUCCUUUGAACCUCAAUCGAAAAUAGAUUUUGGUGGACUUUUGGAAAUAAGGUAGCCAAGGUGUGGGCGUGGGUUUCUACUGAAUCCAUACUGCCAAGAACAACUCGUGUGUAGCUCUGUAGCUUUGUAAAUUUCUACAGAGAUUUCUAGUACGAAUUUGGUCCCGACUUCUUCAUGGAAGUUGUGAGAAAUUGUUUAAACUAGGACAUAUAUUUUUGUCAGAUUUUUGGGAUCAAUAUAGUUGGCACAAACUUAUUUUAGUGUGCGGUGCUUUUCUACUAGAGUGUGAAUUUUGGUCAAUGGAAGAAAUAUGGGGCUAAGUUGUGUGAUUUACUGCUCUUUGUACUUGACUAAUGCGGCUUAGUGUCCUUCAUGAAAUUAUUUCCCUUAGGUCUUACUUAUAACAUACUAAAAAUUUAGAAUUUUCUGAGUUCAUUUAUUGGUUCUUUCAAAAUUAUUACUGAAACUAUACAUUUGAUUUCGGUUGCCUUUAUUCCGAGUUUGCUCAAAUUUAUCUCAAGGGUGAAGGAAUCUUGGUUUAUUACCUAGUAACGAUGGUUUUGGCAUUCAGUAAAUCAUUCAAUACUGAAAUUUCAAUAAAAAUUCAAGGGAUUUCAUAUGUCGAUGAUUUGAAAAUGUUUUGGUAUUGAAAUAAUUUGAUGUGUCAUUGCUACCGUUGGACCCUUGGGUCAAUGAUGCCCUGGGAGUCGGGCUGCCCAUAGGAUCGUAGGGGUCGAUGCCUUUGGAUGCUUGGAGACCGGUGAUCCCCAGAGGUUCCUUGGGAGUGUCGGGAUGCCCGAAUGUAUGACGAUACAUAUUUCGGAGGGUAGGGGCAACCAUUGCCGUGGUUAGUCCCGGAGAUUCCUCGUGAUGCUGGGUAAGGUGCGAGAUGCAAGAGGUGAGACAUGACAUGCUCUGGUUGCCCGGUGAUUGAAAAAUGGAACCAGAGGCUUUCGUGACGCCAGGUUGAGUGCGAAUGCCUAGAAGGACGCAAACACUGGUCCUCCAGGAGAAAAAUCUUUUGAGUUUUAAAACUGAAUGUGCUACUAAGUUGCGCCGAAUUAUGAGACAAAAUUGUGUGGCACAGAAUGAGACAUGUCAUGACAGUUUGGUCUUAUAAUCAGGACUCAUGUGAUUGAAAUGAUGUGUUCUGGUUUUGAAACUGCACUUGUUAUCACUUGGAAAAGUUCCAUUGAUUUGAUGCAUACUCAUUCCUUUGGUUAUGUGUUUUAUGAAUUUUGCAUGAAAUUAUAUUGUGAUGGUUCUGCAAGAUAUAGUUUAGUAGAUCUUUUGUUGUCGGGUGGUUGUAGGGACUAACAUUUUAGACUAGACAAGAUGCUUCUGCCACCCGCACCUCCCAGUACAUUCAAUGGAUUCCCGAUCGAAUUAUAGUUGGAGCGGUCGGAGUAUCAGGACCCUAAGGUGCGAGGACUGACGUUCGUACCGAUGAGAGUCAUUAUGGUGUUUAAUACCGGUCUUCCCAUUGGCCCUGUACUUCAAGAGUACAUCGUCGUAUUUGUCCGUCGGUAUAGACGAACGCUGGGGCCAUUGCCGUCGCCACUAGCAAAUGGACCAAGUGGCUAGGUGUGAUCAUGAGAUGNNNNNNNNNNNNNNNNNNNNNNNNNNNNNNNNNNNNNNNNNNNNNNNNNNNNNNNNNNNNNNNNNNNNNNNNNNNNNNNNNNNNNNNNNNNNNNNNNNNNNNNNNNNNNNNNNNNNNNNNNNNNNNNNNNNNNNNNNNNNNNNNNNNNNNNNNNNNNNNNNNNNNNNNNNNNNNNNNNNNNNNNNNNNNNNNNNNNNNNNNNNNNNNNNNNNNNNNNNNNNNNNNNNNNNNNNNNNNNNNNNNNNNNNNNNNNNNNNNNNNNNNNNNNNNNNNNNNNNNNNNNNNNNNNNNNNNNNNNNNNNNNNNNNNNNNNNNNNNNNNNNNNNNNNNNNNNNNNNNNNNNNNNNNNNNNNNNNNNNNNNNNNNNNNNNNNNNNNNNNNNNNNNNNNNNNNNNNNNNNNNNNNNNNNNNNNNNNNNNNNNNNNNNNNNNNNNNNNNNNNNNNNNNNNNNNNNNNNNNNNNNNNNNNNNNNNNNNNNNNNNNNNNNNNNNNNNNNNNNNNNNNNNNNNNNNNNNNNNNNNNNNNNNNNNNNNNNNNNNNNNNNNNNNNNNNNNNNNNNNNNNNNNNNNNNNNNNNNNNNNNNNNNNNNNNNNNNNNNNNNNNNNNNNNNNNNNNNNNNNNNNNNNNNNNNNNNNNNNNNNNNNNNNNNNNNNNNNNNNNNNNNNNNNNNNNNNNNNNNNNNNNNNNNNNNNNNNNNNNNNNNNNNNNNNNNNNNNNNNNNNNNNNNNNNNNNNNNNNNNNNNNNNNNNNNNNNNNNNNNNNNNNNNNNNNNNNNNNNNNNNNNNNNNNNNNNNNNNNNNNNNNNNNNNNNNNNNNNNNNNNNNNNNNNNNNNNNNNNNNNNNNNNNNNNNNNNNNNNNNNNNNNNNNNNNNNNNNNNNNNNNNNNNNNNNNNNNNNNNNNNNNNNNNNNNNNNNNNNNNNNNNNNNNNNNNNNNNNNNNNNNNNNNNNNNNNNNNNNNNNNNNNNNNNNNNNNNNNNNNNNNNNNNNNNNNNNNNNNNNNNNNNNNNNNNNNNNNNNNNNNNNNNNNNNNNNNNNNNNNNNNNNNNNNNNNNNNNNNNNNNNNNNNNNNNNNNNNNNNNNNNNNNNNNNNNNNNNNNNNNNNNNNNNNNNNNNNNNNNNNNNNNNNNNNNNNNNNNNNNNNNNNNNNNNNNNNNNNNNNNNNNNNNNNNNNNNNNNNNNNNNNNNNNNNNNNNNNNNNNNNNNNNNNNNNNNNNNNNNNNNNNNNNNNNNNNNNNNNNNNNNNNNNNNNNNNNNNNNNNNNNNNNNNNNNNNNNNNNNNNNNNNNNNNNNNNNNNNNNNNNNNNNNNNNNNNNNNNNNNNNNNNNNNNNNNNNNNNNNNNNNNNNNNNNNNNNNNNNNNNNNNNNNNNNNNNNNNNNNNNNNNNNNNNNNNNNNNNNNNNNNNNNNNNNNNNNNNNNNNNNNNNNNNNNNNNNNNNNNNNNNNNNNNNNNNNNNNNNNNNNNNNNNNNNNNNNNNNNNNNNNNNNNNNNNNNNNNNNNNNNNNNNNNNNNNNNNNNNNNNNNNNNNNNNNNNNNNNNNNNNNNNNNNNNNNNNNNNNNNNNNNNNNNNNNNNNNNNNNNNNNNNNNNNNNNNNNNNNNNNNNNNNNNNNNNNNNNNNNNNNNNNNNNNNNNNNNNNNNNNNNNNNNNNNNNNNNNNNNNNNNNNNNNNNNNNNNNNNNNNNNNNNNNNNNNNNNNNNNNNNNNNNNNNNNNNNNNNNNNNNNNNNNNNNNNNNNNNNNNNNNNNNNNNNNNNNNNNNNNNNNNNNNNNNNNNNNNNNNNNNNNNNNNNNNNNNNNNNNNNNNNNNNNNNNNNNNNNNNNNNNNNNNNNNNNNNNNNNNNNNNNNNNNNNNNNNNNNNNNNNNNNNNNNNNNNNNNNNNNNNNNNNNNNNNNNNNNNNNNNNNNNNNNNNNNNNNNNNNNNNNNNNNNNNNNNNNNNNNNNNNNNNNNNNNNNNNNNNNNNNNNNNNNNNNNNNNNNNNNNNNNNNNNNNNNNNNNNNNNNNNNNNNNNNNNNNNNNNNNNNNNNNNNNNNNNNNNNNNNNNNNNNNNNNNNNNNNNNNNNNNNNNNNNNNNNNNNNNNNNNNNNNNNNNNNNNNNNNNNNNNNNNNNNNNNNNNNNNNNNNNNNNNNNNNNNNNNNNNNNNNNNNNNNNNNNNNNNNNNNNNNNNNNNNNNNNNNNNNNNNNNNNNNNNNNNNNNNNNNNNNNNNNNNNNNNNNNNNNGACCAGCUAAAUUGUAGUUAACGCUUCCAACAUAGGUUGUACAAGGACCUAGGGAAAGGACGUGGCCCCAGAAACUCAUUGAUAUAUUAAAAUCCUUUUCUUUCAGAGUUUUUGACUCUCAGAUUCAGGGAAACUUUGUGAUAGGAGGCAACCCUAAGGCCUCGGGGGCCAUCGGGGGUGCCACAGAGCUAUGGGUCGCCACAUAUCACUAAUUUUCUCUCAACCUGAAAGUCUAACACUCUAAUACCAAAGGAUUUUGAUAAAUCCAUGAGUUCUUGGGGUCUAUAUCAUUUCCAUUGGUCCUUGCGCAAAAUAUGGCGGAAGCGUAUCCAACAUCUCCUUUUCCUAUAUUUAGAAAAUGAUGCACACCAACUAAACAUCUUUAUAGGUAAUAGCCGGACACUUUUAUUGACAUAUAACUAGAUGGACAAUUGUUAGUCAGUACAUCAAAAUGUCGUAGUUUUCAAUACUCGGCCAUACUUCAAAAGAUACCCGAUAUUUCCAAUAGUUACAAACAUAAAGUCCAUUGUUUAGUGUUGGUGUCCAAAAAUUUCUUCCUUUGCUGACCCCAUCUCACGAUCACACCCAGCCACUCGGUCCAUUUGUUCAUAGUGGCAGCAGUGGCCCCAGCGUUCGUCUAUACCGACGGAAAAAUACAGCGAUGUACUCUUGGAGUAUAGGGCCGGUGGGAAGACUAGUAUUGAAUAACAUAAUGACUCUCACCCAUACAAACAUCAGUCCUUGCACCUCAGGGUCCCAAUACUCCGACCGCUCUCACUGUAAUUCGAACGGGAAUCCAUAGAAUGUAACGGGAGGUGUGGGCAGUAGAGACAUCUUGUCUAGUCUAAAAUGUUAGUCCCAAAAGGGGUGAGUACAACCACCUAGUAGCGAAAGAUCUACUAAACUUUAUUGUGCAAAACCAUCACAAUCUAAUUUCAUGCAAAAUUGAUAAAACACAACCAAAGGAAUGAAUAUGCAUCAAAUCAAUGGAACUUUUCCAAGUGAUAACAAGUGCAGUUUCAAAACCAGAACACAUUAUUUCAAUCACAAAUGUCCCGAUUAUAAGACAAAACUGUUAUGACACGUUUCAUUCAGUGCCACACAAUUUUGUCUCAUAAUCUGGCACAACUCAACAGCACAUUUAGUUUUAAAACUCAAAAGUUUUUUCUCCCGGAGGACCAGUGUUUGCGACCUUCUAUCAUUUGCACCCAACCUUGUGUCACAAAAGCCUCUGAUUUCAUACUUCAGUCAUCGGGCAACCGAAGUGUGUCAUGUCUCACCUCCAGGCAUCUUGCACCUCACACAGCAUCACGGGAAAUCUCCGGGUCUAACCACGGCAAUGGUUGUCCCUACCCUCCAAAAUACGUAUCGUCAUACAUUCGGGCAUCCCGACACUCCCGGGGAACCUCUGGGGCUCACUGGUCCCUAGGCAUCCAGAGGCAUUGACCCCUAUGAUCCUAUGGGCAACUCGACUCCCGGGGCAUCGUUGACCUGAGGGUCCAACGGCAGCAAUGACACAUCAAAUUAUUUCAAUACCAAAACAUUUUCAAAUAAUCGACAUCUGAAAUCCCUUGAAUUUUUAUUGAAAUUUGAGUAUUGAAUGAUUUACUGAAUGCCAAAACCAUCAUUACUAGGUAAUAAACCAAGAUUACUUCACCCUUGAGAUAAAUUUGAGAAAACUCGGAAUAAAGGCAACCAAAAUCAAAAUGUAUAGUUUCAGUAAUAAUUUUGGAAGAACCAAUAAAUGAACUCAGAAAAUACUAAAUUUUUAGUAUGUUAUAAAUAAGACCUAAGGGAAAUAAUUUCAUGAAGGACACUAAGUCUAAUUAGUUAUGUACAGAGAGCAGUAAAUCACACAACUCAGCAGCAGAUUUCUUCCAUCGACUAGAAUUCACACUCCAGCAGAAAAGCACCGCACACUAAAAUAAGUUUGUGCCAACUAUAUUGAUCCCAAAAAUCUGACCAAAAUAUAUGUUCUAGUUUAAACAAUUUCUCACAACUUCCAUGAAGAAGUCGAGACCAAAUUCGUACUAGAAAUCUCUGUAGAAAUUGACAAAGCCACAGAGCUACACAUGAGUUGUUCUGGGCAGUAUGGAUUCAGUAUAAAUCCACGCCCACACCUUGGCUACCUUACUUCCAAAAGUCCACCAAAAUCUGUUUUCGAUUGAAGUUCAAAGGAAUCGAAAACACACAUAGAAAACCCGAGCAUUUCCUCAAUCCCCUAAUCCCAAUCUACCUCAAUCAUUCAAAAAUUUAGUAUCCAACAUCCAAACUCAAAUAUAUCCAAAUCUAACUGCACUACAUCAGACAACAACAGCAUUGCAUUAUAUAGGCUAGUAGACUUUCACUUGCCUUAGAUCCGACGGUGUUGACGGCAAGAAAUCGAGAAGCUCGCGGUCAUAGACACAGCUCGGCAACAGCAAGUGCGAGCGGGCGUUGUCGGCAAUGCGCGUGCACGAGCGGAGAGGGGGACUUCCUUCUUUUCCUCUCACUCACGCUCGCUGCUUUCUCUCUCACUCGCUGCUCUCUCUCUGCCUUAUUUCGCUCGGUUAUUCUCUCUCUUGCUCUCAUUUCCGAGCCAUUUUGUUCCUUCGUUGGUUGACUUUAUGGGUCAACAAAGGUAAAUUCUCGGUGGCUACGGAAAGAACGGACGGCUGCAUCUACCCGUGUCCAUGCGUAAGGGUCUCUUUUGACUUUGCUAUUGCCACCUUGCUUCCCCAUGCAAGGGAUGUCCUCAGCAAAGCCACAUUCUCCCUUUUUGCUGUCCACCGAAGGAAGAGCUACGUGGCUCUUGGUCAACAAUCAUCUCCCAUAAUUGACCAGCUGCAUGGAAUCUCCACGAACGCGCAUGGAAGAUGGGUGACGUGAAUGCAUGGUCGGGGAAAUAGGGUCUUCGAGCAGCAUGGGCUGUAUGGGUCAAUUUCCUAUUUGUUUAUUGGUCUGCACAAUGGAGAGACGUGCAUGGUCCUCAUGCAUGGCCAUGGAAUCCAUAGAUUUCAUGUCUUAAUGGAAGAAAGUAGAUGGACUCGGCUGCAUGGGCGUGAAAUGGAGUCUCUUGGCUCCUUCGCCGAGGGUACAUACUCAAUGGGGACGGCUAAAGUUUGAAUGAUAGGUAACUUGUCGACAUAUUAUUUGGAAUGAGCCUCAGUCUUGCUAGAACGUAAGAAAGAUUUUCGACGAGACUAUAAUUUAUUCUAUGAUCGGACCAUUACUAAACGUAACGUAUUGGUCCAACGAUGAAAAUGAAACGGUGUCCACAAAUGGUACAAAUGACAUAGUCCGACGAUACUUCCGUUGAUCUAUCACAGACUGUCACAUAUUCGAGGGUCAACAAAAAUCCGGAUGUCACAAUUCUCCCCUCCUUAGAAAAUUUCGUCCUCGAAAUUGGACAUUGCUCACGUAUCGUUAAAAAGAUGAGGGUACCUUUGCCGCAUUUCUUUAUUCACUUUCCCAUGUGGCAUCUUCCAUAUUAUGAUGUCGCCAUAAUAUCUUAACUAGUGAAAUUUUUUUUGUCCAAAGGACUUGUUCCUUUCGAGCCAGUACUCGAAUCAGCUCUUCCAAGUAUCUUACUUUCUCAUUCACUUUGAUGGCUUCAUGAUCGAUUAUGUGUCUAGGGUUAGGCUGAUACUUCCUCAACAUUGACACAUGGAACACAUCAUGUAAAUUUGCCAGCUUAGGAGGUAAUGCUAGCCGAUAAGCUACGUCUCCUAUUCUUUCAAGUAUCUCGAAGGGUCCAACAAAUCUAGGGCUCAACUUGCCCUUCCUCUCAAAUCGUGAUAUUCCUUUCAUCUGGGAUACUUUAAGAAAUACGUGAUCUCCUACGUUAAAUUCCAAGGGUCCUCUAUGAUAUAGCUAGUAUAAGUACCUAGAGGGGGUGAAUAGGUAUAUAAAAGAUUUUUCUUUGAUAAUUGCACAAUACUAGACAGUUGAUGGAUUUGAGACAAACAAUAAUCAAAGUAAGACUGAGAGAAGAGAAAAUUGAACACGCGGUUUAUAGUGGUUCGGCUUAUGUCAAGCCUACGUCCACUCUUCUGCACUGACAGCCUAUUGGCUGGAUUCCACUAUGAACAAAAGAGAAGUUACAGCACAUCUUUGCCUUGAUUCCACAGUGUAGAUGUUCUACCACACCUCCUCAAGAUUUCUCACAAAUAUAGACUCUCUUUUGUAUACAAGUAUUCGCUCAAAGGAAUUGUCUAAACAAAAAGGAGCUUCAGACUUUGGAAUUCUUCUAUCGCGCACACCUCGACAACUUAGAACGUCUUCCUUAUAUACUCUUUUAUGCCAUCAUACCCGUUGGCACUUACCAAAGGAAUUCCUCCAAUCUACCCGUUGGACAGAAUCAAUUAGGAAGAUUAUCCGAGCUAUUAAAGGAACGUGUCGAUAGCCCAUCAAUCCUGUUUGCCCAUACAAUCAGGAUCUCGGUUUCCAUAAGUAGAACCUUCCAAUAAUAUUUAGGCAAUCACCGGAUCUUCAAUUAUCGAGUCAAUCUUCGAUCAAUCAAAGGACUCCGUUAUGUCUUUUCCAGCCACGAGAUCUUCUCAAGUUGAUAAGGUUUAAUCCUUAACGAAACAUCCAGUUCUGGAUAACCUUUCUUCAACGGAUUAGAGACUGUCAAUGAGGAUAGACUUUGAGUCUUGAGUCUGGCUGUCCGGAGGUCUUCAGACUUUAAAUAGCAGAGUCUGCAAGCCUUCAGACUAGACUGAUGGAAACGUUUUGUCAGCUUCAAAACACUUCAAGAAGAUUUCUCCAACAAUCUCCCCCUUUUUGAUGGUGACAAAACUUUCCUGCAGAUUUGGAUAACUUUGACCUGCAAAACAUUUCUCAAACACAUAUGCAUAUCUUAUAGAGGUAAAUGGCUAAAUGAAUAACACUAGAAUCUACAACCACAGAAAAUAGGUUAGUCUAGUAUACGAUAAAGCCAUCCAUAAGAUAUCAAUACUAGUUAAUAGAAGCAGUCAAGUCCAAGUCUAGUUCAGUUCUCAUCCAGACACAAAGUCAAAUAGAGUUCAAACAACAAAACAAUCCAACAAACAGUCCAACAAACCACACGAUUAAAAGUUUAAUGAUUGAAAGUUUGUUCAAAUCUUGCAUCUCUCCUCCUUUUUGUCAGCAUUAAAAAGGAUGAGAUGAAGUCAAGAUUGCUUGGGAACGCGGACAAGCUGGAAAUCUUCCAUAGACUGAACGAUGCCUUCCAGCCUUUUCAAGUCUUCCUUCAGUUGUGCAAUCUCCUCACCCUUGGCAUUGGCCUGAAUCUAAACAGAGAGGGCUUGGAUCUUAUCAUUCAAUGAACAUGAAGAAACUUAACCCGCAUUCUGCAAGUUUUGAACCUCACAACCCAAGGCAUAAAUUUGACCUCGCAUCUCCAAGAGAAUAUCCAUGAUUCUGCGAAAAUCUGCUGUAUUAUCAGUCUGAGUACUUGCUUCGGCCCGAUCUGAUGGAGUAAAUGCAGACGAUGGUAGAUCAGCAUAAUUUCGCAGGUUUGGCGAUGAGACUUCAUGACCUUCUUCUGGAAACUGAGAGGCAUAAACAUCCUCUGGGUCUGCAGGUGAGCGAUUGACUCCUUCACUUGCAUCAGGAUAUGAAGACUUUCCUCCUUUCUCUUGAUCUCCCCCUAUUUCCAUGCCUACAGGUGGAGAAGAGAGUUCCUCAGGUUCUCCUUCUUCUCUUCUUUCUUCUUCAGGUCUUUCCUCCUCUGCUUCUUUUUCAGCUUCUCUUUCUUCUUCUUCCUUCUCCUCUGCUUCUUUCGUCAUUUGUUCCGAUUCUUUCUAUGGAACAGGACAACUUAAAUUCUUCAAAGCCAUUGCAGAGAUGGUGAUGUCUUCCUCAUCAUCUUCAUCCUCAACGAGGAGAGCUCUUCUUCUCUUGGAUGGAGCAACCAUGGGCUCCUUCCCUUUUCUUUUAGCUGCAGAAGAGAUUUGAUGAGUUUUGGCAGGAGUCUUCUCCUUGAAUUUCUCCAACUCCUUGCUCAGUUCCUUCAGACGCAUUUUGGUCACCAUUUUCAGUCCUACCACCAUAUGAUCGCAUGGUCGAACACAAAAGAUUUGCGGAGGCUGAAUAUUCAGAUGUCUGAAUAACUUCGUAACAAGGCUUGGGUAAGGGAGUUGACCUCUGUCCUUCAUCAUUGCUCUAUACAUGUGAAACAUAACAGUGUGAGGGAGAGAAAACUUUUUCCCAGAGAGGAUGGCAUACAUCAGCUUUGCCUCUAAACUUGAAACAUCAGUCUUGGAAGUUGAUUUCGGUCGGAGGCAAUUGAUCACAAUCUUGUGAAGCAAGAUGUUGAAUGCACUCAUCCUUAAGUAGGUGAUCUUCUCCUCUGUUCUCUUGUCCUUCACCAAUUCCAGUGUGGCCCGAGCAAUGGAAACUUUGAUCCGUUGAUAUCUUCCUCUUUCAACUCCUAACACAUCUGCCAGCAUAUUCAUAUCCACAACAUAGUCUUGGUCUUUAAUGCUGAAAGAGAAUCUAUUCGCAUCCAAAAAGCUAAGAUUUGAAUAGAAAUAUGCAGUUAAUUCAGCAUAGGCCUCUGUAGUGUCAGAGCAUAACUUUUCAAGUUGAAGAUAACUGAACUUUUCCCUCAAGUUCACAUUCACAGCAUCCAGAAAAUCAAAAUCCACACUCCUAGGGUUUAUUACCCCACGCUUCAGCAAUUUCGAGUACAGAUCCUUUUGUUCCUUCGAUCUGAAGAAAUCUCCCAUUUUUCCUUGAUUUUCAACCGCAACACCCAUUUUCGGUUGAAAUUGGCUGUACAAUUUGUCAUCAUCAUUCCCAUCUACAGGAUUCGGCCCCCAGUCAUGAGGAUCACUUGGGAUAUUCGCAAGGGUUUCCUCAGCCACCCCUUUACGAGCAAUUCCCAAACUUUCCAUUUUUCGCAGAAAGAUAUAUUCGUUCCCAUAUCCUUUGUCUUUAAGAAAAUCAUCAACACAGUUCAAAGGAGUACAAGUUCCUUUUAAGGAACGAUAUAGCUUGUAAAUAUAAGCGGGCUUUUGAACUCUUACAGGGUCUGCAUCCUCAAUGAUUUCUUCCUGUUGUUGAUGAUCAACGCCUUGAGGACUAGAUGGAGGAGAAUGACGCUGCUGAGAAUGUUGUGGGCUCGGUUGCUAUUCUGGAGACACUUCUUCUUCAGUAAGAUCGAAGUGCGUAGGCCCCUCACUCAUUCGCCGUGGUCCCCUGCUUGCGAUUCUCGAAGACUUUCUUGAAGAUGACAUCUUUCUCAGUUUUUGGAAGAUUCCUUGCUUGACUUUCCCAGGAAAGAUUACAACUUUUUGAAGAUUAAAGAAGACAAACGGGAAUGGAGGAUCGAUGCUUUCUAGGGUUUUUGAGAGUAAAGUGAAGAGGAAUCAACAGUGCACGAUCGGUUAAAAAGAGAUAAACGAACCGUCACAAAGGAAAUAAAAAGAUGCCUUUUAAAAAUAACUGUCUUUUUCCGCAAAAAUAGCCAUUUAAAAAAUAACUUCCUUUUUGAAAAUGAAACAAUGCAAUAAUUACAUUGAUUAAAUAUAGCAACAAUUUAAACACAGUCUGACGAUCGUACCUUUUCAAGAUAAGAUUAGAGAGAGAAAGACUUACAGUCUGACGGUUGUACCAAGACUAUCUUACAGAUAAAGUCUUGUAUCUCUGAGUCUGAAAGUCUUUAGACUUUGAUUUCCUCAUACCUCAAAAUGUUGAGUCUGGAACGGAUAGAUUCAAAUUGAUUUUUCUCCAAAGGCUUUGUGAAUAUAUUCGCUAGUUGGUUCUUUGAGUCAACAAAUUGAAUUGAAACAUCUCCAUUUUGAACAUGGUCUCUAAUAAAGUGAUGUCGAAUCUCUAUAUGCUUUGCUCUUGAGUGGAGAAUUGGAUUUUUGGUGAGGUUGAUAGCGCUGGUGUUGUCGCAAUUAAUCUCCGUGCAUGAGUCUUCAAUUUCAAAGUCUCUUAGCUGUUGUUUUAUCCAUAGAAUUUGCGAACAACAACUUCCAAGGGCUACAUACUCUGCUUCUGUUGUUGAAAGAGACACAGUGCUUUGUUUCCUUGAAAACCAAGACAUUGUCCUGCUUCCAAGCAACUGGCAAGUUCCCGAAGUGCUCUUUCUAUCAACUCUGCAACCAGCCAGAUCUGCGUCUGAAUAUCCCAGAAGAUUAAAGUCUCACUUCUUAGGAUACCAAAGACCGAUGCUUGAUGAUGAAGCAACGUAUUUAAUAAUACGUUUCACAGCACUGAGAUGGGAUUCUCUAGGAUCUGAUUGAAACCUAGCACAGAUGCAAACACUCAACAAAGUGUCAGGUCUAGAAGCAGUAAGAUAAAGAAGUGAACCAAUGAUGCUCCUGCACAGCUUUUGAUCAACUUUCUUCCCUUCUUCAUCUUUGUCUAUUCUUUCAAGUAUCUCGAAGGGUCCAACAAAUCUAGGGCUCAACUUGCCCUUCCUCUCAAAUCGUGAUAUUCCUUUCAUCUGGGAUACUUUAAGAAAUACGUGAUCUCCUACGUUAAAUUCCAAGGGUCCUCUAUGAUAUAACUAGUAUAAGUACCUAGAGGGGGGUGAAUAGGUAUAUAAAAGAUUUUUCUUCGAUAAUUGCACAAUACUAGAAAGUUGAUGGAUUUGAGACAAACGAUAAUCAAAGUAAGACUGAGAGAAGAGAAAAUUGAACACGCGGUUUAUAGUGGUUCGGCUUAUGUCAAGCCUAUGUCCACUAUUCUACACUAACAGCCUAUUGGCUGGAUUCCACUAUGAACAAAAGAGAAGUUACAGCACAGCUUUGCCUUGAUUCCAUAGUGUAGAUGUUCUACCACACCUCCUCAAGAUUUCUCACAAAUAUAGACUCUCUUUUGUAUACAAGUAUUCGCUCAAAGGAAUUGUCUAAACAAAAAGGAGCUUCAGACUUUGGAAUUCUUCUAUCGCGCACACCUCGACACUUAGAACGUCUUCCUUAUAUACUCUUUUAUGCCAUCAUACCCGUUGGNNNNNNNNNNNNNNNNNNNNNNNNNNNNNNNNNNNNNNNNNNNNNNNNNNNNNNNNNNNNNNNNNNNNNNNNNNNNNNNNNNNNNNNNNNNNNNNNNNNNCUUACCAAAUGAAUUCCUCCAAUCUACCCGUUGGACGGAAUCAAUUAGGAAGAUUAUCCGAGCUAUUAAAGGAACGUGUCGAUAGCCCAUCAAUCAUGUUCGCCAUACAAUCAGGAUCUCGGUUUCCAUAAGUAGAACAUUCCAAUAAUAUUUAGGCAAUCACCGGAUCUUCAAUUAUCGAGUCAAUCUUCGAUCAAUCAAAGGACUCCGUUAUGUCUUUUCCAGCCACGAGAUCUUCUCCAGUUGAUAAGGUUAAAUCCUUAACGAAACAUCCAGUUCUGGAUAACCUUUCUUCAACGGAUUAGAGACUGUCAAUGAGGAUAGACUUUGAGUCUUGAGUCUGGCUAUCCGGAGGUCUUCAGACUUUAAAUAGCAGAGUCUGCAAGCCUUCAGACUAGACCGAUGGAAACGUUUUGUUAGCUUCAAAACACUUCAAGAAGAUUUCUCCAACACUCUACAUUUAUUUGCGUAGCUUUUCUUUUACCCAUUUCGUUUCAAUAAACGGGAAUUCUAUGAGUUUAACCGUGCUUCCGCUGCACUACUUUGAUAAAAUUAUCCUAGAAACAUUGCCCAUUCCAGUAUGAUGCAUAGUUCGGUUCAUUCCUAUCCCCUUUUGCCAUCCUAGAAGCCUGCCAGGAGCCACUCCUUGCUCAAGUCCUCUGACUUAGGCGUCCACUCCUUGCCCUCAUCGGACUGAGUUGUUAUAGGCCCACCAGCUUUCGCUUGGUUCGAACCCGAACUACACAUCUAUUGAAGGGGUCUCGUUUCGAUAGAGACUAACUUAUAGAGAUAUUAUCCGCUUGGCCUAUCCCGCACUAAGCCUCAUGGUUUUAUUCUUGGCACAUGGGUAAGUAUUAUCGCAAGAGAUCAUCCAUCCUAGUCCGUUGCUUACGGAGCUAGUCCAUUCCCACGAUGAUGUCAAAGUCAUACAUAACUAUCACUAUGAAGUCCAUUUUUAGAUCUUGUCCCCUUAUGGUUAUCUUAUGCUUCUUACAUACUAAAGUGGACAACACCAUAUUCUUUAACGGUGUAGAAACACAAAGAGGAGUCUCAAGAGAUGUAGUUUCUAUCUUACUUAAUUGUCCAUACCUUUCAGACAUAAAAAAAAAUGCGUAGCAUUUGUAUCAAACAACACAUAUGCCUUUUUGCCAUUUAUAGAAAUCGUACUUGAGAUAACAUUUUUGGAAGCUUCCACUUCCUCUUGGGUGACCGCGUACACCCGUCCUUGUGUUGAUGGCCUCUGUGGAUUCCUUGGUGGAUGUGGUCCAGUUGCACGGUGCUACACUUGUCACAUCGAGCUGACAUUCGGCUACGACUCAUCUUGUGGACAAUUUCUCUUAAAAUGUCCUAUUUGCCCACAACCAUAACAUCUCAGUUGGCUAUUGCAAGGUCCUGGCCUAUGUUGUCCACCACACCUCUGACAAGUAUUACUUUGGUAGGGUACUUUCCCUAAAGUUGGGCCACUCUUGACUUUUCCAAAAUUCCCAAAGUUACUCUUUUUCUUAGAUUCCUAAGGCUGACCUUGAUCAAGAUAGGGUCUCUUAGCUCGUCAGACAUCACUAAAGGUCAAUUGCCUCCUACACUCUGAUUACUCUCUUGUUAAUUCCCACUCCACCAACUGUGCCAUUUCAUAAAUUUCAUUAUAAUCCCUCAUAUUCAGAGGCACUAGUUGUUUCCUAAUAUCAGUUCUUAGCCCCUUCAAGAAUCUCUUAGCCUUUUCCUCUCGAUCCUCAAUCAAUCUAGGAGCGUACCUAAACAAUUCAUAAAAUUUGGCUUCAUAUUGGUCUACCGUCAGCUCCCUUUGUUCUAAUUAAACAAAUUCUGUGAUUUUCAUCUUUGGCACAAUCAGAGAAAUGCUUUCUAUUGAAAGCUCUAACAAACUCAUCCUAAUUUAUGUUAGUACCAGGUGGAAAGAUCAUGUCUCUUGAAGCUCUCCACCAAAAUUUUGCAUUUCCCUCCAAUUAAUACUCUGCCAAAAUUAUCUUCUCAGCAUCAUUAUAGUUCAACAACCAGAAAAUCUUUUCUAUUCCCUCAAUCCAUUGUUCCGCCUCCUCAGGAUUUCCCAUUCCAGUAAACUUAGGUGGUUUCAACUUCAGGAAUUGUUCCACCAAUCCUUGAGUACGGUGUUCUGCUCCGAGUUGUUGCUAAGCUUGUCUUUCCAUCAAAUUUCCUAUAUUGGCCAAUGCCUGUAGGAUAUCUUCCAUAUGGGGUUUAGCCCUUGAAGCAGAGGCUUCGGCCCUUGGUGGGUGAGAACUCCUAGUUCGCACCAUAUCUUCCUGCAGUUUACCCAACAUUUGCCUUAGGAACAAUUAGUGAUCCAAUGUCACUAGUCAAGUAAUAAAAUAAAGGUGUUUCUAAAGUCACAUAAGUAACAUAAAAUGUUACUUGCACGCAAAGGUAACUCACAAUCGUUACCUGUAUUUUUACGAGUGAAAAUCAAUCACCCGUUGUUCAUAAUUAGUCAACUACCCUUGGUUAGUAUCUUAUAGUGUGCAUCAUUAUCUCCUCAUUUCCUAUUAAUGCACCUUAUCACUCCAAAUAAAACCAUAGCUCUGAUACUACUCGAGCUACCCCCCCCCCCCCCCAACGACCCCUGAUCUGUUAGGGCCACAUAUCACCAACUUUCUCUCAACCUAAAAGUCUGAUACUCUAAUACCAAAGGAUUUCGAUAAAUCCAUGAGUUUUGGGGGUCUAUAUCCUUUCCAUUGGUCCCUGCGCAAAAUAUGGCUAAAGCAUAUCCAAUAUCUCCCUUCCCUAUAUUUAGAAAACGAUGCACACCAACUAAACAUCUUUAUAGGUAAUUGCUAGACACUUUUAUUGACAUACAACUAGAUGGACAAUCGUUAGUCGAUACAUCAAAAUGCCGUAGUUUUCUAUACUCGGCCAUAAUUCAAAAGAUACCCAACAUUUCCAACAGUUACAAACAUAAAGUCCAUUGUUUAGUGUCAACCUCCAAAAAUUUCUUCCUCUACUAACCCCAUCUCAUGGUCACACCUAGCCACUCGGUCUGUUUGUUGGUGGCGGUGGCAGUGGCCCCACCGUUCGUCCAUACCAACAGACAAAGACGACGAUGUACUCCUAGAGUACAAGGCUGGUGGGAAGACCGGUAUUGAACAACAUAAUGACUCUCACCCCUACAAACAUCAGUCCUCGCACCUCAGGGUCCUAAUACUUCGACCGCUCCCACUAUAAGUCGAUGGGGAAUCCAUAGAAUGUACAGGGAGGUGCGGGCAGCAGAGGCAACUUGUCUAGUCUGAAAUAUUAGUCCCCAAAAAGGUGAGUACAAUCACCAGUAGCGAAAGAUCUACUAAACUAUAUCGUGUAGAACCAUCACAAUCUAAUUUCAUGCAAAAUUCAUAAAACACAUAACCAAAGGAAUGAGUAUGCAUCAAAUCAAUGGAAUUUUUCCAAGUGAUAACAAGUGCAGUUUCAAAACUAGAACACAUCAUUUCAAUCACAGGGUCCCGAUUAUACGACCAAAAUAUUAUAACACGUCCCAUUCCGUGCCACACAAUUUUGUUUCAUAAUCCGGCGCAACUUAGCAGUACUUUCAGUUUUAAAACUCAAAAGAUUUUUCUUCCGGAGGAUAAGUGUUUGCGUCCUUCCAGGCAUUCGCACCCAACUUAGCAUCACAAAAGCCUCCGGUUCCAUAUUUCAAUCACUGAGCAACCGGAGCGUGUCAUGUCUCACCUACAGGCAUCUUGCACCUCACCCAGCAUCACGAGGAAUCUCCAGGACUAACCACGGCAAUGGUUGCCCCUACCCUCCGAAAUAUGUAUCGUCAUACAUCUGGGCAUCUCGACACUCUCGGGGAACCUUUGGGGCUCACUGGUCCCCAGGCAUCCAGAGGCAUCGACCCCUACGAUCCUAUGGGCAACCCGACUCCUGGAGUAUUGUUGACCCGAGGGUCCAACAGCAAGAAUGACACAUCAAAUUAUUUCAAUACCAAAACAUUUUCAAAUCAUUGACAUCUGAAAUUCCUUGAAUUUUUUAUCGAAAUUUGAGUAUUGAAUGAUUUAUUGAAUGCCAAAACCAUCGUUUCUAGGUAAUAAACCAAGAUUCCUUCACCCUUGAGAUAAAUUUGAGAAAACUCGGAAUAAAGGCAACCAAAAUCAGAAUGUAUAGUUUCAGUAAUAAUUUUGGAAGAACCAAUAAAUGAACUCAGAAAAUUCUAAAUUUUUAGUAUGUUAUAAAUAAGACCUAAGGGAAAUAAUUUCAUGAAGGACACUAAGCCUAAUUAGUCAUGUACAGAGAGCAGUAAAUCACACAACUCCGCAGCAGAUUUCUUCCAUUGACCAGAAUUCACACUCCAGCAGAAAAAGCACCGAACACUAAAAUAAGGUCGGAAAAUCUGGCAAAAAUAUGUCCUAAUUUAAAUAAUUUCUCACAACUUCCAUCCAUGAAGAAGUCAGGACCAAAUUCAUACUAGAAAUCUCUGUAGAAAUUUACAAAGCUACAGAGUUGCACACGAAAUGUUCUGGGCAGUAUGUAUUCAGUAGAAACCCACGCCCACACCUUGGCUACCUUACUUCCAAAGUCCACCAUAAUCUGUUUUCGAUUGAAGUUCAAAGGAAUCCAAAAAACACAUAGAAAUCCCGAGCAUUUCCUCAAUCCCCUAAUCCCAGUCUACCUCAAUCAUUCAAAAAUUCAGUAUCCAACAUCCAAACUCAAAUAUUUUCAAAUCUAACUGCACUACAUCAGACAACAACAGCAUUGCAUUACAUAGGCUAGUAGACUUUCACUUGCCUUAAAUCCGACGGUGUUGACGGCGAGAAAUCGAGAAGCUCGCGGUCACAGACACGGUUGGCAACAGCAAGUGUGAGCGGGCGGCGUCGGCAGCGCGUGUGCACGGGCGGAGGGGGCAACCUCCUUUUCCUCUCACUCAUGCUCGCUGCUUUCUCUCUCACUCGCUGCUCUCUCUCUCUCUCUCUCUCUGCCCUAUUUUGCUCGGUUAUUCUCUCUCUUGCUCUCAUUUCCGAGCCAUUUUGUUCCUUCGUUGGUUUACUUCAUGGGUCAACAAAGGUAAAUUCUCGGUGGCUGCGGAAAGAACGGAUAGCUGCAUCUACCCGUGUCCAUGCGUAAGAGUCUCUUUUGACUUUGCUGGUGCUACCUUGCUUCCCCAUGCAAGGGACGUGUCCUUAGCAAAGCCACAUUCUCCCUUUUUGCUAUCCACCGAAGGAAGAGCUACAUGGCUCUUGGUCAACAAUCAUCUCCCAUAGUUGACCAGCUGCAUGGAAUCUCCACGAACGUGCAUGGAAGAUGGGUGACGUGAAUGCAUGGCCGGGGAAAUAGGGUCUUCGAGCAGCAUGGGCCGCAUGGGUCAAUUUCCUAUUUGUUUGCUGACCCGCACAAUGGAGAGACGUGCAUGGUCCUCAUGCAUGGCCAUGGAAUCCAUAGUUUUCAUGUCUUAAUGGAAGAAAGUAGAUGGACGUGGCUGCAUGGGCGUGAAAUGGAGUCUCUCGGCUCCUUCGCCUAGUGUACAUACUCAAUGGGUACAGCUAAAGUUCGAAUGAUAGGUAACUUGUUGACAUAUUAUUUGGAAUGAGCCUCAGUCUCGCUAGAACGUAAGAAAGAUUUUCGACGGGACUAUAAUUUAUUCUAUGAUCAGACCAUUACUAAACGUAACAUAUCGGUCCAACGAUGAUAAUGAAAUGGUGUCCACAAAUGGUACCAAUAACGUAGUCCGACGAUACUUUCGUCAAUCUAUCAUGGACUGUCACGUAUUCAAGGGUCAACAAAAAUCCAAAUGUCACAAUUGGCCACUAGUUGUUUUUAUCGUCUCAAUGAGAACUAUGACCCUGCACUAUCAUAAAUGAGUUUUGAUUCACUGAAAAUCAAAAAGGGGGGCGAACAGUGCGGGCGUGUUGGGAUUUCCAUCCCCGAGCAUCCGACUGUAAUGUUUCUCAAAAUUUCAACCAAAAACAAUUUAUAAACAUCGACAUUGAUCAAGAAACAUGAACAUCAUUACUCUGAUACCAAUGUAGGAAACGAAUUUCUAUAAAUCGAACUGAUACUCGAAUGAUCAAAUACUGAAAAAUGAAUGUGGAAACGAGCCUGGGAAACAUGUAAGAUUGAUCAAAAGUAUAUCACGGAGACAGAUAUACCUUGGUUGCUAUAGAUUAAGUACCAUCGCAGUCUCAGAGGAAUCAUUUGAAGCCUUGGAGUUCCGUUCUUUAAGAGGAAGUAUAUUGUUUCAAGAGGAAGAAAAAUGGAGAAGCGUAUUUUUUCUGCGUAUUUUUUCUUUGGAACACUACGGGUAAUGUUAUCCCAUUUUAUUUUUUAUUUUUUAUAUUGUAGUUAUUUUCACUUAGAAAAUAACUGUCCUUUCAUCUUAUGAGCCCUUCACUUACGGGCCAGAUUUUGACCCAACAUAAGCGAACGGGCUUAACUUGGUUCAUCAAAUAAAAAACCAUCCGAUGCUAAUUUAGUUUUGUUAGUGAAGUAGAGUUGAAAACAAGCUUAUCAAGCACUUUAUUAAGUUCGACUUGAGCUAAAAAAAGGACCUUUCGUGUUGAAUCAAGUAGAACUCACAAGCAGUUUAGAGGUCAAUCCCUCUCAAUUCGACUAUAUCCCUCUUUUAACUAGUUGCACAACUUGAUGCAAUAAAAAUUUUCAUGUCUAAUUCGUUACGUGCAGCUAUACAUUCUCUGAUUAUAAUUAAUUGUAGAAAAAAAUCAUUUUAUGAAGAGUAAGGAAUUGACUUAUCCCAUUUCCUUUUUCUCUUGGGGUUUAAUGUGGUUGGCAACACGGUGCUCUCGCGAGAUUUGUUGUACCCAAAAUCGAAGGAUGUGCUCGAGUUCUACGAUGCCAUGAACCGGGUCGCGGAGUGGGCCGGCAAGCCUAACGUAGCCGACUUCAUGCCGUGGUUGAAAUGGUGGGAUCCACAGGGGAUCAAGACAAGCAUGGCAAAGGACAUGGGUCGAGCCAUGAAGAUUGCGGAAGGCUUCAUGAAAGAGAGGUUGGAGGAGCGAAAGCUAAGGGGAGAGAUGAGGACGACGAAUGACUUCUUGGACGCGUUAUUGGAUUAUGAGGGCGAUGGAAAAGAAGAUCCUCACAAAAUCUCCUCCCAGAACGUCAACAUAAUCAUUCCGGUAAGUUUGCUCCUCCCUUGCACGUCCAACACGGCCUCACAGUUUUGAUUAUCGAUUACCAUCUUAGAGAUAUUAGGUCAAAUUCAGUUUAUUAAGUGGUGCAGUUAACUUAAUUGACAUUGAAACAAGAUCACAUCACACGUCAAGGACACGUUUUAGUAUUUAAUAUUAAAGUAAGGGUGGCGCUAUUGUCACCCCUCAUAUGAUUAAAUUCACUCACUUUGCACCAAAAAGACAAAAUUGCUCUUAAUCAUUCAAUUAGUAAUUUAAGGUGGUAGCUCAAACUUAUUUAUUUUCCUUCUUUUUCUUGUUUUUCUUCUUUUACGUAGGAUCUAUUUAUCAUAAUCUAGAUUUAACAUGUUUCAUUUUGGUUUAUUGUGGGUAUCCCAUGUAUAUGAAAGGCACUAAGUUUUCACUUUAUUAUUACAAUUUACUUAUGUAGACAUUAAUUUAUUCAUGAAGAAAAUUUUCCAAUAAAUCAAAUUCUUUUUAACGUUGUCUAACAAUUUAGUUGAUUAAUUGACUAGAAAAAUUUUAACACAUACACUUUCUUAACGCAAUAACUUAUUUAUAAACUUUAACAUUUGUUGUGCAUGUCACCAUUAAAUCAUUUAUUGUCAGUUUGCACACAUAUACGGAUAAUGGGAUGGUUGAUGAAAAAAAGAAGAAGAAAAAGCCCCUGUAAUUUUUUUUUGAAAUAAAUUCAUGAUCGCAUUCUCCAAUGUGAAACUUAAAAAGAUAAAAUGUAAUUAAAUCACAGUACUAAUUAAAUAAGAAAUUUUUUUUAUAAAAAUUCAAGUGAAGUCUCAUCAUAUUGGAAUAACAAAAAUUAAUAUCAUCCAUUAAGCUUAGUUUGGGAAAAUGACAUCCCAUUCUGGCAGGCAAUAAGAAAAUAACUCUUUCUAUAUCACCAAACAAAUGAAAACUAAACAUUUUCCUUGAAAAUACUUUUCCAAGAAAGUAUUUUCCUUCAUCAUGAAAUUUUUGGAGAAACAGCGGCACCCUAAAUGUGUAUCAUGGAGAUGGCCCAUCUGGGCUCUUAUCACAUCCUGCUAAGCUGUAAUUCGCAGUAGUAUCACUCGAAAAAGAAGAUCACGACUAGGAUUCUUCAGUCACUAAUACAACAAAAUUUAGACUUUAAAGACCGAAUCAGGAAGUGAUAAGAUUAAGGAACAUAUGGUGAUUGAUGAAUUAACUAAAACACGACAAUUUGGCAUCCUUGAAUUCAACAAUGAGAAAUUUCACGCAUCCGUUCAAAUAGCAAACCUUUGAUUUCAUUCAAUGAUAUCCACUCUAUACAAUGACCAUAGAGAGGAAGAGGAAAGAAAGCAAGAGACUGGGGUUACUGGCCUAGGAAAAAUACCAGAACAAAUAUUAAUUUCCGUUGUGACUGCACUAAUCACUUGCACAUAUUUUCUGGUCAAAGAAUAUGACAUGCGCAACUCAUAUUUUGACCAAAGCACACAUUAGUACAGCCAAAUGGGUACUUUCUAAAAUAGUUAAGACUAUUUCACCAUACUCUUUGCAAUGCACUAGAUCCACUACACAAAAUCAUAUAUAGAAGUGCAAGCAUGCAAAAGAACAAAAUGCAGAGUCACAGCCACUAGCCUCAAGCUUUAAGCUUGAUCAAACUACUUGAACCAAACUUCAGCAACGUAAACAUCUUCAUGCACAGAAAUGUAUAUUACUUUGCUUUUUAUUACACGGUGGCUCUCUCGAGCAAAUUGGGGAAAAAAUCAAUUUUAAGUUUUUGGAAAGAAGAGGACUGCUACCUGAAUUGAGAACUGUUGGAGAAAUCUUAGUGAAAGUGUUUUGAAGUUGACAAAACGUUUCCAUCAGUCUAGUCUGAAGGUCUGCAAACUCUGUUAGUUAAAGUCUGAAGACUUCCGAACAUCCAGACUCAAGACUCAAAGUCUAUCCUCAUUGACAGUCUCUAAUCCGUUGAAGAAAGGUUAUCUAGAACUGGAUAUUUUGUUCAGGAUUUAACCUUAUCAUCUGGAGAAGAUCUCGUGGCUGGAGAAGACGUAUCAGAAUCCUUUGAUUGAUCAAGUUUGAUUCAAUGAUUGAAGAUUCGAUGAUUGUCUAAAUAUUAUUGGAAGGUUCUACUUAUGGAAACCGAGAUCCUGAUUGUAUGGGCGAACAAGAUUGAUGGGCUAUCAACACGUUCCUUUAAUAGCUCGAACAAUCUUCCUAAUUGAUUCUGUCCAAUGGGUAGAUUGGAGGAAUUCCUUUGGUAAGUGCCAACGGGUAUAAUGGCAUAAAGGAGUAUAUAAGGAAGACGUUCUUAGUUGUUUGAGGGGUGCGCGAUAGAAUAAUUCCAAAGUCUGAAGCUCCUAUUUGUUUAGAUAAAUCCUUUGAGCGAAUACUUGUAUACAAAAGAGAGUCUAUAUUUGUGAGAGACCUUGAGGAGGUGUGGUAGAACAUCUACACUGUGGAAUCAAGGCAAAGCUAUGCUGUAACUUCUCUUUUGAUCAUAGUGAAAUCCAGCCGGUGGGCUGUCAGUGCGGAAGAGUGGACGUAGGCUUGGAAUAAGCCGAACCACUAUAAAUCCUGUGUUCAAUUUUCUCUUCCUCACUCUCUCUGCCUCGAUCGUAUUUCAUUUUGUUAAUUAAGAGAGAAUUUACUUUCUAUCAUAUGUUAAGAAUCGCUUCCGUAUAUCAAUAAAUUGUUUAGGCACCUAUUCACCCCCCUCUAGGUACUCAUACUAGCAAUAUCAAGAACUCCACAGGUGCUUUAACAGAAAAAUAGAUGCUCACCUGCAUUUAUGGAAGACACGGUAACAAAGAGAAAACAUAGUGGCUGUUUCUUAUGCCUCACAAUAUUGAACAGGAUAACCUACUAUUUGACUAAAAUUAGACAAGAGUUUUGAGCUGCUAAUUCUGUAAAGUUCUAUAUGAUUGUAAGAGAGAAUAAAAGGAAUAUUUAGAAGUCCCUUAUCUGCAAACAGCAGUAAAACUGAAGUGCCAGUCUUCUCAUAUAAUUGAAAACUACAAAUGGGCAGAUAAAGUCAGCUUUUCCAAAUUGAACAGCUGCCUAUUGAAUAAUAUGAUUCAGAUUCAUUCAGAGACAGCCCAUUCCAGUCUCACAUUGCCUCAUAGAAAGAAGAACAUGUAUAAGACAGACAUACCAAGCCAGGCAAUCUCUCAAAUUGAAAGUUCAACUAUUUAGUACAUGACGACCAUAAAAGAAUGAAAUAUACAUUUUGAAGAGGUAUUCAAAAAGCACACAUUACAUUUCUGCACCUCUCUCCGAAACUAAAGUCUUACAGGUACAGCAAACUAUUUGCAGCAGGAGAGCAACAAAGUCACUUUUCUACUGUAAGCCAAAAGGACUUUAGCAAGUUGUAGGAAAGAAACUUACAGAUUUAGGAUCAAUGGAUAUCCCAGACAAUGACGCCCCAGCAAUUCUAAAAGACACCUACAAUCAUGCAAACAGUAGCUCAUAACAGAAUUUCCCACAUCAGUUAUGAGAGAUAAAAAUGUGAAGCACUAGUUGAAAUGGGAAUGUAAAACCAAGCACUAGUAGUGCAUCAACAGUAAACCUAAUAAAACAUCUCGAGUAAUCCUCUCUAGAACAUUUGCUAUCUUGCAACCAAAUUGCUGAUGCCAAACUAUUUUGUAGCGUGCCGACUCUAAGACAUCUCUAACAAAGGUCCUCUAUGAUAAUUACCCACCUGACAUAUCAACCAACAGAAGACACAUGGGAUUGGCUGUAUAAGUAGUUCAUGAUGAAUGGGUUUCCUUUUCCAUUCACACUACGAACAAGUAUAGUUAGUUGAACAGUCCAGUACCAUCAAGAGUGCACCAACAUAGUUUCAAGUAGACAAACAAUACUAAGCUAAGAAAACCAUUUCAUGAAUACCUAUCCUGGGAAGAAUGACUAUGGUUUCUCUUGGCAGAAGAAAGACAACCAGUGAACUCCACUUUGUAAGAAAGGUACAGCUUUUGUCUAUACCCACAGAACCACAUACAUGAAGCCAUAAAUGCAUGAUGCAUCACAAGAAAAUAAACUAUGUACUAACACCCAAGUGAGCUCAGACAUUCAUACUUUAGCAUAAUUGUAUGCCUGUCAACAAAAUGGUUCCUCUAAAUCAACUGGAGGGAGAUCCUUGGUCAUUUUCCCCAUCAGAAAUUAUCAUAUUAUUGCUGUGUCAACAUCACUGUCUUCCUCUGCCAUGCUUCCGAAAAAUGAUUUUGUAAAAGGUAACCUUUGGAUUUGCCAUGGUGCAAACUUAACUGUCCCCGGGAAGGUAGCUUCAAUGCUUUUUCUAACAAGACCCCGUCCACUUACCAAAAGUUUCCACUCAACAGAAUGCUCUGUAGUUGAAAUAGUUCCGACUGAAGGAGUUCCAUCCACAGCAAUAAUCCUCCUAGGAAAAGGCAUUGUUAGAGUACAGAACUCCAUUGUCAAAGGACUUUACCAAAAAAGAAAAAAAAUCCAUUGCCAAAGGAGCCUUGUAACCUUCAAUCAAGCUUAGUCUGAACAAAAAUGCAUCUUCAUCUUCAAAAACCAUUGACAAUUGAUAGAAUCCCUUUAUGGGAAGUCCAAGCCCACAGGAUGCUUGAUAAUGCAUCAGGACAAAAUUACCUAACAGUGGUGAAAACAUCACUGACUGCUUAUCCGCCCCCGGUUCUGGAACUUGAGCAGAUGGAUGGAAUGAUAAAGAUUCAAUGUGGCUGCUAUUCAGUCCUGUCAAAGGAAGGGACACAUCAGGCAGUCCUUCUAAUUCUGCUCGACAAUUAACCUGACCUGAAACUGAAAUGCUGUCUGGAAUUUCAUCACGAUCAUACAACGCAGCAGCAACAGUUUCAUGAAUAGUAAAAAGUAUUUUCUGCUUCCCCUGGUAAAGAUAUGGCUUCCAUGCAGGCUGUUUGACAUCUGCAGGAGGCAGAUCUGCUGAAGAAAACCCAUUAAGCUUGAUGGAGAAAAUAUUGGAAGCAUUGAGUUCCAAAGGGGUACAUAUAUUUAAAGAAUAGAAACAAAUAAACCAUUAGUCUAUCCUAGAAAGAGGAAAAGCACAGGUCAGAAGAAAAAGGCGAUAAAAGCAGCUGCCAUAAGCGGGGUAAACAUCACUGACCAAAGGGCAUUGAGCUACUAAUAUAAGUCCUUAUUGCAUCCUUAUUCAAUGGCCUUGAACCAACUUUCAAAGCAUCUGAUGAGACAGCACCAACAGAAGUGUAAAUGAUUGUUCCUGGAGGCUAUCUACAUCAGACACAUCAGCAAAAAACAUGCAAAUGCAGUUUUGACAUAGGGAAUUAAUAGAAGUAUUCAAUAUGUGUAGAAAUAUAAGCAAAAAUACAAGUAAACUCAUCAAGCGAAACACCAAGAGGCUCUCAACUCGUUGUAGUGACAUCUUGACAAACCUCUUCUUUCUCUCUGCAAAUGAAGACACCAACCCUGAAUCAGACGGCAAAUACGGCGAUGCCAUGCCAUCAACACUGCCACCAUUGUGCUCAAUCUCACUUUUGCAAGCCGCCCGCCACUGUUUCGAACACAAAAACGAAAACCCACGAGAGAGAGCGACCUGGAGAAGACGACGGCGUCGUGGCUGUUGAGGAUCCAGAGAGCUCUGAUGCCGCAACCGGUGGGCAUGGUUUCGGUAGCCUUCUUCUACGACUGCGGUCAGCUUUCGCCGGAUCGGAAGAGAAAGGGAAAGAAACUUGGACGACGUUGAGAUUGAAACUUUGAUUGAAGAACGGUUAAAUGACAAGCCGUUGCGCUGAGCAGAGGGACUCGCGCGACUCGGUAGCUCUUUGUUGUUUUCACCAUUUUCUUUGGUUAAGGAUCUGAUCCGUUUCCCUUUGCUUGGCCAGGUGGUGUCUUGGUAAAUUUUCUCGCACCAGGGGUUAAAUAUAUCUUUUCGAUUUAGUCAAAAGACAAAUUAUCAAGGUCGGGAUUAGGAAAUUUUGGAAGAAUUACUCUUCUAUGGUACGGCCUAAAUAGUUAUUUUGAUGGAGAAUUAAACUUGAGAUUUCACGCUUUUUGAGACAUAACAUAUUGAUCGCUCUUAUGAUACAUAUUUAACUUUUUAAUUAAAUUCAUGAUUUAAAAGGCACGGGUGCAUCGCAUUGAAUAAGCCGAUUCAUUCAUGGGGCUUGAAUAUGACUUAGCUCGCCUUAUGAAAGUUUGCUCAAGCAAAUAAUGCUAAAGGCAUUUAAAUGCUCGAACAAUUAUCAGAAUGAGCGUCAUAAAUCGAGGGGUAAAAAAUAAAUAUCCAAAGGUUAAGUUAAGAGCAAUAACAAUUGAACAUUAGACGGGUAUGAAUCUAUGUAGUCAUGUUGCAAAUAAACUAAAGGGACAAAUGCAUGAAGUCCGACAAUGACCAAAGGAUGGGAGAUAACUACACAGAAUAAUCGAGGUACGAAAUAUGCUUGUGCCAUAUGAACAUAUUUUAUUUCCUUUAUGUGAUGCUUUUGUUUGUUUGACUUGAUCUCUCAAUAUAAUGAGAUGCAAGCAAGAGGAACUCUCUUCGUCGCUUGAACUUCGGCAUGCACGUCUAUUAGCAGUGGACCAUUAUGUGAAAAGUAUCUUACAAAAUUGGCCCGAUUGUUUGGGAUAUGAGGGGCUUAUCAGCUCAAAAAUUGUCACUAUCCAAAUCCUAUCAACUACAUGCAACUACUUUUAGUCAAGGCCACCUGCAUAGGCUAAAAGUCUAAGCUUUUAGGAUAUUUCAUGGGUCUUUAAGUAGCCGAGCUCUAUGCUUGUGUACCUGAAUUGUGAAAAAUGGUAUGCAGUCGCCCUAAACAAUGUUUUGAUAUGUCUGUAUCUAGUGGAGAGAACUACACUUUUAUCAUUUUGAUGGAUUACUGGUAAUGUAGAAGCUCCAAUCACAUGAUGAUGUAUAGUUAAAACUAGAAGUGAUAGGCCAAAAUAACAAGACUUCCUUAAGGAUUACUUAGGAGUACAUCUUGUGCAAGCUUUGGUCUUUUAGGGGGUGCCUGACAAACUACAAUUAUUAUUCCAAAAACAAUUUAACUAUUCUAGACUUGUUUUUCGAUAAAAUUAUUUCAUUUUUCUAUUUCUGAAAUAGAUUUUUAUUUCAGAAAUAGAUUUAGAAUAGAAAUUAGAAUUAAAAUUAGAAUCAAAAGUAUUUUUUUUUUUUACUUUUCUAUUUUUGGAACAGAAAUGAGAAAUAAAAAUUAUUUCUAUCGUUCAUCCUUCGUCCAUCCGUCGCCGCCGACCAUCGUUCGCUGGUUGCCGUCCAUGGCCACCGCCGUUCGCUAGUCAUCGGUUGCCGCCAUCCGGCGAUUGUCGCCGCCAUCCGACAAUUGCCACCGUCAUCCACCGGUAGCCUGCCGUUGGCCGCCAUCCCAAAGAAAGAAAUUUUGUGUUGUUAUCAAACAAAUUUCUAUUUUUAGAGUAUAAAUUUUGUGUUAUUAUCAAACAUAUAUUUUUGUUUAAAAACUCAUCUAAAAAUAGAAAUAAAAAAAUCUAUUUCUAUUUCAAAUAUCAAUUUCUGGCAAGAAUGGUUAUCAUUCGCAAAACCUUUUGUGUAUCUCAUUAUUCUUUUUUAGCUAAUACAAGGCAGUCAAAAUAUCGACAUAGUAUAUUUACAUAUUUUUUGUAGAUAUAAUAUACUAAUGAUUAUUUCAUAACAUGGAUUUAUUCUGAAAAUCCAUGUUUGAUUACUUGAUCCCAAUUAAAAUAAUUGUUUCUAUUACAGUAAAUUUUGAUUUGUUAGGCAACAUUUAGAAUGGGACGAAAAAAUAUACCCAGACAAUAAUAGAGCAACCAUAAUGGAAGACUAAUUGUAGAUUGAUCAGAGCUGGCCCCAAAUUCAUUCACACUUAUUUUUUUUUUUUUGGUAAGGUAAUUCAUUCACACUUUUAGGACCUUGAGCCUUCGCUAAUGCCCAAUUGGAGGAGAAAUUCUUGCUUUUAGGAUGGAUUUGCCUACGCCGGUUAUCACUUUUUUCCAGUAAUUAUCAUCAUAAAAUAUACAAAACUUAGUUAAAUAAAUUAAUGAGUCAUUUGAUAGACGCUAUAUAUAAGUUAGUGUUAGAUUAAGAAUUGACGUGAGUAGGGCAACCGCUUGUUACGAUGUGUAGGGCAACCGCUUGCUUCCUUUCCAACGGUAACUAUAAUUUUAUGCGGGAUUAAAGUAAUUAAAGCUACUGAAUAUCUUGACGAAGUAAUUACUCGCUGAAAGAAUAACCAAGGCAACCUGAAAACAGAUGCCUUUGUCGAAGUUAUAUCAAGUCCAAGCAGGCUAAACAACCAAACAAGCAAAUCCCUUCCUUUAAGCCGGGAUCGGAUGAUUUUUCAGAUUCUAUGUGAACACAAAGUUCAAGAAAUAUAGAUCUUGAAGGAACAACGUCGACAUCAAAUUUUCCUCACCUUGCAAAUACCUGCAUAUGGGGUACAAACAAGGAUAUGUCCCAAACUAUCAGCGAUUUGUCCAUGUUCCCCAAUAGAAUCAAUUAUCGAAGCCCAAUUUGAACGAAAUUAUACAUGUAAAUUCUGGGAAAAAGGGUCCACAUACCUACAGAAACAAAAAGUGGAAAAUUUCUAGUCAAGGUAUAGGAUUUGCUCGUAAUAUUCAAGCUGGUGAGUCAUGUGCGGGAUAUGAGCAAUCUUGUACUAGUCCUUGCCUGCAUCUUUUUCCCACCUCUCCUCCAAAUCUGGGCAAGCUGCAAUUUUUAGGUGACUAAGGGAUUCAAACCUUCGCAAUUUUUCAAGUAAUGAUGCCAAUGAGGGACAUUGGAUGAUUUCAAGCCAUUGAAGUGAUUAUAGGUCAGCAAUCAAGCUUCUCACAACCCUCUAAAUUGAGAUGCACAAGGUUUGAUAGAUGUCGCGUGCCGAGUGAGAGGGAAGUUAACUGAGGACAAUCAUAGAUAUAAAGAAUUUCAGGUGACAUGAGACUUUUCAAACACUUCUCAGGCAAACAUUCUAGAAACUGCAUCUCCAAGAUAGACAGAGCCUUCAACUUAUAAAGGCAAAAUAUAUGAUUUAUCAACUUUAUGUUGACUUUAAUAAGCAUUAAAUCCUCAAGCUGUGGAAUUAGUGGCAUGGCUUUCAAGUUUUCACAAUCACUAAUCUGUAAGCUCAGUAGACUAGGAAAUGAUGCUAUUAAAGUAGAUGAAUGGUUUGACUCAAUAUAUUCCGAUGCAGCCAGCCCAAAAAUCUUUAAUGACUUAAGGUGAGGUAGUUGGCCCAGUUAUGGGAGAUGUUUACAUCUUGCAUAGUCCUCCAAGCAAAUGUCAACUAAAUUUGGCAAGGAAAACACAAUGCUAUCACAACCCCUCACAACCCCUUUACUCAGAGGUUGAGUUGUGGGUUAUUUUGCGACAUCCCAGGCUUUGUCAUUGUCUCGAAUUCAUUUACUUCUUAUUUAUGCACAUGCGGAAAGUGUAAACAUACAAUCCCUGACACAAAUAACAUGGAAACAUGAGAUACAAACACCACUAACAUAUUUCAUAUAUUUAAUGAGUAGUGAUGAUUACAAGCCUAUCUUACAUACAAAAGUGGCUUGGGGUAUCCCUGUCUCUGCUACGACUGGUACUAACCAAAAUUGGGAACAUUUCUUCUAUUACAUAGGGCCGAUACACUUAACUUAGUCUGAAUCCUCGGGCGGUUCAUCCAUAUUUGUGGCAUCCUAGAAUUUCUUGUCAAUCCUUAGAGGUGCUUUAAUUCAUGUUUUGCAUUGAGAUUUUGGCCAAGCUUUUGAUGGGUAAUUAUUUGAUAGGAAAAUUCUAUUUUUGGCCAUGUGAUUUAUGGGUUGAAUUUAUUAAAUUAGGUCACAAAAUUUUGUGAAUUAUAAAUUUCAAUUAGGUGUUUAUAUAAUUAAGGUUUAAGGUGGAUUAUUAGGAUAAGGGUGGGCUGGACAUUUAAAGACCAAACCAGCCCAUAGCCCCACCCCUUUUUCGACCGGCCCACGAAGCCAAGGAGGAGGAGUUGCUGUGGACCAAGGCUGGCCCAAGCCCAGCCGGAUGAAGCCCAUCAUGUGCAUGGGAGAAUUGACAAGUGUUAUUCCCCUAAGUCCAAGCGUCUUGCAUGCAAUCAAAUGAUUGCUCAUCAUUGAAGGGAAGAAAAUAGGAGAACCGGCUUGAUGAUGAGGGGGGAGUGUCGACCGAGAAGGAGAGAGAGAGAGGGUUACCGAGAGAGAGAGAGAGAAAUUGAGAGAGAGGGAGAGUGAGCGUGCGGGAGAAGAAGGAAGGAAGCCGAUUGCCGCCGUUUGCUCAGUUUGGAGGCAAGUGGGAUCCCUUGAUCUACUCUUGCAUGCUGUGCUUAGUGUGUGUGAUUGAAUGGUAACAAUUUCGGAUGUAUAGAAUGUGAAAAAUUGAAGAUAUAAGAGUGGUGUUCUAGUCUAGUAUACUGUUCUUGAGAAAAACAACUCGACCUUGGAUGUUCUAGUGACUUGCAUGUAUGUUCUAGUUGAAUUUUGACUUUGACUUCUAAAUGAAAGUUGUAAAGGACUUCUUGGAGUAUAACAUAAUCAAAUUUGGGAAAAAAAACAAGUAUAAGUGGGUGAAAUUGUUAUAUUUUGGAAAGACUGGAUCUGGAAAUUUUGGUACUAGGAACAGGGGUUUUAACCGUCCAUAUUUAAUUACCUAGGACGAUGGUGUCUUGAUGAAGUAUCUACCUUAUGGUCUUAGCUAUCACAUAGUCAAAUUUUAUAAUUUUUGAAGGUCAUCUGGGUAUUUAAUCGGAAAUGUUUCUAAAACUGUGCAAUCUGAUGUGUUCGGACUUUGUAAGUUGCAAUGCGUGGACUAUAUCGUUUUGUAUGAGGUUCUUUUGGAAAUUUUUUAUGAAUAAAAUAUCUCUAUUCAUGUCUUCCCUACAACAUAUUCAAAUUUCGUAAUUUUUGAAGUUCAUUUGUCUAUUUAACCAAAAAUGUUUCAAAAACUGUGCAAGUUGAACUGUUAAAAUAGUAGUGCUGUGAUGCAUGGUCUAUACCGAGUUAUAUGGGGAUCUUUUGGUGUAGUGUUCUUCAUGAAAUAUCUGCCUUUAUGUCUUGACUAUCACAUGUCAAAUUUCAUAAUUUUUUAAGGUCAUUUGGGUAUUUAAUUAAAAUGUUUUCUAAAACUGUGCAAGCUGGAUUGUGCGAAUUUCAAAAGCUGUAAUGCAUGGACUAUUCUGUUUUGUAUGAAAUUCUGGUGGUGUUGUGUUCUUCAUGAGAUAAAUGCCUCUAGAGCUUGUCUAUGAUGUCUUAAAUUCUUAGAAAUUAUUAGGGCCAAUCACUAAAUUUUAAGAAGUGUAAAUUAAAAGAACCCAUUCCGUUUCUAAAAUAAUAGCAAUAAUCCAUGAGUUUGCCCCAUGAAUUAUAUUGUUUUUAAGUGAUUGAAUCUUGCUGCACAUGUGAUGAUAUUUGGCAUUACAUAUAAAAUAAAAAGCUGAAAUUGACCUUGUUGCCAUCACAUCAUGUGCCAUGUUGAUAUUGAGACACAAUUGUGAAUAUGAAUUAUGAUAAAUGAGGAUACCGUCGGAGGUGUGAGCCGACGAUACCCUGGGAGUGUCGGGAUGCCCGAAGGUGAGUGCCGGAUGCCUGGAGUGUUUGUGCCGGAUGUCCUCGGAAGUUUCGAGAUGCUCAGAGGUGUGUGCCGGAAGCCUCGGAGGUGUGUGCCGGGGGAUACCUCGUGAUGCCAGUCGGGGUACGAGAUGCCCGGAGGUGUGUGCCGGAGGUUCCUCGCGAUGCCAGGUUGGAUGCGAGCGAUAAAAUGUGGGAUGCAAUUACUGGUCCCGGGAAAAAAAAAGUGGUGACCCAAUUGAAAGAUAAAAAGCUAAAAUUGAAUCAUGCAUGGUAUGGUGACAUGUAUGCAUGGCUAUAUGAUGUAAUAUGUAUUAAGUGUAUGGUGGUAUGUGCACAUAAGGCAUGGAUAUGCAUGAAUGCUUGAUGAUGAGUGCAUGGUGGUAUGUGCACAUAAGGCAUGGAUAUGCAUGAAUACUUUAUGAUGAGUGCAUGGUUGUAUAUGCACAUAUGGCAUGACGGUAUAUGCAUGAAUGCUUGAUGAUGAGUGCAUGAUGGUAUAUGCACAUAUGGCAGGAUGACAUAUGCAUGGCUGCAAGGUAAGUUAUGCUUGGACGCAUGAAGGAUAUGUGCUUUGUUUAUGAUGUCAUGAUUGUUCUGUUUGAUGCAUUGAGUGGUUUAAUGGAUUUUUUACUUGUUGAGUGGUUGUACUCAUCCCUUUGGGGACCAACAUUUCAGAUUAGAAAGAUGCCUAUCCCGGUCACGCGGGGUACCUUUUACGGCCUUCCAUCUGACGUGGAGGUCGAGUGUAUGGAGCUUGAUUGUGUCACCAUCCCUGGUUUGACGUUCAUACGGGUUUGUGUGCUCGUGAUGUAUGAUGUGGGCCUAGCUGGGGGCCUGGUCAUCUAGGAGUUCUUGUCUGUACACGUCCGCCGUGACGGAGUGAUGCGGGGGAUGUUGCCGCCGCCACUGCCCGAUGCACCAGGGUGGGUGUGAUGGCCCGCGUGAGGAGUGGGAGCUGACACUUUUUGGGGAUAGCCGACACUUGUAGAUGGAGGGUUAUACGUGAUCGAUAUAGGGGGUCGAGAUCUCUUUUUGAGCUGUAGCCAAGUUUAGCUAAAAGUCUUGGCUUUUUGGUUGUACCGACCCGAGAUGUCCAUCAUGAAAAUAUAAAUAAGAGUGAAUUAGCAUUAUCUUUUCUUAUGGUGCGUAGUUGGUGUGCAUCGUUUUCUGAAUAUAGGGAAAGGAGUUGUUGGAUACGUUUCCACCAUAUUUCUACGCAGGGACCUAUGGAAAAAAAAAUGCCUAUGAACUACGGUUCUUCUUUAACCCCAAAACAAAGAUAUGUAACUGGUAUUCAUUAGGUGGAGCGAUAGGUAUCUGUGGUGGCCUUGCCAGAUCGGGGGUGCCACAAUAUCACUAAGAUUCAGGUUCAGGUUGUCAAACCCACGGAGAGAUCCUAUCCAUAUGUCCUCGCAUUUCCUAUAACAGGCUUCGAAAUGCAUUGAGACAAGCUCACCUAGGCCCUUUUCUAUACAUACAAUGGAUGACGCUUUACAACAAGUAAUAUUAGUUUUUACAUCUACCACGUCCGUAGUAGUGAUAUAUAUCUUUAUAGGGCAACCAAAAUGCACAGUAGCCACGAUUCUAAGUACUUGUAAAAGAAACAAGGGUGAGUACUUGGAAUACUCAGUAAGUAUAGCCUCUGGCCUUCGUAUAGAACAUCGAUUCAUCAUCAACACUAGUUAAUCAUUUCAUGCAAACCAUGGCGGAGGCAAAUCAAUUGCAAAGAUGCAACCAAGCUUCAAGCACAAAUGAAUGACAAUUCUUGCAAUCAUUCGUACAUAUGAUGCAUGCCUUGAGCUCAUGCACUCUAGCCUUUCUUUCAUGCUCAUACAUGCCAUGCUUAUUUGGCUUUUCUCUUGUGUUCGGAACUCGAACCCAAGUCUUCCCAGAGUCGUCUCGGGACUCGAACCCAAUUCAAUUCAGGCUUUUAAAUUGGGCUUCCUGGAGCCGUCUUGGGACUUGAAUCCAAUUCAAUUCGAGCUUUUUAACUGGGCUUCUGGCUUUUUGCCGGUUUUUGGGACUCAAAUCCAGUUAAUAUGCUAUGGACUCGAAUCCAAGUCUUAUGCUAGCCUUUGGGACUCAAACCCAAUUUUUGCCAGGAAUUCAGAGAUUCAAACCACAUUCUUAUAUUUUCUUAUCAUUACUCAAGCACGAAUCCCUUCUUGAGGAUGUACUCGAGCCCUAUGCAUGUGCCAUGAACUAUGCACUUUAUGCUCAAACAUGAUGCAAGUGUUAUGAAAUCAUGAAUUUUCUCAUAAACAACAUCACGAAUGAGCCUAAGCCCAAAGCCCCGCUUGAGUAACAAGCAUAAAGGAACCCCCACACCAAUUCAAGACAUGAAUUCGGUAAGCCUUAAUACCGAAUCACAUCUUAUGGUUAUGAGCGAACCUUGACUUAUAUCGAACAAAAGCUAUGAACCAUGACUUCAUUCUAAUCAUACAAGAAAUUCAAGUACAUGAACAAGUCAUAGAAUACAUCAAUCAUCCAAGAAUCAAUCGACCUACCCUCGGCUUGUUCGCAAGAUGAUUUCUUAAAGUCGAAGACGUCUCGAAUGUUACUAAAAGAAGGGAGAAACUACACUUACUUGGAUGAACCUUGAACUAAAGCUCAAACUACACAAGAUGGGCGGCUUGCUUUGAAGUCCGAAGGAGAGAGGGUGUGAGGAGGAGGAAGGAAGAGGAAAUGGGAGCAAGGUGGUGGAAAUGAGAAGGGGCACCUCAUAGUUAUAGCCCUUAGUGUCAUCAUUACUAAGCCAAGCGGUCCAUUCUAGUGAUCUCAAGUGUCCCGCCUAAUUUUCUUGGGUGGCAAGUCUACUUUACCUCAUGAUUACACCUAGAAGAUGAGUUGGCCAAGCUAAAGGCCUUGCUUGGCAAUCUAAACUCCGAGGCGUCAUCGAUUAUGGCCCGAUUUUCGCUCUUCCAUUAGUCCACCUAUAUGCCACAUUUAAUAGACAUUUAAUGAAGUUUGAUAAUAAUUGUACUAUAGUUGCCAACUCGGCAAUUCUAGAACAUUCAAUCAUUAAUGAUGGCUUGUAUGUCGUUCUCUAAUUGGUCCACUUAUGUGCUGCCUUUUUCUAUAAUCUUCAAAUAUAUUUUGGCCACCAUCAUGACUUUUGACUAUUCAAAGAACAACUCACCCCUUCAUUUAAUGAGGGGAUUCUAGAAUUUUCCUUACUUUUGUCUUUUUCUUCAUUAAUAAGGCGAUCUAGAGAAUUCUAUCAUCCAAGUUUGUUCCAGGGUCGAAGAAGGGAUCAUUAGGUAUACCUCGAAAAUCCAACUCACGUACACUCGAGAUUCGGCCAUCACGUCUCAUAUUCGCUUAAACCGUUCCUUUGGACGGUCGGUCGGCCAAUAGGGUCGGUUGUCCUUUGAUCACUUCAAGACCAAUUCUAAGGCUACCCAUGUCCUAACACUAAGCUAAGGCACUCAUGGACCUUAGAAUUAGUGAUGGAAUAGCCAAGUCCAUCCCUGGACUCAUUCCGGUCAGCAUCCGAUCCACCGGUAGGGUUCAUGAUCAGUGCAUUAUCGAUCCAUGAUCGGACAUCACCAAUUUGAGAUUCUGCUCCAAUCGCUAAGAAUUAAAUAGGGAAUGAUGCAUUUUUGGUCGAAAGAUAAUCGCAUUUGAUCAAUUUGGAUCGUCUAUGUAUUGGUGCAUAACCGAGCGGAAUCACCCGCAACCAGAAACUACAACCGGUUGAUCGACCCAUGACCACCUGCCAUCCAAAACCAUCUCGUGAUCAAUUCUCAUAUCAAAAGUUCAUCGUAUGAGCUGGUGAUCCUAUCUAAUUGGUAUGGUUGGUAGGAAAUUCACGGCCGACACCUUGAUCAAUUUGUGAUUGGUCGGUCGAUCGAUCGAUCGGUUAGUCAAACCAUGACCGAUCCAUGAUUCCUUGCUGAUUGAACCGAUCGAUCCAUGGCCAAUGGCCCAUGAUCGAUCGUUUUAGGAUCUUAUGGCCAAUCUUUAUGGGAUUGGAAUCGAGGAUGUUACAAUGCUCCCUCCCUUUAAAAAUUUCGUCCAUGAAAUUUCAUAACGUACUUGGGUACUCAAAAUAAGUAAGGGUACUUGUGCUUCAUAAUUUCUUCACUUUCCCAAGUAGCCUCUUCCUGUUCCAUGGUGUUUCCGUAGGACCUUAACUAAGGGAAUGGCCCUAUUUCUAAUUACUUGCUCACGUCUGUCCACGAUCCGCACUAGCUCCUCAACAUACGACCCUUGGUCGUCUACCUCGAUCUCUUCGAAGUUGAGCACAUGUGCCAGAUCUGGCUCAUACUUUCUUAACAUGGACACAUGGAAUACAUCGUGUACCUAAGCAAGUUUUUGUGGCAAUGCCAACUGAUAAACCAUAUUCCCUAUCCUUUUUAGGAUUUCAAAAGGUCCUAUGUACCAUGGACUCAACUUACCUUUCUCACCAAAACGAGACAUGCCUUUCAAUGGAGACACCUUGAGGAAUACAUGGUCUCCUACCUGAAAUUCUAAAGGCUUUCGUGUCUUAUCUACAUAACUCUUUUGCUUACUCUGGGUGGCUCUAAGUCUCUUUCCAAUUACUUACAUUGCCUUGUAGUAAGCUGCACCAACUCAGGACCAGUAAGCUUCUUUUCCCCGACCUCAUUCCAACAAAUUGGAGUUCUACAAGUUCGACCAUAUAAUGCUUCAAAUGGAGCCAUACCAAUGCUUUGCUGAUAACUGUUAUUAUAAGCAAAUUCAACGAGAUGCAAGUGCUCGUCCCAGCUUCCUUUAAAAUCAAUUACAUAAGCUCUCAGCAUAUCCUCUAAUGUCUGGAUAGUUCUUUCUGUCUAGCCAUCAGUUUGGGGAUGGAAAGCCGUAUUGUACUGCAGUAUUGUUCCCAAUGCAGCUUAAAGACUUUGCCAAAACAUUGUCGUGAAUUUAGGAUCUCGAUUAGAAGUGAUUGUCACUAGUACUCCAUGGAGACGUACUACUUGUCGUACAUACAAGUGCGCAUAAUCUUCCGAUGAUAAAUCCUUCUUUACCACUAGAAAAUGAGCCGACUUUGUCAAUCGGUCGACUAUUAUCCAAAUCAAGUCAUUUCCUCUUGGACUCCUUGGUAGUUCUAGAACAAAAUCCAUGGUAAUGUGUUCCCAUUUUCAUUUGGGAAUUCCAAGUGGUUGUAAUAAUCCACCAAGCUUGCAACGUUGAGCUUUCACUUGUUGACAUGAUAAGCACUUGGCAACAUGCUUAGCAACAUCCGCCUUCAUGCCAUUCCACCAGUAGUCUAGUACAUCUUCGUAUUACCAAGGUAGAUACUAUAAUUUCUUCGGUGCACUUCCGCCAAAAUUUCUUCCUUGAGCUUAUUGUCAUUGGGUACACACCAAUGUUCACAUAAUUUCAAGGUUCCGUCUUUCGCAAUGCGGAAAUCAUUUCCUUUCUUAUCCCUGGCUUAUUUCUGAAGCUUUUGAAUCUGCAGAUUGACUUGCUGUAAUGUUUUUAUCUUCUGCAUUAUUUCUUGCUCAAUUCUAAGUGUUGCUAGUAAGCUUGAAGUCAGAAUCUUGGACUUCUUCUAAGAGAUUCCAUUCUCGAGCCAUCAUUCGUGCAAGGCAUCCGCAACUCGAUUUGCUUUGCCAGGAUGGUAUAAUAUUUCACAAUCAUAGUCUUUCAGAAAUUCCAUCCAUCGCCUUUGCCGCAUAUUCAACUCCUUUUGGGAGAAUAAAUACUUCAAGCUUUGAUGAUCAGUGUAUAUUACGAACCUUUCUCCGUAGAGAUAAUGUCACCAUAUCUUCAAAGCGAAAAUAAUCGCAGCUAGCUCCAGGUCAUGAGUUGGGUAAUUCAACUCAUAGGGCUUCAAUUGCUUGGACGCAUAGGCCACCACUUUACCAUGCUGCAUUAACACACAACCAAGUCCCUUAUGCAAGGCAUCACUGUAUAUUUUAAAACCUCAUGAUCUAGACGAAAUUGUGAACACCGGAGCCGUUGUAAGUUUCCGUUUUAAUUCUUGAAAACUCCGUCCACAUUUAUCCGUCCACUCGAACUUCACAUCCUUCCUUAGUAAUCGAGUGAGGGGAGCAGCAAUGCUAGAGAAUCAUUCCACGAAUCUCCGAUAAUAUCCAACCAAACCACGGAAACUUGAAAUUUCGACAACCCUAGUUGGUCUUGGCCAAUUUAUUACUAUUUCCACCUUGGCAAGGUCUAUUGAUAUCCUUUCACCAGUCACCACAUGGCCCAGAAAUACCACGCUAUUUAACCAUAACUCGCACUCACUGAAUUUUGUGUAUAGUGCGUGUUCUCGAAGCGUUUGCAACACCAUUCUCGAGUGUUGCUCAUGUUUUGUCGUAUUCUUUGAAUAGAUCAGAAUGUCGUCAAUAAAUACUAUGACGAAGUGAUCCAAGUACAACUUGAAUACUUGGUUCAUGAGAUCCAUGAAAGCUGCUAGGGCAUUUGUCAAACCAUAUGGUAUAACGGAAAAUUCGUAAUGACCAUACCGAGUUCUGAAGGCCAUCUUCAGAAUAUCUUCUUUCUUGAUUCUCAACCGAUGAUAUCCUGAGCGUAAAUCAAUCUUAGAAAGUACCACCGCUCUUUGAAGUUGAUCGAACAAGUCAUCGAUAUGUGGCAAUGGAUACUUGUUCUUGACGGUAACUUAAUUCAACUGUUGAUAGUUGAUACAGAGACAUAACGACCCAUCUUUCUUCUUUACGAACAGGACUGGCGCACCCCAAGGUAAGGUACUAGGGCGUACAAAACCCUUAUCAAGUAACUCUUGUAAUUGCACCUUCAACUCCUUAAGCUCCACCAAAGACAUUCGGUAUGGUGCUUUAGAAAUAGGUUUCGUUCUCAGAACUAGCUCAAUAGUGAACUCUAUCUCCCUUUCAGGUGGUAAUCCCCGUAGCUCCUUUGGAAAUAUGUCAGGAAACUCCCGCACCACGGGGAUAUCAUCCAACUUUGGUUCUUCAACUAACUUAUUUUCUACGGUUGCUAAGUAACCUCGGCAACCCUUCUUAAGAAGUCGUACUGCUUUUGUUACAGAAAUCAGAGGCGUUGAGGGUCCUCCUCCAUUUCUGAUAAAUUGAUAGUCGAUUCCAUUUGGUGGACUAAACUUGAUUAUCUUGCCAUAGCAGUCCACUUUGGCUCGUUGUUUACGAAGCCAAUCCAUUCCAAUAAUAGCAUCGAAAUCACACAUAUCUAAUACGGCUAAAUCUAUUCUUCCCUCUUGUCCACUUAUGACAAUUCUACACUCCUUACAUUCCAUAGUGGACAACAUUUCAUGUCUCAUCGGGGUGGAUAUACUAAGAAUUAUCGUAAGGGGUUCGAGCUUCAAUCCUACCGUACACACAAAUCUCUCCGAUACAAAGGAAUGCGUUGCACCCGUAUCAAACAAGACAUAAGUCGGAUGAUUGUGUAAAGAGACCAUACCUGUGAUAACGGUCUUGGAGUUCUCUACUUCUCUUUGUGUCACUGCAUACACUUGUCCUUGAGCUAAAGGACAAUUAUGUUGCGUAGAACUCCAUUGGAUGUCAUCGGCUGUUGUUGUGAUGGCAGUAAAAUUUGUCGCCUUUGAGGGCAAUCCCUCAACAUAUGGCCGGGUUGGCCACAACCAUAACAUACUCCUUUUUCUAGCUAAACAAGGGGCAUUACCAUGCUGUUUUCCAUAGUUACAGCAUACUUCAGACAACACCACAUUCACUUUUUGCUUCUUACUCUUUUUAAACAUGUGCUUUCCUCCUAGCGCGAACCUUUUGCCUUGUCGUUGAUUAGGAUGGAAGGUCAAAUAAGAAGACCUCCCUUGGAAAUUUGAUGCCGCGACGCGUUCUUGUCAAUCCUUUUUCAACCAACUAAGCCCGUUCAUACAAUUCAUUAUAAUCUUUAAGAUUUAAGGGUACCAGCUAACUUCGAAUGUCAGGUUUGAGGCCAUAUUUGAAUCUUUAGCUCGAUCAAUUGGGUUCUCAAUCAAUCGAGAAGCAUACUUUGAUAAUUCGGUAAAUUUGGCCUCACGCUAAUCCACUAUCAUGUUUCACUAGUGCAAGUGCAAAAAUUCGGCCAUCUUUCUAUCUCGAGCACUUUCAGAAAAAUACUUGUUGUUAAAGGCCGGCACAAAGGCAUCCCAAGUCAUAGGAGCACCUUUAGGAAAUAUUAUCCUCUUAGUGGCUCUCCAUCAAUGACUGGCAUUACCCUGUAAUCGAUACACUACCAAGGUCACUUAUCCUCAUUAGAACACCUUAAAAGAUCAAAGAUUUUCUUGAGCUCUUCAAUCCAAGACUCAGCCUCAUCAAUGUUUCCGGUUCCAGCAAACUUUGGAGGCUUUAAUUUUAGGAACUGUUCGACCAAUCCACUCUUUGGACGGUCUCCAAAUUCAUCUCCAUUUGAGGUGUUAGUGGAAACAGAGGCUUGCUGCUAUUGAACUUGCUAUUCCAUCAAGCUCCCAACAUUAGUCAGAACUUGCAGAAUUCCAUCAAGUCGGGGGUCCUACCUUGAUUUUCCUUUCAAAGCAUUUGGGUCUUGAGCUGAUUUUCCAUGGGUAGUCACUGGGUCUUGGGAACUCAUACUAGUUACUAAGGAAUACGGCUAUAGAGUUCUAGAGGAUUUAUCUACAAUACAAUCAAAAUCAAUAACUUUCAUAAAAAAGAAAAAAGAAAAAAAAAGAACAUCAAGCAAACAAUCAUAUAUCAUGCAUGUGAUCUUCCUAAUUUUUUAUCCCACGCUUCCCAGCGCACCUUAUGACUCCUGGUAAUAACCCCUACUCUGAUACCACAACCUGUCACAACCCCCUUUACUCAGAGGUUGAGCUGCAGGUUAUUUUGCAACAUACCAGGCUUUGUCGCCAUCCUGAAUUCAUUUGCUUCUUAUUUAUGCACAUGUGGAAAGCGUAAACAUACAAUCCCCAAUGCAAAUAACAUGGAAACAUGAGAUACAAACACAAAACACAACUAACAUAUUUCAUAUAUUACAUGAAUAGUGAUGAUUAUAAGCCUAUCUUACAUACAAAAGUAGCUUUGGGUAUCCUUGUCUCUGCUACGGUGAGUUCUAACCAAAAUUGGGAACCCUUCUUCUAUUACAUAGGGCUAGUACGCUUAACUUAGUCCGAAUCCUCGGAUGGUUCAUUCAUAUCACUGAGAUUCGGGUUCAGGUUGUUAAACUCGCGGAGAUUUCCUAUCCAUAUGUCCUCGUAUUUCCUAUACUAGGCUUCGAAAUGCAUUGGGACAAGCUCACCCAGCCCCUUCUCUAUCCAUACAACGGAUGACACUUUGUAAUAAGUAAUAUCAGUUUUUAUAUCUACCACGUCCGUAGUAGUGGUAUAUAUCUUUAUAAGGCAACCAAAAUACGUAGUAGCCAUGAUUCUAAGUACUUGUAAAAGAAACAGGGGUGAGUACUUGGAAUACUCAGUAAGUAUAGCCUCUGGCCUUCGUAUAGAACAUCGAUUCAUCAUCAACACUAAUCAAUCAUUUCAUGCAAACCAUGACGGAGGCAAAUCAACUACAAAGAUGCAACCAUGCUUCAAGCACAAAUGAAUGACAAUUCUUGCAAUCAUUCGUGCAUAUGAUGCAUGCCCUGAGCUCAUGCACUCUAGCCUUUCUUUCUUGCUCAUGCAUGCCAUGCUUAUUUAGCUUUUCUCUUAUGCUCCCAAGUCUUCCCGAAGCCGUCUUAGGACUUGAACCCAAUACAAUUCGGGCUUUUUAACCGGGCUUCUGGCUUUUUGCGGGCUUCUGGGACUCAAUCCUAGUUAAUAUGCUCGGGACUUGAACCCAAGUCUUAUGCUAGCCUCUGGGACUCGAACCCAGUUCUUGCUAUGAAUUCAGGGAUUCAAACCCCAUUCUUAUCUUUUCUUAUGUUUGCUCAAGCACGAAUCCCUUCUUGAGGAUGUACUAAAGUCUUAUGCACAUGCCAUGAACUAUGUACUUUAUGCUCAAACAUGAUGUACGUACCAUGAAAUCAUGAAUUUUCUCAUCAACAAUAUCACGAAUGAGCCUAAGCCCAAAGCCUUAUUUGAGUAACAAGUAUAAAGAAACCCCGCACCAAUCCAAGACAUGAAUUUAGUACGCCUCAAUACCGAAUCACAUCUUAUAGCUAUGGGCGAACCUCAACUUGUACUAAACAAAAGCAAUGAACCAUGACUUCAUUCUAGUCACACAAGGAAUUCAAGAACAUGAACAAGUUAUAGAAUAUAUCAAACAUUCAAUAGUCAAUUGACCUACCCUCGGCUUGUUCAAGAGAUGAUUUCCUAGAGUUGAAGACGUUCCGAAUGUUACUAAAAGAAGGGAGAAACUACACUUUCCUGGAUGAAUCUCGAACUACACAAGAUGGGCGGCUUGCUUUGAUGACCGAAAGAGUGAGAGAGUGGGCGUGAGAGGAGGGGCGACUAAGGAGGAGGAAGAAGGAGGAAAUGGGAGCAAGGUGAGGAAAUGAGAAGAGACUCCUCCUAUUUAUAGCCCUUGGUAUCAUCAUUACUAAGCCAAGUAGUUCAUUCCAAUGUUUUCAAGUGUCCCACCUAAAUUCUUUAGGUGGCAAGUCUACCUUGCCUCAUGAUUACACCUAGAAGAUGAGUUGGCUAAGCUGAAGGCCUUGCUUGGCAAUUCAAGCUCCUAGGCGUCAUCGAUUAUGGCCUACUUUUCGCUCUUCCAUUGGUUCGCCUAUAUGCCGCAUUUAAUGGACAUUUAAUGAAGCUUGACAAUAAUUGCACUAUAGUUGCCAACUCGGCAAUUCUAGAACAUUCAAUUAUUAAUGAAGGCUUGUGUGUCACUCUCUAAUUGGUCCACUUAUGUGCCACCCUUUUUAGAAUCUUCAAAGAUAUUUUGGCCACCAUCAUGACUUUUGAUUAUUCAAAGAAAAACUCACCCCUUCAUUUAAUGAGGGGCUUCUAGAAUUUUCCUUACUUUUGUGUUUUUCUUCAUUAAUAAGGCAGUCUAGAGAAUUCUAUCAUCAAAGUUGGUUCUGGGACUGGAGAAAUGAUUAUUAGGUACACCUCAAAAAAUCAAAUCACAUACACCCGAGGUUUGGCCAUCACGACUCAUACUCGCCCAAACCGUUCCUUUGGACGGUCAGUCAGCUAAUAGGGUCGGUUGUUCUUUGAUCGGUUCGAGACUAAUUCUAAGGCUACUCAUGGCCUAGCACUAAGCCAAGAAACAUAUGGACCUUAGAAUUGGUGAUGGAAUACCCGGGUCUAUCCUUGGGCUCAUUUCGGUUGGCACCCGAUCACCAGUAGGGCUCAUGGUCGGUGCAUUACCGAUCCAUGAUCGAACAUCACCAAUUCAAGAUUUUGUUCAGAUCACUAAGAAUUAAAUAGGGAAUGAUGCAUUUUUGGUUAGAAGAUGAUCACAUUUGAUCAAUUUGGAUCAUUCGUGUAUAAGUGCAUAAUUGAGCGGAAUCACUCGCGACCAGAAACUAAACUGGUCCGAUCAACCCAUGACCAUCCGUCAAUCCAAAAUCAUCCCGUGACCAAUUCUCGUGAUCAAAAGGUCAUCUUAUGAGCUGGUGAUCCUAUCCAAUCAAUAUGGUCGAUAGAAAUUCACGGCCGACACUUCGACCAAUUCAUGACUGGUCAAUCGGUCGGUCAAUCAGUUAGUCGGACCAUGACCGAUCCCUAAUUCCUUGCCAAUCGAACUGAUCGAUCCAUGGCCGAUGUGUGGUAUCCGGAAAUUUUGACGACCCUCGAAUAUGUGACGGUCCUUGACUGAGCGACGGAAGUAUCGUCGGAUGAUGUUAUCGACACCACAACGGACAUCAUUUUGUUAUCGUCAUCGGACCAAUGUGCCUUGUUUAGUAAUGGUCCGAUCAUCGAAUAAAUCAUAGUCUUAUUGGAAACCUUUCAUAUGUUCAAGCGAGACCAAGACUCGUUCCAAAUGAUUCUUGACCCUGCCAACUCGGGUAUGCCAAUGAAAAAACACCCAAGGAUCGGCCAUCGGGAGCUGCCCAUUUUCUCAUGUGCAUGAGAAAUAGGAAACCUCGAAUACUUCAUGCAUGUUUAUAUUUUUCUAUAGGCAGCUAACAAAAGGAAGAUUGGAUCACGCAUGGGGGCUGUUUUCUCAUCCAAGCUGCCCUACGAAUUUGUGUUUAUUGACUAAAGAAGUCAAUUAACUUAAGAGAACGUCCAAAAGCGUGCAUGCGGACGUGAGGAAUCGUAACCACCGAAGGACAGCUCCAUAUUGCUUUUCUUUUAUAUGGCCGGUCAAUUAUGGAAGAGGAUUAUUGAUUAAACGCCAGGUUGCUCUUCUUUCGGUGGACAACAAAAAGGGAGGAUGUGGCUUUGCGGAAGACACGCCCUGCAUGAAGAGUCGAGUUGGCUCGGCAAGGAGAGGGACUCGCAUGCAGGAGGCCACGUACACCCCAGCUGUCUUCGGUUCCUGCACCCACCGAAAGAAGCCCCAUGCAGUUGACUAAAUUGUCAACAAAGUGAGGAACAAAACCCUCGUACACAGAGGGGAAGAGAGAGAAGGAACCGAAUGAAACUUGGGCAAAGAGAGAAACCGAGAGUGAGCGGGUGAGGGAGUGAGAGAGAGAGAGAGUUUGGGCGAGAGUGAGCAGCGAGUGGGUGAACGGCGAAGAGGAAGAAGGGACCGCCUUCUGCCGUGCUCAAGCUGCCGCUGUCGAUGCCGCUAGUCUCCGCGCCGUUGAGCCAAGCCCGAGAUCCACGAGCCCCUGUUUUUGGCCAGCAAUCAAGUAGAGAGGUUUAAAGGCAAGUAGAAGUUCUUCAAUCUAUGUUUUGCUUGCUGUUUUAUCUACCUAAGAGUUGGUAGAUGUGAGAAAAUGUGGAAUUUGGAGUUGCAUGUCGAUUUGUGAUGAAGGAGAUGAAGCUGGACUAAGAAACCGAGCAAAAACAGAGCAUGCAUUGUGGAUUUCGAAUUUGAGAUGGAACAAGAAUUUAAAAAUCUGACUAUGGAGGGUUUUUGGAAGUGAUAAGGCUGUGUUACAGUGUAAUACACUUGUAUCUAUUUGACUGUGGAUGUUGGAGGUCGAAAUUUAAGGAGUAGGAGAAACUCUCAUUAGGUUAAUGGACUGUUUUGUGGAGAACAGUGUGACCCUCGGUGACCUUUUGAUUUUUCUGUAAUUAUCUAGCCACAAUUUGAUUUCGAGUUCUUGAUGAAAGUUUUAGGGAAUAUCCUCAUGAAAAACAUAUAAAAAAUUCAGAGAAAAAUAACAAGGUAUGACCAUCGAAAUAAUUUUCCUAUGAAAAUAUCAAAUCUGAAAUUUUUACAGAAUGAUGGUUAAGAAGAAAAUAGAGAUUUUACCCUCGUUACAUAAGGAAUAUGACCUAGUGGAAUUCUUGAGAUUUGUUCCUCUAGGUUUCAUGGAUAACGUGUCAAAAUUUCAUAAUUUUCUGAGCCCGUUUAGUAAUUAAUUCGGAAUUGUUACCAGAACUGCGCAAUUGUAGAAAUUAAGCUGCUAUUUCGAGAUUUCCACAGAAAUUGUCCUAUAAGAAGUAUGGUUUUCGAAUUGCUAUGUGACUCGGUGAUGCUGAUGGUGGGAUAUUGUGAUUGAUAAAAGGUUCAUGAGAUAUCUUGUUUGACACAUGAUGAUGCAUUUGUGAAUUAAAAUGCGAUUUGUUUGAUAAAAGGUUCAUGAGAUAUCUUGUUUGAUAUAUAUGAUGCAUUGGUGAAUUAAAAUGCGAUUUUUUACCCAUCGAACCCUCGAGGUUCCUCGUGAUGCCAGGUGGGGUACGAGAUGCCUGGAGGCGUGAUUCGCUCCAGAUGCCCGGUGGCCCUAAGUGGUUGAAUGCCGGAGGCUUUCGCGAUGCCUGGAGGGAUGCGAAUGCCGGAGGGACGCAAGCACUGAUCCUCCGGGAAUGAAACCCUUUUGAAUGAUAAAUUGAAUGAUUCUACUAUAAAUGUGUGGGGUCUGGAUAUAAGACCGAGUGUAUGGCAUGGAACGGAACAUGAUAUUUUAGUUUGGCCCUAUGAUUGAAAUUUGUCUAUCUUGGAUAUGUUAUCAUCACAUGGAAGGAUUUUAUGAUUUUGGUGCAUACCUAUCCUCUAUUUCUUGUCUUGUCUACUAUACUUGAAUCUGGAUAUUAAUAGUAAUGCUUGAUAUAGCUUGAUGAAUCUUUUAUUGCCGAGUGGUUGUACUCACCCCGUUUGGGGACUAACAUUUCAGACUAAGUCAAGAUACCUUUGCUACCACCGCCACCAGUAGAUGGACCGAGUGAUUGAAUAUGACCAUGAGGAGGAGGACAGCAGAGGAAGGAACUUUUGGAUGCCAACACUGAUCGAUAAACUUUAAGUAUACGACUGUUGGAAAAGAUGUUGGUCUUCUUUUGAAGUAUAGCCAAGUAUAGAAGAUUAUGGCAUUUUGGUGUACCAACUAAAGAUGUCCAUCUAGUUUUAUGUGAAUAAAAGUGUUCGGCUUAUUACUUAUAAAUGUGUUUAGUUGGUGUGUAUCGCUUUAAUUUAUGAAAGGGGAGUUGAUGGAUGUGCGUCCGUUAUAUAUAUACUGUGCAGGGACCGAUUGAGUGAUAUAAACCCCUAGGACUUAUGGACCCACUAUAAUUUUAUGGUAUCAUAGUGACAUAUUAUCAAGACAACUGAAAGGAAAUCGAACUGUGGCGACCCUGACGGAUCGGGGGCCGUUCGGGAGGUGCCACACGAUGGCCCAUGAUUGAUCCUUUUAGGACCUUAUGACCGAUCCUUAUGAGGUUGGAAUCAAGGAUGUUAUAGGUACACGAUGUAUUCCAUGUGUUUAUGUUGAGAAAGUAUGAGCCAAACCGGCACAUGUGCUCAACUUUUAAGAGAUUGAGGUAAAUGACCAAGGGUCGUAUAUUGAGGAGCCAAUGUGGAUCGUGGAUAAACAUGAACAAGUAAUCAGAAACAAUGCCAUUCCCUUAGUCAAGGUCCUAUGGAAACACCAUGGAACAGAAGAGGCUACUUGGGAAAGUGAAGAAAUUAUGAAGUGCAAGUACCCUCACUUAUUUUGAGUACCUAGGUACGUUAUGAAAUUUCGGGGAAGAAAUUUUAAAGUGGGGAGAAAUAUAACAUCCUUGAUUCCGACCCCGUAAGGAUCAGCCAUAAGGUGCUAAAAGGAUCGAUCAGAGGCCAUUGGCCAUGGAUCGAUUGGUUCGAUUGGCAAGGAAUCAUAGAUCGAUCAUGUUUCGAUUGAUCGACUGACUGAUCGACCAGUCCUGAAUUGGUCAAGGCAUCGACAGUGAAUUUCUACUAAUCAUAUCGAUGGGAUAGGAUCACCAGCUCAUAAGAUAACUUUUUUAUCACGAGAAUUGGUAAUGGGAUGAUUUUGGAUUGGUGGAUGGUCAUGGGUCGAUCCGACCAAUCAUAGUUUCUGAUCGCGGGUGAUUACGCCUGGUUAUGCAUUGAUACACGGACAAUCCGAAUUGAUCAAAUGUGACUGUCUUCCAACCAAAAAUGCAUCAUUCCCUAUUUAAUUCUUAGUGAUUGAAAUAGAAUCUCGAAUUGGUGAUGUUCGAUCAUGGAUCAAUAAUGCAUCGACCAUGAGCUCUAUCAGUGGAUCAAGUGCCGAUCGGAAUGAGCCUAGGGAUAGACCCAACUAUUUUGUCACUAAUUUUAAGGUCCAUGAGUGCCUUGGCUUUGUGCUAGACCUUAGGUAGCCUUAGGACUGGUCUCAAACCGAUCAAAGGACAACUAAUCCUAUUUGUCAACCGACCAUCCAAAGGAACGGUUUGGGUGAAUAUGGGGUGUGACGGCAGAACCUCAGGUGUACGUGAUUCAAUUUUUUGAGGUGUACCUAAUGAUCCAUUCUUCGGUCUCGGAACCAGCUUGGAUGAUAGAAUUCUCUAGACUGCCUUAUUAAUGAAGAAAAAGACAAAGGUAAGGAAAAUUCUAGAACCCCCUCAUUAAAUGAAGGGGUGAGUUGUUCUUUGAAUAGUCAAAAGUCAUGAUGGUGGCAAAAAUAUCUUUGAAGAUUCCAGAAAAAGGCAGCACAUAAGUGGACCAAUUAGAGAGCGACAUACAAGCUCUCAUUAAUGAUCGAAUGUUCUAGAAUUGCUGAGUUGGCAACUAUAGUACAAUUAUUUUCAAACUUCAUUAAAUGUCUAUUAAAUGUGACAUAUAGGUGGACCAAUGGAAGAGCGAAAAGCAGGCCAUAAUCGAUGACACAUAGGAGCUUAGAUUGCCAAGUAAGGCCUUUAGCUUGGCCAACUCAUUUUCUAGGUGUAAUCAUGAGGCAAAGUAGACUUGCUACCCAAAGAAUUUAGGCAGGACACUUGGAAACAUUGGAAUGGACCGCUUGGCUUAGAAAUGAUGACACCAAGGGUUAUAAAUAGGAGGAGCCCUUCUCAUUUCCUCACCUUGCUCCCAUUUCCUCCUCCCUCCUCCUCCUUAGUCGCCCUCCUCCUCACACCCUCUCUCUCUCUCCUUCGGCCUUCAAGCAAGCCGCCCAUCUUGUGUAGUUCAAGCCUUAGUUCGAGGUUCAUCCAAGUAAGUGUAGUUUCUCCCUUCUUUUAGUAAUGUUUGAGAUGUCUUUGACUCUAGAAAAUCCUCUUGUGAACAAGUCGAGGGUAGGUUGAUUGAUUCUUGGAUGUUUGACAUAUUCUAUGAUUUGUUCAUAUACUUGAAUUUCUUGUAUGACUAGAACGAAGUCGCGGUUCAUAACUUUCGAGCGGUACAAGUCGAGGUUCACCCAUAGCCAUAAAUGUGAUUUGGUAUUGAGGCAUACCGAAUUCAUGUCUUGGAUUGAUGCGGGGUUCCUUUAUGCUUGCUACUUGAGUGGAGCUUUGGGCUUAGGCUUGUUCGUGAUGUUAUUGAUGAGGGAAUUCAUGAUUUUAUAGCACACACAUCAUGUUUGAACAUAAAGUGCAUAGUUCAUGGCAUGUGCAUAAGACUUGAGUACACCCUCAAGAAGGGGUUUGUGCUCGAGCAAAGAUAAGAAGAGAUAAGAAUGGGGUUUAAGUCCCUGAAUUCCUAGCAAGAACUGGGUUCGAGUCCCAAAGGCUAGCAUAAGACUUGGGUUCGAGUCUUGAGCAUAUUAAUUGGGUUUGAGUCACAGAAGCCGGCAAAAAGCCAGAAGCUCGAUUAAAAAGUCCGAAUUGAAUUGGGUUCGAGUCCCAAGACGACUUUGGGAAGACUUGGGUUUGAGUCUCGAGCACAAGAGAAAGGCUUAAUAAGCAUGGCAUGCAUGAGCAAGAAAGAAAUGCUAGAGUUCAUAAGUUCAGGGCAUGCAUUAUAUGCACAAAUGAUUGCAAGAAUUGUCAUUCACUUGUGCUUGAAGCUUGGUUGCAUCUUGCAAUUGAUUUUCCUUCGCCAUGGUUUGCAGGAAAUGAUUGACUAGUGUUGAUGAUGAAUCGAUGUUCUAUUCAAAGGCCGGAAGCUAUACUUACUGAUUAUUUUAAGUACUCACCCCUGUUUCUUUUAUAGGUACUUAGAACCAUGGUUACUGUGCAUUUUGGUUGCCCUGUAAAGAUAGAUACUACUAUGACGGACGUGAUAGAUGUAGAAACUAAUAUUACUUAUUGUAAAGUGUCAUUCAUUGUAUGGAUAGAAAAGGACUUGGGUGAGCUUGUCCCAAUGCAUUUUGAAGUUUGGUAUAGGAAAUAUGAGGACAUAUGGAUAGGACUCUGCGGGUUUGACAACCCAACCUCGAAUCUUAGUGAUAUGGAUGAACUAUCCGAGGCUUCAGACUAAGUUUAGGUGUAUCGGCUCUAGGUAAAAGAAGAAGGGUUCCUACUUUUGGUUAGUACCUAUCAUAGCAAAGACAGGGAUACCCCAAGCCACUUUUGUACAUAAGAAAGGCUUGUAAUCAUCACUACUCAUAUAAUAUAUGAAAUAUGUUAGUGGUGUUUGUAUCUCACGUUUCCAUGUUAUUUGUGUUGGGAAUUGUAUGUUUACGCUUCCCACAUGUGCAUAAAUAAGAAGCAAAUGAAUUCAGGACGGCGACAAAGCUUGGGAUGUCGCAAAAUAACUUGCAGUUCAACCUCUGAGUAAAGGGGGUUGUGACAUUAGUGGUACGGAUUGACAUAGGUGCACCGAAGUAGAUCUCUCAUCAAUUUGUUGCCUAGUACACCAACAUUGAUGGGGAGUUGGUUGGAUCACUUAGGAACUUCGAUGGUCCUCCCAGUUUCGACAACAAUAGCAUGCCAAUUGGCAAAUUUGUCGAUCUGUAGUAUAGUAGCAUGGAUGUGACCUGACCUUCUUCUGAAAGUUAUUGUGUUGUAUUAUGCUUAUUAUUAGUACUUGUACUAAUACUUGGAAAAGGUUUAUGAAAGGAAAAUUUGUCUUUGUGAAUCAUUCAACUCAUGAGAUUUCUUGUAGGGGAUGUUGUGAAAAUUCCAUUGUACUUCCACAUGUUAAUAAUAAAUAUAAUUUAUAAAUUGGAAAAGACACAUCGCGUGACGUUUUGGAACGUCACAAAUAGUCCCCAUAACAAACACCAUAGAAGGAUCAUUGAUAACCCUUCAUUUUUAUCUCUUGAGUUUCACGGAUUUUCUUGAAUUCAUUUCUAAUUGGGCAAAUACCAAUAAAAAAACUCAAAUUGUACUCACUAUGACAUAAAUAUCCUAAUUUUUUGUCACCAAAAAUUCCAAACAUGAUACAAAUACUCCCAACUUUUUUUUAUUUCACAACAAAAUUCAAACUUACACACGUAUGAAUUGUCACAUUGGUAUAAGAUUUGGGCUUUUUAUGACUAAAAACAGUUUAGAGUACUUGCAUCAUAAUUGGCAAUUUUAGAAUUUUUAGUAACAAAAAGGAAAGUCUGAUAUUUGUGUAUACUGAACACAAUUUAGGUUUUUUUAUUAAUUAAUCUUUUCUGAGUUGUCGCUUAUUAAAAAGAAACAGCGGCGGCAGCAUCAAUGCUGAUGUCCACACGUUCUGUUUCUCACGCUCGUGGGAUCCAAUGUCCAUGGAGUACCACAUGAAGAGACCUUUCAGACACACGAAUACUUCUAUUUCAUAAGAAAUCAUGCGCGCUUCCGUUCCUUCCCAGGCGUCCGAUGGAGCCUGCGAACCGAACAACACCGCUAGUUCAUCGAAAGAAGAUGGUUCAAAAAAUCGCGCAAAUAAAGAAUAUGGAUAAAACCAGAACAGCCAAACAUCAUCCCGCGUACAAUGCACAACCUUCGUGCAUGUUUAUGUCCUUUAUAAGUCCGAGUGAAUAGGAGGCAGGGAAGUGAAGUUGCAGAAAUGGUAGGCGUGGACAGGUACUAAAGUACCACCUAUGUAUGUCCUUAUUGUGAUCCCUCACUUGUUAGAAUAAUAUAAAAUUGAUUGUUGAAGAUUUGAGCAUAUUGGAUUUGUUGUUAGUAUUCUUCAAAAUGCUUGAUCUCUGGUGAGUGUCAGAAGAAGAUUGAAGACGAAAGAAUAUUGGCACAAUUUAUGGUGGGCUAUAUUUGAGUAGCCCCUCUACCAUUCAACGAGUAAAUGCUUUCAUAUUGAAAAGGAAGGGUCUUGUCUUUUUUUUUUCUUUUGUCAAAGAACAUGAGGUUUCUUCGUAAGAAGCAAGGACUUCAUGUCUCUGUCUCAUUUGUUCUUCAUGUGUUUUUUCUUCACUUUGUGGACUAUCGGCACGAUUUAAGGUGGGCCAUGUUUGAGUAGCCCCUCCACCAUUCAACAAGGAGUGAAUACUUUUAUAUUGAAAAGGGAGGGUCUUGUCUUCUUUUUUUCUUUUGUCAAAGAAAAUGAGGUUUCUUCUUAAGAAGCAAGGACAUCAUGUCUCUGUCUCAUUUGUUGUUCAUGUAUUUUUUCUCCACUUUGACAAAAGAAAAAAAAGAAGACAAGACCCUCCCUUUUCAAUAUGAAAGCAUUUAGUCGUUGAAUGGUAGAGGGGCUACUCAAAUAUAGCCCACCAUAAAUCGUGCCGACAUUCUUUCGUCUUCAAUCUUCUUCUGACACCCACCAGAGAUCAAGCAUUUUGAAGAAUACUAACAACAAAUCCAAAAUGCUCAAAUCUUCAACAAUCAAUUUUAUAUUAUUCUAACAAGUGAGGGAUCACAAUAAGGACAUACAUAGGUGGUACUUUAGUACUAGUCCACGACUACCAUUCUGCAACUUCACUUCCCUGCCUCCUAUUCACUCGGACUUAUAAAGGGCAUAAACGUGCACGAAGGUUGUGCAUUGUAUGCAGGAUAAUUUUCAACGAUGGUCAACGCUAGAUUGACUGGGUUGACUUUUUGUUUGAAUUUUGUUCUAUUUUUUUUUCUAGUUUUGCCCAAUUUAAACAAAACCAAACAUUUCUUCAUGAAUUGGAUCAAAUGAGAUGCAAGUGGGCUAUCUCAAGUCGAUUAAUUGUGCACAAAAUUUUUAAAUCCAUUGAAUUCUUAUUGAAGGGAGGCCACAAGCUAAACUCAUAUUUUUAAUUGAACCUCAAUUGGCCAAAUUGAAGCUCAAUUAUUUCAAUUACAUUCUAGUCUAGAAUGGGCCAAGUCAAAUUAUAUCAAUUGAAGCAUCUUAGUAGGGUUUUCUAAUCUCUGAAUAGGUCAAAUCAACCAAACUAGAAUGUACCCAAGUGAAUCUCUCAAAAUUGACCCUAGAUUUGGACUUAUCUCAAGAAUAUGAGUGAAAUGCAUACGUUCGUUCGUAGGUCAUGAAUAAUCGAUUUUAGUCCCCUAAUUAAGGCUCAAAACGGCAAUUCGUAUUUUGACUCGAUAAAUUGCGCAAUUGAAUGCUCAAAUAGGUUUUAGAUAGUCCCUAAACCAAAUGUCAAAGAAUGAACCAUACCUAAUUAUGACUAGAAUAAAAGUAAUUUUAUUUUUGAUCGAUUUAGAACCUAAAACUGAAAAAUUUAGAAAUCACGAUUCUUAAUCGAAUUUUGUGAAAUUUUUGACACAAAAGUCAAAUUAGCAUUAAAAGAAAUAUAUUUGUGUAUUUUUUUUUUGUCAAAGGUUUGACAAAAAGUCAACCGUUUAGUUGACUUUUGUUAAAAAGUUGAUUUUUUGGUCAAAUCUUUGAAUCUUCAAGAAAUUCAUUUGAAAAAAGUGAAAUUAAAGCUAAGUGGAAUUUUUUUGGGAAAAAGUCAAUUUUUGACCUGAGGUUAACUUUUUGUUGACUUUUGGUCAAAGGGCUGACCAAAAAGUCAACCUGAAAGUCAACAGUUUGACUUUUUGGGUUUUUCUUGAAAAUGAACUAAAAACUGUUUAAAAAUGACAAUGCAAAAGAACGAAAUGAAAAACGACAUUUUUUUGGUCGAGAGAACAGAAGGCAGGGAAGUGAAGUUGUAGAAAUGGUAGUCGUGCACGUUUAUGUCCUUUAUAUAAUGCACAACCUUCGUGCACGUUUAUGUCCUUUAUAAGUCCAAGUGAACAGAAGGCAAGGAAGUGAAGUUGCAGAAAUGGUAGGCGUGGACUGGUACUAAAGUACCACCUACGUAUGUCCUUAUUGUGAUCCCUCACUUUUUAGAAUAAUAUAAAAUUGAUUGUUGAAGAUUUGAGCAUGUUGGAUUUGUUGUUAGUAUUCUUCAAAAUGCUUGAACUUUGGUGGGUGUCAAAAGAUUGAGACGAAAGAAUAUCGGCAUAAUUUAUGGUGGGUUGUGUUUGAGUAGCCCCUCCACCAUUCAACACGGAGUAAAUGCUUUCAUAUUGAAAAGGGAAUGUCUUUUUUUUUUUCUUUAGUCAAAGAACAUUAGGUUUCUUCGUUCGUAAGAAGCAAGGACUUCAUGUCUUUGUCUCAUUUGUUGUUCAUGUGUUUUUUCUUCACUUUGUAAAGUUUCUUGUUUUCUAUCUGAUCUUAGUUAAGCUAUGCACACAUCUAACCACUUUAAAAGGCUGUGGACUUCAAAUCUGUGGCUAUACAGAAGCAAAGAGCAUUCUCAUUUCCAUUAUUUCUCUCUCUAGUCUUCAUUUGUGCCUUGUUCCAAACUUCCAAAAUUUGUCAUAUUCUUUUUGGUUCCACCAUCACUAUUGGAGGGAUCAUCAACAAUAAAUCUCUCUCGCAUUCAAUUUCUGGGUGCGCAUAAUCUACAUACUGGCCAAAGCCGUUUCCUACUCGAGCCUCUCUAGAGUCACCAUCGAUAAAAAUUUUAGCUGUCAAGCCCGCUGUUCUCAUGCUACUUCAUCCCUAGUUGAAGAGUGUAGGAGAUACCUAAUCUCCAUGAGAUAAACGGAUAACUCACUUGAAUUGACACCUAAUUAUUAAACUAUCAUGCCUCUAGUUUAUAUGUGUAGGAGGAACGCCACGAGAAAAAUAAAUUGAUAAAGCAAUCCGUGAAAUCCAAGUAAGAACAAGACAUCAAUAUAUUGAAUAUUGAAUUAAAGUUAUACGGCUUGAUUGCACAAAUUAAGAGUUAGAAGAUUAGAUUGCAUAAUUUAUGUAAAUUUUUGGACCAAAAAUGAAAUUAUUAUGAUGAUGUAAGAAUCGAGUUUUACCUAUUUCGAUGAAAUGGAUGGAUAACAAGAAUCAACGUGACCAGCAUGUUUACCCAUUUUCAUUGCCAAAAGAUAAAUUAAUGUUUUCUCCUGUAUUUCUUUUAUUUAUUGUUUUGGGUUGCUUUCUUGUGAACAGGAUAAGAGUGUAUUUAUAUCGUGUUUUCCGUGCAAUAAUCGCAGAAGUGCAAGGUGAGAAAUAGCUCAAAGCUUAGCCAAUGGAGUCCUGCUCUAUUUCGCUAUUUUGGCUGGGCCUCCUCCUCCCGGCACUUCUAGUUUUCCUUCUCAACCGUCGGAAGCGCACCAAGCUUCCCCCUCAGCCCCCAGCAUGGCCCGUGAUCGGCAACAUUUUCGACCUCGGGACCAUGCCGCACCAGAACCUCCACAACCUCCGAGCCAAGCAUGGGCCUGUCUUGUGGUUGAAGCUCGGUUCCGUGAACACCAUGGUGAUCCAAUCAGCUCGAGCGGCCAUGGAGUUAUUCAAGGGCCAUGACUUCGUGUUCGCAGACCGCAAGUGUUCCCAAGCGUUUACUGCUCUCGGCUAUGACCAAGGCUCGCUCGCUCUUGGUCGUCAUGGUGACUACUGGCGCGCUCUCCGGCGUCUCUGCUCCGCGGAGCUCCUCGUGAACAAGCGCGUCAACGAUACGGCCCACCUCAGGCAAAAGUGUGUCGACAGCAUGAUCAUGUAUAUAGAAGAAGAAAUGGCAGUCAAACAAGCAACAAAAGGUUAUUUCUUAAGUACUUGGUGUCAUUGCUGACUCUGUGUCCUAUGUGUCGCCUCGAAUGGUUGAAGUUAUAGCUUUUAGAAAAGUAAAAAAGCAACAGGGAGAGAUAGAUGAACUUAUCUUAAAUUCCAUAUAAAUAAGAUCAAGGUCCUAUACCCUACCCAAUAUUUUUACUAGGGUCACAACCCUUAAUUAUUUAUUAAUAUGAAGAAAAAGCUAAGAAGACGGUCCGAUCACUAUUUAGGAAACCACGAGGACACGCUGACCACAAAUCUCCGUUGUGGGAUAUUAGCAACAAGAAUAUAACAUUUUCAAAAUUCAAUUGCCAAAAAAUGACUUUCAUAGAGUAAAAUCAGAAAAAGUUAGACCAUAUAAACAUAAUAUACAUUGAGCCCAUGACUACACACCUGUAGGAAACCAAAGCUUGUUUAAGAUUUGUCAAAUUAGAAUUUCUAAGGUUUGUGUUUCAUUAUUAUUACUAAAUUAUUGUAAUAGGUAAAAUAUAGCAUCUUCAUAUCCCUUCUCUAAUAUGUCACUAGCACGAAAUUAUCUACUCUCUCAUGAUGAUCGAUGUCUACACAAAUUUAAACUAUGUGCUACUAGUUUCUGGUUUAGGUGUGACUAGGGCUACCGAAGCAAUAACUCGAACGUGAGCAACAUGAAAGCAGAGAAAUGAUGGGGAAUCAAAACAUUCGUAGUUUUUAUUUAAGAAAACAUUCUAUCUUGCCUUUUAGGCGAUGGUUCUUCAUUUGCCAUCUUGAAGUGUACUACCCCUAUAUAUUUGAAGUCGUUUUCUAGAUAGCAUUGGAUUCAUAUAAUUUUUUACUUCUAAAUUUCGAUUAAAAUUUUUAUUUUCCUUUUAGAGUCAUUCAUGACAUUCUACAAAUUAAUUUUGGUACAAGCACAUAAUCUAAAAUUGAUAAGAAAAGUUGGUGUUGCGUUAACUUUGGUUUCUUAUUAUGCUAAAUGAUUAUACUNNNNNNNNNNNNNNNNNNNNNNNNNNNNNNNNNNNNNNNNNNNNNNNNNNNNNNNNNNNNNNNNNNNNNNNNNNNNNNNNNNNNNNNNNNNNNNNNNNNNNNNNNNNNNNCACACUGACAUAUGUGAUCAGUAUAUCUGUCAGCUGACAACGCUGUCUUCUUAGCAUGGCCUAUUCAUAUAGGUAAAGAAAGCAACCUACAACUAGAUUUAACUUCUGGCACUUCCGCAAAAUGUUCAGUUAUAUAUUUUUUAGUUCAAGUGGGCCCUCGUCUUACAUAUGUAGAUUGAAUAUCUACGAGGAAUGUCGCGCCAGCGUUAUACGUUGGCACUAACUAAGCUAAUUUAUUUGGUGAAUUUUUUUUUUUUUCUAAACAUAGUUCUGAUAUGGGUAAGAAAAAUAAAUAAAAUAUUUAAAAAAAAUCUAACUAUAGUUCUGAUAUGGCUAGCUGGCUAGGGUAGACCGCAGUUUCGAGGCACGACGUGGAUCGUUGGGUGCUCGCCGUUCGCGAACGCCACCUCCCGUGCAAGCACACCCUUGCCACCUUAGCGACGAGUCGCCUCUAUCCUUAAUUCAGCAUAGCCUCCAUUCACGAACGUCUCCCCCUAGUUCACUCGCGACACUUCUGUUUUUCAUUUCUUCUUUUGCAAAUUUCCUUAUUUUUGAUUUGUUGAUAUUUAUGUUAUUUUUUAAUUUCCUUAUUUGUGAAUUUUUUGUUAUUCUAUUUUAAGUUUUUCCAAAAGAGAAAUAAUUGCGUGACAGUCUUUAAUAUACUAUAAGAAUAACAGUCAAUUCUAAAUCACAAAAAUCAAAUCAUAAAUAAUUAUAAAUUAUUAUAAAACUCAUUUUUUAAAGAAUUUAUGAUUCGCAGUAUAUUGUUAUUCUCAUAAUCCUUUCAAAAACUUAUGUAGGUUUACCGUGUUGACAUUCAACGAGACCUAAUUGCCAUUUCAACAUUUAUGUUUCCUUUUAAAUGGAAAGACCAAACCAAAUAAGAACGUAUAUGAUUUAGGGAUCUAAUUCCACCGAAAAAAAAGGGACCUAAUUAAACCCUUUGUAAAAGUUUAGGGAUUACCUAUACUUCUAUCUUUUUUUUUUCUUUUUUUGUGUACUGUAAUUGACAAAGUCAACAAAUUAAAUACUAGUGUAAAUAACUCAAUUUACCAAAGAGCUACUGGAAUUUAAUUUGUUUUUCAGUCGAACUCGCUUUCUUUUUUUGGGGUUCGAGUCGAACUAGAGUGGCUAAACUGUUGAAUUAUGUAAAGCUCGAGUGGCUUUAUCAUCGAAUUGCGUAGGUAAACUUUCGUGUUGGACAUUGAAGCAUACACAGUAAGUCAAGGAGCUUACGAGCAGUUUAGAGAUUGGUUCCUCUUGAUUUGACUGCAUCUUUCCUUUAACUAGUUGCACGACUUGGUACAAUCUAUUUUUCUCAUGUCUAAUUUUGUUAAGUGUGGUUAUACAUCAUCUGAUUAGAAUUAAUCAUAAAGAAAUUUUAUUUUUAUGAAGGACAAGGAAUCGACUUAUCUCACUUCCUCUUUCUCCUGGCAUUUAAUGUGGUGGGCAACAUGGUGCUCUCACGGGAUCUAUUGGACCCAAAAUCGAAGGAUGGGCCCGAGUUCUACGACGCCAUGAACCGGUUCAUGGAGUGGGCUGGCAAGCCCAACGUAGCCGACUUCAUGCCAUGGUUGAAAUGGUUGGAUCCGCAGGGGAUCAAGGCAGGCAUGGCGAAGGACAUGGGUCGAGCCAUGAGGAUUGCCGAAGGCUUUGUGAAAGAGAGGUUGGAGGAGCGAAAGCUAAGGGGAGAGAUGAGAACAACGAAUGAUUUCUUGGACGCAGUAUUGGAUUAUGAGGGCGAUGGAAAAGAAGGCCCUCACAAAAUCUCUUCCCAGAACAUAAAUAUAAUCAUUCUGGUGAGUUUGCUCCUCUCUUCCACGUUUAACAUGACCACACUUUGAGACAUUAGGUCGAAUUCGGUUGAUUAAGUGGCGCGACAAACUUAAGUGACCUUUAUUUCUUCGUAGAUUAACAACUAGGGUCACAUCACGCAUUACGGAGAAGUUUUAGUAGCUUACUUAAUAAAUCAAUCAUGGUGCUGUCUAAGCACUGAUUUUUCUUUUCAUUAAAAUAAACUAAAAUCAAUCUUAUGUCUUCGUCAAGCAAUUUAACUAGUUAUUAUAAAAUUACCAGGUUAGUCAAGUCAAUGUCAAUCAAGUCGAGAAAUUUUGACAUUGGCUUACAAAAUUUGGCUGAAAUCAAAUUGAUUGCAAGGAUAAAAACCAGUGCAAAUAAUUAUUGCAAUCAAACUCUUAGGCAGGAAUAAUUUUCAAAGCCGUUGACGGACAAUUGCAGUAAAGCAAUUAUUGUAGCUGAGACUAUAAGAAGCGCACAUCUUAAUGGAACGCGCAGACAUAAGAAGAACAAGCUUUACUUAUGUUAAUCCAUUUUGCUCUCUUGCAAAUCUUUUUCAGUUAUUUCCCAGCAACCUAUUUCUUGCCAUUCCAGUUGUUUAUUUCCUUUUGUCAAUCAAGCACUUGCCCCAUCUCUUUCAUAAAUACUUCUGUUGUCACUGGUGGAUUCAUUUCGUCAACUUCAAGUUCUUGUUCCUUUCUUUGUGUGCCAAUCAUCUGCCAAUUCGAAGAAUAGGAACUGCUGUGUUUGAUCAGGAUUGUUGAUCAGGUGAAGCAUGAUAAUUUUUACUAUUGAGCUGACGAUUCGAGGGUGACCUUUUCCAGCCAAAGAGAAUCUCUUAAUUAUAGGACGAAACUCGGACACUUGUGGUAUCCAAGACCUAAUCUUUGUACUAAAUGGGUCUACUUGAUGGUGCAGGAAAUGUUUUUCGCCGGAUCGGAGAGUACAAGUAGCACCAUCGAGUGGGCGAUGGCGGAGCUACUCCGCCAACCCGAGUCGAUGAAAAAGGCCAAAGAUGAGAUUGACCAGGUUGUGGGGUUGAACAGAAAGCUCGAAGAAAAUGACACGGAAAAGAUGCCAUUUUUGCAAGCCGUGGUGAAGGAAACCCUAAGAUUGCAUCCCCCAUUACCUUUACUUAUCCCACGAAAUGCUCUAAAGGAAACCAAAUUCAUGGGUUUUGAUAUACCCAAAGAUACCCAGGUUUUCGUGAAUGCAUGGAGCAUUGGAAGAGACCCCGAUGCUUGGGAGGACCCAUUGGCAUUCAAACCAGAGAGGUUCGUGGGAUCUAAAAUUGACUACAAGGGUCAAAACUUUGAGCUAAUUCCAUUUGGAUCAGGCAGAAGAAUAUGCGUCGGACUUUCAUUGGCGGAUAGGGUGCUUCAUCUUGGUCUUGCAACACUGCUUUACCAUUUCGAUUGGGAACUAGGCGAUGGUUCAACUCCAAAGACCCUCGACAUGAAAGAGCGGGUGGGAAUAACACUUAGAAAGCUCCAUCCUUUGAAAGUGAUACCUAAGAAAUGUAGCGUGUGAGGUAUAAUUACCCUAAGGUUAUUAUAAUGUUAUCGUGUCAAGGAUUAAAAAAGCUGUCCAAGAAAGACUUCUUAAGAACGAUGUCAUCCCUGCACAAAUAUCUUAGGGAAACUACAAGUUCUUAUGUUAGCAUUUGGGUCCCGUUUGAAUUGUAUGACUUGAGCAUGUAGCAGGGUAGCUCCCCUGCCCUUUAUACCAUCAAUAAAACCUCACUUGUCGAAAAAGAAAAUUACUCUACAUUUGGCUCCACACUUAGAGUCCACAAAAUGGACAUUUGCGAUGAACCGGAUUCACUAGACGCAAGACUGUACAAUAGAUUCCCGAAUCAUAUACUAUAAGCGGUUUCUAGUGGGUGAUGGUGGAGCGAUCAAAGAGAGCAAUAUAAAAGAAAAGUAACAGGAAGAUACUGUAUGAUCUUGUCGGAUCUUGUCAAAUCCAUAUGGACAAUUGAUCACGUGGACUCUGCAGUAGGACCCAGUCGGUGUUGGUUCACAUGUUUUGUCACUAUUGCAAAUUAUUCUAAAAUAAACACAAGAUUGCAAAUUUGCUGAAGAAGGCUGUAGAUACGUCUUGAUUCAUUAUCAUGAUCCAUCCGUAUAUAAUCCAAAAGCAUAUAUAUUUGGGCACCCCUCGAAUACCCCUUUGAACUUCUGACCAAUUAAUUUACUUUAGUAAGUUCACCUUUUACUUUUCCGUGGCGGCUACUUAAUUAAAUUCUUGCUAGGACCGAUCGACUACAUGUAAAAUGAAUGCAUCAACAAAAUAUACUUGACCAAAACAAAGAAAAUCAGUUAAAAAUCACGGUUCCAUUUAUGUCCAUCAUCUUAAAUCAUUUGCAAGCUUAGACUUAGCUCAAUAAUAAACGCCAUUUGGAAUGAUUCACUAAAAACAUUUCCUCAACAAAGAUGUUCAAAAUCAUUUGCACUUCAUGGACCUAGUUCAUGAUAGAUUUAGAAUCCACUAUCUUGAGUUCAAGAAUUUGGCUACCACAAAUUUCUCAGUUUUGUAUUUCUUUUCUAAGGAUUCCCAUAAUUGUCUAAUAGUUUCAAUGUUACAAUAAACAUGAUACAAGGAAUUUGCUAGAUAGUUAAGGAUAUAGUUUCAGCAUAGGAAAUCCUUGUGCUUCCAAGGCUCCAGCUCCCCAAGCGUCGUGACAUCUUUUGCUCAUCUGGACUAAUUAUUGAGCACACCUCUAAUGAGUACUUGACUAAAUUCAGUGUGGUCAAUAAAAGAACAUCUUCUAUUACCGUUGCUUAAAGCCCACACUAGUUAACUCACACGGUUUCUCAUUCGGUGUUAUUGGAGAAGGUAUCAUCAUAUUAGGCAAAGCUUGUUAAACCAUCUCUCCAGAAAUUGAACCAUACACCAUUAGAUAUGUACUUUUUUGAAAAAUAGUCCCUAGUGUAUCGGUCAAGCGACUUCUACUGGUACCACCAUAGAUGGUUUCGGCCUGAAAGUUUGCAGCAUUUGUUGUCACAACACUAGACCAUGAGGUUUGAACCUCCCUCAUUGAAACACCAUAUGAACGUCUCACAAACAUUCCAACAUUAUUGGGUACUUGAUUGUUAUUAGUCAUCUCGAUUUUUUGAUAAACCCAACAAAAACAGUAAAAGAUAAUCGCCUUAAGAUUGUGGGAAAUAUUAAUACGUAUUGGAGAAAAUAAUAAUAAUUUUAAGAAAGCAAUAUCAAAAUAAACAAGAGGUGAGGCACGGCUAAUCAAAUCUCCUUAAGGCGAUUAGUUCAUGUCAACCAAUUAGUUUCGCGAACUAUGCCUAUCAAAAUACAACACCUCAAACCCGUUUGUAUAAGCACUAUAUGAACAAGAUUUUAUCGAACACUUCUUUAAAUCAGCACACUUAAAGAAACUACCAAGAAACUAGAGGAAUACUUUGAGGAUUUUUUGUUGUUAUUUUGAAUUAAGAAGACGUGUCUAUUUAUAGACAAGGGAACUAGCUGUAGAAAACUGAAAGGACAUGAACUCAAGAGUCACACUGAUUAUGCUCACAUUAGUUGAGCCAUUAACCCUUAAUAACAACAUUAUUAGAUCAGAAACUACAGGAGAACAAAGAGUCAUGAACCCAUAAUUGCAACAAUUAGGGCAUGAUCCAAAGAGACAAACUGGUUGCAUGUGAAUUGAAAAAGGCGUGAAUUGAAGAGACGUUUCAUUAACGUUGAGCCAUUAAAACCUAUGAUUACAAUAAUAAUUACAACACACUGUGCCUCCCUUAGUUCUUGUCCCAAGAGCUUCUAAUUUGAAUUCAUCAAGUACGCUAUGUGCAUCAUAAAAGCAUCUUUCAGUUUCUCAAGCCAAAAUUAGGUCACAUAAACUUGUUAUACAUGUGUCCCUGAGCACCCCGAUCUCAUGCUUGAUGCCCUCUAAAUUUCCAACUUUUUCUAGUGCUUGUGGAGCCAUAGCUCUAGCAAUGCUAACGAUGACAGAUGCCAUCUCUCUCUCAUAAUAUAUUAGUCGAGUCAUUCCAAGGCCAGAGACUGCAGGUAAGUAUAAUAAGUUUAUGUGACCUGAUUUUUAACUUCUUCGAUGGAGUCGAGUUGUUGAAGGUAGGAUUCUCAUCAUCCACGCAAGCCUAUAUCAAUAAUGCAUAUAGGACGCACCGAUUUGGUUUGUCUAAGAUAUUUUGUGCUUCAAGAGUUUACUCGUUUAACGUGCUUGCAAGUCGUAAAGGCAAUGAAAAGGCUGGCGUUGAAUUGAAAUCCAUGUUUAUUUUGAAUAUUAAAUUAACAAUAAAAAAAUUAACAGUAAUAAAUUAGAAGGAUAGAACUAAGUUCCCUAUGUUCACUUUUUUUCCAUAAAAAUAGCCGCCUCCUUGGAAAGUCCUAACCACGUGAUAUAUGCAAUACCAAUCAAAUGUAAAAAAUCAUAAUUGAAUCUAUUUAAAAUGGGUAUAAUUAUUGGUGCAUCAUUUUCUAAUUAAAUCACUGUCCCCACAUAUCAAUCUUUUAAGAAGAAUAUGGCCAUUUUCAUCUAUUCUUUUCUUCAGGCUUAUUUGGAAACUGUUUCGAAAACUAUUCUCCAAAAUUUUCAAACAUUGCGCUGAUUCUCAACUUUUAUUCUUGACACAAGUGGAGAGCGAUCUGAAGAGGGUUAAUGCGUUUCUAGUUUUUGGUUACUUCAUGAUACAAUGGAUGUUGUUAUAAUUAUCAUUCAAUGAAAUAAUUUGCUUAGUCAAUAUAUAUGCUUACUGCUGUUCGUGGAAGGCUUCGUUCUUUAUUUUUAUUUUUUUCCAAAUAAUGGGGAAUCAUUAUCUAAAUUCUUGGGAUGAAUUUUGGGUAUGACAAGUUUGGAAUCAUAACUUAGGUUAUAAAACCAGUUUAGCUAGCAUUAAUUCGGGCACCGUGAUGUGCGAUGAGUUAGUAACUAGAUGUGUGUGCGUGCGCACGUCACACACAAUAUGCACUCAUGCAUUACAUGUAGCUACUCUUUCAAUGGAUAUAGAAAGUUCUAUAUGCAUAGGUAGCAUGAUCGAUUUGUUAGCAUUCUGAUGCAAAUGUCAUUGCUCUUGGCUUGAAACUAUUCUUCAUAUUGUCAUGAGACAUUAGUACUAUUAUUUUACUAAAACAUUACAAUUUGGAUAGGGAAGUUCACUCUCCUUGCUAAUCUCUCAGAUUUAUUUGCUUCCUAUGAGUAAAAUGCUUCUAUAUAGUUUAUUUCUUUCUUUAGCUUUCCUAUUCUCUAAGUAAAUGAAUAAUCUCUUCCCAUACUAGGCAAUAACAAAACUUGCACAUUUUGCAAACUCCUAACAUUUAGACAUUUUAUGCAUGUCACUCCUUUUCAUGAAAGGGAUGUCUACUUUUUUUUUUUUUUUUUUGAGAAGAAAGAGAAGCCUUUUUUGCCGCAAAUUGCAGGUAUUCCGAUUUGAGAUAUUUACUCGCGGGAAACAUGCAAACGAAGAACAAGUCUUAUGGGGGAAUCUACUCCGAGCACUGAAAGUCCAAUCAUUGAAUUUAAUGGACAAUCCGGGGAGGACACAAGUCAACCGCAUUCCAAGCACAGCCCCUAACAUGACUGUGACACAUCUCAUUUGACAAAUCACCUGCGAAGAGUACAUAUAUCGCAAUAACGGGGGGCAUUCUAGUUCAUUUACCCUGAACGCUACAGAUAUUCUUUUUAACUUACUUAAGAUAAAAGAAAGUGAAUUUGAAACUAUCCCGUCAAGAACCACACCACAAAGGGAGAAAAAUGAAGGUCAGAAUGAAACAAUUAUGAAGAUGUGGAGAAACAAAACUACCUUGUUUCGCUUACAUCAUUCUCUGAAUAAGCAAACUGGAGAAUGGGUUUUUGUAUUGAGUUGGAAGUCCUUGAAAGUUCCUCAAAUUCUUGAUCUGGGGGCACAAUUGGAGAAAUUUCUAUAUUCAUUCCCAGCCGGUAACGAAAAAUAUGAAGUUCUGCAUGCUCUGAAUCGGGUUUCAAGAGUGCAAAAAGGUGAUUAACGUUAAAGAGAAAACGAACAAGAAAAAACAAAAAAGAAGAGAUCAUUCCCAUCAAGGUUUUUCUGUCUGCUCAAGCAAUUUAUUUAUCAAUUUGAUAGUGUUACUUUCUUGCUUCCAUAACUGUAUGAUCAUUCAUCGCAUGUUAGUGGUUUAAGACCAAUCAAUCAAGGCUACUUGCAAAACAUUUUGUGAAAUAAAGUGAAGAUGCCAAAGGGAGAUAGAUUUAUCUAGCAUAAUCAAGUUCCUUAUUCAUGAAAUCUCUAGUUCAUAAAGUAAAGUGUUCUCUCACAUUUUACUUGGGUUUUUAAUCAACCAAAGUAGACUAAUGCCAAUUCUUAAAUGAAUUGAAUUGGAUGUCUAAAUAAUGUAAUUAAAACCCCAAAGUUGUGAUUGUCGGGGGUUUGAGAGAACCCACAUUAGACAAUGGUACCAUCUUUUUAAUGAGUAACCAUUCGCACUUGCAUAAUAAUCCAUUAGCUUUCUCUUAGUGGUCCACCUCUAAGAAGGUCAUGACAGUUGGCAAUUAGAGAGUGGCAACUAAAUUAAAGAAGGAAAAGUGAGCUUGUUGGAUUAGACACGAGUUGACCGAGCAAUCGCAUGGAAACGAUGAAUACACACUCCUCAUUUAUCCGAUUGCACUAAAAUGUCGAGGGGAGUUAGUCAACAAGCCGACGAAGCUUGUGUAAAAGUUUUAGACCAAACGGAUAUUGAAAAGUUUAGUUUUGAAGGCUUGACAUCAUUUUUUUUCCAGGCAUCCUUGUGUAAGAUCAUCCAGCAUUCCUUGAAAAAAUGCAAAUUUAGGAACUAUUCUUGGAACUAGCAUGUGAGCCAUAUAUUGUUUGAAAAUAGACGUAAAGACACUCGUCGUGAUACGUUUUUUUUUGUCAAAAUUGUUGUGAUACUUAUCUUGCAAUCGUUUUGAGCUUGUUUGGGUCUACAAUUAAUCAAGAGAAGUUGGGUAUAAAUUACUAGGAAGAAAAUUGAGUCCAAGUGUGAAUUGGUGCUGUUAAAGCUCUUUGGAGUGAUCAUAAUUUUAGCCGUGGGGCUUGAGGUUCUCAUACUACAUUGUCCCUAGUUGAAGAGUGUAGGAGAUUCCUAAUAUUCAUCAUAUGCACAGAUGACCUAUGUGAACUGAAACCUAACUAUUAAUGAACGAUCAUGCCUUUGGUUUAUAUGUGCAAAAGGAAUGCUGCGAGAAAAAUGAAUGCAAUGUUGUAUAAACUGAUUGUUUUGUUUUUAUCGUGGGUCAAAUUUAUGAGAUGCAAAUGUAUGAUAAAUUCAUCAGUGAAAUUCACGUGUUAGCAUCAAAAAGUCCUUUAAAUAGUGAAGAUUGGAAAUUUCGAUCAAAUUAAUGAUUGGACUUAAAUAUAUGAUGUUUUCGAAAAAGACAAGCCAUCUUACUAAGGCAAAAGUUGUUGGAGUUAUCCCACAUCAAUUAUGGAAUUGUUUGGUGGUUAGUUUAUAAAUAUGAAGGAAAGUUUCACCCUUUGAAUAAACGUUUGAGGUGAGAGAAGCCCAAGACUACCAAACAUUGGUGUUAGAGCCAAUGGUAGAUUGGUGGCCCCAAUCUGUUCUAGAUAUCUCAAUAAAAGGAAUCUAGUGACCAACCCAAUUUAUGGGCAAUGUGUGUUGUGGUAUAAUGCAAUCCCAAUGGUAGUCUUCAUGGUUCAAUUCAAAGAAAAAAAACAUGGAUAAAGGUGGGUGUUGGAGAUUCAAGUUAAGAUUAGUUAAUAUAGAAAGAUACCUAAAUUCAGGGGAGCAAACCUAACAUUGAGCUCAAAUGUGAUGGGGAGAUUGUUGAGAUAUACAUGUGAAUUAUCUUAAGGAAAGGAAUCUAGUGACCAACACAGUUUCUGGGCAGUGUGUGUGGUGCUGUUGCAACACAAUCCCAUGGUAUUUUUCAUGGUUCAAUCCAAUGAAAAAGAACAUGGACAAAGGAUGGAUGAAGGUGAAUGUUGAAGAUUCAAGUUGAGAUAAGUUAAUGUAGAAAGAUACUUGAAUUAAGGGGGAACAUACCUAACAUUAAGCUUACACGUGAUGAGGAGAUUGUUGAGAUACAUAUAUAAGUUGUGUUUGGGAAGUCCCACAGUGGAGAAUUGGUGUAGUGUGAAGUAAUUAAUUUAUCUAGUUGGUCAAUAACUCAUUACUUUAAGCUUUUGAGUGAAGAUGGGUUCAAUUAGAUAUGUUGAUAGACUUAGACUUCGGCUCCCUCUUAGCAAUCUCCUAGGGUAAAGAUAUUGAACAUCUGUUAUACACUCCCAACAAAAGUAAAUACAUAACUAUCCUAUUUUGAUAGGACAAAUUAGUUGAUAAAUCAAUCCAUGAAACCCAAGAAAGAACAAGGCAUCAUAAUUUUGUGGAAACCAGAGGAUUAUAUUGAGUACUAGAGUAAAGUUGUAAGAAUUAAAUGCACAAAUUAAGAGUUAUGGAUUUGAUUGCAUAAUUCAUGUAAGUUGUUUGACCAAAAAUGAAAUUAUUCCAAUGAAAUAAGAAUCGAAUUUAACCUAAUUCGAUGAAAUGGAUGAAUCACCAGACUCCACGUGACCAGCAUGUUACUCCUAUUCAUAGCCGAAAGAUAUAUUAAUGUUUUCUCCUUUUUAUUUUGUGGAUGGCAAAUAAUAGCAUCUCCUGUUUUUUCUUUAUUGUUUUGGGUUGCUUUCUUGUGAACAGGAUAUAUUAUAUCAUUUUUUCCACGCAAUAAUCGCAUAAGUGCAAGGUGAGCAAUAGCUCAAAGCUUAGCCAAUGGAGUACUGCCCUACUUUGCUCUUUUGGCUCGGCCUCCUCCUCCCGGCACUUCUAUUUUUCCUUCUCAACCGGAAGCGCACCAAGCUUCCCCCUCAGCCCCCCGCAUGGCCCGUGAUCGGCAAUAUCCUCGACCUCGGGACCACGCCGCACCAGAACCUCCACAACUUCCGAGCCAAGCAUGGGCCUGUGACGUGGUUGAAGCUCGGUUCCGUGAACACCAUGGUGAUCCAAUCAGCUCAGGCCGCCGCAGAGUUCUUCAAGGGCCAUGACUUCGCGUUCGCAGACCGCAAGUGUCCCCAUGCAUUGACAGCUCUCAAUUAUGACCAAGGCUCGCUCGCUGUGGGUCGUUACGGUGGCUACUGGCGCGUUCUAAGGCGUCUCUGCUCUGUUGAGUUCCUCGUGACGAAGCGCGUCAACGAGACGGUCCAUCUCAGGCAGAAGUGCGUCGACAACGUGAUCGUGUAUUUAGAGGAAGAAAUGGCGGUUAAACAAGUAACGACAGGUUAUUUCUUACGUGCUUCGUGUUACUUUGGACGUUUGCGUUGCAUGUGUAACCUUGAAUGACCGAAAUAAUAGUUUUCUUCUUCAAAGGGAAAAAAAAAAAGCAACAUAGAGAGAGAGAAAGGAACGUUUAAACUCCUUACAAAAUAUCGAAUAUUCCCACUAGUGUCACAAGUUCUUCUCACUAAUAUAUGUAAAAUCAACGGUUAAGAUAUGUUGGGACUUUUGCACCAUUAGGAGUUAAUGAUGCACGCUGUCAAAAGAAUAGUAUUUCAGUAAAGAACGCAACCUGCAACUAGAUCUACCUAAGAAAACAUUGGGCCUGCUUUUUACGGAUAAAGGAACCAGCAGUCUUUCUUUUUUGCAAAAUGUACAAUUAAGUUCCAGAAUCUUUUUUUUAUUUUUAUUUUUUCUACUAUUGAGUUCUUAAAUUAUACAUCUUUUAAUUUGAGUUGGCCCUCCUCUUAAAUAUGCGAAUGCAUUGGUUACGAUGAAUAUUGCAUCCCCACCAUAUGUUAGCACUAACUAGACUAACUAAUUAGGGAGACACGAAAGAAUUACUUAGUGCUAAGAUGGGUAAGAAAGGUUAUAAAAAUAAAGAAAUCUAAAUCCAAGUAAACAUUCACCAACCCAAGCGUUGCCUCAAUUUAUUGCAUGACCCAACUCACCUCCAUCCUAGUUAUUCAAAUUUUCUAUGUCAUUCUAUUUUUAGGUUUUUUAAGAAUUCACUUAAGACACCAUGUUGGUUUUCAAUGAGGACGUAACCACCAUGUCAACAUUUAUAUAUACUUCUUUAAUGGAAGGACUAAUUCAAAGAAGAAGUUAUACGGCUCGAGGAUCUAAUUGCACAACAAAUUUAGGAACCUAAUUAAAACUUUUUAUAAAAGUUUAGGGACUGCUGGUACUUUUAUCCCUUUGUUUUGUUACUGUAAUUGACAAAUUCAAUAAAAUAGAUACCAGUGUAAAUAAUUCAAGUUGUCCAAGAGCUACUGGUGUUUAAAGUGCUAUUUAGUCAAACUUGCUUUCAUUCUUCUCGAGUUUGAGUCGAACUAGAGUGGCUCUACUGUUGAAUUAUGCCAAGCUCGAGUAGCUUUACCAUUGAAUUGGGUCAAACUCGAGCAUGAUCAAGUAGUUGGGUUUUAUAUAUCUUCUGAUGCAUUGAUCAAGUAUAUCCCCAUUAUUAUGCAAGAGAAUGCAAAAGUAAAUUUUCCACUUUAUUUUAUUUGUAGAAGCCAAGUUGGAGUUUUUAAGAGUUCAGAUGCUAAUUUAGUUUUGUUAGUGGAAAAUAUCCGAAAACAAGCUUAUCAAGAACUUUAUUAAGUUCGACUUGAGCUUGAAAAAUCCAACUUUUGUCUUGAACAUUGCAGCUUGGAGGUUGAUUCCUCCAUCCCUCCUUAAACUAGUUGCAAAACUUGGUGCAAUAAUUUUUUUUUUCAUGUCUAAUUCAUUACGUUCUUCUAUACAUUCUCUAAUUAUAAUUAAUCGUUAAAAAUUUCUAAUUUUUAUGAAGAGCAAGGAAUCGACUUAUCCCACUUCCUCUUUCUCAUGGCAUUUAAUGUGGUGGGUAAUAUGGUGCUCUCGCGGGAUCUGUUGGACCCAAAAUCAAAGGACGGGCCCGAGUUCUUCGAUGCCAUGAACCGGUUCAUGGAAUGGGCUGGCAAGCCCAACGUAGCCGACUUCCUGCCGUGGUUGAAAUGGUUGGACCCGCAGGGGAUCAAGGCAAGCAUGGCGAAGGACAUGGGUCGAGCCAUGAAGAUUGCUGAGGGUUUUGUAAAAGAGAGGUUGGAGGAGCGAAAGCUAAGGGGAGAGAUGAGAACGACAAAUGACUUCUUGGAUGCGGUAUUGGAUUAUGAGGGCGAUGGAAAGGAAGGUCCUCGCAAAAUCUCUUCCCAGAACGUCAUCAUAAUAAUUCUGGUAUCCUCUCUUCCACUCUUGGCAAACAAGAAAUGAUUAACAUCUUAAGGAUAUUAGGUCCAGUUCGGUUUGUAAAGUGGGGUGGUAAACUUAAUUGACAAUUAACAAGCAGGUCAUAUCACGCGUCGUUCUCUACAGACUUGUGUUUUCGUAGAACAUUCUAGCACUAGAUUUUAUAAUAACUAGCCUUUUCCAAUCGACUAUCUAUGAAAACAUUUUACACUUUAAGUUUGUAGAGAACGUUGCAAAACAAAAAGCUACUACCAUUAUAAAGAUGUUACCAUUCUUUCCUGAUUUAGCCAAUCUGUGCUCAUUUUGUAAUAACUAGCUAAGAAUGUUCUCCAAAAACACAAGAUUGAUUUAUGGUUUUUUUAUUUAUUUUAAAUCCAGUGCUAGAAAGACACAUUGAAUGAUUUAUUAAAUUAAGUUGAUGUCAAUUUGACUGAUUAAUAGAACAUGUAGGGUAUCCACAAUGGAUGAGUGAAUAGUAUGUUGAUCAGAUGUGUGAUCUGAUAUUGACUAAAUAUAAUCGAUGCUCAAACACCAGCAUUGAUUAUAAGAAGCCAAUAAGAUUAAGUUGACGAGGCAUGAAAAGUUUUUGUCCAUGGACUUAUAAAUUAAAGUCAAGUUAAUGUCGGUCGAGUCAAGAAGUAUUGACAUUGGCUCACAAAAUUUGGUCGAAUCAAACCGACUGCAAGGAUAAAACUAACGCGAACAGUUAUUGUAGUCAAACUUCUAGGACGGACCAAUUUUUAAAGUUGUUGACCGGCAGUUGCAGUGAAGCAAUCGUUGUAGCCGAGACUACAAAAAGAGCACAUCUUAAGGGAAAAAAGACGCAUAAACAUGAAAAGAACACACUUCACUUUCUUGCCAUUCAUUUUCAGUUAUUUCUCAGCAACUUAAUUCUUGCCAUUCCAGUUGUUUAUUUCAUUUUUCCAAACAAACACCUGCUCUUGCCCUUUUAUAAAUAUUCCUGUUGUCAUUAGUGGAUUCAUUUCGUCAAUUUUAGGAUCCAAUCAUCAAAUUCUUGUUCCUUUCUUUAUGCGCAAUUGUCUGUCAAUUCGAAGCAUAGGAGCUGCUAUGUUUGAUAAGGAUUGUAUUAGGUGAAGCAUGAUGAUUUUUACUGUUAAGCCCACGAUUUGAGCGAGUGAUUUUCGAGCGAAAAUGAAUAUCUUAAUUAUAGCAAAAGUAUCAACAUUGGUGGUAACCCUAGCAAGACAUGAUCUUGUACUAAAUGGGUCUAAUUGAUGGUGCAGGAAAUGUUUUUCGCUGGAUCAGAGACUACAAGCAGCACCAUCGAGUGGGCGAUGGCGGAGCUACUCCGCCAACCCGUGUCAAUGAAAAAGGCCAAAGAUGAGAUUAACCAGAUUGUGGGGUUGAACAGAAAACUCGAAGAAAGUGACACGGAAAAAAUGCGGUUUUUGCAAGCUGUGGUGAAGGAAACCCUGAGAUUGCAUCCACCAUUACCUUUGCUUAUCCCACGAAAUGCUAUAAAAGAAACCAAUUUCAUGGGAUUUGAUAUACCCAAAGAUACCCAGGUUUUCGUGAAUGUAUGGGGCAUUGGAAGAGACCCAGAUGCUUGGGAGGACCCGCUAGCAUUCAAACCAGAGAGGUUUCUAGGAUCUAAAAUUGACUACAAAGGUCAAAACUUUGAGCUAAUUCCAUUCGGAUCAGGCAGAAGAAUGUGCGUCGGACUUUCGCUGGCGGAUAGGGUGCUUCAUCUCGGUCUUGCGAAGUUGCUCUACCAUUUCGAUUGGGAACUCAGUGAUGGUUUGACUUCAGAGACCCUCGACAUGAGAGAGCGGGUGGGAAUAGCACUAAGGAAGCUUCAUUCUUUAAAGGUGAUACCUAAAAAACGUAGUGUGUGAGGUUUUUAGAAUAUUAUGGUAACUAGUUAUAUUCCUGACUGGUUAUUUAGGAAAUGACAAGAUGUGAUGUAAUGUAUCCAAGGAAGACUUCUUAAGAAUGGUGUUUUUACUCCACAAAUACCUUAGGAAAAUUACCCAAAAGUUCUUAAACCUAUUAUAUUUUUACAAAUUCAGUUAUAAAUAUUUUUAUUAUAAAAAUUAGUCCCAAACGUUUUCACGUUUUGCCAAUUGAGCUUAUAUGAUCAAUUUUGAUUGGAAAUCACUAACACGAAUGUCAGACAUCCUACAUGGUGCAAUUGGUGUAGACCUGGAAAAUUUUUAAUAUAUAUAUUUUUAAAUUUUUAAAUACUUUUUCUUUUCUUUUCUUUUCUUUUCUUUCUCUGCUAGUUGUUGAGCCUUGAGGAUGACUACUAAUCAACCAUAGGCUACAACCAAUGAUGGUCGUUGCCAAGAUCUAGCAAGGGAGGACUUUGCUACCUUGCCAAAUUCGACAAGUCACAACUUCAUGCGAGGCUCGACUUUGCCCAAUCUAUCGAGGGCAAGGCGCAACCUCGUUAGUCUUCACAAGGGCUGGUCUCAGGUGAGACUUGCCCAAAGAUGGCGAGGCCGACCUUCCCUAAAGGCCAGCAAGGGCCAACCUUGGCAACUUCAAGCAACGCUCAACCUCGUCAAAUCUAGUUAGGACAAGCUUUACUCAAGGCUAACAAGGGUGACCUCACCUAAGGCUAGUAAGGGCAAUCCUCAUCAAUCAUAACCUGUGGCCGAUCACCGGCCAUCACCAAGGCUUGGCAAAGGAAGAAAACAAAAAAAUAAAUGAAAAGAAAAGAAAAUUAACAAUAAUAAAAUAUUAAAAAUUCAAAAAUAUUAAAAUACUAUUUUUUUAAAAGGUCUACUGGCAUUCACUUUUCGUUUUCUAGUCAAAAUAGGCUAGAUGGACUCAAUUAAUAAAAAUUGAAAAAAUUGGGACUCAAUUGAUACAAUUAAAAAGUUUAUGACUGAAUUAAAAUAAGUACAAUAUAUUAUGAUUUUUUUGAUAAUUUUCUCCAAAUAUCUUUGGGCAAUUACAAGUUUUUAUGUCAACAUUUGGGUCUUGUUUAAAUUGUAUGACUUAAGCAUGUAGCAGGUAGCUCACUUGCCUUUUAAGCCAACAAUAAAACUUUACUUGUCAAAAAAAAAAAAAAAAAACAAAUCGCCCUAAAGUUGGUUCUACACAAGAGUCCACAAAAUGGAUGAUUGUGAUGAACUCAGUCCACUAGACACCAAUCCAUAUAAUAUAAGCUUGAAUCAAAGACCAUGAACAAUGCUAGUUCCUUGAAUGGGUCGAAGCUUGACAUAGAUUGAUUUUGAUCCAUCCAAAUUGGAAUCCUGUUAAUGGAUUCAAACACAACGUUGAACCCAAUACCCCGAUUGCUAGUGCAUCGCCGGCUUCCAGUAGCACAUCAGUGGAAUCUGUGAAAGAUAGUGAAACUCAUUUGACUCUUAAGUACAUAAGUGAGAUGCUCAAGGAGGGGAAGUUGGAGGAGAAAAACUAAAUGUUUGCCGGAUUGACUGGCCACCCUCUGGGCCAAAGAAAAAAAAAUCAGCGUGAUGUCCUCUAUUAGAAGGGGACCCUUCCGACCACCAAAAAAAAAAAGUACUUGCCAACCAGCAAUAAUUUGGCCAACCAGUGAGAUCAAGUCUUCAUUUGAGAUUAAUUUAGCCACUUUAGACCCUUAUUUAAAAUAAUGUCCAUCUUAGGCAAUCUUUUGAAAAAAUAACCCACUUUAGAUGCUCAUUCAAAAAAAUUUCUUACUUUGCCAAAAAUUAGUCAUAUGAAGUGCAUGAUGGUAAAUGUAUACAAAUUGCUGAAUCUUUUUGUAUGUUACCAAGGUAAGAUUUUGCUAUAGUGCCAAACAUCCAAAUAGGUUGAUAAUUUACUAUUUAUAUUUUCAUCGUUAAAUUCCUUCAAUAGAUGGCAAUUCUUCGCCCACUUGUAAAUUUACCAAUUUAAUAAAAUCUUGCUAUGUAAUGUACGAGUAUUUUUCACUGAACCAUCCGACUUCGUUGGGCUUGAAUAUGACUCAUUUGAUUUCAUUUGUGUAAUGCUUGCAGAUAUUACUUUCGUUGGUGUUUUUUUUUAUUGCUCUACUUUCUAACACAUGAUAGUAAGGCCGAGUACCGGUCUAGGGUCAACCCUAGACUAAUCUUGGACUAGCCCAAUCCGGCCAACACUGGGUCUGUGUCCUUAGUCCCAGAACCCAAAUUUCUUGAAAAAAUUUCAAAUAAGGGUCCAGGGUUCUAUCAAUUUCUUAAAAAAAGAUUUAAAGUGUAUUUUUUUUUUCCCAAAAAAAGACCUAAAGUUGCCAUAGGAGUUUCAGAUAAAGGUCUACCUCACCGACUGGUUAAAUAUUCUGGCCAAAAUUUUUUUGUCCAAAGACAAUUUUAAACCAAAUUUUAAUUAAAUUAGUUUAAAAAUUAAUCUAAAAGCUUUUCAAAAAAAAAUAUAGAUGCAAUGUGGGGCCCUCACCAUUGGUCGGCAAGGGUUGUGGCCCUCAUCGAGGUACUUGCAACCUCGACGCCCUAUCGGCUAGGGGUGAAAGAUUUUAGGUUCAGUACAUAUUCCACUUAAGACUUGAAACUUACACAUUGGAACACAUUCCUUAUUUUUUGGAACUUGAAACUUAACUUGCAUAUCCUAAAACCUAAAACUUACCAUGUCACAAGUUCUAAGGUCGAUCCUAUGGUCUAUCUAGGUUCCAUCUAUAUUAUCAAUUGACCGAUUGCAAUGAAUUAAACCUUUAAUAAUCACCACUUGUUGCUACAAUUUACUUCAUAACUUAUAUUCAAACACACGAAAAAUAUGGACAUUAAUAUAAAAUGGAAGCUCAGACUAGUGCUUUUAGAUUAUACAUUCAUCAUCGAAUGACAUGGAAUAUCACAAAAUCGCAUGAAGAUAUGGACUAAGAAAAAUAUUAAAACUUGUUCUAGAUUAUAGGUUCCAAUUUCAAGUUCCAAGUUCCUCUAAUCAAGAGCCUAAAACCUACUCGUCGAAAUAGAUUCCUCAUUUUUGGGAGACUAGAAUCUAUCUUGCAUAUAUUGGAACUUGGAAUCUACAAGUUCUCAUCGAUCUAAUUCUCAAGUUACAAGUUCUACUUUAAAACCAUGCUCACCUCCACUACCAACAAUGGGUCAGCAAUCACAACCUUGGGUUUUUAUUUUUUUGUGUAAGUUUCUUUAUUUUUUUUUAUUUCUUUUUAUGUUUUUACCUCUUUUUUUUUCUUUUUUGAUUUUGUCUUUUUAUGGAAUUUUUUUUGGAGUUUUUAAGCCUAAUUUAAUUAAGAUUUUGUGUGAAAAUUAGGAUUCGGAUUAAAACGAUAUCGUUUUAUCACUUUAGUUAACCUUAAAGUACGUAGAACGCUACGUGGAAGAGAUAAGAUAUUUAAAAAGUUAGGUCAACAUUUUUCGUUAGUUAAGUUAAAUGGAGUUAGUGGAAAAACUCAAUUUUUAAACAAAAUUGAGUCUGCCUGUGGCUUUCAAGGGUAGCCUUGCUCGAGUAAGGUGAGGGCGACCCUCACCUGGCCCUCUCCACGUAUGGUUGGUGGCCUUCAAACCAGCCACUGAUGAAAAAGAAAAAAUAAGAAUAAGGAAAAAAGAAAAAAGGAAAGAAAACAAAAAAGAAAAUAAAGAGGGAAAUGCCAUUGACUAGCCAAUAAGGUCGUGCCCUUUUUUGGGGCACAUAUUUGCAAUAACAUUCACUUAAUUCCUUUAUUUAGAACCUUUCCUAAUUUCUUUUUUCACCAACUCUUAAAAAAAGAAAAAGGAAAUUCCCUUUUGAAGGCCACACGUGAUCGAUGCCCGUCCUUAAGAUUGCCGUCUCUAAUAGUUUUGCGUUCAUUAUCCUCUUUUCUUUUCUCUCUUUCUUCCAGCACGUUCAGCUCUGUCAUUUCAGACAAUUCAGCGGAGCCUUUUCCUAGGGUUGUUGAGAAAAAUAUCAAAUACAAUGUCAAGUCAUUGAGCCCUCUUUUGUCGAGAAUAGCAGCUGUCAAAUGGCCUCAUACGCAUCUCACUUCAGACCCAACAGGCUGCCUACGGUGGGCCCAUUCCAGUUUGAUCCCCGCAAAUUUUCAGCAAAAACCGGUCCUCUUCCUUUGCUGAAACCAGUCCCACUUCUAGCUCUGACAGCCCUUUUCUAGUUUUGUUUACAUUAAAAUAAGGCCUUGAGUUUGAACCAGUUAAUUAACACGGUCCAAAGCAAGUCCGAUCGAAUUGAUGAAAUUCGACCGCCUCUUCGAUUUGGUUCGAACCUGCAAUAGAUUCCUUACAUGUGUGUUCAACCGCUACACAUGAAGUUUGUCGUCUACUUUCGUUGAAUUCUCUUCACAAGCAGCAGCAACAUCUAAUGAAGAGCCUUCUUCUAGUAGUAUAAUUUUAUAGAGGAGGAGCUAAUGAUUGAGUAGAAAUAGGGGAGCUUGUUGGAAAAUCUUGUCAACACGAGAAGCAAAUACAAAACAAAAGAAAGAGUAAUCAUUGGUUCUGGUGGCCCCUCGGUCUUUUUAUUUUUUUAUUUUUUUUUUAUUUUGUCUUUUCUUUUUCUUCCGUUUAUCUGACCGGAAGGGAUUCUCUCUCUUUGGUGUAUAUUAUGAAAUUUGUUCCAUAAACACCGUGGGUAUUUGGUGUAAUUAUGGGACUGGAAAUUACUUAAAAGUGUGUCAUCAAUUGUAAUCGUGUGUUCUCCAAUUUACUAGUAGGUCAUUAACAGCUUACUCUUUUUACUAAUACAAGUUUCAACAUUUGUAUCGUAUGACAAUAAUUUCUUGUGUCAUUUAUUAUUUCUCAUUUUAUUUUCUCUGAAAAUUUUCAUGUGUCCAUAUAAUUGUGAAGGUUAUGCAUAUUCAAUGACCCUCCAAGAAUAACCUAAUAUGGGGAUGAAUUGAAGUAAAGAGUUGCCAAUGUUCAGUUCUUCUUUAAAGUAAAAAUCAUUGAUAUUCCCUAUAUGGAGGAAAGAAAAAUAUACACAUGCAAUUAGAGAAUGCAGGACGUGUAGGCACUGGCAUGUCAAAAUAAGGAAUGCAGCCCUACUAAGUACCACACAAGAUGGGACCAUCGUUUAUCAUUCCUCAUUAUAUUUUCUUUGAAAAUUUUCGUGUGUCCAUAUAAUUGCGAAGGCCCGGUCCCUUCUCUGACGGUUUACUGCAACCUCCAGCUGUAUUCACGCCAUUCUAGGUGGACAUUGAUAUAGCUAGUAUAAGCACCUGGAGGGGGGUGAAUAGGUGUAAAAAUAAUUUCUUGAGAUAUGAAAACAAUACUAGACAAAUCAGAAAGGAAGCUCUCCUUUAGUUAACAAAUCGAACUAUGAUUAAAGUAAAGUAGAGAGUAGGGAAGAGAAAAUUGAACACAAAGUUUAUAGUGGUUCGGUUUAUUCCAAGCCUACGUCCACUCUUCUGCACUGACAGCCCACUGGCUGGAUUUCACUAUGAACAAAAGAGAUGUUACAGCACUGCUUUCCCUUGAUUCCACAGUGUAGAUAUUCUAUCACACUUCCUCAAGGUAUCUCAAAAUAUAGACUCUCUUUUGUGUACAAGAUUUCGCUCAGUAAAUAAAUUGACUAAAAAUCAAAAAGCUUCAGACUUUGGAAUUCUUCUAUCGUGCACACCUCGAACAACUGGAAUGACUUCCUUUUAUACUCCUUUGUGCCAUCAUAUCCGUUGGCACUUACCAAAGGAAUUCUUUCAAUCCUCCCGUUGGACAGAAUCAAUUAGGAAGAUUAUUCGAGCUAUUAAAGGAACAUGUCGAUAGCCUAUCAAUCCUGCUCGCCUAUACAAUCAGGAUCUUGGUUUCCAUAAGUAGAACCUUCCAAGAAUACUUCGUCAAUCAUUGGAUCUUUAAUCAUUCUUGAUUUGAAUAAAGGAAUCCGUUAUGUCAUAUCCAGCCAAGAGAUCUUCUCCAGUUGAUAAGGCCAAAUCCUUAAUGAAGCAGUUUUGGAUAGCCUUUCUUCAACGGAUUAGAAACUGUCAAUAAGAAUAGACUUUGAGUCUUGAGUCAGGUAGUCUGGAGGUCUUCAGACUUUAAUAGAAGAGUCUGGAAAACUUCAGACUAGACUGAUAGAAACGUUUUGUCAGCUUCAAAAUAUUCCAGAAAGAUUUCUCCAACAAUCUCCCCCUUUUUGAUGGUGACAAAACUUUCCUGCAGAUUUUAAUAACUUUGACCUGCAAAACAUUACUCAAGCAAAUAUGGAUAUCUCAUAAAGAUUAAUAACUUAAUGAUAACACUAGAAUCUGCAACCACAGAAAAUAGGUUAGUCUUGCAUGAGAGUAAAUCCAUUUAUAAGAUAUCAAUAGUACUUAAUAUAAACAACAGUCAAAUCCAAAUCCACGUUCAGUCAAUCCUCAUCCAGACACAGACACACAAGUCAAACAUCAAAACAAACUAAAAAUUCAACAAGUUUAAGUUCAAAGAUUUCAAAUUUCACAUCUCUCCCCCUUUUUGUCAUCAUAAAAAAGAAGUUGAGAUGGGAAUAGAAUGAAGUCAAGUUUGCUUGGGAAUGCGAACAAGAUGGAAAUCUCCCAUGGACUGGAUGAUGCCUUCCAGCUUUUUCAAUUCUUCCUUCAGUUGAUCCACCUCUUCACCUUUAGCAUUGGCUUGAAUCUGAAGAGUAAGGGCUUGGAUCUGCUCAGACAAUGAAACGGAAGAAGCUUGACCAGCAUUCUUCAAGUUCUGAACUUCGCUUUCCAAAGCAUAUAUCUGACCCCGCAAUUCCAAAAGAACAUUAAUGAUUCUGCAAAAAUCUGCUGAGUUAUCAGUCUACGUAUUGGCUUCGGCAUGAUUUGAUGGAGUAAAGGCAGACGAUGGUAUAUCAGCAUAAUCACGUAGAUUUGGCGAUGAAGCACCAUGUCCCUCCUCAGGAAAUUGAGAGGCAUGAAUGUCUUCUGGAUCUGCUGGAGAGCGACUGACUCCUUCACUGGUAACAGGAUAUGAGGACAUUCCUCUAUUUUCACCAUCUCCCCCUGUUUCCAUGGCUUCAAGUGGAGAAGAGUUUUCCUCAUGCUCUCCUUCCUCUUGAUUUUCUCUUUCUUCUUCUUCUUCAAACCUUUCCUCGUCUGUUUCUUUUUCUUCAGCUUCUUUCUCCUUUUCUUCCUUCUCCUCUGCUUCUCUCUCCUUUGCUUCUGUUUCUUCUUCUUUCUCCAGUUCUUCUCUCUCCUCUGCUUCUUUCUCCUGUCGUUCCAUUGAUUCAGGAACAGAAUGACUCAGCUUCUUUAAUGCUAUAGCAAAAAUUGUGAGGUCAUCCUCAUCAUCUUCAUCAAUAAUGAGAGCUUUUCUUUUCUUAGAUGGAGCAACCAUGGGUUCCUUCCCUUUCCUUUUCGUUGCUGAAGAGACUUGAUGAGAUUUGACAGGGGUUUUCUCCUUAAAUUUCUCCAACGCCUUGUCAAGCUCUUUCAGACGCAUUUUGGACACCAUUUUUAGUCCUACCACCAUUUUGUUAUAAGGUCGAACACAGAGAAUUUGUGGAUGCUGAAUAUUCAAAUGUCUGAAUAUCUUUGACACAAGACCUGGAUAAGGAAGUUGGCCCUUGUCCUUUACCACUGCUCUAUACAUGUGAAACAGAAUAGUGUGAGGAAGAGAACUUUUUCCCAGCAUUGAUGACAUACAUCAGCUUUGCCUCUAAGUUAGAAACAUUAGUCUUGGAAGUUGAUUUCGGUUUGAGGCAAUUGAUCACAAUCUUGUGAAGCAGAAUGUUGAACGCAUGCAUCCUUGAGUAGGAACUUCCCUUUGUCAUUCUGUCUUUAACAAGUUCCAAUGUGGCACGAGCUAUAGAGACACUGAUGGGUUGAUAUCUCCCUCUCUCAACCCCAAUAACAUAUGCCAACAUAUCCACAUCCACUACAAAGUCCUGAUCUCGGACACUGAAAGAGAUUCUAUUUGCAUUAAAGAAAAUUGAACUUUUCCCACAAAUUGACAUUCAUAGCAUCAAGGAAAUCAAAAUCUACACACAGAACUGUUCAAGUUGAAGAAAACUAAACUUUUCCCGCAAAUUGACAUUCACAGCAUCAAGGAAAUCAAAAUCUACACUCCUAGGGUUUAUCACCCCACGCUUCAACAAUUUGGAGUAUAGAUUUUUUGUUCCCUCGAUCUAAACAACUUUGUUCUUUUUCCUCAAAUUUUCGCCGCAACACCCAUUUUCGGUUGAAAUUGGAUGUACAAUAUGUCAUCAUCAUUUCCAUCUAUCGGAUUAAAUCCCCUAACACACAGAUCACUUGGGAUAUUUGCAAGGGUUUUUUCUGCCAACCCCUUAGGAGCAAUUUCCAAACUCUCUAUUUUUCGCAAAAAUAUGUACUCAUUCCCAUAUCCCUUGUCCUUAAGAAACUCAUCGAUGUAGUUCAAUGGAGUACCAAUACUCUUUAAAGCACGGUAAAUCUUAUAAAUAAAAGAGGGCUUUUGAACUCUUAUAGGAUCUGCGUCUUCGACGAUUUCUUCCUCUUGUUGAUGAACAGCAUUCUGUGGACUAGAUGGUGGAGAAUGACGCUGCUGAGAAUGUUGUGGGCUCUGCUGCUGACUUGGUGACUCCUCUUCCUCGGUGAGAUCAAAGUGAGUAGGCCCCUUACUCAUUCGCCGUGGUCCCCUGCUUGCGAUCCUCGAAGACUUUCUUGAAGAUGACAUCUUUCUUAGUCUUUGAGAGAUUCCUUGCUUGACUUUCCCAAGAAAGAUGUCAACUUUUUCGAAGAUUAAACAAGAGAGAAAGACAGGAAUGGAAGAUCGAUGCUUUUUAGGGUUUUCGAGUUAAGUGAAGAGGAAUCGUCUGUAUAUAGUUUAGUCGAAGAGAGGCAUACCAAACGUUGUAAACGAAAGUAAAAGAUGCCCCUUUUAAAAAUAACUGCAUUUAAAAAAAAUAGAUAACUGCCAACUUUGAAAUAUUAACUCCUUUUUGAAAAAGAAAAAUUGCACUUUUCACAGAAAUUGAAGAUAGCAUAGAUCAAUUAUAAAUAGAUAAAUGAUCGUACCUUUCCGAGAUAAGAGAAAAUAAAAUAACUUACAGUCAAGAACCAUGAUUGUCUGAGACUGUGAGUCUCUAGACUUUAACUUCUUCAAGCUUCAAGAUGUUGAGUUUGGAACAGAUGAUUUCAAAUUGAUUUUUCUCCAAAGGCUUCGUAAAUAUAUUCGCCAGUUGAUUCUUUGAGUCAACAAACUGAAUCGAAACUUCUCCAUUUUGAACAUGAUCUCUAAUGAAGUGAUGUCGAAUUUCUAUAUGCUUUGCUCUUGAGUGAAGAAUUGGAUUUUUGGUAAGAUUGAUUGCACUGGUGUUGUCACAGUUAAUCUCCGUGCAUGAAUCUUCAAUUCCAAAGUCUCUUAAUUGUUAUUUUAUCCACAAAAUUUGUGAACAACAACUUUCGAGAACUACAUAUUCUGCUUCUACAGUAGAAAGAGCUACUGUAUUUUGCUUUCUUGAAAACCAAGACACUGUCCUGCUUCCAAGUAAUUGACAAGUACCCGAAGUGCUCUUUCUAUCAAUUAUGCAACCAGCUAGAUCUGCGUCUGAAUAUCCAAGGAGAGUAAAGUCUCCCUUUUUAGGAUACCAAAGGCCGAUACUUGAAGUUGAAGCAAUGUAUUUGAUAAUACGCUUUGCAGCACUUAGAUGAGAUUCUUUAGGGUCUGCUUGAAAUUUGUCACAAAUGCAAAUACUAAACAAAAUGUCAGGUCUAGAAGCAAUAAGAUAAAGAAGUGAACCGAUGAUACUCCUGUAUAGCUUAUGGUCAACUUUCUUUCCUCCUUCAUCUUUGUCUAUCUUCAAGGAACUUGACAUUGGUAUAUCAAUCUUUUUGUAAUUUUUCAGUCCAAACUUUUUGACAAGAUCAUUAGGAUAUUUUUCUUGAUGAAUAAAAGUCCCUUCCUUCAAUUGUUUCACUUGAAGUCCAAGAAAGUAGGUUAGUUUACCCAUCAUGCUCAUUUCAAAUUCAUCCUGCAUAGACUUAGAGAAUUUCUUGCACAAACUUUCAUUAGAGGAUCCAAAAAUGAUAUCAUCAUAAUAUAUUUGAACAAGCAGAAAAAUUUUGCUUUAUCUUUUGAUAAACAGAGUAGUGUCUACUUUAUCUUUUUCAAAGCCAUUUUGAAUUAAAAACUUACUCAGCCUGUCGUACCAAGGUCGAGGUGCUUGCUUUAAUCCAUACAAGGCUUUUUUCAGUCUGAAUACUGGGUCUGGCUUCCUUGGGUCUUCAAACCUAGGUGGUUGUUCCACAUAGACUUCCUCAUGGAUAAAUCCAUUUAGGAAAGCACUUUUGAUGUCCAUUUGGAAUAACCUGAAAUUCUUAUAACAAGCAAAAGCAAGUAAUAAUCGAAUUGCUUCUAAUCUUGCUACUGAUGCGUAAGUCUUGUCAUAGUCUAUCCCUUCUUCUUGCGUAUAUCCCUUGGCCACGAGUCUUGCUUUGUUUCUUACGACUUUACCUUUCUCGUUCAUCUUGUUCCUGAAAACCCAUUUAGCUCCAAUAAUAUAUUUACCUUUCGGUUUAGGAGUCAACUCCCAGACAUUAUUAAUACUGAAUUGUCUAAGUUCUUCUUGCAUAGCUUCAAUCUAGCUUUCAUCAGAUAAAGCUUCUUCUAUGCUUUUUGGUUCAAUUUCAAAAAUAAGAGCCACAGCACUAGACUCUUCGCGCCUUUUGGAUCUUGUGCGAAUUCUUUCAUUAAUGUCGCCAAUAAUGAGGUCUUUGGGAUGACUGGACUUAUGCUUCCAGUUACUGGUUGAUUUGUCAGGUUGAUGAUCACUUCCUUCAUUUGAAUCUUCAAUAACCAUUUGUUGCUCGUCUUUCAGAGUCUGAGUUGCUUCUUGAGAUUUAGACUUUGUAGAGUCUGGAGCAGCUUCAAAUUUUUCAAGAUAAGUCUGAGCAGAUUCAUUUUGCAUAGAAUCUUGGAAUUUGACAUUUAUUGAUUCCUCCACAGAUUGACUCUUCUUGUUAUAGACUCUGUAGGCUUUGCUUGAGGUAGAAUAUCCAAGGAAGAUUCAUUCAUCUGAUUUUUCUUCAAACUUACCAACUCUAUCAUUUGCAUUUUUCAAUAUAAAGCAUUUGCAUCCGAACACAUGAAAAUAUGAAACAAUAGGCUUCUUUCCUUUGAAUAACUCAUAGGGGUUUUUUUUUUUUCCAGAAUAGGCCUUAGAAAAACUCUAUUGAUAAUGUAACAUGCUGUUGAAACUGCUUCAGCCCAAAAACGUGAAGAUAUGUUACUUUCAAUUAAAAGAAUUCUAGCCAUUUCUUGAAGCGAUAUGUUCUUUCUUUCCGCAACUCCAUUUUGCUCUGGAGUAUAUGGAGAAGAGAACACAUGCUGAAAACCAGAUUCAUUACAGAAUUUUAUAAAAUCAUGAUUUUCAAAUUCACCUCCAUGAUCUGUUCUUAUACUCGAGAUAACAUACCCUUUUUCAUUUUGAAUCUUUUUUGCAAACUUUUCAAAGUAAGAGAAAGUUUCAGACUUACUUGCUAAGAAAUAUACCCAAGUAAACUGUGAGUAAUCAUCCACAAUUACUAGGCAAUAUUUCUUACCUCCAAUGCUCUGAAUUCUGGUUGGUCCGAAAAGGUCCAUAUGCAGAAGCUGUAAUACACGAUUAGUGGAAACUUGAUUUAUUGGUUUAAAGGAAUUUCUUACCUGCUUUCCCAAUACGCACGGUGUACAUAGAUCAGACUUUUGGUAUGACAAUUUGGGUAGACCAUGAACAAGCUUCUUUGCUGAAAUUUUGGCUAUUUGCUUCAUAUUGAUGUGCCCAAGCUUUCUGUGCCAUAAGCUCGCUUCAUCUUGAAUUGAGAUUAGACAUUACGAUUCAUCUGGUUUCACAUCCAAGAGGUAGAUAUUUCCAUGUCUUCGGCUCAUGAAUGACUGAGUAGAAUCUUUAUUGGUUCCUGAACAUAUUCCCUCUUGAAAGUUGAUUUUGAAACCAGUAUCACAUAGCUGACUGAUACUGAGUAAAUUGUAGUUGAGUCAUUCCACUAGGGAAACAUUGCUUAUAAUGAGAUUUCCAAUCUUUACAGUUCCAAAUCCCACAAUUUUUCUUUUGCUGUUUCCUCCAAAUGAGACUUUUCCACCAUUUACUUGAAUGAGUUUUAUGAAGCAAUUUGAGUCUCCUGUCAUAUGUCUUGAGCAUCCACUAUCCAGAUGUCAUUUUACCUUUUUCUUGAUAGUAACCUGUAUUUAAAAGAGAGACUCAAGCUUUCUUUGGUACCCAUAUUUUCUUAGGUCCAUUGGUGUUAGUAUGGUAUGCGGUUUUUGCCCAUACUUUCUUAACAGGUUUCCAAACCAUAGGACACUCUUUUUCAAAAUGAUUUGCACUAUUGCACUUUGAACAUCUGAGAGCAUUUUGACCCACUGGUUUUACAAACACUUUUUGAAAAUGAUUUUUGUAAAAUGUCUUUGAAUGUCUUUGCUUAAUUCUUUCCUUCACUUUAGGAAAAUCAAUUAAAGUGAUGGUUUCUACUGUCAUUCCUAAACCAGAUUUAUUGAAAUAAGGUCUUUGUGCUGAAAGAAUUUUUUCAAGUUUCUCAGAUCCUAUUGAAAAUCUUUUUGAAAUAUUUGAUAAGUCAUUUUUUAAAAAUGCAUUUUCUUUCAAGAGAUUAUCUUCGCUUUCUUUAAGAGUAGAAACAUUCGUGUCUAAAUGUUUCAACUUUUCUUUCAAAACAUUUUCCUGUUGUUUUAGUGCAGAGUUUUCCUUUUUAAGUUCGGAAAUCCUUUUAAGAGAAGUCUUAACACUAAAACAUAGCUCAUCAAUGUAUUUGGAAACUUUAACAGGGAUUUUAAAGUUACUUACCUCAAAUUCACUGUCUGAAUUUGAGUCUGUCUCGGACUUUGAUUCAGAAUCCGAUUGUGCCAUCAGACAUAUAUUGGCAUAAUCAUCAUCACUUUCUUCACACUCUGUAUCACUCCAGGUUUCUGCUUAAGAGCCUUUCGAUACUUUUCAGCUUUUCCUUUCUUCUUUUUUAGAAGAGGACAGUUGGGUCUAAUGCGUCCCUUUUUCUUACAUUCAAAGUAGACUACAUCUUUGUUUGAUUCAUCAUCAUCAACAGACUUGGUCUAUUGCUUUUGAAAACUCUGUUUCUUUGGAUUGAAUCUUCUUCCUUUUCUGUUAAGCUUUCUGAAUCUUCUUAUCAUGAGAGCAAGCUCCUCAUCAUCCAUAUCGUCUUCAUAAUCUGUGACAUCAGAAUCAUCAUUGGAUUUUAAUGUAAUGGAUUUCUUACCUUUAUGAUCUUCGUCUUCAUUAAUUCGUUCCACUUCAUAAGACUGAAGACUUAAUGUAAUGGAUUUCUUUGUGUCUCUCUUAUUGAGGUCUUUAUGUGAUUCCAAUCCUUGGAGAGUCCACGUAGUAACUUGUUUACAUUCAUGGGAUUAGAAAUUGGUUGACCUUGAUUUUGAAGACCAUUCACGAUUUCUGUAAAACGACUAAACAUAUCAGUUAUAGAUUCUCCCGAUUUCAUUUUGAAGGCUUCAUAUUGACCGGGGAGAAUGUUGAUUCUGGUCUCUUUCACUCGAUCAAUUCCUUCAUAGGUGAUAUGUAAUCUAUCCUAGACUUCUUGCUGUAACACAAGAAGAUAUUCUGUUAUAUUCAUAAGAUGAUAAAGCACAAUAUAAAGAAUAAAUUGCUUUUGCAUCAAGAGCUUGUCUCUUGAUUAUCUCUUCCUGAUUCAUUUCACUUGACUCAACAGUUUCUUUUCCUCUAUUUGUGACAGAUGCAGCUUUAGGAGUGAUUCCUUUUUCUACAACGUCCCAUUCCAGAGGAUCUUUUGAUCGUAGAAACGCUUUCAUCUUGUUUUUUCAGAUGUUGUAAUCCUUUCCAUCAAAAGUAAGGUGGUCUGGUAUUGCUCUGCCCUUCCACCAGCCUUGGAGCUAGCAUACUAGCCAUGAAUCUUUAACUCUGAAGUAAAACACUUCAACCAAAGUGAGUACACAGGCUUUGAUACCAAUUGAUAUAACUAGUAUAAGCACCUAGAGGGGGUGAAUAGGUGUAAAAAUAAUUUCUCGAGAUAUGAAACAAUACUAGACAAAUCAGGAAGCUCUUCUUUAGUUAACAAAUCGAACUAUAAUUAAAGUAAAGCAGAGAGUAGGGAAGAGAAAAUUGAACACAAAGUUUAUAGUGGUUCGGCUUAUUCCAAGCCUACGUCCACUCUUCUGCACUGACAGCCCACUGGCUGGAUUUCACUAUGAACAAAAGAGAUGUUACAGCACUGCUUUCCCUUGAUUCCACAGUGUAGAUAUUCUAUCACACUUCCUCAAGGUAUCUCAAAAUAUAGACUCUCUUUUGUGUACAAGAUUUCGCUCAGUAAAUGAAUUGACUAAGAAUCAAAGAGCUUCAGACUUUGGAAUUCUUCUAUCGUGCACACCUCGAACAACUGGAACGACUUCCUUUUAUACUCCUUUGUGCCAUCAUACCCGUUGGCACUUACCAAAGGAAUUCUUCCAAUCCUCCCGUUGGACAGAAUCAAUUAGGAAGAUUAUUUGAGCUAUUAAAGGAACAUGUCGAUAGCCCAUCAAUCCUGCUCGCCCAUACAAUCAGAAUCUUGGUUUGCAUAAGUAGAACCUUCCAAGAAUACUUCGUCAAUCAUCGGAUCUUUAAUCAUUCUUGAUUUGAAUAAAUGAAUCCAUUAUGUCAUAUCCAGCCAAGAGUUCUUCUCCAGUCGAUAAAGCCAAAUCCUUAAUGAAGCAGUUCUGGAUAGCCUUUCUUCAAUGGAUUAGAAACUGUCAAUGAGAAUAGACUUUGAGUCUUGAGUUUGGUAGUCCGGAGGUCUUCAGACUUUAAUAGAAGAGUCUGCAAAACUUCAGACUAGACUGAUAGAAACGUUUUGUCAAUUUCAAAAUAUUCCAGAAAGAUUUCUCCAACAGACAUCACUAGGGAUGGUGCUAGUUUGGAAGCUAGUUUGGUUCUUUAAUUCUCUAGUUCAAUUCUUGUUUGCUUCUAGUCCAGUUGGGAUUAGAUGGUGGCUGGCUUAGGGGCUUAACUAUGGGCAAUUAGAAGAUGGCAAUGGGAAUUAAAAAUAAAAAAAAGGAAAAGUGAGUUUCUCGGAUCAGACUUGAGCUGACCGCGCAAUCGCGCGGAAACGGAAAAUACAUGCUCAUCGUUUAUUCAAUUGAGCUGAAAUGUGAGUUAGUCAACAGGCUGACGUAAACUUGCGUAAAAUUUUUAGGCCGAACAACUAUUAUGAAAUCCACUUUUGAAAGUCUGACAUCACCCCGACAUCACCAUUUUUCAUUUAGGCGGCCAGUACAGGAUCAGCUGAUGUUUCUUAGAAAAAUACAAAUUUAGGAAACUAUAGUUAGAAUUAGUCCAUGAACUAUAUCAUUAGAAAAGAGACUCGAAAACGCUGACCUUGAUACUUAGCUUGCAAUCUUUUGAGCUUGUUUGGGUCUUUAAUUGAUUAGGAGAAGCCAAUUCAAAAUUAUUGAGAAGAAAAUUGAGUCCAAGUAAGAAUCAUAGACUCACUGUCAAUCAAAAUAAUAGCCAUCGGCCGGUGGUUCUCAUGAGACAUUGUCCCUAGUUGAAGAGCGUAGGAGAUCCCUAAUCUUCAUAAGAUAAAUGGAUGACUUAGUCAUAUUGAAACCUAACUAUUAAUGAACUAUCAUGCCUCUAGCUUAAAUGUGCAUAAGGGACGUUGCAAGAAAAAUGAAUGUAAGGUCAUAUAAAAUGAUUGUUUUUAUAUCAAGGAUCAAACUCCGUUCUCAUUGGUGAAUUUGAUUGCUGAAAUAAUUUUCUUUGAAAAUACAUGAUGAUUUCAUCGGUGAAAAUCAUGUUUUAACAUGAUCGUGAGGAAUGUGUGGGCUUGAGAAGUAAGUGGGCCACACGAAUUGGACUUAAGAAAUUGAAUGAGAGAUUAUGGGUUUGGACUUGGCUUGAAGCGGGCCAAGGUUCAGAAUUAUUAGAUUUGUAGAUUUAGUUUAGUGGGCCGGGAUUGUUAUAGAUUAAGCCUAUUGGGCCAAGAAUGAAUAUUUAGGCCCGAAUGAUUUUAUUUUAUAGAUUAUAGUUAUGAUGACUUAAUUAUUGUUUACAAUGCUAAUAUAAAUUUCUAACUUUAGCAUUUUGUGAUGAAUUCUUUAUAGACUAACGUUGACUAGUCGAUUUGUUAUAUAUAUGUUAUGACUUUGUAUAAUUGGGAUUAAGUAGAAACAAAAGGCAAUUAGAUGAAAAUAUUAGAAGCUAAUGAACUAACGAAUGAUAUCGAUAAAUUGUUAAUUAGCGACGAUCGACAGAUGGCGAAAAUCUUCAUGCAUGAAAGCCAUGACACUUUACUCUCUCUCGAUUCUCUCAUCAACACCCACGGUUUUUCUCAAUCCAUAGAACCGAAGAUGGCAACUCCAAGGAAGCAUAAUCAUUAGCCAAACUAAUCAUUACACUAGCCUAGGGAUUAGUUUGUAGACCUAUUUACCCCGGGAUAAGUACACUAAUGAUGCCAUAAGUUGUGUACGGCGCUCACUUUGGUGCCAAAAGUUUCCGUCGGAUCACUUAAGUGCCAAAAAAUUUGAAAAAUGCUCACUUUGGUGCCAACUCCGAUCCGGUUGGCCGGAAAUCCGACGUGGCACUUUUUUAUUAAUUUUUUAAGCUAAUGUGGCUCACCGGGGGAUAAGUACACUAAUGGUGUCAUAAGUUGUGUACGGCGCUCACUUUGGUGCCAAAAGUUUCUGCCGGAUCACUUAAGUGCCAAAUCGGCGGAAAAACGCUCACUCUGGUGCCACCGACGAAAGAUUCCGGCCACCGGCGAAAGAUUCCAGCCAAAAUGAUUUUAAAAAAAAAUCGAUAGGCCUUUAAAUGACGUCGUUUUCGGUCCUCCUUAAGAAAACGACGUCGUUUUGCCCUCCUACAUGGAUGGCUUCAUGGAAACGAUGCCGUUUAGCUCACAUAAGGAUUGAAAUUAGGGUUUCCGCCGCUCGGCCACCGUCGCUCGGCCACCGUCGCUACUCGGCCACCAUCGCUCAGCCACCAUUGUAGUUGCUCGACCAGGUGAGUGAGGAGAGACUGAGAUUGUUGCAGGAAAAAUCGAAGGCGAGGGGGGAGGAGGAGGAGGAAGAAGAUGGGUCGAAGGGCUGUUGGUGCACUGCUGCUGCUGGUGCGUUGCUGGUGUCGUUGCUGGUGUGCUGCCGUUGCUAGUGUAGGUCUUCGAGGAAGAAGAAGACACAAAGACAAGCCUUCCCUCUCUCUCAAUUUGGGGAUUAGGGUUUCAAAGUUGGGGGAAAGAUGCCAAACGGCGUCGUUUUGGUGUUUGGAUGCUGACUCAACUCUCCAACGAGCCACGUCAGCUUCAAAAAUUAAUAAAAAAAGGCCACGUCGGAUUUCCGACCAAUUUCGUCGGUGUUGGCACCAAAGUGAGUGUUUUUCAAAUUUUUUGGCACUUAAGUGAUUCGACGGAAACUUUUGGCACCAAAGUGAGCGCUGUACACAACUUAUGGCACCAUUAGUGUACUUAUCCCACUCACCAGAGAAUGCACCAUUAGUGUACUUAUCCCGCUCACCGGAGAAUACAGUCAGCAUCCUAACACCAAAACAACACCGUUUGGUGUCUCCCCCAAUUCAAAACCCUAAUAUCCGGCCGUCGCCGUCCUCGACGGUCCUUGCGCUCGGCGGCCAUGGCUUCGACCCCGACCUCGACCUCGACCCCAACCUUGACAAUGGCCACUCAAUGGCAGCGGCUCUGACCUCGACCCUGACCCCAACCCCGACCCCAACCCCGACAAUGGCCACUCAAUGGCAGCGGCUCCUACCUCGACCCCGACCCCGACCCCGACCCCGACGAUAGCCACUCGGCGGCCGUAACUCCAACCCCGACGGCGACGAUGGCCACUCGACGGCCGCGGCUUAGACCCUGACCUCGACACCGACCAUGGCCACUCGACGGCCACAGCUUCGACCCCGACCCCGACCUCGAUGAUGGCCACUCGGCGGUCGCAGCUUCGACCCCGACCCCGACCCCAACCCCGACGACGCCACUCGAAAGCCAAGUUGAAACCCUAAUUUCAUCCCCAAUGAGUUAAACGGCGUCGUUUUUGUGAGGCCUUCCAUGUUGGACGGCAAAACGACGUCGUUUAAAGUCUUGUCGAUUGUAAAAAAAAAAGCCACGUAAAGUAUAUUUGGCCGGGAUCUUUCGCCGGUGGUCGGGAAUCUUUUGCCGGGUGGCACCAAAGUGAGCGUUUUCCCUCCGAUUUGGCACUUAAGUGAUCCGGCGGAAACUUUGGGCACCAAAGGUGAGCGCCGUCCACAACUGAUGGCACAGGAGUGGUACUUAUCCCUAUUUUCCCCUCUCUCUCUCUCUCUCUCUCUCUCCAUAUAAAACCGAGAAACCCUCAUCUUCAUCUUCUUCUUUCUUUUUCUCUCGGCUGAGCAGCAAAAAACCAGAAGCAAACCAGCGAUGUCUCCUUCUUGCAUGCUGAUUUUGAGUGUUGAUCUUUAAGCAUCUCUGUGUUGUUUAGUAGCUGAAGCAAGGUAAGGAAAGAUCAAAUCUAAAUUGAAAGUUAUCCAUUGUUUCAUCAAGGGAGCUUGAGGAUCUAACCAAACAGUGAUGGAUAUAGUUUGUAGUUGUUGUUUUGUGAUUGAUCUAAGCUUAGUGAGUGUUAGAUUGAAGGUAGGAGCUAUUGCAUGUCACUCUUGAGUCUUGCAUGUCUCGAAAUCCAAGUGUGAGUAUGCUUUUUUGUUGAGCGAAGUGAUGAAAUGGAUGCCGAGUGUGUUGUUUUGGUAGAAAUCAUGAUAAGUGGCUUACGGAUGCAACGACACUUCGAGCCGAGUUGUGAAAUUGAUCAUUUGUUAGAGAAAGAUAUGCUGAAGUUGCUUUGAGUUGCUGUGAGUAAGCAUUGGAGUACUGUAGAAGAUAUUUGUGGAUAGACAAGUUGUUUUGUUGAGUUAGAAGUGAGAAAAUUUGUGUAUCUAUUCUGUUCUAAGUGAAAACAGUUAUGGAGUCUUCUGCUUGUGUUUAAUUUUCUUUAUGUAUGCUAAUAGAAAUAAGAAAGAAACCAUUCUACAUGAUAGAACGUCUAUAAUAUCAAGUUAUACACGUAGCUAUAAUCAUAUGACUAUAAAAACAUAGAGACAGAAGUGUACUUAGGAAAACCAGUAAACUGUUCUUGUGAGAAACGGUUUGACCUUUACUGAUUAUGCGAAUUUUCUGUAUUCACCUAGUUAGAUUUGGACUUCGAAUCCUUAAUGAAAAUUGUAUAAAACAUCUUAAGGAAUGACGUGUCAAAAUUUGAGACUAAAUCGAUAAGAAUUGGCUAGUGAAACAAUUUUCUUUGUAAAUACGAAAUUUGGACGUCGAUACAGGGUGCUAGUAAAGAUUAUGGCAAUUGUUACUCUUAAUACAGUGAGAAUCAGACUUAAGUUUCUUCACGGGAAUUGUUAGUCUAUGUCUUAAAUAUAACAUACUAAAAUUUGGUAGUAUUUAGACAAGAAUUGAUAUACCUUUUGUAUCCGAAACCGAAACUGUACAUUUAGUUAGGAAACUGUCUAGACCCGAGAACAUAUAUUAGAGGUUGUGUCUUUUAUAUUAGGCUUUUGUGAUGCACGUAGAGUCUAAUAAACCUCAUAAUAGCAGUUAUUCAUAUAAGAGUAAGUCUCAUAUAUCGUGUGAGAUAUAAGUGCAUAUAGUAUCAUGUGUGUGCAAUGAGUGCGGUGCAUAGUGCUUGAUUAUGGGAUAAAUAUCUGUUCGCCAUGGAAUGGGAAAUGACGUAAUGGGUUUAAUCUUAUAAUUUGGACAUGCACGUGUGCUAGUUUCAUGAGAGUUAGUUAUAUACUUUGGAGUCUUUUCUUUUGCAUAAGAUAAAUGCAUUAAUCAAAGGUGUGGUGGUGUGAAACGUGUGCUUAAGAUGAAUGAACCCACCGGUACCGAGAUACCGGUGAUGCCCCUGGAAGUUUGGGAUGCCCCUGCUGCGUGGUCUUGGAUGCCUCGGUAGAGAGAUAUUGAGAUGCCUCAGAGUGAGAUGCCCUUGUUUGUGAUCAAGGAUGCCUCGGUUGUGUGAUACCGGGAUGCCUCGGAGUGAGAUGCCCCUUGCUGUGUGGUCUUGGGAGGACCUCAGUUGUAUGAUGCCGGGAUGCCUCGGAGUGAGAUGCCCAUAAUUAGAGAUAUUGUGGAAGUCCGGAUAACGUACUUUCCGGAAGUGACUCGAUCGGCUAGUUGAAUUCCGGUUAGUGAUUGAUCGAGGGUGGAUUUUAUGCACACUAAAUAUAAUUCUAUUUGGUGAGUGAGUUCAUUUAUUAUUAUUGUUGCAUUACAUCUUGAUAUGAGAUUGAGUUUGAGAAAGGUAAGCAUAUAAAUGGAUGCUCAUAAGGUGAUUAUGUACAUAUUGUGUUAUUAUCCAAUUGUUUAUGCUGGUGAUAUACUUCCUUUAGCAUCCUAAAUUGUUUGAUGAUUCACUUGUAACUUUGAUGGCUAUGGAUUGUUUAAGUUAGAGUUUUAUCAUUCUUUACUGGGCAAUGUUGUUUGCUCAUACCUUACAUUUUCAAAUUGAUAGCAUGGAUGUACCGCCAAUAGCUCGAUACAAGGUGGUAGUGCAUCUUGAUGUUUCUCUUCAUGACGUGUAUGAUCCUGACAUUGACAUGGUUUUCUCCAAAUAUGAGGCGACUUUAUGGCUGGAUGACGGUAGAGCUGAGUUAUUACCGAUGACGUUCGUUGCAUGGUUUAUCAACCAUGAAGGGGAGAUGUUCGGACCUUUACCCUUUGGAGCUGGAGGACCUGGAGCGGGGAUGGAUGGCGCCUAGACGCCUUUGAUCUUGUUGUAGCUGACUGACUUUUGUUUUUUGUUAGACGUGGGCUUGUGUGGGAAGCUCAUGGAGUAGAUAACGUCACCCAUAUCCCUGGCUUUUGUUAUGCCUUACUUUUGUUUUGUAUAUGAUGUAAAUAUAUAGGUGAAGAACAUGGAAUGAGUCCAGGUUGAUAAUUUUGUAUGUACUGAUGAUGAUAAAAUGAAAGGAAGCCUUUUAUGAUCUUGUCUAUGUGCAUUGCAGGAUAACCUUAUAAUAUAAAUUUAGGAUUUUAAAUAAUCCAUGUUAUACAUGCUAACCUUCAAUGGUAAAUACUAUGGGUUAUUUAAAGGAGAUUACUAGUUAGGAAGAUAAUAAUAAUAAUAACUAUAAUUCCGCUUGCGCUUUGUACGUGACACCCUGGGACGUCACAGCUGCUCGUUACAUCUUGUUUACAAAAACACUGUAACAAGCAGCUGUGAUGUCCUAGAGCGUCACGUACUAAGCACAAGCGGAAUUAUAAUUAUCAUUAACAUCUUACCUAACUUAUAAACUCCUUUAUAUAACCUAUAGUGUUUACCAUUGAAGGUUAGCAUGUAUAACAUGGAUUAUUUAUAUCUCAAGUUUAUAUUAUGAGGUUAUCCUGCAAUUCACUCUACCUUCAAUUCAAGUAUUGGCCAAAUCAUUCAUGCACAUAAAAAAGAACACAAGAAACUUCAUUACUUCUUUUCAUCAUCGGGGCUUACAAAAUUUAUCAACCUGGACUCUUUCCACGUUCAUCGCCUAUAUAUACAACAUAUACAUUACAAAAGUGAGGCGUAACACAAGCCAUGUAUAAAGGGGUGAGGGAAUCUACUCCAUGAGUUCCCAUACCAGCCCGCAUCUAACAAAAAACAAAAGUUAGUCAGCCUCUACACGAUCCAAGGCGUCUAGGUGCCGUCCAUCCCCGCUCCAGGUCCUCUUGCUCCGAAAGGUAAAGGUCCGACCAUUUCCCCUUCAUGGUUGAUAAACCAUGCAACGAAUGUCAUCCGUAUCAACUCAGCCCUACCGUCAUCCAUCCAUAAAGUCGCCUCAUACUUGGAGAAAAUCAUGUCAAUGUCGGGAUCAUACACAUCAUGAAGAGAAACAUCAAGACGCACUACCGCCCCGUAUCGAGCUACUGGCGGUACGUCCAUGCUAUCAAUCUAAAAAUGUAAGGUAUGAGCAAACAACCUUGCCCAGUAAAGAAUGAUAAAACUAUAACUUAAACAAUCCACAGUCAUCAAUAUUGCAAGAGAAUCAUCAAACAAUUUAGGAUGCUAAAGAAAAUAUAUCACAAGCAUAAACAAUUGGAUAUUAACACACUAUGUACAUAAUCACCUUAUGAGCAUCCAUUUCUAUGCUUACCUUUCUCAAACUCAAUCUCAUAUCAAGGUGCAAUGCAACAAUAAUAAAUGGACUCACUCGCCAAAUAGAAUUAUAUUUAGUGUGCACAUGAUCCACCCUCGAUCAAUCACUAACCGGAAUUCAACCGGCCCGAUCGAGUCACUUCUGGAAGUUACCUUAUCCGGACUUCCAUAAUAUGGGGUAUCAUGGGCAUCUCACUCCGAGGCAUCCCGGUAUCACACAACCGAGGUCCUCCCAAGACCACAUAGCAAGGGGCAUCUCACUCCGAGGCAUCUCAGUAUCACACAACUGAGGCAUCCUUGAUCACACACAAGGGCAUCUCACUCCGAGGCAUCUCAGUAUCUCUCUAACGAGGCAUCCAAGACCACGCAGCAAGGGCAUCCCAAACUUUCGGGGGCAUCACCGGUAUCUCUCUACCGAUGGGUUCAUUCAUCUUAAGCACACGUUUCACACCACCACACCUUUGAUUAAUGCAUUUAUUGCAUUUAUUGUAUGCAAAAGAAAAAGACUCUAAAGUAUCUAUCUACUCUCAUGAACCUAGCACACGUGUGUGUCCAAAUUAUAAGAUAAAACCCAUUACGUCAUGUCCCAUUCCAUGGCGAACAGAUAUUUAUCCCAUAAUCAAGCACUAUGCACCGCACUCAUUGCACACACAUGAUUCUAUAUGCACUUAUAUCUCAAAUGAUAUAUGAGACUUACUCUUAUAUGAAUAACUUCUAUUAUGAGGUUUAUUAGGCUCUAUGUACAUCACGAAGACCUAAUAUAAAAGACACAACAUCUAGUAUAUGUUCUCAGGUCCAGACAGUUUACUAACUAAAUGUACAGUUUCGGUUUCAGAUACAAAAGGUAUAUCAAUUCUUGUCGAAAUAUUACCAAAUUUUAGUAUGUUAUAUUUAAGAUAUAGAAUAACAAUUCCCAUGAAGAAACUUAAGUCUAAUUCUCACUGUAUUAAGAGUAACAAUUGCCAUAAUCUUUACUAGUACCCUGUACCGACGUCCAGAUUCUUUAUCUACAAAGAAAAUUGUUUCACUAGCCAAAUAUUAUCGAUUUAAUCUCAAAUUUUGACACGUCAUUCCUUAAGAUGUUCUCUACAAUUUUAAUUAAGGAUUAGAAGUCCAAAUCUAACUAGGUAAAUAUAGAAAAUUCGUAUAUUCAGUUAAGGUCAUACUGUUUCUCACAAAACAGUUUACUGGUUUUACUAAGUUCACUUCUAUCUCUACAUUUUCUAUAGUCAUAUGGUUAUAGCUACGUGUAUGACUCAAUCUUAUAGAUGUUCUAUCAUGUAGAAUAGUUUCUUUCUUAUUUCUAUUAACAUACAUAAAGAAAAUUAAACACAAACAGAAGACUCCAUAACUGUUUUCACUUAGAACAGAAUAGAUACACAAAUUUUCUCACUUCUAACUCAACGAAACAACUUGUCUAUCCACAAAUCUCUUCUAAAAUACUCCAAUGCGUACUCACAGCAACUCAAAGCAACUUUAGCAUAUCUUUCUCUAACAAAUGAUCGAUUCCACAGCUUGGCUCGAAGUGUCGUUGCAUCCGUAAGCCACGUAUCACGACUUCUACCAAAACAACACACUCGGCAUCCAUUUCAUCACUUCGCUUAACAAAACAUCAUACUCACAAGGAUUUCGAAACAUGCAGUCCUCAAAAACAACAUGCAAUGGCUUCUAACUCUAAUCUAACACUUACUCAGCUUAGAUUAACCACAAAACAACAACUACAAACUAAAUCUUUCAUCGUUUGGAUUGAUCCGCAAGCUUUCUUGACAAAACAAUGGAUAACUUUCAAUUUAGAGUUAUAUCUUUCCUUACCUUGUUCAGCUGUUAGACAACACAAAGAUGCUUCAAGAUCAACACCAAAAUCUCGCAUGCAAGAAGAAGAAAUCACUGGUUUGCUUCUGUUUUGUUUCUGGUUCUACCGCUCAGCUGAGAGAAAAGAAAGAAGAAGAUGAAGAUGGGUUGCUGGGUUUUAUAUGGAGAGAGAGAGAGAGGUACAAAACUUAAGGGGGAAAAUAGGUCUACAAACUAAUCCCUAGGCUAGAGUAAUGAUGAAAUUUGCUAAUGAUUUUUUUCCUUGAAGUUUACAUGUCUCGGUUCGUGGGUAUCAAAACCGUGGGUGAAGAAAAACAAAGAGAGAAGAGAGGUGUCGAGAAUCGAGAGAGAGAAAAGUGUCAUGGCUUUCAUGCAUGAAGAUUUUCGCCAUCUGUCGAUCGUCGCCAAUUAACAAUUUAUUGAUAUCAUUCGUUAGUUCAUUAGCUUCUAAUAUUUUCAUCUAAUUGCCUGUUGUUUCUACUUAAUCCCAAUUAUACAUAUCGAAUGACAUAACAUAUUGACUAGUCAAUGUUAGUCUAUAAAGAAUUCAUCACAAAAUGCUAAAGUUAGAAAUUGAUAUUAGCAUUAUAAACAUUAAUCAAGUUAUCAUAACUAUAAUCUAUAAAAUAAAGUCAUUCGGGCCUAAAUAUUCAUUCCCGGCCCAACAAGCUCAAUCUAUAACAAUCUAGGCCCACUUAACCAAAUCUACAAAUCUAAUAAUUUCGAACCUUGGCCCGCUUCAAGCCAAGUCCAAGCCCAUAAUCACUCAUUUGAUUUCUUAAGUCCAAUUCGUGUGGCCCACUCACUUCUCAAGCCCACACGUUUCUCACGAUCCAUCGGGUUCACUUUCUGGCCCAAUCUAAUUAAUCUAAGUUCCUAAUGAUCUAAUUACACUAAUGAAAGUCAAUGAAAUUUGGGAUGUCACAACUCUCCCCUACUUAGAAAAUUUCGUCCUCGAAAUUGAAGUCUUACCUUAUUCACUUGAAAAGCUGAGGAUACUUUUGUAUGAUCUCUUCCUCAUUUUCCCAAGUUGCUUCCUCUGAAUCAUGGCAUCGCCACAAAAUUUUGACUAAAGGUAUAGUCUUAUUCCUCAAUACUUGCUCUCUUCGAUCCAAAAUUUGCACAUGCUCUUCUACAUAUCUAGUUCUUUCAUCUAUUUCUAGUACCUCAAAAUCUAACACAUGAGUUGGAUCCGGCUCAUAUUUCCUAAGCAUAGAUACAUGAAAAACAUCAUGAAUACUGGAUAGCUUUGGUGGUAAUGCUAUUCUAUAUGCUAACUCUCCAAUCCUUUCUAAUACUUCAAAAGGUCCUAUAAAUCUUGGGCUCAACUUUCCUUUCUUCCCAAAUCUUGACACAUUCUUCAUAGGUGAUACUUUCAAAAAUACAUGAUCUCCUACAUUGAAUUCUAAAGGUCUACGACAUUUGUCUGCAUAACUCUUUUGUCUACUCUGAGCUGUCCUGAGUUGUUCAUGUAUAGUCUUCACUGCUUCCAAUGUGAUUUGAACUAUUUCUGGUCCUGUCAACUUUUGCUCUCCAACUUCAUUCCAGCAAAUAGGGGUUCUACAAUUUCUACCAUAUAGAGUUUCAAAUGGAGCCAUACCAAUACUUUGCUGAAAACUAUUGUUAUAAGAAAAUUCCACUAAAUGUAAUUUCUCAUCCCAAUUUCCUUUGAAAUCAAUGACAUAAGCUCUUAGCAUAUCUUCCAAUGUUUGUAUAGUCUUCUUUGAUUGCCCGUCUGUCUGUGGAUGAAAGGCAGUACUAUAUUGGAGUUUAGUUCCUAAGGCAAGUUGAAGACUCUUCCAAAAAUUUGACGUAAAUCGCGGAUCUCUAUAUGAUGUUAUGGUUACAGGAACACAAUGUAGUCAUACUAUUCGUCUAACAUACAAUGUGGCAUACUUCUCUAGUGAAUAGUCUAUCCUGAUAGCUAAAAAGUGUGCUGACUUUGUUAAUCGGUCUACUAUUUCCCAGAUUGAGUCAUGACCGCUUGAAGUCCUUGGCAAUCCUUCUACAAAGUCCAUGGUUAUAUGUUCCCACUUCCAUUCUGGAAUUUCCAAUGGUUUUAGCAAUCCUGCAAGCUUUCGAUGUUCAGCUUUCACCUGUUGACAUGUCAGACAUCUUGCAACAUACUUAGCAAUAUCAGUCUUCAUUCCGUUCCACCAAAAAUAUUGACGAAGGUUCCUAUUCAUCUUUGUACUUCCUAGGUGAAUACUAUAACUACUAUGAUGAGCUUCAGUCAGAAUUUCUCUCUUCAAUUCGUCACUACUAGGCACACAAAAACGUCCAUGAAAUUUAACUAUCCCAGAAAAUUCAAAUUUGAUUGGUCAGAGGAAUGUGAGCAAAGUUUCCAAGAACUCAAGAGGAGAUUGACGACGGCACCAGUGUUAACAAUACCCAUAGGAUCUGGAGGUUUUGUGGUGUAUAGUAAUGCUUCUCAUAAAGGAUUAGGAUGUGUUCUUAUGCAACACGAGAAAGUUAUAACAUAUGCAUUGAGACAAUUGAAACCACAUGAAUUGAAUUACCCUACCCAUGACUUAGAGCUAGCUGCCAUUGUUUUUGCUUUAAAGAUUUGGAGACAUUAUCUUUAUGGAGAAAGAUUUGAAAUUUUUACGGAUCACAAGAGUUUAAAGUAACUAUUCUCUCAAAAGGAAUUGAACAUGAGGCAAAGGAGAUGGAUAGAUGAGAUGGAAAAGAUAUUUGCAUUACUGAAUUGUACUGAUGUAGAGAAGGUAUCAUUAGUAGAAUAUCAACUUCAAGGAAAUGCUGAUUAUUGGUGGAAAGCGACAAAAGGAACAGUAUUCACUGAAGGUGUAGAUGUGACUUGGACUGGAUUUGUAGGAGUCUUCUAUAGUAAGUAUUUUUCAGACUGUGCAAGGGAUAAAAAGGCAAUGUAAUUUAUGCAGUUGACCCAAAAUAACUUGACUAUAGAUCAGUAUGAGGCGAGAUUUGCUGAGCUCUCUAGAUUUUCCUCUAGAUUAAUAGAAUAUCCAGAGGAUAAGGCUAAGAGAUUCUUGAAUGGGUUAAGGUCUAAUAUAAGAGGAUGAUUGGUGCCUUUGAAUUUGAAGGAUUAUAGUGAAUUGUAUGAAAGGGCACAGCUAAUGGAAAGAGAUUUGAUGUCAAGAAACCAGACAUCGGCAUAUCAGGUAAGACCACAAUCUCGAGGAGACUCAUCAUCGGCAUAUCAGGUAAGACCACAAUCUCGAGGAGACUCAUCGAAUUUUCGUUAUAAUAAGAGAUCUCAUUAGGUUGGAAAGUGUGGAAUAAUCAACCAAUGGAACGACCACAGUAUGGUAACAAUGAGUGUCGUCGGUGUGGUAGAUCACAUGGGUUUGGACCAUGUUAUAGAACAAAUGUUUGUUUUAAUUGCGGACAGUUAGGGCAUUAUAUGAGAGAUUGUCCUCAGAAAAGAAUGCAGCAGCCACAACCACAACAGAAUUCAGGUAGACCAUUACCACCAAGAGAUAACCAACAACCCCCAGCUCAAUGAAGAAUUUAUGCGAUUACUCAGGAUGAGGCUGAAGGGUCUCAAACAGUUAUUACAGGUAUCAUUUCCUUGCCCAAUCAGAAUGCUUAUGCUUUGUUCGACACUGGAGCAACUCUCUAUUCCUUUGUAUCUGCUCAAUUUGUGCGACUGAAUAGGAUGGAACCUGAAUUGUUAGAAGUGCCUCUUAGUGUCUCUACUCCAUUAAAGGAUGUCAUUUUAUCUAAUUCAGUGUGUAGGGAUUCCACUAUCCAUAUAGGUGGACAACACUUGUUAGCUGAUUUGAUGGUGUUAGUUAUGUAUGACUUUGAUGUAAUUCUAGGAAUGGAUUGGUUGCAUAGACACCGAGCUAGUGUGGAUUGUUAUAGGAAGAUGAUUCGAUUUGACCCACCAGAUAGGCCAAGUUUUGAAUUUUAUGAUGGAAAGACAACUCCCUCUAUACCUCUUAUUAAUGCAUUAGAAGCCCACAUAUUUCUUAGAAAUGGUUGUUAAGGGUAUUUGGCAUAUGCAAGUGAACAAACCAAGAAGGAAGUACAACUUGAGGAUAUCCGUGUAGUACUAGAAUUUUCUAAUGUAUUUCUCGGGGAAUUGAUAGGAUUACCCCUAGAGCAAGAGAUUGAGUUUACUAUUGAAUUGGCACCUGGUACAAAACCCAUAUCGAAAGCUUCUUAUAGGAUGACGUUGACAGAAUUAAAGGAAUUGAAGGUACAAUUACAAGAAUUACUUGACCAAGUAUUUAUUAGACCAAGUGUUUCCCCAUGGGGUGCACCAGUGUUAUUUGUUAGAAAGAAGGAUGGAUCAUUAUGCCUUUGUAUUGAUUAUAGGCAAUUGAAUCAAGUGACAAUUAAAAAUAAGUACCCAUUACCAAGGAUUGAUGACCUAUUUGAUCAAUUACAAGGAGCGUCAGUUUUCUCAAAGAUUGACUUAAGAUCAGGAUAUCAUCAAUUACGGAUAAGGAAAGAAGAUAUUCCUAAAACAACUUUUCAAACUAGAUAUGGACACUAUGAAUUUUUGGUUAUGCCAUUUGGAUUGACGAAUGCCCCAGCAUCUUUUAUGGACCUUAUGAAUAGAGUAUUUAAGUCUUUUAUGGACCAAUGUGUGAUAGUCUUUAUAGAUGAUAUUUUGGUGUAUUCAAAGAGACAAGAUGAACAUGAAGAACAUUUAAGGAUUGUGCUCCAAACUCUUAGAGAACACAAACUGUAUGCUAAAUUUAGUAAAUGUGAAUUUUGGUUGGACCAAGUGACAUUUUUAGGACAUGUGGUGAUCGGUGAAGGAAUAUCGGUGGACCCAGUUAAAGUUGAGGCUAUGAUUGAUUGGCCUAGACCAUCGACAGUGACAGAAAUACGAAGUUUUCUAGGUUUAGCUAGAUAUUACCAAAGAUUUGUAGAAGGAUUUUCUUGAAUUGCAGGACCUUUACCCUUUGGAGCAGGAGGACCUGGACCAGGGAUGGACGGCGCCUAGACGCCUUGGAUCGUGUAGAGGCUGACUGACUUUUGUUUUUUGUUAGAUGCGAGCUGUGUGGAAACUCUGGAGUAGAUACCCUCACCCUUUAUCCCUGGCUUGUGUUACGCCUUACUUUUGUUAUGUACAUGUUGUAUAUAUAUAGGCGAUGAACAUGGAAAGAGUCUAGGUUGAUAAAUUUUGUAAGCCCUGAUGAUGAAAAGAAGUAAUGAAGUUUCUUGUGUUCUUGUUUAUGUGCAUGAAUGAUUUGGCCAAUACUUGAAUUGAAGGUAGAGUGAAUUGCAGGAUAACCUCAUAAUAUAAACUUGAGAUUUUAAAUAAUCCAUGUUAUACAUGCUAACCUUCAAUGGUAAACAUUAUAGGUUAUCUAAAGGAGUUUAUAAGUUAGGUAAGAUGUUAAUGAUAAUUAUAAUUCCGCUUGCGCUUAGUACGUGACGAUUUGGGACGUCACAACUGCUCGUUACAGUGUUUUUGGUAUCAAAGCAUAAGAUUUAUCUGGAGUGAUAAGGUGCGGUAGUGACUAUGCGUUAGGAUAAUGAUAUUUUCUUUGUAAGGAACAAGUAACUUAUGUUACUCAUAGGAUAUCAAUAACAAUUGUUGCAGUUGUUACUUAUUUGUUUUGUAAGGAGACUCGGUAGCCUAAUGAGUAGUGACCGAUGUGCAGAAACCAGGAAUUGUCAGGAUGAGUAGAAAUGGACGAGGAAUGACCAUGGAUCCCUGUGUGGAAGGAAUCUUGGAAGCACUUGCUAAUGUAGGAACCUUAUUGGAAAGGCAAGCCCAACAACAGGUAGGAGGUGACCGUAGAAUGCAAAGCUUAGUAGAACAAUUUCUGAAACUAAAACCCUCUAGAUUUGCUAGAUUAGGAGAUCCCGUAGAGGUAGAAUUAUGGAUAGAUGAAGAUGGAUAGUGUUGCUGUUAGUCCUUUGGAUAGUGAAGAUCAGAAAUUUCAAUCAAAUUGAUGAUUGAAUUAUUUUUUAUUUUUACUUUUUUGGCAAAAUGUAAGAAUAUAUUGAGGAAAUGUCAAAUGUACAAAAGAUCUCGUCACCAGAAACUUACACUCCAGAUACAGGAACAAAGGAAGUGGAAGGGUGACAAGAUGUAAAAGUCGCAAAGCGCGGCACACACACUACAACACCAAAACCAAAAGAAGCACGGCAUGGACAACUAGCUACCAAACACGCCACAGGCGAGGAAGAGGUCAUCGUUGAAUUGAACUACCUAUGAGUCCCCAGUGAAAAUAAUCAGUAUCUAGGCCCCAACUUCUCUGCAACCUUCUAUUUCUGAAAUUAUCUUCGAUGUUCUUGAAGGUAAUAGCCUUGUCUCGGACCACUUUGAAGAGGUGGUUCUUCAUGGCCAGAAUUGUCAGGGGCUGGUCUCUAAAGAUGAUACUAUUCCUGUUUUUCCAAAUGAUAUGACAAAGUGCGCCAAAGGAAAAAGGGGCAAAUCUUUACCCACUAAAUAGGUAGCGGCUCAGCAGAGGUUCUCCCUCCAAGUUCUGUUGCGCUAAGGCAAAUUGCAUCUAGAAACCCAAAAGAAAGCAAUGCCAGUUAUGACACGGCAAUAAAAAAAUAGGCGAUCAACAAAGUCGGGCAUACUCUUGCAAAAUGCACAGGCAGCUCUUUCAAUUCUACCAUAAGACAGAAGGAGAGCCUAGGUUAGAAGUUUGCGCUUGGCAAUGAGCCAAAGAUUAAGCUGAUAGCAAGGCACUAUGACGUUGUCCCACACGAAGGAGUACCAAUGGACUCUCGUUCUCUUCUUCAUGAUAGAGUUCCACACCAUUGCUACCAUGAACCGACCCGAAGAGCUUUCUCGCUAGCAACAACGAUCCAGGUCACUCGACAGGAUCGGGAGAGGAUAACCCCAUGAUUCAAGCACUAUCCUAAGAGCUUAGCCAACAUCUGAGAAAAGGUCAGCAACACAGGCCUGCCAAGAGAACCCUGAGCUGUAGAUAAGUGAAUCCGAGAAAAGCAGGUUUAGGGGCCCCUUAGGGUGCCAAUUAUCAAACCGAAUAGAGAUUGUUUGGCCAUCGCCAUUUUUCCAGUAGAAAGCCAUCCAGAAAUCACUCAUUAGGUUCAACAAGCUCUUCCAAGCCUAAGAGCCAAAGGUUGGCUUCCUAACAACCCAAAAGUUCUUGUUCUUUAAGAAAGUGGAAUGGACCCACCUACACCACAACGCUUCCUUGUUAGAGAACAAGAACCAGGUAUGCUUCAAUAUGACGGCUUUAUUGCAAUCUCGAAGCCUCCUGAUACCUUGCCCUCCUUCAUCCUUUGGAAGGCAAACUUCAUCUCAAGCUACCUUAGCACCACCCACCCCUGCCCAGGUCCGGACCUUUCCAUAGGAAUUGUCUAAGGAUUUUCUCUAUCUGGUCCACUACAACUAUAUAUAAAACAAAUACACUAGCCUAAUAGGCUUGUAUAGUGUGAAGAAUUAACCUUAUAAGCUAAAGCCGUCCAGCAAGAGAGAGGAAUCUGUGAGUCCAAAACUGAACCCUAGCAGCGAUACGGUUGACAAGGGCACAAGAGAGAGGAAUUGGUGAGUCCAAGAUUGAUGAUUGAAUUAUUUAUAUAGUAAUUUUGGAAAAUUGACAUGCUAUCUUACUAAAGCAAAAGUGAGUGCAUAAUAAUUAUGCAAAAGUGAGUGCAAAAAUUAACAUGAAGUAGUCCACUUUGGGUGCUUUUGCCGCUGUUUUGGCUUUGCCCUCGUUCUUUUACCUUGGCACCCUUCCACUCGCUCUGACUUUUGUGUUCAUGAGUAUAAGUUUUUGGUGCCGAAUUCUUGCUGUAUAGCUUUAUAUAACUCUUUGGUUUAAAGUCAAUAUAAUCUUACCUUUUACCCCCCAAAAAAAAAGUUGAUAAUACAAUCUGUGAAAUUCAAGAUAGAACAAGACAUCAUAAUUUUGACAGGAAUUUUCGAUCUUUGGUAGCUGUAGAUUACAUUGAAUACUAAACUUAAGUAAUAAGAUUCAAUUGCAUAAAUUAAGUACAAGAUUUAAUUGCAUAAUUCGCGUAAGUUGUUGGACCAAUAUUGAAAUUAUUAAAACGAAGAAUCUAAUUUUACCUAAUUCGAUGAAAUGGAUGUGCGAGAAUCAACAUGACCAGCACGUUUACUCCAUUUCGUAGCCAAAAGAUAUAUAUAUAUAUAUAUAUAUAUAUAUUUCCUUUAUUAUAAUGUGGACGGCAUAUAUUUCGGCAUAUAUUUCUUUUUCUUUAUUGUUUUGGGUUGGUUUCUCGUGAAGUGAAGAGGAUAAGAGUGUAUAUUUAUAUCCUGUUUUCCACGCAAUAAUCGCAGAAGUGCAAGGUGAGCAAUAGCUGAAAGCUUGGCCAAUGGAGUACUGCCCUACUUCGCCCUUUUGGCUCGGCCUCCUCCUCCCGGCGCUUCUAUUUUUCCUUCUCAACCGUUGGAAGCGCACCAAGCUUCCCCCUCAGCCCCCAGCAUGGCCCAUGAUCGGCAACAUCCUCGACCUCGGGAUCAUGCCGUACCAGAACCUCCACAGCUUCCGAGCCGAGCACGGGCCUGUCACGUGGUUGAAGCUCGGUUCUGUGAACACCAUGGUGAUCCAAUCAGCUCAGGCCGCCGCAGAGUUCUUCAAGGGCCAUGACAUGGCAUUCGUGGUUGACGGCUCUCGGCUAUGACCAAGGUUCGCUCACCGUGGGUCGUUACGGCUGCUACUGGCACGUUCUCCGGCAUCUCUGCUCUGCAGAGCUCCUCGUGACCAAGCGCAUCAACGAGACGGCCCAUCUCAGGCAGAAGUGCGUCGACAGCAUGAUCGGUUAUUUAGAGAAAGAAAUGGCAGCUAAACAAGUAACAACAGGUUAUUUCUCAUGUGCUUGGUGUUCCUUUUGACUUUUUUUUUUUGAAGAGAGAGUAGGGAGGGGGACGUCUCUUUAGCUCCUUAUAAAAUAUCAAAGCAGAAUCAAGAUCAUAUACACUACAAGAUAUUUCCACUAGUGUCACAACCACUUCUCGAUUAUUAAUAUAGGUAAAAUCAAUGAUUAAGACAUGUUAAGACUUCUACAAAAGUGCGGCUAAGAGGAAUGAUCCCUUGCGUCAAAAUAAUGCAUUUCAGUGAAGAAUACAACUUGCAACUAGAUUUAACUCAAAAAAAUAAAAUAAUGGGACCUGUUUUUUAGGGAUAAAGGAACGACGGUUUUUGAACUUUUGUAAAGUGUUCAAUCAGGUUCCAGAAUCUUUUUUGUGUGUGAAUUUGGUCCUCAAAAUUAUACAUCAGCUGACCCUCCUUAUAGAUGUGUAGAUGGAAUGAUAAUGAGGAAUGUCGCCCCAGCACUAUAAGUUAGCACUGACUGUACCAACUUAUUUGGUGACAUUUAUUUAUUUUUAAACAUAGUGCUGAUAUGGACAAGGAAAAAAAAAUCUAACUAAUAAUUACGCACAAGGGAAUAGAGGGCUGGCUGGCCAGUGUGGGCGGCAGCCUCGCGGCACGACAUGGGUCGUUGAGUGCAUGCCGUCCGCGACUCCCACCUCCCAUCCAAGCACGUCCCCCCUACUUUAGUAACGAUACUUCUUUUUAUCGUUUUUUUUUUCAAAUUUCCUUACUUUUCAUUUUUUAAUAAUUAUUUUUUAAAAUUUCCAUAUUUAUGAAUUCUGUGUUAUUCCAUUUUAAAAAUUUUAAAUGCCACACAGAAUAUCAUAUUUGCAUUCUGUAAGACUUAAAAGUGUCACGUCAUUACUUCUAUUUCCUUUUUUAAUGAAAUGACCAUGUCGGAUAUGAAAGUAUAUGAUUUAAGGAUGUAAUUGUACAAAAAAAAAUUUAGGGACCUAAUUAAACCUUUUGUAAAGGUUUAGGGACUGCUCAUACUUUUGUCCCUUGGUUUUGUGUACUGUAAUUGACAAAGUCAACAAAUUAACUAGUGUAAAUAACUCAACUUACCCAAGAGCUACUGUGAUUAAAUAUGUUAUUUAGUCCAACUCACGUUCAUUCUUUUCGAGUUCGAGUCUAACUAGAGUGACUCUACCGUUAAAUUACUGCAAGCUCGUGCAGCUUCAUCAUUGAAUUGAGCCAAACUCGAGCGUGAUCAAGAAGUUGGGUUUCAUAUAUCUUCCGUUGCAUUUAUCAAGUGCAUCUCUAUAAAAUUAAAAAGCAUGCAUAAGUAAACUUUCCACUCAAUUUUAUUUGUAGAAGUCAACUUGAAGUUUUCAGAGUUUAGAUGCUGUAGGAAAUGGAUUCCUAAAAAUCGAACCGAUACUCGAAUGAUCAAAUAGCAAAAAAUGAAUAUGGAAACGAGUCCAGGAAACAUGUAACACUGAUCAAAGGUAUAUUACGGAAAUAGACAUACCUUACUUGCCACAUAUUAAGUACCAUUGCAGUCUCAGAUGAAUCAGUUAAAGCCCUAGAGUUCCAUUCUUUAAGAGGGAGUAUACUAUUUUAAGAGGAAGAAAAAUGGAAAAGCGUAUUUUCUCUCUGAAACGCUAUAGGUAAUGUUAUCCCAUUUUAUUUUUUAUAUUAUAUAUUGCAAUUAUUUUCAGUUAGAAAAUAACUACCCUUUCCUCUUAUGAGCCAUUCACUUAUGGGUCUAGUUUUAGCCCAACAUGAGCAAAUGGACUUAACUUGGCCAAUCAAAUAAAAAACCAUAAUCUCUCACUUGCACAUGGUGGGUCAAACAUAACAUUUUCUUCAUCUUUCUGUAACAUUCAUAUCAGUAAAUAAUCCGUGCAACCAGUAUAUUUUAAGAGCUCGUUGCCAUACAUCUGUUGAUAAUAUAUAAUAGCUCAUAAUAGGUAUCACAUUUUUUGAGUAAAUAUAGUAUACAACAUCAUAAAUCAAUUAAUCACAUUUAUAUCUCUCUUGAUUUCUUUUUAAUAAUGAUAAAUUGUAUUCACAAUUAUGAUUAUCUCAAAACAAUCAUAAUUUGUCAACUAGUGAAUAUAAAAUUAGAAUGUAAUUUUCCAAACUUGAUAUUCUUCUUUCCUUGAAACUCUCAAUUUUAAUUCAACUUGCUUUUCUAGAAAUAUCCCAUUAGAUUGAAUCAAUUCAUGAUAAUUGAAAACAUUCUAAAAUAACAAACACUAAAUAGAAAUAUUGAGAAUAAGAAAGAAUCAUGAGGGUACUUAAUUGAGGAACUCUUUUCCUUAAGAGUCUCACAUGGCAUAAAAGUUAAGAUAAAAACUUUUACUACUCUUGUUGAUCAUCUCAUGCAUACGUAGUAUGAAAUAUGUAUUAUAGUAUUAACUCCUUUCCACAGAGUAUAUAUUUAUACUUUCAAUAUCGUACAAAUGAUAGUUCAAACAAACCUAAUGUCUAAUUUGAGUUCACGUAUCUAUUCUUUCACAAAAUUCAUUAGAACUCACAUUUGGCAUUAAAGACAGAUAUAGUAAAAUAUGUGGAUUAUUUUACUUUCGGACAUAGUAAAUAUUAUGUCAUUAUCUUAAUACUCAGUUAAGGUGACAUUUAUAUUUUAAGUUUGAACUCUCGAUUAUCACAUAGAUAAUAAGCUUAAAAAAUUGUUUCAUUUCUAUUUAUCACAUAGUAAAUAAAUGUGAUUACUUGUGUGAGUGGGCUACUCUCUUAUCUGACCAACAUACUUUCUCAAUUUUAUAUGAUGCACUAAGCAUUAAGAUGCAUAAACAUCAAAUAAGACUCAUAAGCAUUAAUAAUAAAAAUACAAAUUCAUUAAAUGUGAACAUUUAAGGGAUAUUACAAUAUUCAAUACAUCAGCAUCUAUGUAGUCCUAGAAAUUUUACAUAGCCACAGAACACAUCCCUAGGUACUAGCUUCAUCAUAAGAUCUACUAUCACUCUAUAGGUAGAUAUGUACUGUAAGUUUACAUCUUUUUGUGCAACUAUAUCUUUUACAAAAUUAUAUUUGGUAUAUACAUGUUUGAUUCUGUCAUGAUAUUUUGGUGUAUGCUAUUGUUGUUUGGUUAUCACAGUUAAAUAAUGAGUUUGCAACAUUCUUAAUAACACCUAAAUGAUCCAAAAAUUUCUUAAAUCAAACCCUUUCUUGUAUUGAUAUUAAUAAUGCCACGAACUCAACCUCCAUCGUGGACAAUAUUAUAUAUGUUUGUUUCUUACUACUCCAAAAUAUGAUACCAUCAUUUAAUAAGAAAACAAAUCUAGAGGUAAAUUUCAUUUCAUUUAAAUCUCCUCCUUAGUUAGUAUCUGAAUAGCUUUCAAGUCGCAAAUUCUUUCCUUAAUAACUCAACGUAUAAUUAACAUAUCCUUUCAGAUACCUCAGUAUCCUUUUGACGGCUUUCCAAUGUGCUUGACUUGAAUUGGAUAUCUAUUUAUCAUUCAAAUUACAAAACAUAUGUUAGGUCUUGUGCACAUCAUAGAGUACAUUAAAUUUCCAGCAACACUACCAUAAGGAAUAUGUUGCAUUUGUUCAUUCUCUCGUUGAGCCUUUGGAUAUAUUCUAUAGCUUAAUCAUUCACCUUUUACAAUGGGAAUAUGUAUGAGUUUACAAAAUUGCAUACGAAAUCGUUCAAGAACCUUAUUAUGUAUUUUUCUUGUGAAAGAGACAAUGAUAUUCUCGAACAAUCUCUUGAAAUUUUAACUUCGAGAAUAUAUGUAGCCUCACCCAUGUCUUUCAUAUCAAAGUUGGAAGAUAACCAACUCUUGACAUUAUUAACAAACUCCAUAUUGCUUCCGGCAAUCGGUAUAUCAUCAACAUAUAAUGAUAUAAUCACAAAUUGAUCUUUGGAUAUUUUGAUAUAUACACAAUGAUCCACAUCAAUCAUUGUAAAAUCAUAUGUCAUUAUGGUAUUAUGAAAACAUAUAUAUUAAUGUCUCGACGACCGCUUAAGGACAUAUAUAGAUCCCAAAAGUCAACAAAUCUUUUGUUUUUGGCAUUUCAAAAUGAAACUAACAGGUUGUUUCAUAUAUAUUUUUUCUUCUACUUCUUCAUUGAGAAAAGCAGUAUUUAUAUCCAUUUGAUGUAACUUAAGAUUCAUACUAACUACUAUUGCCAGAAUAAUGCAAAUCGAAGUAAAUCUAAUUACAAGAGAAAAUGUUUCGUUAUAAUCAAUUCAUUUCUAUUGGUUAUACUCAUUUGGCACAAAAUGAGCCUUAUAUCUUUCUAUUAAACCAUCGGUUUUAUGCUUUUUAUUUUUUUAUUUUAUUUUUAUAAUCCACUUGUUUCCAAUGGCUUUGUGUCCUUUUGGAAGGUUAAUCAAUUCCUAAAUACGGUUUAACUUCUUUGACUCCAUUUCCUUUUUCAUUGUAUGCAUCCAUUUUUUCUUACUAGGGAAAUUUAAAGCCUUAUUUACAUUUAUUGACUCAUAUUCAUCUUAUGGAGCAACCAUAAAAACGUCGACGUGGAAUAUUUUUGUGACUUAUUUUCCGUACGAGAGAUAGUACACUUUGCACAUUAUUCUCUAUUAUGCUCAUACUCAAAUUAGAUAAUGACGAUAUCGUCUCAUCAUAUAACUAUAAUUGAGAGUAAGUCAAAUUUAAUUCCUCACUUCUCAUGUUACUCCUACUUUGACAAACUCUACCAAGUCCAUUAUCUUGAUUCAAGGUUUCAAAUAGUGAGUAAUCCUCACAUAUUUGCUUUUCUUAAGAAAUUCAUUCUUUAAAAAUGUGACAUCCCGUGAUUUAAAUUCAGUUAUAUUCUCACUUUUCUGCUCACUUAUAAAUACAUACCCUUUCGAAUGUUCUGAGUAUUUUAUAAAAAUACUCUUCUUGCCUCUAAGACCCAAUUUCUCAUACUUGUGAGAAGGCUCAUGAGUAUAGGCAGUACAAUCCUACGGUUUAAGAAAACUUAAGUUCGGUUUUCUACCUGUCUAUAACUUAUAUGAAGUGAAAGUAACUGGUUUGAAAAACACACGGUUAAGUAUAUAGACAGCAGUUUAUAAAGCAUCACCCCAAAAGGUGAGAGGUAAGUUAGCAUGCGUUAUCAUAGAUACAACAAUUCUCAGUAGAGUUCUAUUUCUUCUUUUCAUAACACUAUUUUGUUGAGGAGUAUAGGGAAUAGAAAAUUGUAUUUCUAUUCAUUUUUCGUCACAUAAAUUUAUGAAUUCAUCAGAAAAAUAUUUUCGACCUUGAUCGAAUCUCAAUACUUUUAUUUUCUUAUUAUAUUGAUUUUCUACCAAGCUCAUAAACUUUUUAAAACAACUAAAUACUUCAGAUUUAUGAGAAAUCAAAUGACAUAUAUGAAUCGAGUAUAAUUAUCUAUAAAUGUGAUAAAAUAAAUAGCAUCAUGCCUUCCUCUCACAUUUAUUAGACCACAAAAAUUAAAAUGGAUUAAUUGCAAAGGAAAUUCAGCUUUCACAUUUUCCAAAUUGUUUCGUUGUCGUUUUCCCUACUAGGCAAUGCUUAGAUAUAGGCAAAUAAACUUUUCUAAUGUUGCCUAACAAGCCUUCUUUGACUAGCCUAUUCAUAUGUUGUUGGUCAAUAUGACUAAGUUUAGCAUGCCACAUAUUCACAUCAUUAUCAUAUGAAUUAAAAGACGCGAAGAGGGAAUAAUAAACAUUAAUAUUACUAUAGAUUGCAUUGAAUACAAUAAAACCAGCUAAAAAAUAACUACAACCAUAAUAGUUUGUAUUCAAAUACAAAUCCACACCAUUAUUAUGGAAGUUUAAAUUAAAAGAAAUUUUUACCAAUACUAAAACAGACACUAAAUUCUAAUAAAUCUCCAUAACAUAUAAUACAUCAUGUAGAAAUACGGUGCGUUCACUACACAUGUUUAAUUGGCAAGUGCCAAUCUCUUUUACUUUAGCAUUAAAGUUGUUUCCUACAUAGAUCCAUUUAGUUCCAGUUGGUACUCGUCGGAAUUCUACGAAGAAUUCUCUAUCAUUUGCUACAUGGUUCGUUGCUCCUGAAUCUAUAGUUCACAAAGGAUUAUAUUCAGUUAAGAAUACAAAAUUUGAUGCAUAAGCAAAGUUCUUAAGAAUACAAUGGGUGUUUUUCUUCUUUGGCUAGUGAUAGUUGCAAGCAUAGUGACUAUUCUUGUCACAACUAUAACACUUCACCAUUGACAACUUAUUCAUUCGAGAACAUUUUCUUCUUUCAUGUUGGUCAACUUUUGGUUUCUUUCUCGAAGAACUUGCUUCCUUACCUUUCCACAUUUUGAACGAAUCAAGACGUUUGUGCUUGGAGCUCGAAAUCCCUUGUGAGCUAGGACCAUCAUAAUAAAUAUCAGUUUACAAUUUAGUUGCCAGGAGGCAGUCCUCUUCUAACUCAAGAUGGCGCACUACAUCCUCAAAGUUUUUAAUAUUCUCGUUGUGUGUCAAAUGCACCUUCAUAUGCUCACAACUUGGAGGCAAGGAACGAAUCACUACUUGCACUUGUUGCUUGUCAGUCAGGACAUGGCCAACAUCUUUAAGCUCAUUAAUCAUAUUUAACAUCUUUCUCGCGUAUUGUUUUAUGAUCUGACUAUGAGGCUUAUUAUAAGAGUCAAAUCUCAUAAUGAGCUGCCUUGGUUUUGUCAUUGAUGUAUGACCAAAUCUUGUUGCUAAUACUUCCUACAUUUCUUUGGCAUUCUCAAAACGCAUGAACUCUCACAUGACAUCAUUUUCCAUGCUACUCAGCAAUGUAAUUCGAGUAAAGGAGUUCUUUCUUUACCAUGUAGCAAAUGCAUCAUUAUCUAUUUUAUGUUGUGUAGUGUUCACAUCUUCAGGUUUUUCCAUAAUCAGGUUAAGAGCUUCUAAUGCCUUUUGCUCUUCAAGCACAUAUUGGAUUUUCAGAUGCCAUAAUUCAUAAUUAUUGUCGUUCAGCUUCUCACCUUUGUUCAAUUCAGCGUCUAUGCUCUUAGUUGUCGAAGUCAUUGGAUCUAAACAUAUCAGACACAUAUGCAUGAAUUAUUAACGCCUCUCAUUUAUGCAUUCAUUUUGCAUAAAGUCAUCAUAUUAAUGAAUAAUUUUAAAUAAGGUUUUAGAAUCAAAAUGUCACUAUGUUUCCAAUCAUCAUCUAAAAAUUCUAAUUCAAAAUUAUCAUUAAUGUAGUCUUCUAUGCAAAAUAAGUUCUUUGAAGCUACAAAAUUUUCUAUGAACUACCCACAACGCUUAAUGAUAACAGAAGCAAUUGACAUUGAAUAUCCAUUAAUGAUAGAAUAAAAAUAAUUUCAUAUAAUAUAACAAAUACAUCAAUUGCUACAACGACAUCAAUAUGGUAGAAAUUAUCUAUAUAAGAUAUUCAUAAAACAUACUAAAUAAAUGCUACUAGAAACAACUAAGGCUAAGUCAACCUAUGAACAGGGAAAGAUUCUUUUAAUUUCUUGGAAAUUUCCUUUGUAAAUUCUCUAGGCACAUUUGGCAACCACAGAAAAAUAGACGGAAAUCCUUUAGGAUUUCUCCUUCACACUUUCAUCACCCCAUGGAUUGAACUCAUUCAUUGGGUCAAAGUCUUUGUGGCUUCAAUCCUAUAAUAUUCCUUCAAAAAAGCCACUAUAAAUUUCUUAUAAUCAAGAAUCAAAUUGACAUCCCAUAGGCGAUUCAACAUUCCUUGCCAUUCAUAUAGAAGAAUGCUAAUGAAGAAUCGCACCAUCUCAAAAGCUGACAUGGGGUAACCCUUCCAAAUGACUUCUUGUAUCUUUUUAUUGACCUUGUAAACAUGAUCAAAUAAAUUACCAUUUUCGCAUUGAUAAUUAGCCAACUCAGUUAUCAUCCUUGCAAGCCUUGUCCUUUGUCUUUCCGAAUGUGCGCGAAUAGGUGUACGUAUACGAAGGGGAGACGUUGUUCUUAUAACAAAUGCAAAACGAAAAAGGAUUACUUAUAAUCCAUAGGGACAUACUUGAAAAAGAAACGAUCAAUGGUCAAAGAGUCAACUGUCAAUGUGGUCAACAAAGUAAAUGGUCAACGGAGAUUAGGUCAGGUCAAACAGGUCCAACAUGGGUCAGGUCAAACUGAUUGACCCGACUAGGUGAUGUCAUAGUGACAUCACCAACAAGUGCCACAUGUGUGCAUGGGCAACCUCGGCUGACGUCACCAUGACGUCAGCUAGCGAGUGUGGCGCCGCAAGCACCCUAAAAAUUGUUGUUGCAUGCGCCAACGAGGCCUUUUCUCCUAGCUGUGCGUGGCAACAUGUCUGACAACCCACAGUGGCGAGCCACUACUUAUUUUUAUCAUCUCAAUGAAAACUACAACCCCGCACUAUCAAAAAUGAGUUUUGAUUCACCAAAAAUCAAAAAGGGAGGCGAACAAUACGAGCAUGUUAGGAUUUCCAUCCUUGAGCAUCAGACGGCAACCUUUUUCAAAAUUUCAUCCAAAAACAAUUUAUCAACAUCAACAUUGAUUGGGAAACAUGAACAACAUUACUUUGAUACCAAUGUAGGAAACAAAUUCCUAAAAAUUGAACCGAUACUCGAACGAUUAAAAACCCUAAAACGAAUGUGGAAAUGAGUCUGGGAAACAUGUGUGACAUCCUGAAAUUCGAUCCCGUUUCGAUAAAAUGAAAUGCGCAUAUUGUCAGCGUGCCUAUCCUCAUUUUUCUUUGAGCUGAUCACUCACGGGUUAACUAAUCUAUUGGGUGAAGCCGUUAAGGGAUAUAUCCGCGGUAAAAUCCCUAAAAGCUACCUAAUUUGUUAGAUUGGACUAAAAUCACGUUCGAUCGAUUUUAAUCAUGAAAUUUAAUUCGGUUUUGGGAAUCGAAUAUCCGAGCGUGUCACAAUUCAUUUUUAGGACCUCGUCUCAUUGUCCGUCAAAUUAUCGACGAGUCCGAAAUUUCAUGAAAGAAAUUAUUGGAGGAAAAAAUCGAAAACUGGAAGAAAUUAGAAAGGGAAAUGGAAAGAGAAAAGAAAAUAUAGAAUAGUAUUAUUCUUUUUCUUUUUCUCUCUCUCUCCCUUUUCUCUCUUUCUUUUCUCUCUCUUCUCUCUCCUCUCCCCUCCCCCUCGUACGAAAACCCUCCCCACCGACCGCCCCUUGCUGUCUUCCACUUUGCUUUCUUUUAUUUUAUUUUAUUUUUUUGACCAAUCAAAUCUCUCUCUCAUCUCUCAUCCCUCUCUCUCUCGUCACUCUUUCUUCUUCCUUCUUCUCCGUGCAAACGAACGGAACCAGAAGCUGAAGAAGAUCGAAAGCAGCAGCAGCCACCAUUGUCGCUUGUCCCGCCGCCGCACCGCACGCCCGCGCACACCGCACCUCCACCGAUCGCCGCCCGUGCGCCGCCUGUGCUUGCCGUCCCUGCCGCACGAUCCAACCUCUGUUCGGCCUCUGUUCAACCGCCGAGAGCGGCUGAGCAGGCCGCUGGAGCCACCGUCCGGCCUCACCGGAGCUCCGCCCGCUCUCCUGACCUCUUGCCGCCCCCAACCCUCUCUGUUUCUCUCUGUUUUGCAGCUGAACCAGCAAACCCACAAGUGGGUUUCCAGCCGGUUCGUGGUUGGUUUUGGGCCGUUUCCGGGCCUCGAACCCGAGCUGUGCUUUGGGAAGAAUCGUUCCUCGCGUCGCCCCCGUCGGAUUGAUUCGAUUUGCGCGCGAUUUGGUGAGUAAUCUCACUAAUCCCGGAUUAGUUGGCUAAUUAUGCUUAAGGUUGGUUUAGUUUUAAUUAAUUAUGUUAGGUUGUUAGAUUAAAAUAAAUUAGCAAUUAUUAGUCAAUUGUGAUGCGAUUUAGAUAAAUUGAUUGUGUAAUUAGCAAGUAGACGUGGUCUACUAAUUAUUGGAAGUGUCUCGGGAUUUUUCCCGACCCUUAGUGGGCUCCAAUUAGGCUUUUCGGGCCUAAGGGGAAUUUUUAGUAUUUAAAUAUUAAUUUUCGGAAUUAAAUUAAAUAAUUAUUUAUUUUCCGAAAAUUCAACUGGGAUGGCCCGAAACCGGAAUAUUAUACUGAUGACUGUGGUGAAGUCUGUUUAUUUAAUCGGGCUUUAUUUUGAGCAGAAUCGAAUUUUUAAUAUUAAUUAUUUAAUUUUCGAAUUUAAUUAAUUAAUUAUUUAUUUCCGAAAAUUCAAUUGAGAUGGUAAAUGACCAGAAUAUUAUGCUGAUGACUGUGGUGAAGUCCGUUUAUUUAAUUGGGCUUUAUUUUGUGUUAAAUUGAAUUUUUAAUUGUUAUUAAUUAAUUAUUUUUCGGAAAUUAAGAUUUUGAUGGCCGACGAUCGAAAUCUCGUGCUGAUUGUCGUGGCGCAGUUUGUUUAUUUAAUUGAGCUCUACAUUGCAUGAAAUUAAAUAAAUUGCGAUAUUUUAGGGAUUUACCCUAAAUUGGUUGAAAUUGAAUUAUUGAUUGGUAGUUGGAUGAGUAUGGCUAUUUAGCAUUUUGAAUGCCUUGUUGAGCUGUAAGUGGAGAGAGUGGUGAGAACUAACUGAGAAUUCUAUUGGCUGAGACCGAUCAAGUACGAAGUAUAGACAAGCAUGGUUCGGUGAUAAAGUACAUCACUGUGCGAAAACGACGCCUUAAAGAACGCACGUAGACUGUCUAUGACUUAUGGCAGGCAUGGUUCGGUGAUUAGGGAGAUCACUGUGCGAAAACGGCGCCUUAAAGAACGCACGUAGACUGCCUAUGAAUAGUGACAGGCGUGGUUCGGUGAUGAAGGACAUCACUGUGCGAAAACGGCGCCUUAAAGAACGCACGUAGGUUGUCAGUGAUUUGUGACCUAUGACGGGCGUGGUUCGAUGAUGAGGAAUAUCACUGUGCGAAAACGACGCCUUAAAGAAUGCACGUAGACCAUUUGUUACUUAUGUCACCUUGGCGAAAAGAACAUUGAUGGAGCUCUAUGACUAAGUGUACUAUUGGAGGUUAUGUGGGACGGAGUGAAUGACCUAGAAAUGAUUCGACUGACUUGUAAUCGACUAGGUCGAUUAAUCGAUGAUUUAAUCUGAGUGUGAUUCAAUGUGAUUGAUCAUUGCCUUGAUUUGAUGUUGCGAAUUGAUUGAUUGAAUGGAAAUGACCGUGAGUGGUCUUGUUGGCAUAUAAUCGACUAGGUCGAUUUGAUCGAUGUUUCGAUCGAUGAUAUGAUUGCUUGAGUGCCUAUUGUAUAUUAUGCUGACUUGCAGGUGGGAUUUGAGGCCAAGGUAAGUCAUUUGCCCUGUGCGUGGUUAGGCAGCCUGUAGUAUAAUAGUUUACUAAUCUGGCCUUAAUGGGGUAGAACUCGCUGAGACAUAGUCUCAUCCCGGUUUGGGGAAAUCAUUUCAGGACCCCACUGAGGAGCUGAGGAGGAGGAAUCUGAGAAGGAUUUUUGGAAGAAGAAGAUAAUCCCGAGAGGGGCCUUGAGUACGGCCCGGGUGAACUGAGAUUCUAUUUUCUUUUGAGGUCUCCAUUUUGAUGUGAAUAGAGUUUAGAGUAAAAAGUUAUGAAGUGCUCUGGUUUGUGUUUUGUAUAAAAGUUUGGUUAUAAGUUUCAAUAUGAAAAAUAUGGCUUUGCUUUUCUAUCCCAUCGUUUUAUUGUCUGGGGAUUGUAACUGCUUCCGCAUGUGCUUAAUAAAAGAAAGGGUCGGCGAUACAUAGUCUUGGGAUAUCGCAUUAUAAAAUUGACCAAGUGAGAAGGAUGUGUCCGUGCCCGAGGAUCGGGGCGUGACAACAUGUAAUAUCGAUUGAAGGCGACGGACAUACCUUGCUUGCUAUAGAUUAAGUACCAUCGCAGUCUCAGAGGAAUCCUUUGAAGCCCUAGAAUUCCAUUCUUUAAGAGGAAGUAUACUGUUUCAAGAGGAAGAAAAAUGGAGAAGUGUAUUUUCUCUCUGAAACACUAUAGGUAACAUUAUCCUAUUUUAUUUUUAUUUUUUAUAUUGCAGUUAUUUUCACUUAGAAAAUAACUACCCUUUCCUCUUAUGAGCCCUUCACUUACGGGUCGGGUUUUGGCCCAACAUAAGCGAAUGGGCUUAAUUUGACCCAUCAAAUAAAAAACCAUCAGAUGCUAGUUUAGCUUUGUUAGUGAAGUAGAGUCGAAAACAAGCUUAUCAAGCACUUUAUUAAGUUCGAGUUGAGCUAAAAAAAAGGACCUUUCAUAUUGAACAUUGCAGCAUACAUAGUAAGACAAGUAGAACUCACGAGUAGUUUAGAAGACAAUCCCUCUCGAUUCGACUAUAUCCCUCUUUUAACUAGUUGCACAACUUGAUGCAAUAAAUUUUUUCACGUCUAAUUCGUUACAUGCAGAUAUAAAUUCUCUGAUUAUAAUUAAUUGUAAAAAAAAAAUCAUUAUAUGAAGAGUAAGGAAUCGACUUAUCACAUUUCCUUUUUCUCUUGGGGUUUAAUGUGGUUGGCAACAUGGUGCUCUCGCGAGAUCUGUUGGACCCAAAAUCGAAGGAUGCGCUCGAGUUCUACGAUGCCAUGAACCGGGUCACGGUGUGGGCCAGCAAGCCUAAUGUAGCCGACUUCAUGCCGUGGUUGAAAUGGUGGGAUCCACAGGGGAUCAAAACAAGCAUGGCAGAGGACAUGGGUCGAGCCAUGAAGAUUGCCGAAGGCUUCAUGAAAGAGAGAUUGGAGGAGCGAAAGCUAAGGGGAGAGAUGAGGACGACGAAUAACUUCUUGGACGCGGUAUUGGAUUAUGAGGGCGAUGGAAAAGAAGGCCCUCACAAGAUCUCUUCCCAGAACGUCAACAUAAUCAUUCUGGUAAGUUUGCUCCUCCCUUCCACGUUUAACACAGUCUCACAGAAGUAAUUAUCGAUUACCAUCUUAUAGAUAUUAGGUUAAAUUCAGUUUAUUAAGUGGUACAGUGAACUUAAUUGACAUUUAAACAAGAUCACAUCACACGUCAAGGACAAGUUUUAGUAGUUAAUAUUAAAAUAUGGGUGGCGCUAUUUUCACCCCUCAUGAUUUCACUCACUCUACCAAAAAGACAAAAUUGCUCUUAAUCAUUCGAUUGUAAUUUUGAUGGCUCAAACUUAUUUACUUUCCUUCUUUUUCUUGUUUUUCUUCUUUUAUGUAGGAUCUAUUUAUCAUAAUCUAUAUUUAACAUGUUUCAUUUUGGUUUAUUGUGGGUAGCCCAUGUAUAUGAAAGGCACUAUGUUUUCACUUUAUUAUUACAAUUUACUUAUGUAGACAUUAAUUUACUCAUGGAGAAAAUUUUCCAAUAAAUCAAAUUAUUUUCAACGUUGUCUAACAAAUUUGUUGAUUAAUUGACUAGAAAAUUUUUAACACAUAUACUUUCUUAACGCGAUAACUUAUUUAUAAACUUCAACAUUUGUUGUGCAUGUCACCAUUAAAUCAUUUCUUAUCAGUUUGCACACAUAUACAUAAAAUGGGAUGAUCGAUGAAAAAAAGAAGAAGAAAAAAUCCCUGUAAAUUUUUUUUUGAAAUAAAUUCUUGAUCGCAUUCUCCAAUGUGAAACUUUAAAAGAUAAAAUUUCUUUUUAAAAAUUCAAGUGAAGUCUCAUCAUAUUGGAAUAACAAAAAUUAAUAUCAUCCAUGAAGUGUUUUUGGAAAAAAAAAAAUCUGAUUAGAAAGGAUUUGAUGGUGAUAUACACAACAAAAGUAAAAGUUUAUAAAGAUGAGAUUGUUUUGAAAAAUUGUCUAUGUUAAUCUCUAGGUUAUAUGUGACAAUUAAUCCAUAAAUUUGCUCAAUAAUGUAAAAAAGAAUUAAGCUUCUCAGAAAAUUUAUUUUUGAUGUAACUUAUUCUGUGGAAGUAAAAUCUACAAAUUAAAAGAAAAAAAAAUGCCUUCAAUAUACACAUUAUAGGCAUACUAAAUAACUCGUCAAAAGUUUAAUUAUGGCAACUAGAUUCUAAACAAAAACAGAAUAAGAAUGAAAAAGAAGGAAAGUGAAUAAAUGAGGGUCUACCACUUUAAAUUGCAGUUAAAUGAUUAAGGGCGAUUUUGCUUUUUUUAGUGAAAAAUAAGGUGGAAUUAGUCAUAUGAGAGGUGGAAAUAGCUUGACCUUAAAAAUAAACCAUAAAUCAAUCUUGCAUUUUUGUGGAGCAUUCAAGCUAGUUAUUAUAAAAUGGGGAGAAGUACACUAUCAAUGUUAUAAAUUGUGUACGGAGCUCAUUUUAAUGCCAAAAAUUUCCAUAGGAUCACUUAAGUGCCAAAAUUUUUGAAAAACGAUCAUUUCAGUGCCAACAUCGAUCAGGCUGACCGGAAAUUCGACGUGGCAGUUUUUUAUUCAUUUUUGAUGCUGAUGUGGCUCGCCAGAGAAUACAGUUAGCAUGUAAACCACAAAACGACAUCAUUUGGUGUUUUCCCCAAGUCGAAACCCUAAAUCCCCAAAUCGAGAGAGAGAGAGAGAGAGAGAGAGAGAGAGAGAGAGGCAUGAUGGCGUCGUCUUCUUCCCCGAAGAACAACACUAGCACCGGCCACUCUCUGAGCGGAACUUGAUCCACCAUCUCCAUCUGUGCCCUCCUUGUUUCCCUCACACUCUGUCUUCUUUCUCUCUCUGCACCUUCGAGCCCCCUUCUUCCUCCUCCUCCUCCGCCCUCACCUCCUAUUUUCCCAUCACUUCUUGCCCAAGAAACAACCUCAGCCUCUCCUUGCUCACCUAGUCGAGCAACUACGAUGGAGGCCGAGCGACGGUGGUCGAGCACGGUGGCUGAGCAAGCUAGGUCGGCGAGGAUUGAACAAAAAAACCCUAAUUUCAAUCCCAAAUGAGCUGUGCGGCAUCGUUUUUGCGAGGCCAUCCACAUAUGAUGGCAAAACGACGUCUUUUUCUUAAGGUGGACGGAAAACGACGUCGUUUAAAAGGCUCCUCGAUUUUAAUUUUAAAUAGAAAAGCCACGUAAUCAUUUUGGCCGGAAUAUCUCGCCAGUAGCACCAAAAUGAUCGUUUUUUCUCCGAUUUGGCACUUAAGCGAUCCGACAGAAACUUUUGGCAUCAAAGUAAGCGCCGUACACAACUUAUGGCACUGGUAGUAUACUUCUCCCUUAUAAAAUGAGUGGGGAUUGGCCAAAUCAAAAUAGAAUGAUAAAAUCUAUAUACUAGUAGUAACUUUUUGUUAUGCACCAUUUUCUAAAAACUCAAGUGUUAAAUGUUUUCAUAAAUAGUAAGUAGUUGUGAAAAAGGCUAUUUCAAUUGUGGAAGGUAUCAUUGGACCUUAGUAAACAAGUCUUAAGCCUAGAGAAGAGGUUCGAUUAAGAUCGACAAUCUUAUUCAAAUUGGAACCCAAAAUGAGUAAUUCUUUUGUGAAUUCGUCGGCACCCUAAACAUUUGUUUGCCAAUUUGAAGUAUAAGAAUUGCUAUGUUUGAUCAGGAUUUUUUAUCAAGUGAAGCACGAUAACUUUUACUAUUAACCUGACGAUUCAAGAGAGUUAAUCUUCAAGUGAGAUAGAAUUUUUUAAUGAUGGCACACGUGUUAAGAAAACUCCUAUUAGAUUUUCAAGUUGACAAAACUUUUCUUUUUUCUAUUCUUAUUCUCAUUCUGAGGAAUACAAGACUUCUGUGGAAUUUUUUCAAAGUCUAUCUUACAUAAGAAGUCUGCUCCACUCUGACGAAGACCUAGAUUGAACUCAAGUGAAGAACAAAGACAUAAUUAGACUCAUGAUUAUUUUUCUUCCUUCAAAGAUUCAGUACAAAAAAGAUAUAUCUGUCUUUCUAGUUGAAAAUCUCACUUACCUUUUUGGAUAUUAUUGAUAAAAUCAAUCACGGAAUAGUAAAAUCAUUUUGGAAGGCAAGUUUAUUUGGAAAGAAUCUACUUAUGGAAAGCAAGAUUAUAAUUGUAUGGGCAACCAGGAUCAUCAGACCUUCAUCUCAAUCUUCAAACGACUCAAGAUCUCCUUGAUUGAUUCUAUCCAACAGGUUGAUUGGAAGAAUUUAUCUGGAAAGUACCAACGGUCACAAAGGCAUGGAGGAGUAUUUAAUGAGGUUUUUUGAGUCAUUUGAUAGAGAGCGUGAAAGCUAGAAUUCCAAAGUCUGAAACUUCUCAAAUCACUUGUUCUUCCUCAAUAGUGCUCAAACGUCUAUUCGAAAGACAAAGAAACACUAAAAAGUGAUUUAGUGAGAGAAAUAGAAAAUCUUUACUGAGUAGUCAGUAAUAUAUUGUUGUAAUUAUCUUUUGAUUUAUAGUGAAAACCAGCCAGAAGGCUAUCAGCGUAUGAGAGUAGACGUAAGCUUAAUCUAAGACAAAUCACUAUAAAUCUUGUGUUCAUUUUCUCUUCCCUAAACUCUUUUAAUUUAUUUGUUGUGAUAAUUUUAUGAAAUUUGAAUCUUUAUUCAAAGUCUAUUGUUUAACAGACUCAAUUUAAAAGAAAAAUAUUUUUACUGUUUCUGUAGAAAAUCGACUUUUACACCUAUUCACCCCCUCUAGGCGUUUAUACUAACUCUUUCAAGUGUGAGUAUAGUUUCCAAGAGCUUAAGCAGAAGCUGACUACUACACCCGUGUUGACAACUCCGUCUGGUCUUGGAGGAUACAAGAUCUAUAGUGAUGUGUCGUUUAGGAGACUGGGUUGUGUGUUCAUGCAGCAUGGCAAAGUUGUUGCAUACAUGUCCUGUCAGUUGAGACCUCAUGAGCUAAAUUACCUGAUGCAUGACUUGGAACUCGCAGUGAUUAUUUUUGCUUUGAAGAUUUAGAGACAUUACUUGUACGGAGAAAUAUUUCAAAUCUUCACAGACCAUCAAAGUCUCAAGUACCUAUUCUCUCAAAAGAAGUUGAAUAUGAGACAGCAUCGCUGGAUGGAACUUUUGAAGGACUAUGAUUGAGACAUCCUGUAUCAUCUUGGAAAGGCUAAUAAGGUCACAUAUGCGCUAAGUCGGAAGUCUUCAGUUGCGUAAAUGGUGAUCAAGGAUUGGAUUUUACUUGAGAGAGCUUGAGAUUCAGUUUUCAAAUUUGAAGUUGGCCACCUUUCAAAUCUUAUGGCCACCCUCAAACUUGAACCGAAAGUACAAAUAAGGAUCAAGAUGCUUCAAUUGAUAAACCUAGAGAUUCAGAAGAUCCUACAAGAGGUACCGAAAAGAGAAAUGCUAACUUUCAGAUUUCUGAAUACGGAACACUGAGGUUCUAAGGACGAUUAUAUGUGCCUGACGAUGUAGAGCUUAAGGAAGAGAUUUUGUCAAAAGCUCAUCGUAGCAGUUACAACAUUCAUCCAAGCAGUACAAAGAUGUAUCGAAAUCUGUGUCAAUACUAUUGGUGGUCUGGUAUGAAGGCGGAUAUUACCAAGCAUAUCGCUAAGUGUUUGACAUAUUAGCAAGUGAAGGCAAAACAUUAUAAGAAGGAGGACUUAUGCAACCUCUCAAGAUUCCUGAGUGGAAAUGGGAACACAUCACAAUGGAUUUUGUGACAGGCUUACCAAGGAGUCAGAUGGGCAAUGAUUCUAUUUGGGUAGUGGUCAACAGACUAACAAAGUUGGCUCACUUUAUCGCCAUACGAAAGGACAUUGCAUUGGAUAGAUAUGUAGAAUUGUACAUGCGUCAGAUUGUUGAUCUGCAUGGAGUGCCGAUGACGAUUACAUCAGACUGGGACCCGAGGUUCACAGCCGCCUUUUGAAAGAGUUUACAGACUGCCUUAGGAAUGAAGCUGCAGUACAAUACGGCCUAUCAUCCUUAAAUGGAUGGCCAAUUUGAAAGGACGAUUCAAACCCUUGAAGACAUGCUGUGAGCUUGCGUGUUAGACUUCAAGGGAAGCUGGGAGGAAUAACUUCAUCUUGUCAAGUUUGCCUACAAUAACAGCUACCAACAGAGCAUUCAGAUGGCUCCUUUUGAAGUGUUGUAUGGCAGGGCGUGCAGAACGCCAGUUUGUUGGGAUGAGGUCGGAGAACGAAAGAUUACAGGCCUAGAGUUGGUUCAGUAGUCAGUGAAUGCAGUUGUCGUUAUCUAAGACAGAUCAAAUACCGCUCAAAGCAGCUAGAAAAGCUACGCAGAUAAGUGUUGAAGACCAUUAGAAUUCUAAUUUGGUAAACACGUCUUUCUAAAGGUGUCACCAAUGAGGGGUACUUCGCACUUCGGAAAAAAUGGAAACUGAAUCCAAGAUACGUAUGUCCUUUUGAGAUUUUGGAAAUGAUAGGGACUGUAGCGUAUUGUCUUGCAUUGCCAUUGAGGUUGGCGCAAGUGCAUGACGUCUUUCACAUGUCAAUGUUAAGGAAGAAUAAGCCUAACCCAACCCACUUGCUAAAUAGAGUGUUGUAUGUGGAAAGACCGAUUCAAAUUGUGGAUCAGAAGGAGUAGGUUUUGCACACGAAGAUGAUUCCAUUGGUUAAAGUGGUCUGGCAACACCACGGUAUAGAAGGAGCAAUAUGGGAAAGUGAAGAUUUGAUGAGACGACAAUACCACCACCUUUUUGUUUAAAGAUUUGUAAUGGUUUAAAUUUCAAAGACAAAAUUUUUAUAAGAGGGGAAGAGUUGUGACAUUCUGAUUUUCAGGUUUUGUUUUCAAUUGAAUAAGUUGGGCUUUUCAUCGACGCGCCUAUAGUUCUUUUUCCUGAACUGAUCACUCACGAGAUAACUAGUCUAUCAAGUAAAGCUAUUAAGGAAUUUAAAUGCAAUAGACUUGAGAAUUCAACUAGAAAAUGACUGCUCGACCAUGCUAAUAUACAAGGAUCAUUACGGCACUAUCAAAAUUGAUCAGAGAUCAGAGUUAGAUCGAUUCGAUAGAGGUAUGUGAUUAAUGUGUUGGUGAUCCCACUUGAUUGCAAAAUUUCUAUCGAACGACACUAGACCAAUUUUUCUAUCAUUUAUGUACCUUGUACCCAUAUUUCAAACCUUUAGAUUUUCACAACAACCGAGAGUCGCCAAUGUGUCGAAGAUGUACAAUGUGACUCGAAAAUAAUCGACCAUGGGUCAAAAGCACUAAAAAUUACUAAAAGCUACUUGGUAAGUUAGGUCACAUUAAAAUCGCAUCUAGUUGAAAUUAACCAUGAAAUUGAACCCGAUUUAAAUUAUGUCAUGUCACAAUUCAUUUUAGGAACGUUGACUCAUACUCUGAAGAUUUUUCGGCAAAUCGGGAUUUUCGACGAAAAUUCAAAGUAAGUCUAUUUUAGACCGGGAAAAUUAAAGGGCCGUUUUUUAGCACACCACUGGCCAUCAAGUUGGUUCAAUUGGUAAGGAAAAAUAUGAAUUUGAUGUAGGCACCUUGGUUGAUUUUAUGGGGGUUAAUUUGAGCUCAAUUGGAGAAUUUUUGGUGAGGAAUUGAAUGAAAUUUGAGGCUAAAGGUCCAAAAUUCGUAGCUAGGGGGUGCUACAAUAUUUUGGACCUUUUGGGAGACUUCUUGAGCAAGCCAUGGUGCAGCAAAUGGCGGAGGAUGAUAGCCAUGCAUGGUGGGGCAUAGAACUCAAGCACUUGGGAUAUUUAGUUUGACUUUGAAGGUUUGUGCCCCCCCUCUUGCAACAGCCCUUCUUCUUCCUUUACUUCCCUCCUUUCUCCAUUGUUGUGCAAUUGAAAGCUCGAGAAAAAUUAGAGAGAGUCCCCCCUUGCCCAUUGACACCCCUUUAUCGUUGCCUGAGCAUCACCGUGCAUGCCUGCACGCCGCACCAUCGCGCACCAGCCUGCACAUCCGCAUGCCCAUUCUAGCCUUCUAGCUGUUGUUUUGAUGCCCUCCAGCCCCCGUCACAGCUCCCCUGGUUGCCGUUCAGCCACCAUAUGCUGCUAGAGCCAUCCGCCUAGUCCACCACUGCCACCAUCAUUUCGCCAUGCCCCUUUCUCAAGCCGAGUAGGCCUUUCGACCAGUUCCUCCAGCCCAAAGCAAAAGCCGAACUCUCAGCUUAGAGCUGAGAGCUUGUGGCCCGUUUUAAGGCCCGUGCGGACCCCGUUGGUGUUGUCGUAAGUUUGGUUGUCGCUCGCCUCCGCGUCUCCAUCACCGUGAACUCAUCAUAUUGCAAAACUAGUGAGUUUACUUGCUAAUCUCUACUUAGGGAGUUAAUUAUGCUUAAUGGUUUUAUUAAUUUAGGCUAAUUAUGGAUUAGGUGGUUAGUUAGUUUAGAUUAGUGAUUUAAUCAUUUAAUUAUGCAUGUUAGAUGGUUAGAUUAGAUUAAUUAUGGGCUAAUUAGAUUGUACUAUUUAUCUAGAUAGAUGCAUUAAUUUUCUAGACUCGUUUAGGUGGUUAGAUUAGCAUUUCCAGCUUAGGUUAGUAUUUAUUGGAUUUAAUUUGCAUUAUUUAAUUAUUUUGUAAUUUAUUUGAUUAUUUAAUAUUUUCCCGAAAUUAUACCGAGAUAGACGAUAGCCAGAAUUUCGUGCUGAUUGCAAUGGUAUGCUUAGUUUAUGCAAUUGAGUGUUAAUUUGUGCAAAUUGAGUGGUGAUUGUAAUUUCGAGUUAUUAUUUCAAAAUUAUAAAAUUUUGGUAUUUAAUCAGAAAAAAUUGGGCAUCGGUUUUUGAUGCCAAAACGGUUUUUAUGUACUAUAUUAAAUAGUGGGAUUUUUGAAGAGGAAGAUAUAGCAUUUUUGGCUCAAACUAACCGUGUACCACACACGAUUAUUUUUAUCGGGUGUUUUUAAUACGAAGAAAAUAUUCCAAGUUCAUUAUUUUAAUUGAGGCAUUUUAGUGCAAAGCACAAUGUUCUUGACCAGGAUUGAUUGAUCGUGUGAUGGCUAAGUGAACCCAUCCUCGAUGUGCGUCGAUAGGACGUUGCCCCUAUAUGGGAUGCCCCUGAACAAUGGAAGCCAGUCGCAGUAGAUUCUGGAUCGAUGCUCCUUCGGGAAUGCUGUCCCUGAUGUCUGUUGGUGGAUGUUGUCAUGCUUAAAGGAGUGAGACGAAGCCUGGCUACGCCAGAAGACCGAUGUGCGUCGAUAUAUUGUGCCUGUGCGGGCAGUAAUCGAAUUGGAACGUGUGAUUGAUUGAAAUUGAUGUGCCAAAUUAUGAAACAAAAUUGUGUCAUGAUAUGGGACGUGUCAUAAUUAUCUGGUCUUAUAAUCAGGACCCUUGGAUCGAUUGCAGUGAUUGUAUUAAUUGAAUCAAUCGAUUAAUGAUUGAUUGAUUGAUGGAUUGAUUGAUUGAGUAUAUGAAUCAUACUGACGUGGAUGAGGGAACUGAGGCGAGGUAAGUUAUUUGUAUUGUGUUUAUAGACUAUAUUUCCUUCCUAAUUGGAGUUUAAGGGGUGAACUUGCUGAGACAUUGUCUCACCCCGUCGUAGGCUCAAUUCUUUUCAGGUCCUUAGAUAGAGCAACGUCAUGUAUGCUAUGGGGUUCCAAGGGAGGUAGACUUCCAAUAUUUCUAUUUCCCAGUUCCUGGGACCGGCUUAACCCGUGAGCUUGUUGAGUCCACUGUCUGGGUCGAUGAGAGUCUAUCCCACCUGGUACCUCAUCAUUUCAAGGCGUGGUAUCUUCACAAGCCUGAUAGGAGUUAGGAGGGUCCUGUAGGUGGUUUUGACGGGCCUCUCGUUGGGAUAGGGGAGUGGAAAAUAGGGCACCCUCUGGACAUCAACACCCUUGAUGGUGCCAUGGAGGAACCGGAGCCAAGAACUUAAGAGCCUGGAGUUUAGAAUCUUCGUAGCCCCUUUUUGAUCUAGACUUCUAUACAUAGAUCAUUUUGUAGACUUUUGUAUAUAACUCAGUGUGUAUAUAAAAGUGUGCUGUGUUUAUGAGAUUAUUGUCCUGCUUUUCUAUCCUAUGUUAUUUGCUGUCAGGGGUUAUUGUUUCGCUUCCGUAUGUGCAUUAAAAUGAAUGGGUUCGCGACGCGUCUUGAGACGUCGCAAUUUCACCAACCACCGAGGGAUUGUGCGCGCUCGAGGUUUGAGGCAUGACAUAAGGCGUAUGCAUAAGCGGGAUGAUAUCAUACCCGAUUGGGUAGGACGAUGCCUGAUUAUGCUAGAUAAUCGCUAACCUUCGAGUUAGCCGUGGCCCUGAGUGGUUGUAAUAAUCUAGACAUAUAUGUGUGUGAAACGUGCAUAAGAUUGAUAUGUGAUUAUGUCUAGAUUAUGAUAUGGCAUUAACGCAUGAUUAUGAGAUGUUGCACAUUCUUAUUCCUACGUCAUGUGUAAUUUCUUGUGGGAAUUGCUUAUGUGUGUAUGUCCUGAUGGCCUUAGGAAAGUGAGGUAAUUGUUCAUGUUAAUAGUAAAGGUAAAGCUAGGGCAUUGCUAUUAAUGUGCCAUCAAUAGAUAACUUACACGUUUACGGCGAUCUCAAGGUGAAUAACUUCCCUACUUGAGGUCUAGAAAGUUUACUAAUUGAGUUUAUCUCAUUAUUGUUUGUUAAAUGUUUACAAGCCCUACGAAUGUUUGAGCCUUUCCGUCAGAUCAGAUUUAGGCUCCCCACUAAACAUAGCCAAGAAGUGACUGAUUAUUCAAUUGAGGGGACUAAUGCAUGUUACACGCACUAUGUCACGACCAUUAGGGUUGAUGAGGGACUCUCUAACUUAGUGAUUUGACACUUUGUAACAUGGUACUUUUGGAUAUCAGACAAUGUCCACAAGACCAUCUGCAGUUUUGAUUAAUCUCCGGAUGUAGGAGGAUCGGGGGGAGACAUUAGCUAGGAUGCAAUGAAUGUGGAUGUACGUGAUGAGGAUUUGUCCAAUCCAAAGAUCGACCUCGGAAUGAUCGUCGAGCCGAAGCCCUAAGUUAUGGAGCCCUUAGCGAGUUAGGUGAUAGUAGGGAUAUACAACACUUUUUGGAGCUGCCCUCGUAGUACUAGAGUGUUAGGUUACCCCGAGACCUUUUUUGGAGAAGGUUGUGGCCGCGCUUUUGGGCUGAUCUAACAUGGUGAAGCUAGUUGUGUUUAGGCUUGUUUAUUUAAGCCUUGUGUAUAUGGUUUGUACGGUUUAGGCUUGGUUAGGUGAUUUGUUAUGCUUCCGUUACAUAUAUAGUUGAUAAUGUGAAUGGGUCGGCAACGCCUCCUGGGACGUCAUAAUCAAAUGACUACAAGGUAAUUAUGUUGAGCAUGAGGUGGCGCGCCUCGAGCAAGUCAAGGUGUGAUAGUUAUAUAUCACAUUUUGGUGCCCUUGUGAUCACUGCUUGAUUGUCACAAUGAAUGCAUAUCAGUGGCACAAGUUUUGGCCACAAUAAACGACCAUUUAAAAUUGCCAAAGUCGCUUUGCUUGUUCAGCAGCUUUAUCCAAAGCAACAAACUCAAACUCCAUUGUGAAUCACGCUAUUAGAGUUUGUUUCGAGGAUCUUGACAAUAGUGUGGCACUUCAUAGUGUGAAAACAUAUUAGCUAGUCAAUUUCAAUUAAUUGAAAUCCAAAAUCCAGUUGGCAUCAUAAUAGCCUUCCAAAAACAGCUAUAUAUUUGCCAUGCUAUAAAACAUAACCUUUGGUUCUUUGCAAAUAAUCCAAUACUCUCAAAAGAGCAUUCUAAUUCUCAUAAGUAGGAUUACUUGUAUACCAUUUGAGUUUUCCUACUGAGUGCGCAAUAUUUGGUUUAUGCAGUUCACGAUGUACAUGAUGUUGCCAAUCAAAGUAUUCCAACUGCCUAAUAUUGUUUAUAGUAUUCUUUCUCAAAGUUAAGUGUAGAAGAAAAAGAUUGUUUGCAUCUUUAAUAUUGAACCCUUUAAACCUCUUAAUUACAUUUUCAAUACAAUGAGAUUGUGUUAAACCUAAACCAUUGGAAUUCUUUAGAAUUGUGAUGCCAAGUAUAACAUCCGCAAUACCUAACUCUUCAAUCUCAAAGUUUUUCUUGAAAACAUUCUUGGUGAUUUCGAUAACCUUAGUGCUAUCUCAAAAAAUCAAUGAGUCAUCAACAUAUAGACAAAUAAUUAACAUCAAACAGUUGUGGAUUUAGUAUAUACACAUUUGUCACACUUAUUAAUUUUAUAUCCAUUUUGGAUCAUCACACAGUCAAAUUUUUCAUAUCAUUGUUAAAGAGUUUUGUUUAAGUCCAUAUAAUAAUUUGACAAGUCUCCACACUUUGUGUUCUUAUGCUUUGACCUUGAAUACUUUAAGUUGUUCCAUAUAAAUCUCCCCAUCAAGAUAAUUAUUUAAGAAUGCAGUUUUCACAUCCAUUUGGUGUACUUGCAAAUUCUACAGCCAAGCUAUAGAAAUCAACAUCCUAAUUGAUGUUAUUCUUGUAACAGGUGAAUAAAUUUUUAAGUAGUCUAUGUCACGCCCCGAUCAUCAAGCACAUGCCCAUCCCUCGGUGGUCGAUUAAAUUGCAACGUCUCAGGACGCGUCGCCGACCCAUUGAUUUUAAUGCGCAUACGGAAGCGAAACAAUUACCCCUAACAACAACCAACACGGGAUAGAAAAGCGUGAAACAUAUUCACAACCAAAACACUUUUUAUAUAUACAAGACUAGUCUAAAGACAAAAGUCUAGCCAAGCAGAAAAGCCUACAAGUCCUCUAGGCACUCGAAUCCCCAACUAAAAACUCCGAGGUCUCCUGGGGAUUUAGGUCCACCACUGCACCACCAGGAGGGUCAGCUGUGCCCGUGCCAAAAGCAACUUCUAACACUGAUACUAGGACCUCAAAAUCCUGAAGGGGAUCCACUUUGUGUCCAUUGAGCCCACAAUGAUACCAUGCUUUGAAUUGAUGGGGUACCCUUUAAGGUAGAUCCUCAUCGACCCAGACGAUGGUCUUUACGAGUUCAUAGACCCAAACUCCGUGGCCCUCGAGGACAGGGAUAUCGAUGACUUGCUUGGUAAUCCUCUUAGGUUGGCCAAAACAUUCCGGAGGAACUGCCAUUUGAGGACCUGAAUGGCCUGAAAAGGUUGAGUGAGACAAUGUCUUAACAAGUUUACCCCCAAACUUCGACUAGGAAGGAAAUACGCCUAGAGGUAGCUAUACACACAAGUCAGAAGACUUACCUUGCCUUAGUUCCCUCCUGCAUGUUAGUACAAUUUAUAAUCUCAACCAAUCAAUUAAGUCCAAUUGAUCAUUCGAUCCAAUCAAUACCAUCUAUCAAUUCAAUCAAUUCGAUCACUACUCACACAAGCUGAAGUAUAUUUAUGCUCGCACAAGCUAAUAUAGAUGGUUGCUCAUACCAGCUGAUAUAGAUUAUUGCUCACCCAAACUGAUAUAGUAUACUGCUCUCAUAAGCUGACAUAUCAAUGCUCACAUCGGCUGAUAUAGUAUACUGCUCUCACAAGCUGACAUAUCAAUGCUUACACAAGCUGAAGUAUAUUUAUGCUCGCACAAGCUAAUAUAGAUGGUUACUCGUACCAACUGAUAUAGAUUAUAGCUCACCCAAGCUUAUACAUAAUAUAGCUCACCCAAGUUGAUAUAGUAUACUGUUCUCACAAGCUGAUAUAUCAAUGCUCACAUAGGCUAAUAUAGUAUACUGCUCUCACAAGUUGAUAUAUCAAUGCUCAUGUAGGCUGAUAUAGUAUACUGCGUUCACAAGCUGACAUAUUAAUGCUCACACAAGUUGACGAUUUAAUGCUCACACAAGCUGACACACGAUAAAUCAAUCUCGGCCAAGGACCUUGUGCUUUGCACACCAAUUUCUCAAUUAAAAUAAUGAACUUGGCCUAAUAUCAUUGUGUUAAAAAUAUCAGAUGAAAAUAAUCGUGUGUGGGUACAUGGUCAGUUUGAGCCAUAAUGCUAUAUCUUUCUUUUCAAAAAUCUCACUAUUUAAUAUAGUGCCUAAAAAAAAUUUGGUGUUAAAAAUCGACACCUCGUUAUUUUCUAAUUAAUUACUGAAAUUACAAAAUUUUGGGAUAAAUACCCAAACUUACAAUCACCACUCAAUUUGCACAAAAUAGCAUUCAAUUGCAAAAACUAAGCAUACCAAUGCAAUCAGCACAAAAUCUCAAUCACCAGCUAUCGGGGUAUAAUUUCCAUAAAAUAAUAAAUAAUUAAAUAAAUACAAAAAAUAAUUAAAUAAUUACAAUUAAUGACCAAAAAUGCAAACUUAGGUCGGAAAUGCUUAAUUAACCGCCCAAGCGAGCCAGAAAAAUUUUCGAACCUAUCUAGAUAAAUAGUACAACUUAUUUAGUCUCUAAUCUAUUCGUUCUAACUACCUAACAUGCACAAACGGAUAAUUAAAUCGAUAAUCCAUUCUAACUAACCACUUAAUCCAUGCUUAACUUAAACUAAUCACCCCUUAAUUGUCAUUAACUCCCUAGGUAGAGUUUAGCAAGUAAACUCACCGGUUUAGCGAUUCGGUGAGUCCACGACAAUGGCAACAUGGAGAUGGGUAACAAACAACCCUGCGGCGAAAGCAAGCGGAGACCGAACGGGCAUGAAAAUGUGCCACGAAGCCUUAAAGCCCUUGUUGGCUUUUUGGUUUUGACCUUGGGCCGAGCAAGCUGGAACAGCAGCCGGUUGGAGCUGAAACAACGAGGUGGAUCGGUGGCUGCAGCGAGCAACUAUGGGCAACGACGAUUGCUAGACGGCGGCCAAGGGGCUUUGAUGGUGGCUUGGGCAGCACGGGGGAUGGCGGGGUGGCUCGGGAUAGGUGGGAAGAUGAGCAAGAGGUGCAGACUGGCGGGGCGACGCGCGACGAGCUGGGGCGGCGCAAGUGGUGGCUUCGAUGGCUCGGUAGGUGUGCGACGGGCUAGGGGAGGGGCUGCUCAAUUUCUCUGCAAUUUUGAGCUUCUCAAAUGCUCUAUAAUGGAUAAAGCAAGCUACUGAAGANNNNNNNNNNNNNNNNNNNNNNNNNNNNNNNNNNNNNNNNNNNNNNNNNNNNNNNNNNNNNNNNNNNNNNNNNNNNNNNNNNNNNNNNNNNNNNNNNNNNNNNNNNNNNNNNNNNNNNNNNNNNNNNNNNNNNNNNNNNNNNNNNNNNNNNNNNNNNNNNNNNNNNNNNNNNNNNNNNNNNNNNNNNNNNNNNNNNNNNNNNNNNNNNNNNNNNNNNNNNNNNNNNNNNNNNNNNNNNNNNNNNNNNNNNNNNNNNNNNNNNNNNNNNNNNNNNNNNNNNNNNNCCAUUUGAACUAACUUGAAUUCCAAAGAUGCGAUAAAAAACGGUCAUCUGAUUUUCUCGGACAAAAACGACCCUACUUUGAAAUUUGCCAAAAAUCUCAAUUUGCAGAAAAAUCUUUGAAGGAUAAAUUGACGAUCCUAAAAUAAACCAUGACAUGAUAGAACUUUCAAUUUCUGAAAUCGGGUUUAAAUUCGCGAUUAAUUUCAAUUUGGCACAAUUUUAGCGUGACCUAACCUACCGGGUAGCUUUUAGGAAUUUUUAAUCCAAUUGACCCAUGUUUGAUUAUUUUCGAGCCACAUUAUACAUUUUUGACACAUUGACGACUCUCGGUUGUCAUGAAAAUCUCGAGAUUUCAAAUGCGGAAAUAGGUACCAAAAUGACAGAAAAAUCAAUAUAGUGCCAAUCGACGAGAAUUUUGCAAUUAGGUGGAAUCACCAACACUCAAUCACAUGACUUAGUCGAGUCAACCCAUCUCUGAUCUCUAAUUAAUUUUUAACUGUGCCGUAAUGACCCUUGCAAACUAGCACAGUUGAGUAGUCAAUUCUUAGUCGAAUUAUCAAAUUUAUUGAAUUAAAAUCCCUUAACAGCUACACCUAAUAGAUUAGUUAUCUCGUAAGUGAUCAAUUCAGGUAAAAGAACUAUAAGCGCAUCGAUGAAAAGCUCGACUCAUUCAAUUGAAAACAGAACUGGAAAUUCAGGAUGUCACAAUCUAGACACUCUCUUUCUUUAAACCUAUUGACAACAAGCCAUGGUUUGUACUUAUAUAUGGAAACAUCAACUUUAUGUUUCUUUUUGAAAAUCCAUUUAAUUCCUAUUGAAUUAUUUCCUGAUAGAUUAUCAGCGAAUUCACGAGUGUGAUUACUUAGGAAAUAAUUAAUCUCAUUGUCAACCACUUCUUUUCAGUCAGGUGUAUCUGGAGUUGACAUUGUCUCUUGAAAUGUUUGAGGCCCACCUUAUAAUAUGUAUAUUGGAAAAUCAAGUACGGAAUUUUUUUCAAUCCAUGACUUCUUGCCCCUUGAAAGUUCAACUUCUUGUUCCUCAACUUCAUCAUUCUCAAUACCCCUAUACUUUCAAAUAAUUGUAAGAUGAUAACCUUUCAUUCCAUAACUCAUAUGGAGUCUUACCUAUCUUCUUGCGGGGCACUUUAAUUAAAUUAUAGUUUGCAAUUAAAAAUGCAUCCCUUCACAAGUUCUAAGAUAAACUUGAACUUAAGAGCAUGGCGGUAGCCGUCUCCUUUGGAGUUUUGUUCUUCCAUUCAGUACCUCCACUUUACUGUGAAGUGCAUGAUGUAGUUGUUUGGAGAAUUAGUUUGGGGACACAACUCCAUCAAAUUUGAAGAAUUAUAUUCUUCUCCCCCAUCAAACCUAAGAUGUAACAUCCCGAUUUUUGACAUAUGAGAAAUUGUUGUGAAUCAGGUGUCUCAAUGGCAAGGAUAGGUCAUGGAUCAUUUCAAGAAUCGGCCAUGUACUAAUCAUGGAUCAAUCAAGGAAACGGUCGUGGACCAAUCCAAUGACCAUGUUAGUGGACUUGAGUAGUUCGGUUGACAGACGACUGCUCGACCGUAAGGGCUGAUCAAGGGAUGGUCACAUCUACCAUGGAUCAAUCAAUGAUCAUGAAUCGAUCCAAAUGGCCAUGUACUGAUCGUGAGUUAUUCCGCUAGGUCAUGUGCUGGUCAUGGAUGACCAUGGUUUGACUCGGUACAACCGUGUGAUGGGUAUGAAUUUGACUGAUCUCAAAAGGCCAUAUGACAAUCAGGAGUCGGUCUGGAUGAGGCCUAUGGCUAAUCUCAGAUCCGAUCUGCUUGGCCAGAACUGAUUUAAAAGCCGAUCAUUGGAUUUGCACCCUAAGCCACCAAUCUAGCUAAGAAGGUAAACAUUGCCUACAACAACCACACCGAGGGUGGCUUGGUCAUGAACCUCGGGUGUGUCGGAAUGGUCGUUAGGGAUGCACAAAAAAAAAAAAAUUCCUUGCUUAGUCCCAGUUGCACUUCCGAUGGCUUAUUUCCUAUGGUUGUCAUAUUACUUGAAUAUGGACAAAUUAGAACUCUCUACAACACACUAGCUUCUUCAAGAAGAAGAAUGAUUUACCAUUUCACCUAGAUUUUUCUAGAUUUGGCCAUGAUUACUAAUGAUUCGCCUUAGAGAUUGAGCAAAGAAUCUAGGCCAAAUAUCCCAAUAAAAAAGAGACAUCUUGGGGCACAUUAUGACUGGUCUAUGGGCAAGAUGCAACUCAUCUUUUUAGGGUGCCACCUAUCCAUGAUGAAUUUUCCCUUGAUAAUGAGUUAAGUGCUCAUGCGACCCAAUAAAAAGGAGACAAACAAACCUUCAAAUGAUUAUGUUAGGCCAUUAGAUCUAUACCUCAUAAGCCUAGGUGUCCACUCAAAGAUUUACUAAUGAUGGCUUGAGAUUUGCCUUUCAGAAGAAGUUGGUAAUUCAUGCUUAGGUGUCCUCUAGAAUCUUAGGCUAUGAUGACCCUAAAAUACAGCGUUGGUGAACAAAGCAAGAGCCAACCAAUUAGAAGAGGACAUUAGGCAUCAAAAGGGCUUAUGUGUCCCUUAGGACCAUAGGCACAUCAUAAGCCUAAAUUGAGCCUUAGAAAGCAAGCCAAUAGGUGAUCCAGUAAGAAGAUGACAAGUAUUCUCUUAGAACCCUAGGUGUACCACCUUGAUGGCAUAGCUGUGCCAUUUAAAGAAAUGUGAUUGGGUUGCUUGAAUGAGUAAUGGUGAGCUUGAUGCUUAUAAAUAAGAAGGGCUCCCAUUCAUUUCCAUCAAUUUAAGCCCUCUUGCCAUUCACGCCUAUUCUCCCCUUCCAUUCCUUUCUUUUGACCUCGUACCAUCGCUUCUUAUCAAGUCAUUCAAGCUAAUUCUCAAGGUUCAUCCAGGUAAGUAAGAUCCCUAUGUCUCUUCUAGGGCGAUCGUCUCCAUUGUCGAGUCUAGUUAGGUGCUCAUCCGUUAAGCCAUGGGUAGGAUGUUGAAUCUUUUGCAUGGCUUUGCUCAUGAUUAUGUUUAAACGUGUUUUUGAGCUGUUCAUGCCCGAAAUGAAGCUGAGGUUCGCUUAGGUUGAGUUCAACACAAGGCAAGGUCACUUAAGGCUAAAUGGCAUUGGAUCGGCAUUCAAGCAUGCCAAUUCUAAGUCUUGUUCGGUGUGAGUAUCCUAAGGCUGCAAGCUCUUGAAUUGACAUUGAGGUGUGCCAGUUCUAAGUCUUGAUUAGUAUGAGGAUCACUCAAGCUCGCGAGGUCUUGAUAAGGCACUAUAGCAUGCCGAUUUUAUGCCUUUGUUGGUGUGAGGACUUUGUGCUUGACAUUUGAAUCAAGACAUGACCUAAGGGUCAUUCAUGGCAUGAAGUAUGUUCAUGUCGGGUUGAAGAUGAGGUCCAUUGAGCUUAAUCUUCACGAAAGUGAGGUGUACCCAAGCCUCAAGGUCUUGGAUCGGCAUUGAGGCAUGUAGUUUCUGAACCUUGUCUAGUUCAGGGAUCGAAGCUUAGCAAUUGGUUCAAAUCAUAGAUCACGGGUCAUUCUCAACAUGUUUACUUGUGCAGUAUAAGAAUUCAUGACACACAAGUAUGGAUGAGCAAACCUUCAGGCCAUGCAUGUGUCAGCUAAGAGAAAAGAUAAGAACCAACUUGUAUGAUGUAUAUACGUCUGUACUUAAAGAGAAAAAAAAAAAAAAAAGCCCACUGCCACACAGCAUUGGUGGCAAUGCCUUGAUUGAGCCAGGAUGUCUGGGUCUUAAACCCAUAAGCCUAAAGAAGCUAGCCCAAAGAAGACUUGGUCGAGCUGAGAUGCCCUGAUCAAGACAAGAAGUUAGAAGCUCCAGUCAAGCUAGGAUGAAGAUAAAUAGAUUUGCAUGAAUGCCGAUUAUUGAUAAGUAUGAAUUAUUGUUAAGCCGAUGGUAGUUUUGACAUGGAUGGCAUGAGUUUAAAUAAAGCAUGACAUAUGAUUUGUGAUUGAUCUGCCAUCGACACUGUUUGCGAGUGUUAUACUUGUUAAGCUUUGAUGACAAGAUGUUUUCCUAGUAGAGAACUAAGAAUUUUACCUACUGAGUUCCCACGACUUACUUUCUCAUCUUUCAGUCUUGUAGGUAUGGAAGUCUCACGUCAGUUUUGGGAGCUGCAGUCACGUUCAAGGAGAUAGUAAUUUCUUUUGCCUUUAUGGAAACUUGUAGUAUGAUGUAAAAAGGAAAGAGAACCCCAUAGCAAAGAGGCUUGUAAAAGUACUGUUAUAAUAUAAACUAGUGUGUUUUAUGUAACAUUUAUCCCAAUUUUCUAGCAGUUGUUUGUCCGAGAGUGUUUAUUCACAUUUCUGUGUGUGCAUGAAAACAAAAUUAAAAGAAUCAAGACGGUGAUGAGCCUAAGACGUUGUGAAAUAACCCAUGUCACUCAAGACCCUAGGAAUGAAGUCGAGAUCGUGACAUGAGCACUUUAAUUCAUUUAUCAAGUUGGUUCUCGGUCUCAUUUUUAUACUUAACAAACGUGUUCAUAACCUUAUCUUUGCUAGUUAAUAGAUAAAUAUAGCAAAAUUGAGUAAAGUCAUCUACAAAAGUGAAGAAAUACUUUUUUUUCACCUCUACUUUCUACAAAUUUUAAAUCACAUAAAUCACUAUGGAUUGCUAUAGAGGUUCAUUCGAUCUUUCUACCAAUUUGAAUGGUUUUUUUAACAAACUUAGCCUCAACACAAGUCUCAUACUUGUGAUGGACAUCCAACUCAAACAUUGGAAUUAGCCCCAAUUUUGUUAUCUUUUUUGUUGUAGCAUAGCUUAUAUGUCGCAAUCUACCAUGCCAUAGAUAAGGAGACACAAUAGUGUAAACCAAAGACUUCUCAUUAUCAAUAGUCUUUGGGUACAAGAAUUUCGAGUUUACAUCAAUGACAACCACAUUUACUUUGAACGGGUCAUUACAUAAGUACCAUUUCCCCACAUACACCAUAUUUGGAAAGUACACAAUUAUCCAAUUCCAAUAUAAUGUUGAAACUCUUCUAGACAGGUAUGGGUUGAUUUACUUGCUAAGGGUGAAUUUCAAGAUCACUUUUCUUCUUCUAGCAAUAUUUGCUAAUGUGGAGUUAGUCAUAUAAAACUUAUAUUCUUCCUCAUGCUUCUUGUAAGAUGAAAACAGGUGUUUAUCCACGUGAUAUGUGGUACUUGUUUCCAACCACCAAUUAGUAUUAUUUAAUACCAAGGAUACCUCAUACACAACCACGACAAUCAGUCUCUCAUCCUCUGUUUAAUCUGUCAGAUUCAGCUACUUGACUACACUAUCGCCCUUGCCUUUGUUCAAGCGCUUUUUACAAUCCCUGGCCCAAUGGUCAAGCUUGUUACAAACAAAACAUGUCCCUUGGAAUUUCAAGAUUGUUCAUUCUGCUGGCAUUUUCCUUAAAAGAACUUUUUCCUCUUUGUAUCUUGCUUGGAAUUGGAAAACUCAAUAGUGUUGGCCUUUGGUUCAAUAAAGAGAUAUGCAUUCCACCUAUUGUCUUCCUUGAUUAUGAGGCACGGAAUAAGAUCUUCAAGGCUCAUCUCUUUCCGAUUAUCAUUCAUAUAUUUUUGAAAUCUAACCAGCCCAAAGGUAGCUUCUCAAUAAUAAAUGCCACUUGGAAUGAUUCACUAAGAACAUUUCCUCAACAAAGAUGUUCAAAAUCAUUUGCACUUCAUGGACCUAGUUCAUGGCAGAUUUAGAAUCCACCAUCUUGAGUCCAAGAAUUUGGCUACCACAAAUUUCUCAGUUUUGUAUUUCUUUUCUAAGGACUCCCAUAAUUAUCUAGUAGUUUCAAUGUUACAAUAAACAUGAUACAAGGAAUUUGCUAGGCAAUUAAGGAUAUAGUUUCGGAAUAGGAAAUCCUUGUGCUUCCAAGGCUCUAGCUCCCCAUGCAUUAUGACAUCUUGUUCAUCUAGACUAAUUAUUGAGCACACCUCUAAUUAUUGACUCCCAUAAUUAUCUGUUACCACUGCUUAAAGCCCACACUAGUUAACUCAUACAGUUUCUCAUUCGAUGUUAUUGGAGAAGGUAUCAUCAGAUUAGGCAAAGCUUGUUAAACCAUCUCUCCAAAAAUUGAACCAUGUACUUUUUUGAAAAACAGUCCCUAGUGUAUCGGUCAAGCGACUUCUACCGGUACCACCAUAGAUGCUUUCAGCCCGAAAGCUUGCAGCAUUUGUUGCCGUAACACUAGGCCAUGAGGUUUGAACCCACUCAUUGAAACGACCAUAUGAACGUCCUCGCAAACAUUCCGGACAUCAUUGGGUACUUGAUUAUUAUUAGUCAUCUCAAUUUUUUGAUAAGCCCAACAAACAGUAAAAGAUAAUCACCUUAAGAUUGUGGGAAAUAUUAAGACGUAUUGGGGAAAAUAGUAAAAAUUCCAAGAAAGCAAUAGCAAAAUAAACAAGGGUGAGGUUCGGCUAAUCAAAUCUCCUUAAGGCGAUUAGUUCAUGUCAAUGGUGCCAAUUAGUUUCAUGAACUAUGACUCUCAAAAUACAACACCUCAAACCCAAUUGUAUAAGCACUAUAUGAACAAGAUUCUAUCGAACACUUCUUUAAAUCAGCACGCUUAAAGAAACUACCAAGAAACUAGAGGAAUACUUUGAGGAGUUUUUGUUGUUAUUUUGAAUUAAGAAGACACAUCUAUUUAUAGACCAGGGAACUAGUUGUAGAAAACUGAAAGGACAUGAACUCAAGAGCCACACCGAUUAUGCACACAUUAGUUGAGCCAUUAACCCUUAAUAACAACAUUAUUAAAUCAGAAACUACAAGAGAACAAAGAGCCAUUAACCCAUAAUUGCAACAAUUAGGGCAUGAUCCAAAGAGACAUAACGGUUGCAUGUGAAUUGAAAAAGGCGUGAAUUGAAGAGACGUGUCAUUAACAUUGAGCCAUUAAAACCUAUGAUUACAAUAAUAAUUACAACACACUGUGCCCCCCUCAGUUCUUGUCACAAGAGCUUCUAAUUUGAAUUCAUCAAGUACGCCAUGUGCAUCAUAGAAUGCAUCCUUCAAUUGCUCAAGCCAAAAUUAGGUCACAUAAACUUGUUAUACAUGUGUCCCUGAGCACCCCGAUCUCAUGCUUGAUGCCCUAUAAAUUUCCAACUUUUUCUAGUGCUUGUCGAGCCAAAUCUCCAGCAAUGCUGACGAUGACAGAUGCCAUCUCUCUCUCAUAUAAUAUAUUAGUCGAGUCAUUCCAAGGCCAGAGAUUUCAGGUAUGUAUAACAAGUUUAUGUGACCUAAUUUUUAACUUCUUUGACGGAGUUGAGUUGUUGAAGGUAGGAUUCUCAUCAUCCACGCAAGCCUAUGUCAAUAAUGCAGAUAGGACCCACUGAUUUGGUUUGUCUAAGAUAUUUCGUGCUUCUAGAGUUUACUAGCUUAACACGCUUGCAAGUUGCAAAGGCAAUGAAAAGGCUGGCGUUGAAUUGAAAUCCAUGUUUAUUUAGAAGAUUAAAUUAACAAUAAUAACAAUAAAUUAAGAGUAAUAAAUUAGAAGGAUUGGACUAAGUUGCCUACGUUCACUCUUUUUCCAUAAAAAUAGCCGCCUCCUUGGAAUGUCCUAACCACGUGCUAUAUGCAAUACCAAUCAAUUGUAAAAAAUCAUAAUUGAAACUAUUUAAAAUGGGUAUAAUUAUCGGUGCAUCAUUUUCUAAUUAAAUCACUUUCCCCACAUAUCAAUCUUUUAGGAAGAAUAUGGCCAUUUUCAUCUAUUCUUUUCUUCAGGUUUAUUUGGAAACUGUUUCGAAAACUAUUCUCCAAAAUUUUUAAACAUUGCGUCAAUUCUCAACUUUUACUCUUGAUACACGUGGAGAGCGAUCUGAAGAGGGUUAAUGCGUCUCUAGUUUUUGGUUUCUUCAUGAUACAAUGGAUGUUGUUAUAAUUAUCAUUCAAUGAAAUAAUUUGCUUAGUCAAUAUAUAUAUGCUUACUGAUGUUCGUGGAAGGAUUCGUUCUUUAUUUUUAUUUUUCCCAAAUAAUAGGGAAUCAUUAUCUAAAUUAUUGGGAUGAAUUUUGGGUAUGACAAGUUUGGAAUCACAACUUAGGUUAUAAAACUAGUGAAUAUUAGCUAGCAUUAAUUCGGGCACUGUGACGUGCGAUUAGUUAGUAACUAGACGUGCGCACGUGCGUCACACACAAUACGUGCUCAUACAUUACGCAUAGCUACUCUUUCAGUGAAUAUAGAAAGUUCUAUAUGCGUAGGUAAUAUUAUCGACCUCUCAGUUUGAAACUAUUCUUCAUAUUAUCACAAGACAUUAGUACUAUUAUUUUACUAAAACAUUGCAAUUUGAUUAGGGAAGUUCACUCUCCUUGUUAAUCUCUCAUAUUUAUUUGCUUCCUAUGAGUAAAAUGCUUCUAUAUAGUUUAUUUCUUUCUUUAACUUUUCCUAUUCUCUAAGUAAAUGAAUAAUCUCUUCCCAUACAUUUUGUGAAUAAUCUCUUCCCAAACAUUGCAAUAACAAAACUUGCACAUUUUGUAAACUCCUAGUAUUUAGACAUUUUAUGCAUGUCACUCCUUUUCAUGAAAGGGAUAUCUUUUUUUGAGAAGAAAGAGAAGCCUUUUUUGCUGCAAAUUGCAGGUAUUCCCACUUGAGAUAUUUACUCGCGGGAAACAUGUAAACGAAGAACAAGUCUCGCUGGGGGAAUCUACUCCGAGCACUGAAAGUCCAAUCAUUGGACCUAAUGGACAUCCUGGGUGGACACAGGCAACCGCAAUCCAAGCACAGCCCCUACGCGACUGUGGCACAUCUCAUUUGACAAAUCACNNNNNNNNNNNNNNNNNNNNNNNNNNNNNNNNNNNNNNNNNNNNNNNNNNNNNNNNNNNNNNNNNNNNNNNNNNNNNNNNNNNNNNNNNNNNNNNNNNNNNNNNNNNNAACUAUCCCGUCAGAACCCACCACAAGGGAGAAAAAAUGAAGGUCAAGUGAACAAUAAUGAAGAUGCUAAGAAACAAAACUAUCUGUCUCGCUUACAUCAUUCUCUGAAAAAGCAAACUGGAGAAUGGGUUUUUACAUUGACUUGGAAGUCCUUGAAGGUUUCCUCAAAUUCUUGAUCAUGCCCAAGUAGGGGGCGCAAUUGGAGAAAUUUCUAUAUUCAUUCCCAGCCGGUAACAAAAAAAAUAUGAAGUUCUGCAAGCUCUAAAUUGGAUUUCAAGAGUGCAAAAAGGUAAUUAACGUUAAAGAGAAAACGAACAAGAAAAAACAAAACAAGAAGAGAUCAUUCCUAGCAAGGUUUUUCUGUCUGCUCAAGCAUUUGGCUAAAGUACACUUCAAGUGCCAAAAGUUGGUAUAAAGGGACACUUAAGUGCAAAAAAUUACAAAAGUGACACUUAAGUGCCAAAAUUGGAAAGAAAUGGAUCACUUAAGUGCCAAUCUAGCCAAAAUCCGGCCAAAAUGCUGAUGUGCGCAAUUUUCGGCAAAGUAAGUGCAAAACGGCGUCAUUUUGCAUGCUGACGUGGCCAGAUAAUGAAAAAAUGACGUCAUUUUGGUGCUAACAUGGUAAAAAUUAAUAUAAAAAUUAAUUAAAUUUAAUUGAAAACUAAAUUUAUUUAAAAAUUUUAAAAAUACAAAUACAAAUAUAUAUAUAUAUAUAUAUUUUUAAAAGGUGGGAGGGAGGCGGUGGCAGCUAGGGCUCAACCCUCAGCUGCCUCCCUUUUUAAAUAUUUUAAAUAUUUUUAUUUUAUUUUACAAAAUUUUAAAAAAUUUAAUUUAAUUUUUAUAUUAAUUUUUUCCCACAUUAGCACUAAAACAACGCCGUUUGUACUCGCUCGCCGGAAAAUUGACAUAUAAGCAUUUUGGCCGGAUUUUGGCCAAAUUAAUACUUAAGUGAUCCAUUUUGCUCCGAUUUUGGCACUUAAGUGUCCCUUUGUACCAACUUUUAGCACUCCAAGGGUCUUGGUGUCUAAGCAUUUUAUUUAUCAUUUUGAUAGUGUUACUUUCUUGUUUCCAUACUUGUAUGAUCAUCCAUCGCAUGUAAGUGGUUUAAGACCAAAUCAAUCAAGGCUACUUGCAAAACAUUUUGUGAAAUAAAGUGAAGGUGCCAAAGGGAGAUAGAUUUAUCUAGCAUAAUCAAGUCCCUUAUCCAUGAAAUCUCUAGUUCACAAAAAUAAAGUGUUCUCUCACAUUUUACUCGGGUUUUUAAUCAACCAUAGUAGACUAAUGGCAAUUCUUAAAUGAAUUGAAUUGGAUGUCUAAAUAAUUUAAUUAAAACCCCAAAGUUGUGAUUGUUGGGGGUUUGAGAGAACCCGCAUUAGACAAUGGUACCGUCUUUUUAAUGAGUUACCAUUUGUACUUGCAUGAUAAUCCAUUAACUUUCUCUUAGUGGUCCACCUCUAAGAAGGUCAUGACAAUUGGCAAUUAGAGAGUGGCAACUAAAUUAAAGAAGGAAAAGUGAGCUUGUUGAAUUAGAGACGAGUUGACCGAGCAACCGCAUGGAAACAAUGAAUACACACUCCUCAUUCAUCCGAUUGCACUAAAAUGUUGAGGGGAGUUAGUCAACAAGCGGACGAAGCUUGUGUAAAAUUUUUAGACCAAACGGAUAUUGAAAAUUUCAGUUUUGAAGGCUUGACAACAUUGUCUUUUUGUCCAGGCAUCUUGGUGCAGAUCAUCCAACAUUCCUUGAAAAAUGCAAUUUAGGAACUAUUCUUGGAAACUAGCACNNNNNNNNNNNNNNNNNNNNNNNNNNNNNNNNNNNNNNNNNNNNNNNNNNNNNNNNNNNNNNNNNNNNNNNNNNNNNNNNNNNNNNNNNNNNNNNNNNNNNNNNNNNNNNNNNNNNNNNNNNNNNNNNNNNNNNNNNNNNNNNNNNNNNNNNNNNNNNNNNNNNNNNNNNNNNNNNNNNNNNNNNNNNNNNNNNNNNNNNNNNNNUUUUCCCGUAGAGCCGAGGUUCUUGCACUACAUUGUCCCUAGUCGAAGAGUAUAGGAGAUUCCUAAUAUUCAUCAUAUGCACGGAUGACCUAUGUGAACUGAAACCUAACUAUAAAUGAAAUAUCAUGCCUCUAGUUUAUAUGUGCAAAACGAAUGCCACGAGAAAAAUGAAUGCAAUGUUGUAUAAACUGAUUGUUUUGUUUUUAUCAUGGUCAAAUUUAUGAGAUGCAAAUUUAUGAUAAAUUCAUCAGUGAAAUUCAAGUGUCAACAUCAAAAAGUCCUUUAAAUAGUGAAGAUUGGAAAAUUCGAUCAAAUUGAUGAUUGGACUUAUAUAUAUGAUGUUUUUGAAAAAGACAAGCCAUCUUACUAAGGCAAAAAUUGUUGGAGUUAUCCCACAUCGAUUAUGGAAUUGUCUAGUGGUUAGUUUAUAAAUAUGAGAGAAAGUCUCGCCCUUUGAGUAAACUUUUGAGGUGAGAGAAGUGCAAGACUACCAAACAUUGGUGUUAGAGCCAAUAGUAGAUUGGCGGCCCCCAAUUUGUUCAAGAUAUCUCAAGAAAAGGAAUCUAGUUACCAACAUAGUUUCUAGGCAGUGUGUGUUGUGGUAUAACACAAUCCCAAUGGUAGUCUUCAUGGUUCGAUUCCAAGAAAAAAAAAACAUGGAUAAAGGUGAGUGUUGGAGAUUCAAGUUAAGAUAAAAAGAUACCUAAGUUAAGGGGAACAAACCUAACAAUGAGCUCAUAUGUGAUGGGGAGAUUGUUGAGAUAUACAUGUGAGUUAUCUCAAAGAAAGGAAUCUAGUGACCAACAUAGUUUCUGAGCAGUGUGUGUUGUGGUGUUGCAAUGCGCAAUCCAAUGGUAGUUUUCAUGGUUCGAUCUAAUGAAAAAGAACAUGGAUGAAGGUGAAUGUUAGAGAUUCAAAUUGAGAUAAGUUAAUAUAGAAAGAUACCUGAAUUAAGGGGAAACGGACCUAACAUUGAGCUCACACGUGAUGGAGAGAUUAUUGAGAUACAUAUGUAAGUAGGAAUCUAGUGACUAACACAGUUUCUAGGCAGCGUGUGUUGAGGUGUUGCAACGCAAUCCAAUGGUAGUUUUCAUGGUUCGGUCCAUUGAAAAAGAACAUGGAUGUUGGUGAAUGUUGGAGAUUCAAGUUGAGAUAAGUUAACGUAGAAAGAUACUUGAAUUAAGGAGGAACAAACCUAACAUUGAGCUCACACGUGAUGGGGAGAUUGUUGACAUACAUAUGUAAGUAGGAAUCUAGUGACUAACACAGUUUCCGGGUAAUGUGUGUUGUGGUGUUGCAACGCAAUCCAAUGGCAGUUUUUAUGGUAUGGUCCGAUGAAAAAGAACAUGGAUGAAGGUGAUUGUUGGAGAUUCAAGUUGAGAUAAGUUAAUAUAGAAAUGUACAUGAAUUAAGGGGGAACAGACUUAACAUUGAGCUCAUACAUGAUGGGGAGAUUGUUGAGAUUCAUAUGUAAGUUGUGUUAGGGAAGUCCCAUAGCGGAGAAUUGAUGCAAUGUAAAGUAAUUAAUAUAUCUAGUUGGCCAAUAACUCAUUGCUUUAAGCUUUUGAGUGAAGAUAUGUCCAAUUAGAUAUGUUAAUAGGCUUAGACUUGUGCUCCUUCUUAGCAAUCUCCUAGGGUAAAGAUAUUGGACAUCUAUUAUACACUUUCAACAAAAAUAAAUACAUAACUAUCCGAUUUUGAUAGGACAAAUUAGUUGAUAAACCAAUCCGUGAAACCCAAGAAAGAACAAGACAUCAUAAUAUUUGUGGUACUGAAGUAAAGUUGUAGGCCUUAAAUGCACAAAUUAAGAGUUACGGAUUUGAUUGCAUAAUUCGUGUAAGUUGUUUGACCAAAAAUGAAAUUCCAAUGAAAUAAGAAUCAAAUUUAACCUAAUACGAUGAAAUGGAUGGAUCACCAGACUCUACGCGACCAGCAUGUUUACUCCUAUUCAUAGCCAAAAGAUAUAUCAAUGUUUUCUCCUUUUUAUAUUGUGGACAGCAAAUAAUAGCAUCUCCUGCUUUUUCUUUAUUGUUUUGGGUUGCUUUCUUGUGAACAGGAUAAGAGUGUAUAUUAAUAUCAUGNNNNNNNNNNNNNNNNNNNNNNNNNNNNNNNNNNNNNNNNNNNNNNNNNNNNNNNNNNNNNNNNNNNNNNNNNNNNNNNNNNNNNNNNNNNNNNNNNNNNNNNNNNNNNNNNNNNNNNNNNNNNNNNNNNNNNNNNNNNNNNNNNNNNNNNNNNNNNNNNNNNNNNNNNNNNNNNNNNNNNNNNNNNNNNNNNNNNNNNNNNNNNNNNCCAGAACCUCCACAACUUCCGAGCCAAGCACGGGCCUGUGACGUGGUUGAAGCUCGGUUCCGUGAACACCAUGGUGAUUCAAUCAGCUCAGGCCGCGGCAGAGUUCUUCAAGGGCCAUGAUUCCGCGUUCGCAGACCGCAAGUGUCCCCAUGCAUUGACAGCUCUCGGUUAUGACCAAGGCUCGCUCGCUAUAGGUCGUUACGGUAGCUACUGGCGCGUUCUCAGGCGUCUCUGCUCUGCUGAGCUCCUCGUGACCAAGCGCGUCAACGAGACAGCCCAUCUCAGGCAGAAGUGCGUCGACAACAUGGUCAUGUAUUUAGAGGAAGAAAUGGCGGUUAAACAAGUAACAACAGGUUAUUUCUUACGUGCUUCGUGUUACUUUGGACGUUUGCGUUUCAUAUGUAACCUUGAAUGACCGAAAUAACAGUUUUCUUCUUCAAAGGGAAAAAAAAAAAGCAACAGAGAGAGAGAAAGGAACGUUUAAACUCCCUAUAAAAUAUCAAAAGAGGAUGAAGGCCUAUACCCUACACAAUAUUCCCACUAGUGUCACAAGUUCUUCUCAAUUAUUAAUAUAGGUAAAAUCAACGGUUAAGAUAUGUUGGGACGUCUGCACCAUUAGGAGUUAACGAUCCACGCUGUCAAAAGAAUCGUACUUCAGUAAAGAACGCAACCUGCAACUAGAUCUACCUAAGAAAACAUUGGGCCUGCUUUUUACGGAUAAAGGAACCGGCAGUGUUUAUUUUUUGUAAAAUGUACGAUUAAGUUCUAAAAUCUUUUUUAUUUUCUUUUUUCUUUUUUCUACUAUUGAGUUCUUAAAUUAUACAUCUUUUAAUUUGAGUUGGCCCUCCUCUUAAAUUUGCUAAUGCAUUGGUUACGAUGAAUAUUGCAUCCCCACCAUAUGUUAGCACUGACUAGACUAACUAAUUAGGGAGACAUGAAUUCUUUUUUACGUGCCAAGAUGGGUAAGAAAGAUUAUAAAAAUAAAGAAAUCUAAAUCCAAGUAAACAUUCACCAACCCAAGCGUUGCCUCAAUUUAUUGCAUGACCCAACUCACCUCCAUCCUAGUUAUUCAAUUUUUCUAUGUCAUUCUAUUUUUAGGUUUUUUAAGAAUUCACUUAAGACACCAUGUUGGUUUUCAAUGAGGACGUAACCACCAUGUCAACAUUUAUAUCUACUUCUUUAAUGGAAGGACUAAAUCAAAGAAGAACUUAUACGGCUCGAGGAUCUAAUUGCACAACAAAUUUAGGAACCUAAUUAGAACUUUUUAUAAAAGUUUAGGGACUGCUGGUACUUUUAUCCCUUUGUUUUGUUGCUGUAAUUGACAAAUUCAAUAAAUAGAUACCAGUGUAAAUAAUUCAAGUUGCCCAAGAGCUACUGGUGUUUAAAGUGCUAUUUAGUCAAACUUGCUUUCAUUCUUCUCGAGUUUGAGUCGAACUAGAGUGGCUCUACAGUUGAAUUAUGCCAAGCUCGAGUAGCUUUACCAUUGAAUUGGGUCAAACUCGAGCAUGAUCAAGUAGUUGGGUUUUAUAUAUCUUCUGAUGCAUUGAUCAAGUAUAUCCCCAUUAUUAUGCAAGAGAAUGCAAAAGUAAACUUUACACUAUAUUUUAUUUGUAGAAGCCAAGUUGGAGUUUUUAAGAGUUCAGAUGCUAAUUUAGUUUUGUUAGUGAAAAAUAUCCGAAAACAAGCUUAUCAAGAACUUUGUUAAGUUCGACUUGAGCUUGAAAAAUCCAACUUUUGUCUUGAACAUUGCAGCUUGGAGGUUGAUUCCUCCAUCCCUCCUUAAACUAGUUGCAAAACUUGGUGCAAUAAUUUUUUUCUUCAUGUCUAAUUCAUUACGUUCUGCUAUGCAUUCUCUAAUUAUAAUUAAUCGUUAAAAAUUUCUAAAUUUUAUGAAGAGCAAGGAAUCGACUUAUCCCACUUCCUCUUUCUCAUGGCAUUUAAUGUGGUGGGUAAUAUGGUGCUCUCGCGGGAUCUGUUGGACCCAAAAUCGAAGGACGGGCCCGAGUUCUUUGAUGCCAUGAACCGGUUCAUGGAAUGGGCUGGCAAGCCCAACGUAGCCGACUUCCUGCCGUGGUUGAAAUGGCUGGACCCGCAGGGGAUCAAGGCAAGCAUGGCGAAGGACAUGGGUCGAGCCAUGAAGUUUGCUGAAGGUUUUGUAAAAGAGAGGUUGGAGGAGCGAAAGCUGAGGGGAGAGAUGAGAACGACAAAUGACUUCUUGGAUGCGGUAUUGGAUUAUGAGGGCGAUGGAAAAGAAGGCCCUCGCAAAAUCUCUUCCCCGAACGUCAUCAUAAUAAUUCUGGUAUCCUCUCUUCCACUCUUGGCAAACAAGAAAUGAUUAACAUCUUAAGGAUAUUUGGUCCAGUUCAGUUUGUAAAGUGGGGUGGUAAACUUAAUUGACAAUUAACAAGCAGGUCAUAUUACGCGUCAUUCUCUACAAAUGCAUGUUUUCGUAGAACAUUCUAGCACUAGAUUUUAUAAUAACUAGCCUUUUCCAAUCAACUAUCUAUGAAAACAUUUUACACUUUAAGUUUGUAGAGAACGUUGCAUAACAAAAAGCUACUACUAUUAUAAAGAUGUUUCCAUUCUUUCCUGAUUUAGCCAAUCUGUCUCAUUUUGUAAUAACUAGCUAAGAAUGUUCUACGAAAACACAAGAUUGAUUAAUGGUUAUUUUUUAUAAAAAGAAAAUCUAGUGCUAGAAAGACACAUUGAAUUAUUUAUUAAAUUAAGUCGAUGUCAAUUUGGUGAUUAAUAGAACAUGUUGGGUAUCCUCAAUGAAUGAGUGAAUAGUAUGUUGAUUAGAUGUGUGAUUUAAUAUUGACUAUAAAUAUAAUCGAUAAUCAAACACCAGCAUUGGUUAUAAGAAGCCAAUAAAAUUAAGUUGACAAGGCAUGAACAGUUUUUGUCCAUGGACUUAUAAAUGAAAGUCAAGUUAAUGUCGGUCGAGUCGAGAAGUACUGACAUUGGCUCACAAAAUUUGGUCGAAUCAAACCGACUGCAAGGAUAAAACUAGCGCGAACAAUUAUUGUAGUCAAACUUCUAGGACGGAACAAUUUUUAAGGUUGUUGACCGGCGGUUGCAGUGAAGCAAUCGUUGUAGGCGAGACUACAAAAAGAGCACAUCUUAAGGGAAAAAGACGCACAAACAUAAAAAGAACACACUUCACUUUCUUGCCAUUCAUUUUCAGUUAUUUCUCAGCAACUUAAUUCUUGCCAUUCCAGUUGUUUAUUUCAUUUUUCCCAAUCAAACACCUGCUCUUGCCCUUUUAUAAAUAUUUCUGUUGUCAUUAGUGUAUUCAUUUCGUCAAUUUUAGGAUCCAAUCAUCAAAUUCUUGUUCCUUUCUUUAUGCGCAAUUGUCUGUCAAUUCGAAGCAUAGGAGCUGCUAUGUUUGACAAGGAUUUUAUCAGGUGAAGCAUGAUGAUUUUUACUAUUAAGCCCACGAUUUGAGGGAGUGAUUUUCGAGCGAACUGAAUAUCUUAAUUAUAGCAAAAGAAUCAACAUUGGUGGUAACCCUAGCAAGACAUGAUCUUGUACUAAAUGGGUCUAAUUGAUGGUGCAGGAAAUGUUUUUCGCUGGAUCAGAGACUACAAGCAGCACCAUCGAGUGGGCGAUGGCGGAGCUACUCCGCCAACCCGUGUCAAUGAGAAAGGCCAAAGAUGAGAUUAACCAGAUUGUGGGGUUGAACAGAAAACUCGAAGAAAGUGACACGGAAAAAAUGCCGUUUUUGCAAGCUGUGGUGAAGGAAACCCUAAGAUUGCAUUGCAUCCACCAGUACCUUUGCUUCUCCCACGAAAUGCUAUAAAAGAAACCAAUUUCAUGGGCUUUGAUAUACCCAAAGAUACCCAGGUUUUCGUGAAUGCAUGGGGCAUUGGAAGAGACCCAGAUGCUUGGGAAGACCCAUCAGCAUUCAAACCAGAGAGGUUUCUAGGAUCUAAAAUUGACUACAAAGGUCAAAACUUUGAGCUAAUUCCAUUCGGAUCAGGCAGAAGAAUGUGCGUCGGACUUUCGUUGGCGGAUAGGGUGCUUCAUCUCGGUCUUGCGAAGUUGCUCUACCAUUUCGAUUGGGAACUCAGUGAUGGUUUGACUUCAGAGACCCUCGACAUGAGAGAGCGGGUGGGAAUAACACUACGGAAGCUCCAUCCUUUAAAAGUGAUACCUAAAAAAUGUAGUGUGUGAGGUCUUUAGAAUAUCAUUAAUGGUAACUAGUUAUAUUCCUUACUAGUUAAUAAGGAAAUGACAAGAUGUGAUGUCAUGUAUUCAAAACAAGCAGAAGAUGUUAAGUUUCAUGAACAUAAUUUCAACAUAUUAUUACCCUAAGGUUGUUGGUGCUGAUGUUAUUGUGUCGAGGAUUAAUGAACCUACCCAAGGAAGACUUCUUAAGAAUGGUGUUUUUACUCCACAAACACCUCAGGAAAAUUACCAAAAAGUUCUUAAACCUAUUAUACUUUUAUCAAUUUAGGAUGUGUUUGUUUCACGAAAAACGUAAUAUUUUUGGAAAAUGUUUUCCGAGAAACCAUUUUCCUUUGUUUGGUGAUACGUGACUGAAAGUAUUUUCUGUGUUUGGAUCGUAUUUGAAAAAUGAUUGAAUGCUAUUUGAUCUAACAAUUGACAACAGUGCCUCUUACUUCCAAAUUAAUUUAUUGAAUCCAUGUUACUUUAUAAACGGAUUUUCUAAAAUAAUACAUAAUAUUUGUGUUGACCAGAAAAAUGAUUGGAUGACAUUUGACCUAACAAUUGGGCAUGUUGAUAUCCUGGCCUUGAGCUUGAUUUAUCGAGCUUGAGCAUGGUUGACUUCACAAAGCUCAAAAUCAACCUCAAAUUCUUCAAAUUGCAAGACUAAGUACUACAUCAUGUAGCUAUUUGCAGCAUCGAUACAUGUAUUCAUACAAUCUUUGAUUACUUGAUUCGGCUUGUGAGUUAUUCGAGAGUAAUCUAAAAGCUGGAGAUCAAGUCAAGUAAACCAUUUUCAACGGACGUACUUGCAUGAUUUCGGCAAUUCAUGUGGCUCCAGCGGGCUUGGGGCCAUCUCACAGACCAACGUGUCCCUCCAAUCCGCUGCCACCACCUUGAACAAAUUGAAAUUCGAGAAGUAGAGCACCUUCCUCCCCUUCUCACGCAAGUAUCACUCCCUCCUUCCCUCACUCUCAUGGAACCUCCGCACCCCUUGUGACAUUCUGAUUUUCUGAUUCUGUUUUCGAUUGAAUGAGUUGGUCUUUUCAUCGACUCACCUAUAGUUCUUUUUCCUGAGUUGAUCACUCAUGAGAUAACUAGUCUAUCAGGUGAAGUUGUUAAGGAAUCUAAAUGCAAUAAACUGGAGAAUUUGACCAGAAAUCAACUGCUCGACUGUGCUAAUCUACAAGGGUCAAUACGACACCGUCAAAAUUAAUCAGAGACCGAAGAUAGGUCGAUUCGAUAGAGGUAUGUGAUUAGUGUGCGGGUGAUUCCAUCUAAUUUCAAAAUUUUAAACCGAUUUUUCUGUCAUUUCUAUACCCUGUGCCCGUAUUUGAAACCUCAAGAUUUUCUUGAUAACCGAGAGUCACCAAUGUGUUGAAGAUGUACAGUAUGGCUUGAAAAUAAUCGAUCUAGGGUCAAAUGUGCUAAAAAUUCCUAAAAGCUACCAAAUAGGUUAGGUCACGCUAAAAUUGUGCAUGGUUGAAAUUAACUGCGAAAUUGAACUUGAUUAAAUUAUGUCAUGUCACAAUUUAUUUUAGGAACGUCAAUUUAUCCUCCGAAAUUUUUUCGACUAAUCGGGAAUUUUGGCGAAAAAAUCGAAGUUGGGCCGUUUUGGACCGGAAAAAUUAGAGGGUUGUUUUUUGUUGCACUUUUGGCAUUCAAGUUGGACUAAUUGGCAAGGAAAAAUGUGAAAGAUGAUGUGGGCACAUUGGCUGAAUUUAUGGGCACCAAUUUGAGUCCAAUUGAAAAGAAAUUGAAGUAAAAUUGAAGAGGCAAAUGUCCAAAUUCGUAGCCACCCGGGAGGGGGGAGCAACUUUUGGACCCUUUGGAUGGCUUCUAUGAGAAGCUUUGGUGUAGAAAUUGCUGUUGUGGAUAGGGCUGAUCAAGUGGGGGCCAAGCAAUGAGUGAAUGGGAUAUUUGUGAAGACUUUGUGGCCAUUUGGUAGCCCCCCCCCCCCUUCAAGCUACAGCCUUCUUCUUCUUCCUUAGCCUUGCUUUCUCCAUUAGUGUUGUGUUUUGAGCUCAAGAAAACCAGAGAACCAGCUAGCCAGCCCCUCACACCGUCAACCGCCCCUCCUAGCCGUCCGAGCACCAUCAAGCCCUGCCCGAGCUCCAGCACCUGCUGUCCCGCUCGUGCGCCUAUCCGCACAUCCCCACGGCCUGCGUUCGUCACCCGUGCCCUGCUCGUCGAUUAUCGGAGCUAAUCCAGCCACCUAGUGUCGCCGUCAAGCCCCUCCACCGCUCGUCCAAGCCACCUAGUCCACCUCCUCACCAUUCCAGCCCAUUUCAGCUGUGAAGCCCUUCGGUCCAACCCUUAGAUAGAACCGAAGGCCCAACUUUGGCAGUGAGCUGUUGGGCUGUUUUCUGGGCCCUUUCGGACCUUCGUUGGUGUCGCUAUAGGCUUGGUUUUUGCUCGCCUUGGCAUCACCAUCACCGUGAACUCAAUGGCCCUCAAAACUGAUGAGUUUACUUGCUAAACUUUGCUUAUCGAGUUAAUUAUACUUAAGUGUUGAUUAGCUUAAGUUAAGUAUGGCUUAGGUGGCUAGUUUAGAUAAAUUAGUGAUUUAAUUGCUUAAUUGUGAUAAUUAUGUGGUUAGAUUAGAUUAGUUAAUGGUUAAUUGAAUUGUAUUAUUUAUUGAGCAUGGUGCAUUAUUUUCUAGGCCCGUUUAGGUAGUUAGAUUAGCAUUAUUAGGCCUAAGUUGGUAUUUAUCUAUUUAAUUUGUAUUUAUUAAUUAAUUUUGCUAUUUAUUUAAUAAUUUAAUAUUUUUCGAAAAUUAUACCGGAAUAGCCGGUGACUGGAAUUUCGUGCCGAUUGCAGUGAUGCUUAGUUUAUGCAAUUGAUGGUUAAAUUGUCCAAUCGAGUGGUGAUUGUGAAUUUUGAGUAUUUAUUUCAAAAUUGUGAAAAUUUGGUUUUUAAUCAGAAAUUAUUGAGUGUCCGUUUUUAACGUCAAAAAUGUUUUUAGGUACUAUAUUAAAUAGUGAGAUUUUUAAAAAGGAAGAUAUCGCAUUUUUUGCCCAAACUAACCAUGUACCCAAACACAAUUAUUUUACUAGGUGUUUUUAAUAUGAAAAAAAAUAGGCCAAGUUCAUUAUUUUAAUUGAGGCAUUUGAGUGCAAAGCACAAUGUCUUUGGCCGGGAUUGAUUAAUCGUGUGAUGGUUAAGUGAACCCGUCCCCGAUGUGCGUUGGUAGGACGUUGCCCAUAUAUAAGAUGCCCCUGGACAACGGAUACCAGUCGCAGUAGAUUCUAAACCAAUGCUCCUUCAAGAAUGUUGUCCCGAUGUGCGUCGGUGGAUGUUGCUAUGCUCAAGGGGGGAGACAAAGCCUGCCUACGCUAGAAGACCGAUGUGUGUCAGUAGAUUGUGUAUAUGCGGGCAAUAAUCAAUUGGAACAUGUGAUUAAUUGAAAUUGACGUGCCGGAUUUUGAGAUAAAAUUGUGUGGCAUGGUAUGGGACGUGCCAUAACGAUUUGGCCUUAUAAUCGGGACUCCUAUGAUCGAUUGAUUAGUUGAUUGAUUGAUUGAUUGAUUGAAAUGUGAAUUGAGACAUUCUAAAUGAUCGAGUGGUAUUACUAUACAUAUAUAAUAUAUGAAUUGUACUGACAUGCAAAAGGGAACUAAGGCGAGGUAAGUCAUCUGUAUUGUGUAUAGUGUCACGCCCCCAUCCUCAAGCGCGUGCCCAUCCCUUGGUGGUCAAUUAAAUUGCAACGUCCUAGAACACGUAGCCGACUCAUUCAUUGUAAUGUGCAUGCAGAAGCGAAUAAAUAAAUCCCCAGACAACACAAAGAUGGGAUAGAAAAGUAGGGCCAAAAUUUUGAAAACCACGGCACACUUUUAUACACAGCAAACUAAGUCAUAUACAAUUCUAGUCUAUAUUUAAAUAUAAAUCAUGCUUCCACAAGCUAAUAAAACAAUCUUAGCUCACACAAGCUAAUAUAUAUAUCUAUAUAUCGUGCCCCCACAAGCUGAUAAAAUGAUCUCAACUCACACAAGCUGAUAAUGUAUACUGCUCUCACAAGCUGACAUAUUGAGCUUAUAAGCUGAUAUAGUAUACUGCUCUCACAAGUUGACAUGCAAAAGGGACUCUCACAAGCUAACGAUAAAUAUGCUUGCACAAGCUGAUACUAAAUGGUCUCAUAAGCUAAUAAAACACCGAGUUGAAAAUACCCGAUAAAGAUAAUCGUGUGUGGGUACACAGUCGGCCUGAGCCAAAAUUUCAAUAUCUUUCUUAUCAAAAAUCCCACUAUUUAUAAUAGUUCAUAAACACAUUUUUGGCGUUAUAAACCGAUGUCCGAUAUUUUCUAAUUAAAUACCAAAAUUACUCAAAUUUGAGAUACCACUCAAUUUGCACAAAUUAGCACUCAAUUAAAUAAACCAAACAUACCAUUGUAAUCAGUACGAAAUUCUGGUCAUCGGCUAUCUCAGUAUAAUUUCUGGAAAAUAAUAAAUAAUUAAAUAAAUACUAAAAUUAAUUAAAUAAAUACAAUUAAAUACAAUAAAUAGGAACUUAGAUUGGAAAAGCCUAAUUAAACACUGAGACAGGCCCGGAAAAUUUCCGAACCAAUCUACAUAAAUAAUACGAUCUAUCUAGUCUCUAAUUAAGCCGUUCUAACAACCUAACAUGCAUAAACGAAUAUUUAAAUCACUAAUCUAUUCUAACUAACCACCUAAACCAUACUUAGCCUAAACUAAUCAACUAUUAAGAUCAUUAAAUCCCUAAAUAGAGUUUAGCGGGUAAACUCACUGGUUUUGUGAUCCAGUGAGUCCACGAUGACGGCAAUGUGGAGACGGGCGAUAAACUCCAAAGCGGCGACACCCGACAAGGCUUGAAAGUGUCCUAAAAUGGGCCUUGUAGUCCACGGAAGCUUGUUGGCCUUCGGUUCUAGUUGAUGGGCCUAGAGGCUGCUUGAGCAACCAAAAGCCACAAGGAGAGACGGUGAUGGUCCAGUGGGGCUAAGUGGACAACAGUGGGGCUUCACGGCAGUGGAGGUGAGCUUGAGUGGCAGCCAAGGCUUCGAUGGCAACCAGGGAUGGCUCGGGACGGGUGAAAUGGCAACGGAACAGGUGGGAUGGACGACGGACUAGCGUGGGCUCACACGAGGGCGCGACAAGUGCGAAAGGUGAGCGGCGGUGACAGACGGUCCAAUGGUGGCUUGCAAUGGCAGGGGGUGGCUGGCUCGGUUUUCUAGUUCUUUGGAGCUUCAAGGUGGACUAAAAAUGGAGAAAGCGAGCUGUGCUAAAAAAGAAAGGGGACAUCAGCCACUCAGAGGGUCCAUCAAGCCUCCAUUCUAUCCUCUUGUCCCUUUAAGAGGCCCCACCAGCCCUUGGCUAUCUUCCACAGCCUCUUGGCAGCCCACAAACUUCCCUUGCAAGCCAAUGAAGUGGUCCAAAGGUGGUGGAGGCCAUAACAUACGAAUUUGGUGCCAAAUUGAACCAAAUUUAUCCUCUAUUGGAUCCAAUUCGGUCCCCAUAAAUUCCAUGAAGGUGCUCUUGACCAAAUUGACAUUUUUCCUUGCCAAUAAAACCAACUUGCAUUCCAAAAACAUGAUAAAAAAGGUCCCCUUGAAUUUUCUGAUAAAAACGGCCAUAUUUUGAAUUUUUGCCAAAAAUCUCGAUUUGCAGAAAAAUCUUUGGAGGAUGAGUUGACGUUCCCAAAAUGAAUUAUGACAUGAUAGAACUUUCAAUUUCUGAAAUUAGGUUCAAAUUUGUGGUUAAUUUCAAUCUAGCGCGAUUUUAGCAUAACAUAACCUACCGAGUAACUUUUAUAAAUUUUUAGUGCAAUUGACCCGUGGUCAAUUAUUUUUUAGCCACAUUGCACAUCUUUGACACAUUGGCAACUCUCGGUAGUCGUGAAAAUCUCGAGAUUUCAAAUGCGGACAUAGGAUACCAAAGCGACAAAAAAUUGGUCUAAUGUCGAUGGACAAGAAUUUUGCAAUAUGGUGGAAUCACCCACACUUUGAUCAUAUAUCUUAGUCGAAUUGACCUAUCUUUGAUCUCUAAUCGAUUUUUGAUUGUGUUGUAAUGAUCCUUGCAAACUAGCAUGGUCGAGCAAUCGAUUCCUAGUAGAAUUCUCAAGUUUAUUGCGUUAAAAUCCCUUAACGGCUUCACUUUUUAGACUAGUUAUCUCAUGAGUGAUCAGCUCAGAGAAUAGAACUAUAGACGUGUCAAUGAAAAACCCAAUUCAUUCAAUUGAAAAUAAAACCUGAAAUUCAAGAUAUCACGUAUAGACUGUCUUUAAGUGUAUUUCCUUCCUAAUAGGGGUUUAGAGGGUGAACUUGCUGAAACAUUGUCUCACCCCGUCGUGGGCUUAACCUUUUCAGGUUCUUAGAUGGCAAUCCCUUCGAAACGUUUUGGUCGGCCUUAGGGAGUAACUGAGUGGAGCAUAGACAUCCCGAUCCUCGGGAGUCACUGGGUCUUUAAACUCAUGGUGACCACUGUCUGGGUUGAUGAGGGCCUACCUUAAAGGGUACCUCAUCGAUUUAGGGUGUGGUAUUGCCAUGGGCUCAAUUGGUAUAAGGAAUGUCCUAUUUGGGGUUUUGAUGUCCCCGUUGCUGUGGUUGACACCGCUCUAGGCAAGGGUGAAGCUGACCCUCCUGAUGGGGUUGUGGAGGACCCGAAGCUCUCGAAGUUUUCAGAGAUGGAGUCUGAAGGAUCGACGAAUGUGUUCAACUAGUAGGUCGUAGAACAGCUUCUUUUUUAGAGCCAAUCUUUUGUAGAUAGACUAGCUUUGUAUAUAAACCUAAUGUGUUUAUGAAUGCAUGUUUGUUUGUGAAUUUGUUAUCCUGCUUUUCUAUCUCAUGUUUUGCUAUCAAAGGUUUUUAUUUUGCUUCCGCAUGUACAAUAAAAUAAAUGGAUUGGUGAUGCGUCUUGGGAUGUUGCAAUUUGAUCAACCAUUGAGGGAUGUGCGCACGCUCGAGGUUCAAGGUGUGACACCCCUCCGAACAUCUCCUCCAGCAUGCCCUCCAAAAUCUCGUGGUUCACUGCAUGGAACAACCCCCAGCCCUUGCACGCACUUCGGACUUCCUCCACGACCCUUCGCCAGAGAUCCCCGUUGCCACCGCCGCCGUCGACAAUGACCGCGAGGUCGAUGGUGGGGAUCGCGAGGUCGACAGCAUCGACUGUGGCCUCCUGAGGGGCGUGGACGAAGAAUGAUAGGAUCUGGGAGAUGUCGGAGUCGACGAGGCCCUUAACGCUGACCCUCACAUCAUCGAAAAGCUUCAGCUCCUCAUCUCGCCGAAGCACGACGAUGCUCACCACCGACAUCUCCACACUCUAGCUUUCGCUUUAGCGAGCUGAUUGGCGAAGUCUGUACCUUAGAAAAAUCUAGAGAGGAAAAGUGAAAGGUAAGAGAGAAAAAGAUGAAAAGGGACAGUGUUUUCACCUUCUGAGGCGGAGGAAUUCAUUUUCCUAAAAUAAUACAUAAUAUUUUUGUUGACCAAAAAGUAUUUUCCAUUGACCAAAUCUUUUUAGAGAACCAAACAACUGAAAAUCCAAAAAACACUUUCUGGUAAAAUACUUUCAAUGAAACAAACACACCCUUAGUAAUAAACCUUUUUAUUAUAUAAGUUAGUCCCAAAUGUUUUCAUGUUUUGCCAAUUGAGCUCAUAUGAUCAAUUUUGGUAAAAAAAUCACUAACAUAAAUGUCAGGCAUCCUAUAUGGUGCAACUAGCGCAAACGUGGAAUAUUUUUAAUAUUUUUAUUUUAUUUUUGAAUACUUUUUCUUUUCUUUUCUUUCUCUGAUGGUUGUUGAGCCUUGGGAAUGACUACUGACCAACCAUAGGCUACAACCAAUGAUGGUUACCCUCACCAAGACCUAGCAAGGGAGGAUCUUGCCGCCUCGCCAAAUUCGGCAAGUCAUAGCUUCACACGAGGCUCAACUUUGCCUAAUCUAGCGAGGGUAAGGCGAAACCUCGUUAACCUUCACAAGGGUUGGUCUCGGGCGAGGCUUGCCCAAAGAUGGCGAGGCCAACCAUCCCUAAAGGCUAGCAAGGGCCAACCUAGCCAGCUUCAGGCAAAGCUCAACCCUAUCAAAUCUAGUUUGGACAAGCCUUACUCAAGGGCAACAAGGGUGACCUCACCUAAGGCUAGCAAGGGCAACCAUUGUCAGUCAUAACCUGUGGUCGAUCACCGGCCAUCACCAAGGCUUGGCAAAGGAAGAAAACAGCAAAAAAAAAAAAAAGGAUGAAAAAGAGAAACUUAAAAAUAUUUAAUAUUAAAAAUUCAAAAAUAUUAAAAUACUAAAAAAAUGUUUGAUGUCAUUUACUUUGAUAAUUUUCGGUCAAAAUUGGUUAGAUUGACUCAAUUAGUGAAACUUGAAAAACUUUAGGACUCAAUUGACACAAUUAAAAGGUUUAUGACUGAAUUAGCAAAAGUAUAAUAUAUUAUGAUUUUUUUGGUAAUUUUCCCCAAAUAUCUUUGGGCAAUUGCAAGUUUUUAUGUAAGCAUUUGGGUCUUGUUUAAAUUGUAUGACUUAAGCAUGUAGCAGGUAGUUAACUUGCCUUUUAAGCCAACGAUAAAACUUUACUUGUCGAAAAAAAAAAUUGCCCUAAAGUUAGUUCUACACAAGUCCAAUAAAUGGAUGAUUGUGAUUAACUCGGUCCAUAUACGCCAAUCCAUAAUAGAGUCUUGAAUCACAGACCAUGAACAAUACCAGUUCCUUGAAUGGAUCGAAGGUUGACAUGGAUUGACUUUGAUCCCCAUCCAAAUUAGAAUCCUGUUAAUGGAUUCAAACACAAUGCUGAACCCAAUAAUGCGAUUGCUAGUGCAUCACCGACUUCCAGUAGCAUAGCAGUGGAAUCUAAAGAAGAUGGUGAAACUCCAAUUCGACUCUUAAGUACAAAAGUGAGAUGCUCAUGGAGGGGGAUUUGGAGGACAAAAACUGCAUGUGUUGCCAAAUUGACUAGCCACCCUCUGGGCCAAAGGAAAAAAAUCAACGUGAUUUCCUCUACUAGAAGGGUACCCUUCUGACCACCAAAAAAAAAAAAAAUCAAGUACUUGCCAACUAGCGAAAAUUUGGCCAACAAGCAAGCUCAAGUCUUCAUUUGAGACUAAUUUGGCAACUUCAGACAUUUAUUUGAAAUAAUGUCCACCUUAGGCCAUCUUUUGGAAAAAUAACCUCACUUUAGACGUUCAUUUAAAAAUUUUUGCCAAACAUUAGUCAUCUGAAGUGCAUGACGGUAAUUGUAUGCAAAUUGCUUAAUCUCUUUGUAUGUUACAAAGGUAAGAUUUUGCUAUAAUGCCAAACAUCCAAACAAGUUGAUAAUUUACUAUUUAUUUUUUCAUCGUUAAAUUCCUUCAAUAGUUGGCAAUUCUUCGCCCACUUGUAAAUUUACCAAUUUAAUAAAAUCUUACUGUGUAAUGUACGAGUAUUUUGCACUAAAUCAUCCAACUUCGUUGGGCUUGAAUAUGACUCAUUUGAUUUCCUUUGUGUAAUGCUUGCGGAUAUUACUUUUAUUUGAUUGUUCUACUUUCUAACACGUGAUAGUAAGGCCAAGCAUUGGUCUAGGGUUGACCCUAGACUGACCUUGGACUAGCCCAACCUGGCCUAUUCUAGUCCAAUUUUGGAGGAACUAGGUCUGUCCUUGGUCCCAUAACCCAAAUUUCUUGGAAAAUUUUCAAAUAAGGAUCCAAGGUUCUAACAAUUUCUCAAAAAUGAUUCAAAGUGGAUCUUUUUUUCAAAAAAAAAAAAAAAGACCUGAAAUUGCCAUAGGAGUUUCAAAUAAAAGUUUAAACUCGCCAUCUGGCUGAUAUUCUAACUAGAAAGGGACAUUUUUGUCCAAAGACAAUUUUAACCCAAAUUUUAAUUAAAUUAGAUUAAAAAUUAAUCUAAAAGCUUUUAAAAAAAUACAUGCAGUGUGGGCCCUCACCUUUGGUUGGCAAGGGUUGCGACCCUCAUCGAGGUGCCUGCAACCUCAACGCCCUAUCGGCUAGGGGUAAGCGAUUUCGGGUUUCAUACAUGUUCCACUUGAGACUUAAAACUUACCCGUUGGAACACAUUCUUUAUUUUUGGAACAUGAAACUUAUCCUGCAUAUCUUAGAACUUGGAACUUACCCUAUCAUAAGUUCUAAGGCCGGUUCCAGGGUCUACCCAGGUUCCACCUAUAUUAUCAAUUGAUUGAUUGCAAUAAAUUAAACAUUUAAUGAUCACCACUUACUACUAUAAUUUACUUCAUAACUUAUAUUCAAACACACGAAAAAUAUAGAUGUUAAUAAAGUAAAAGUUUUAGUCAUAAAUGAAAGCUUAGAUUAGGGCAAAAGAAUAUACAUUCAUCAUCGAAUGACAUGGAUUAUCACAGAAUCACAUGAAAAUAUUGUUAGGGAAAUCCCUUAUGAUAUUUUGAAAAUGAAAAAAUAAAUUAAAGGCUAUUAACGUGUUUAAUGGUUGAGUAAUAGAUUAUGCAAAUGAUAGAACAUGUAAAUGAUAUUGUCGAAGUUUAUACUUGAAAGAACCAGAAGACAAAUUCAAUGCUUCGGCUGAACUUAUUCAGACUGUAUCCAGACCUUAAGGCUAAAUAUGUUUAAAAGCAUAAUAUGUUCAAACUUACGUCUAGAUUGUAAAGUUUACUUCAGACGGAAGAUACACAGACUCUACUUCAGACGAAAGACACUCGGACUUUACUUCCGACAGAACACUCUUAGACUUUACAUAUAGAAUGAGACACUAGUUCAGGACCUAACAAAUUCAUAACGAAGCAUGUCCAGAAUGAGACAACUUGACAAAAUGUAACACAAGCCCCAAACAUAUAACGGCUAGUGAUCUAGUUUGGAUUCUAUAUCAAGAUAGAUUUGAUUGAUUCAAUCUAAUUUAUUGACAAUUGGAUAUUAAAGACAAGAACUUUCUAAAAUGGAGAAGCUCUACUUAUGGAAACCAAGAUUCUAUUUGUAUAGGCCAUCAUAAUCAAAUUGGGAUUAUACUUUUGUCACUCAACGGCUACCAAAUCUUCUAGACAGAUCAAAUGGGUAGAUUGAAAAACGAUCUUUUGGAUACCGUGCAAUGGCUAAUUUGGAAGGUGGGGAGUAUUUAAGGAGAUUAAGGAUAUGAGCAAGAAAGAAAUGGAGUGUAGAAUUUAUAAUUCCAAAAUCUAAGCGAACUUCGAUCAUACACUUAUCUUUGGUGAGCUUAAACGUUUAUGAUCGUGAGAGAAAUACCAAAAGAGUGACUUAAUGAGAUAGUGUAAUCUACCACUAAGUGUUUGCACUCAAAGUUGUAAUCUCUUGUUGAUUGCAUAGUGAAAUCCAGCCAGAAGGCUGUUAGCAUGAGAGAGUGGAUGUAGACUUGAUUUAAGCUGAACCACUAUAAAUUUUGUGUACAACAUUCUCUUUCCUUAACUCUUCUUAUUUAAAUAUGUUGCAUACUUACAGGUUAUUUUAGAAGUCUGUUACAUCGCAUAACAGAUUCUGAACAUCUACUAGAAGUCUUGUGGCUCGUUUAGUCAAACUGUAAUCCUUAUUCAGACUUUACCCGCGACUGAUUUUAUUUUGCAUUUAUUUGUCAAGAUUUCUUUUGAACACCUAUUCACCCCCCUCUAGAUGUUCGUACUAGCACUUUUAGAUAUGGACUAAGAAAAAAAUUAUAACUCAUUCUAGAUUCUAGGUUUUAGGUUUUAGGUUCUAGGUUCCUCUAAUCAAGAACCUAAAACCUUCUCGUCAAAACAAGUUCCUCAUUUUUGAAAGCCUAUAACCUAUCUUGCAUACAUUCAACCUUGGAAUCUAUAAGUUCUUAUCAGUCUGAUUUUCAAGUUCCAGAUUCUACCUUGAAACAAUGCUCACCUAGGUCGAUGAUCAUGGGUUUUUUUUUUUGUAUGUUUCUUUAUUUUAUAUGUUUUUGCGUUUUUUUUCUUUUUUGAGUUUGUCUUUUUAUGGAAAAAUUUUUGGAUUUUUUUAACUUAAUUUAAUUAAGAUUUUGUGUAAAAAUUAGGAUUCAGUUAAAACGAUAUCGUUUUAGCGGUUUAGUUAAUCUUAAUGUACGUAGGAUACUAAGUGUAGGAGAUAAAAUAUCUAAAAAGUUAGGUCUUUUUGUUAGUUAAAUUAAAUGGAGUUAGUGGAAAAACUCAAUUUUUACACAAAAUCGAGUCUUAGCCUGUGGUUUUCGAGGGUGGCCUUGCCUGAGUAAGGUGAGGGCGACCCUCACCUGGUCCUCUCCACAUAUCAUCGGUGGCCUUAAGACUAGUCACUGAUGAAAAGGAAAAAAUAAGAAAAAGGAAAAAAAAAACAAAUUAAUAAUAAUAAUAGAGGGGGAAAUGCCAUUGACUAGCAACGAUGUCAUGUCUUUUUUUUAGGCACAUAUUUGCAAUAAGAUUCAUUUGAUACCUUUAUUUGACUAGCAACGAUGUCAUGUUUUUUUUUUAGGCACAUAUUUGCAAUAAGAUUCAUUUGAUACCUUUAUUGAGGCACAUAUUUGCAAUAAGAUUCUUUUGAUACCUUUAUUUAGAAUCUUUCCUAAUUUCUUUUUCCACAAACUCUUAAAGAAAGAAAAAGAAAAUUCCCUUUUGAAGGUCACACGUGAUCGAUGCCCGUCCUUUCAAUAAUGUUUUACUGUGAAGAAGGAAAAAUAUUACAGUCUCUUAAUAGUUUUGCGUUCAUUAUCCUCUGUUCUUUUCUCUCUUUUUUCCAGCACGUUCAGCUCUGCCAUUUCCAGACAAUUCAGCGGAGCCUAUUCCUAGGGUUGUUGAGAAAAUAUCAAAUACAAUGUCAAGUCAUUAUUGAGUCCUUUGUGGUCACGAAUAGCAGCUGUCAAAUGGCCUCAUACGCAGCUCAUUUCAGACCCAACAGGCUGCCUACAGUGGGCCCAUUCCAGCUUUGAUCCCAGCAAAUUUUCAGCAAAAACCGGUCCUCUUCCUUUGCUGAAACCAGUCCCACUUCCUGCUCUGACCGCCCUUUUCUAGUUCUGUUUACAUUAAAAUAAGGCCUUGAGUUUGAACCAGUUAAUUAACACAGUCCAAAGCAAGUCCGAUCGAAUUAAUGAAAUUCAACUACUUCUUCGAUUUGGUUCGAACCUGCAAUAGAUUCCUUACGUGCGUGUUCAACCGCUACACAUGAAGUUUGUUGUCUUCUUUCGUUGAAUUCUCUUCACAAGCAGCAGCAACAUCUAAUGAAGAGCCUUCUUCUAGUAGUAUAAUUUUAUAGAAGAGGAGCUCAUGAUUUAGUAGAAAUAGGGGAGCUUGUUGGAAAAUCUUGUCAACACGAGAAGCAAAUACAAAACAAAAGAAAGUGUAAUCAUUGGUUCUGGUGGCCCCUUGGUCGCUUUUUUUUUUUUUUUUUGUCUUUUCUUUUUCUUCCAUUUAUCUGACCGAAAGGGAUUCUCUCUCUUUGGUGUAUAUUACGAAAUUUGUUCCAUAAACACCGUGGGUAUUUGGUGUAAUUAUGGGACUCGAAAUUAAAGUGUGUCAUCGAUUGUAACAGUGUGCUCUCCAAUUAACUAGUAGGUCAUUAACAGCUUACUCUUUUUACUAAUACAAGUUUCAACAUUUGUAUCGAACGACGUCCAUUUCUUGUGUCAUUUACUAUUUCUCAUUUCUCAUUUCUCAUUUUAUUUUCUAUGAAAAUUUUUGUGUCCAUAUAAUUGCGAAGGUUACACAUAUUCAAUGACCCUCCAGGAAUAAUCUGGUGUGGGGAUGAAUUAAAGUGAAGAGUUGCCAACAUACAACUCUUUUUUAGUGUAAAAAUCAUUGAUAUUCUCUGUAUUGUGGGGAAGAAAAAUGUACACGUACAAUUAGAGAAUACGGGAUAUAUGAGCACUGACACGUUAAAAUAAUGAACACAAUCCUACUGAACACCACACAAGAUGGGGACUGUCGUCUAUCAUUCCUGAUUUUAUUUUCCCUGCAAAUUUUCAUGUGUCCAUAUAAUUGCGAAGGUCCGGUCCCUUCUCUGAUGGUUUACUGCAACCUCAAGCUGUAUUCACGCCAUUCUAGGUGGAAAUCACCAGGGAUGGUGCUGGUUUGGAAGCUAGUUUGGUUCUUUAAUUCUCUAGUUCAAUUCUUGUUUGCUUCUAGUCCAGUUGGGAUUAGAUGGUGGCUGGCUUAGGGGCUUAAUUAUGGGCAAUUAGAAGAUGGCAACGGGAAUUAAAAAAAAUAAAAAAUAAAAAAGGGAAAGUGAUUUUCUCGGAUCAGACACGGGCAGACCGCGCAAUCGUGCGGAAACGGUACACGCUCCUUGUUUAUUCAAUUGAGCUGAAAUGUUAAAGAGAGUUAGUCAACAGGCCGACGUAACUUGCGUAAAAAUUUUAGGCCGAACAGCUAUUGUGAAAUCCACUUUAACAUUUAGGCGGCCCAGUACAGGAUCAGCCGAUGUUUCUUAGAAAAAUACAAAUUAAGGAAACUACACUUAGAAUUAGUCCAUGAACUAUAUCAUUAGAAAAGAGACUCGAAAACGCUCAUCUCGAUGCUUGCAAUCUUUUGAGCUUGUUUGGGUCUUUAAUUGAUCAGGAGAAGCCAGUUCAAAAUUAUCGAGAAGAAAAUUGAGUCCAAGUAAGAACCAUAGAGUCGCUGUCAAUCAAAAUAAUAGCCAUCGGCCUGAGGUUCUCAUGAGACAUUGUCCCUAGUUGAAGAUUGUCGGAGAUCCCUAAUCUUCAUAAGAUAAAUGGAUGACUUACUCAUUUUGAAACCUAACUAUUAAUGAACUAUCAUGCCUCUAGCUUAAACAUGCAUAAGGGACGUGGCAAGAAAAAUGAAUGCAAGAUCAUAUAAAAUGAUUAUUUUUAUAUCAACAAUCAAACGCCACCCUCAUUGGUGAAUUUGAUUGCUGAAAUAAUUUUCUUUGAAAAUACAUGAUUAUUUCAUCGGUGAAAAUCAUGUUUCAACAUGAAGUAGUCCCUUGGAUAGGGAAGAUCAGAAAUUUCAACCAAAUUGAUGAUCGAAUUAGUUAUAUAGUAAUUUUGAAAAAAUGACAUGCCAUCUUACUAAGGCAAAAGUAAGUGCAUAAUUAUUUGAUUUUUUAGGACAAAUAAGUUGAUAAAGCAGUCCAUGAAAUUCAAGAUAGAACAAGACAUCAUAAUUUUGACAGGAAUUUUCGAUCUUUGGUAGCCAGAGAUUACAUUGAAUACCAAACUUAAGUUAUAAGACUCAGUUGCAUAACUUAGUACAAGAUUUGAUUGGAUAAUUCACAUAAGUUGUUGGACCAAUAUUGAAAUUAUCAAAACGAAGAAUCUAAUUUUACCUAAUUCGAUGAAAUGGAUGUACGAGAAUCAACAUGACCAGCACGUUUACUCCAUUUCAUAGCCAAAAGAUAUCUUCUUCUUUUUUCCUUUUUAUAAUGUGGACGGCAUAUAUUUCUUUUUCUUUAUUGUUUUGGGUUGGUUUCUCGUGAAGUGAAGAGGAUAAGAGUGUAUAUUUAUAUCCUGUUUUCCACGCAAUAAUCGCAUAGGUGCAGGGUGAGCAAUAGCUGAAAGCUUGGCCAAUGGAGUACUGCCCUACUUCACCCUUUCGGCUCGGCCUCCUCCUCCCGGCACUUCUAUUUUUCCUUCUCAAUCGUUGGAAGCGCACCAAGCUUCCCCCUCAGCCCCCAGCGUGGCCCAUGAUCGGCGACAUCCUCGACCUCGGGAUCAUGCCGUACCAGAACCUCCACAGCUUCCGAGCCGAGCAUGGGCCUGUCACGUGGUUGAAGCUCGGUUCUGUGAACACCAUGGCGAUCCAAUCAGCUCAGGCCGCCGCAGAGUUCUUCAAGGGCCACGACAUGGCAUUCGUGGUUGACGGCUCUCGGCUACGACCAAGGUUAUAUAUCUUCCGUUGCAUGUAUCAUGUACAUCUCUAUAAAUUUCAAAAAGCAUGCAUAAGUAAACUUUCCACUUAAUUUUAUUUGUAGAAGUCAGCUUGAAGUUUUAAGAGUUUAGAUGCUAAUUUAGUUUUGUUAGUGAAGCAGAGUCGAAACCAAGCUUAGCAAGCACUUUAUUAAGUUUGACUUGAGCUUAAAAAAUUCGACCUUUCGUGUUGAACAUUGGUAGUUAAUAGGCCACUUUCCACAUCCGAUGCAUCGAGAUUUCAUCUUGGAUUUCUAAACUCAAGCCCUAUCAAGCAAGGGGUUCUUCGUCGGAUUCUUUCAAGCCAUUGCGAAAUAAACAAUUGGUAGAACUCUGCAUGUUAGGAGUAGGGGCUUUCUUGUACGCUUCUCUCCCCACUAUCCUUUAAUUUAAAGUGAAGUGGAACCUUUGGAAAAAGCUUUGGGUCUAAUCCGCGGGUAAAAAUUUCUCCCGAAACCUCAAUCGCGUCAUUCAUAGUAAGUCAAGUAGAGCUCAUGAAUUACUUAGAGGUCGAUUUGACUAUAUCCCUAUUUUUAACUAUUUGCACAACUUGGAGCUAUAAUUUUUUUUCAUGUCUAAUAUGUUACGCGCUGCUAUACAGUCUCUUAUUAUAAUUAAUCGUAAAAAAGUUUCAUUUUAUGGAGUGCAAGGAAUCGACUUAUCCCAAUUCCUCUUUCUCCUGACAUUUAAUGUGGUGGGCAACAUGGUUCUCUCGCAAGAUCUAUUGGACCCAGAAUCAAAGGAAGGGCCCGAGUUCUACGAUGCCAUGAACCGGGUCAUGGAGUGGGGCGGCAAGCCUAACGUAGCCGACUUCAUGCCAUGGUUGAUAUGGUUGGACCCGCAGGGGAUCAAGGCAAGCAUGGCGAAGGAAAUGGGUCGAGCCAUGAAGAUUGCUGAAGGUUUUGUAAAAGAGAGGUUGGAGGAGCGAAAGCUAAGGGGAGAGAUGAGAACGACAAAUGACUUCUUGGAUGCGGUAUUGGAUUCUGAGGGCGAUGGAAAAGAAGGCCCUCGGAAAAUUUCUUCCCAGAACGUAAACAUAAUCAUUCCGGUGAGUUUGCUCCUCCCUUCCACGUCUAACACGGCCAAAAAGGCAUGAUCAUAUAUUACCAUCUUAGAGAUAUUAGGUCAAAUUCGGUUUAUUAAGUUGUGCAGUAAACUUAAUUGACAUUUAAACAAGUAGGAUCAAGGACAAGUUUUACUAGUUAAUAUUAAAAUAAGGGAGACAAUAUUUCCACCCCUUAUUUGACUAAAUCCAACCACUUUUCACCAAAAAGGCGAAAUUUAUCUAAGUCAUUCAAUUGCUAUUUAAAGUGGUGGCUCAAACUUAUUUACUUUCUUUCUUUUUCUAGUUUUUUCUUCUCCUAUGUAGGAACCAUUUAUCAUAAUCAAGAUUUAACAUUUUUCAUUUUGGUUUGUUGUGGAUAUCCCAUGUAUAUUAAAGGCACUAUGUUUUCACUUCAUCAUUAUCAAUAUUUAAUAUGUUUCGUUUUGGUUUAUUAAGCGGCGUGGUAAAAUUAAUUGACAUUUAAACAAAAGAUCACAUCAUGCGUCAAAGACAAAUUUUAGUAGUUAAUAUUAAAAUGAGGAUGGCACUAUUUUCGCCCCUUAUAUGACUACAUCCAUCCUCUUCUCCAAAAAGAUAAAAUGGUUCUUAAUCAUUUGAUUGCAAUUUAAAGUGGUGGCUCAAACUUAUUCACUUUCCUUCCUUUUCAAGUUUUUCUUCUUCUAUUAGGAUCUAUUUAUCAUAAUAUUGUGGAUAUCCCAUGUGUGUUAAAGGCACUAUGUUUUUGCUUUAAUAGUACAAUUUACUUAUGUAGAAACUAAUAAAGAAAAUUUUCAUUAAAUCAAAUUCAUUUCAAUGUUGUCUAAAAAAUUUGUUGUGCGUGUCACCAUUAAAUCAUUUCUUAUCAAUUUGUUCACAUAUACAUAUAAUGGGAUGAUCAACGAAAAAAAAAACCUACAAAUAAUUUUUGAAGUAAAAUCAUAAUUACGUUCUCCAAUGUAAAAAUUUUAAAAGGUAAAAUGUAAUUAAAUCACAAUUCUUAUUAAAUGAGAAAUGUCUUUUUAAAAAUUCAAGUGAAAUCUCAUCAAAUGGGAAUAACGAAAAUUAAUAUCAUCCAUGAAGUGUUUCUGAAAAAAGAAGAAGACCUAAUAAGAAAAGGUUUGACGGUGAUAUACAUAACAAAAAUAAAAGUUUAUGAAGAUGAGAUUGUUAGAAAAGUUGUCUAUACUAAUCUCUAGAUUCUAUAUGACAAUUAAUCCAUUACUUUGCUCAACAAUGUAAAAAAGAAUCAGGUUUCUUGGAAAUUUUUCUUUUCAACAUAACUUAUUCUGCAAAAGUAAAAUUUAAAAAUAAAAAGAAAACAAAAUGCCUCCAAUAUACACAUUCUAGCCAUAUUAAAUAAACACAAAACAUGUGAAAGUUUAAUUAUGGUGUAGAUUCUAAAUAAUAAUAGAAUAAGAAGGAAAAAGAAGGAAAGUGGAUAAAUUUGGGUCUACCACUUUAAAUUGCAAUUUAAUGAUUGAGGGCAAUUUUGCUUUUUUAAUGAAAAAUAGGGUGGAGUUAGUUAUAUGAGGGGUGGAAAUAGCGCAACCCUUAAAUAAACCAUAAAUCAAUCUGGUGUUUUCCUAGAGCAUUCGAGCUAGUUAUUAUAAAAUGAGUGGGAAUUGGCCAAACCAGGAUAGAAUAAAAAAAAUCUAUAUACCAGUAUCAACUUUUUGUUAUGCAAUGUUCUCUAAAAACUCAAAGUGUUAAAGGUUUUCAUAAAUAGUAAGUAGUUGUUGAAAAUGCUAUUUCAAUUGUGGAAGGUAUCAUUGGACCUUAGUAAACAAGUCUUAAGCCUAUAGAAGAGGUUGGAUUGAGAUCAACAAUCUUAUUCAAAUUGGAACACAAAAUGAGUAAUUCUUUUGUGAAUCUGUCGGCGCUCUUAACAUUUGUUUGUCAAUUCGAAGCAUAUAAAUUGCUAUGUUUGAUUGGGAUUUUUUAUCAGGUGAAGCACGAGAACUUUUACUAUUAACCCGACGAUUCAAGAGAGUGAUUUUCAAGCGAGAUAUAAUUUUUUAAUGAUGGCACAAGAAUCAAUAUUAGUGAUAUUCUAGCUAGACAUUAUAGUAUAUUAAAUGGGUGUUUUUUUUUUUUUUGAAUGGAAACCUUCAUUCAAUUUAUAGAAACAUUGCAUCCCGCUUCCCUAGCAUCUGAUAUAAGUAGAUCUAACAAAAUAGGUGGGGGGAAAGUAGGCCAAGAAGAAGGUAAAGACCCGCGCAACUCAGCCCUGGCAGCCCAAUCUGCGAUAGAGUUGGCUAAACGACGACAAAACCUAAUUUGGAGUCGAGAGAAACAGGGGUGGAGAGUAGUCGCUUCAGCAAACAUCGACCGAACCUCCCAUGGCGUCGUCUGAGGAUCUGUAAUUGCUUCGACCAUUGUAAGGCAAUCCGAUUCAACAAUCAGCGGAUCACUAGAUUUGCCGAGCCGCAAAAGAUGGUGCAGCGAUGACUUGAGUGCGAAGAGUUCAACCUGCAAAGCUGAGGUAGCAGUAACUCGACAACUAUAUCCUUCCACCAUUUUGUUAGGGAAAUCCCUUAUGAUGUUUUGAAGAUGACAAAAUAAAUCAAAGGCUACUAACAUGUUUAAUGGUUAAGUAAUAGACCAUGCAGAUGAUAGAACAUGUAAAGGAUAUUGUCAAAGUGUGAAGACGACCAGAAGACUGAACGUAACACAUGUCCAAAGUAUAUUCUGAAGAUUUCCAGACCUCUGUGUCAAAGUCUGAAGACUGCCAGACUUUAGUGUCAAAGUCUGUUCUACAUCAGAAGUCUGCUCAUUCUGACAUAUUCCAGACUGAACGUGAAUGAUGAACCAGAAGAUAGACUCUAUGUUGGAGCUGAACUUAUUCAGACGGUGUUCAGACCAUAAAGCUAAAUCUGUUCAGAAGCAGAUAUGUUCAGACCCAGAUUGUAAAGUCUACAGACUCAGAUUGUAAAGUCUAUUGCUUUCAGACUUUACAUCCAGAUUCGAUGAAACAUAACUCAAGCCCAAUCAUAUAACGGCUAGUGAACUGGUUUGGAUUCUACAUCAAGAUUGAUUUGAUUGAUUCAAUCUAAUUGAUUGACGAUUGGAUCUUGAAGACAAGAACUUUCUAUACGAAGAAGCUUUACUUAUGGAAACCAAGAUUCCGUUUGUAUGGGCAAUCGGAAUCAAUUUGGGAUUCUACCUUUGUCACUCAACGGCUACCAAAUCUUCUAGAUACAGAGCUGUCCAAUGGGUAUAUUGGAAGACGAUUCUCCGGGAUAUUGUCCAACGGGUAGUUUGGAAGUGGAGGAGUAUUUAAGGAGAUGAAGGACCGAUGAGCAAGUAAGAGACGGAGCGUAGAAUUUAUAAUUCCAAAGUCUGAGCGACUUUCGAUCAUAUACUUGUCUCUUGAGAGCUUAAACGUUUGUAAUCGUGAGAGAAAUACCAAAAGAGUGACUUAGUGAGAUAGUGUGAUCUACUACUAAGUGUUUGCACUCGAAGUUGUAAUCUCUUGUUGAUUGCAUAUUGGAAUCCAGCCAAGAAGGCUGUUAUCGUGGGAGAGUGGACGUAGGCUUGGAUUAAGCCGAACCACUAUAAAUCUUGUGUUCUUAUUCUCUUCCCUAACUCCUUUAUUUUGUUCAUACUAGUACUCUCACAUUUUACCUAUAUGAUUUCUACAAAUGUAAGCUAUGGAUCCUGUGGUAUCUGCAAUCUGAAAAGCCCCAUCAAUAUUGAUCUUCAGCACCCCUGGAUUAGGGGGUUGCCACAGAGAGCAUGGAUCGGAAAGAUUGAUUCCUGAGGUUGUCGCGAUAGAGGAGGUAUGCCGGUUUAAUCGGGCUAAUCGAAACUGAGCGAAAGCAGCUUCAACCACAAAAGAAGGAUCGGGCUUCUGACCACUAAAGAUAAACCUAUUUUGCGCCUUCCAUAUUUGCCAGAGGAGUGCAGCGACAACAUCCAUACCAAGUAAGAGCUGUUUAUGUUAGAAUUUGUCUACAAUCCAAUCUACAAUGCAUUGUGAAUUUGUUUGUAGCAUAAUGAUAUCAAUCUUAGGGUGAGACCAGACCGAGUUAAUCCACGGGCAUAGUAGAAAAAGAUGCUCGAUCAAUUCAGGGACUUCCUAUGUACAUAAUAUGCAUUUGGGGGGUUAUGAACUGAUAUGUUUGUUAUAAAGAUUGGCUUUGGUAGGCAGAGCAUUCUGACAAAUAGACCAAAAGAAAAGUCUAAUUUUGGGGACAGUUUUAAGAUUUCAAAUACUCUUCCAAAUUGGCUGAGAUGGCUGAAUGGAAGAUGAUACACUAUGAUCUAUUGUGAGAAGGGCUGAGUAUUUGAUUGAAUGAUAUGCACUCUUCACAGAAUACUGACCAAGAGGAGUAGCUAUCCAAAUUAGCUGAUCUUUUGUACAAUUAGAUCUGACUGGAAUGUUAAGAACUUCUUUGGUAACCUCAACAUCAAAUAACUAUUGAAGUAGAGGAACAUUCCACCGAUUGUGAUCCGGCAACAUCAAAUCAGCUACCCUUCGUAGCUCAUUACUAUUUGCAGGUCCACCGAGAGUUCCCCUAGGUAGCCAUCGAUCUUCACGAAUUCAAAUCUUUGUUCCAUCCCCCACCGACCACUGUAGCUUUGGUAAAAUUGAGUCCCUCCCUAUUAGUAAGCUCUGCCAACCCUAGGAAGGGCGGUUACCUUUGGCUGCACAACUAAAAUCUUGUGAGUGGAAAUAAAGACCUUUGAAUAGCUUACUCCAUAGGGAUAAAGGAUACUUGAUUAGUCUCCAGGCCUGUUUACCAAGUAUUGCUUUAUUGAAAGCAAUUAGAUCUCGGAAUCCAAAACCACCCUACUCCUUUAUGUACUUUAGUGACUCCCAAUUUCUCCAAUGAAUACCCUUCUUUGUACCAUCAGAUUGCCACCAAAAUCUCGCUAUCUUUUGCUCAAUAGACCGACAAAGAGACACAGGAAUCUUAAAGAUGGACAUGGUGUAUUGAGGGAUAGCUUGAACGACACUCUUGAUAAGGACCUCUUUUCCACCUUUCGAUACCAAUUUUUCUUUCCAUCCAUCUGAUUUUGAGUUCACUCUUCCCAAAAUCCAUGCAAACAUAUCUCGCUUAGAACAACCCCAAUUUGACGGGAUACCUAGGUAUUUUCCAGUCUUAUGAAGCACAGGAAUUCGAAAUUGGUGUGCUAGAUUGUCCUUAAGUGUAGUAGGACAGAAUUUACUGAAGAAGAUGUUUGUUUUAUUCCCGAUUGACUGCCUAACCAGUAGCUAAGCAAUAUUGGGUUCAAAAUGUUAGCUAGAUUUUGACAUUUCCAUAACUUUUCCCGUCUAAGAAAAGAUUGCAUCAUUUGCGAAAAAUAAAUGAGAUAAGGUAGGACACCAUCUAUUCAAUUGGAUUCCCUUAAGAUGACCCAUAUCAAUGGCUUGAUGUAUUAAAGUUGACAAAAGAUUCGCCAUUAGUAUGAACAGGUAAGGGGAAAGAGGAUCACCUUGUUGAAGGCAGCGCAUAGGAUGGAAGUAGUUAAGUUGAUCUCCAUUAAACUUGAUAGAUAUAGAUAUUGUCGUUAUACAAUGCAUCACCCACUGCACCCAAAUGGGAUGGAAACCUAGUCUGAGAAAAUAGUCUUUCAAGAAGUCCCAUUCCACUCUGUCAUAAGCUUUUUGCAUGUCCAUUUUUAAAAUUGCCUGAAAAUUCUACUUCCUAUUCCGAGUCUUCAGUUGGUGUAGCACUUCCUGAACUAUUAAUAUGUUGUCCUAGAUUUGGCAACCACUCACAAAAGCACUUUGUUCGGUAGAAAUCAAGUCAGGUAGGAGGGAUUUGAGUCUAUUAGCAAGGACUUUGGAUUUAUUUUGUAAGAAUAGUUACACAGGCUUAUGGGCCUAUAUUGGUCCAGGCUUUACGAGUUAGGGACUUUUGGGAUCAAAGAGAUAAUGGUCUUGUUUAGAUCAACGGGCAUAACUCCUGUUUGAAAAAACUUCUAGACGGAAAGAAUAAGCUCUUCCUUUAGGAUAUCCCAAUGAGUUUGGUAGAAGAGACCGUUUAAUCCAUCAGGGCCUAGUGCUUGAGUUUUACCCAACUAAAAAGUAGCUUUUCUAAUCUCUUCUGAUGUGAUCGCAGCAACUAAUUUGACAUUCAUUUCAAGUGUAACAACACUCGAACAUUGAUCCAGGAUGGGGCCAUAGUCUCGGUGUCCUGCUGACCUAUAAAGUUUUGAAUAUAAAGCCAUAGUCAUAUCCUUGAGAGUGUGAUCAUCUCUAACCCAUUCUUGGUUGUGAUCUAGUAACAUACUAAUCUUGUUCCUUUGUCGUCGCUGAAUAGUAGUUGCAUGAAAGAAUUUGGUAUUUUUGUCGCCCCACUUUAGCCAUUUUAUUCUAGAACGCAUUGCCCAAUACUGCUCAUCUUGCUACCAUGCCGCUUGUAGCUCUUGCUUUAAAUUUGCGGCUAAAUCUCUAUCAUAUGGACCGCUUGUCUGAUUAGUUAGAAAUUGUAAUUACUGUUGCAAAUCUGAGAUCUGUGAUUUGGCAUUAGAAAACUUACAUCGACUCCAUUUAUUUAGAGCUAAGCUGACCAGCCGAAGUUUGUGUGGCAGAUUGCGCCCAAUUGUCAUAGCCAAGGCCCAUGAAGUGGCUAUUGUGCUGCUACAAUCCUAGUGCUCUAUCCAAUAGGCCUCAAACAGAAAAGGUUUACAUCUUUUGCUUUGUUUGGCUUCUGUAUUUAAUAGCAGAGGGCUAUUGUCGGAGCCCACAGCAGGUAAUGCAAAAACCUCAGCUUCAGGGAAAGUUAGUCGCCAAUUUAGAUCACAUAGCACCCUAUCUAACCAUUAUUUUACCAAGUCAUCACCCUGACAAUUAUUCAUCCAGGUAAAAGCACAACAUUUACUAUCAAGAUCCAUGAGUGAACAAUCAUGUAAUACUUCUCUAAAUGAAUGUAUUUGAUGUGAGUCUGUUAUUCGUUUACCCACUUUCUCCUAUUGAGAGAUAAUCUCAUUAAAGUCUCCAGCACAAACCCAAGGUAAAGAGUUGAUGGAUGCAAUUUGGCAAAGAGUUUUCUAGAACAGUUGGCGAGAUUGAAACAACACCGGUGCAUGUAAGCAAGUUAACUUCAUCGUUAUACCUUUCCUUGAAUUCGUACAUAUAGUAUCAAAAAAGUGCUGAGUUGAGUCUUCCACUUGUAGGGAAAUAUGAGACUGCCAAAACAUAGCCAGUCCGCCAGCGAGUCCUAUAGGAUUAAUCAAGUGUGAGUUUAGGAAGUUAAGUCUAUGCUGAAGUCUAGUUAGUAUAGCCUUUGUGUUCUUCGUCUCCAUCAAAAAAACCCAGGUUAGGCUUCUCUUUGACCACAAGGACCUUAAGGGCUUGAACUGUGAGGGGGAAGGCCCAGUCCCUAACAAUUCCAACUGAGUAGCUUCAUUUUGCAAUCGGUGGCAUUUUAGGCAAAGCCACCUCAACCCACUUACCGUCAUCUUCAGCCGAAAUAACAUGAGUUUCCAUAAGUAAAUUUUCAUCAAGACCUUCAAAUAAGGGAAUAUGCGAGUCAUGGGGAAUUUGCCUUUUUAGUUUCUUUGCAAUCCUUUCCUUGGUCGAUAAUCGAGUAUACUUUUGUUUCUUUUUUUAUACAUCCUCCAUAAUCUAAUUCUGAUUGCCUUGCUGUUGUAUAGGUGAAGGAGGUAGUGCUGCGUUUAUGGAAGUCACCGGCAAAGUACUUGCUUGAAGGAGUGGCUGAAGCAGAGCAGCCGCAUUAGAUUGAAUUACCGAGCUGUGAUAAUGCUGAUAAUCUGUGUCCCUGUCCUUAAUAGUUAGUGGGACUUCUUUUACUCAUUUCAUCUUUUGUGCAGUAGGUAUAAUAGCGCUAGUUGAGGGAAUCGCAGACUUUUGGCCUUCAGGACAAAGGCACAGGUUAUGCUGUUGAUGCACUGAUGAGUGAGAGUAUAACAUGUCGGUCUUGAUUGAUGUUCCACUAUUGUAACUUCUAUGGGAGGUAACGCCGGUAGUUUUGUGUUCACUGAAGGAGGAGUUUCAGGUAUCACUUCUUUAGUGUCUUCAGAAUUAGCAUUCAUCCCAUAAAAGAUAAGCCAAUAGGGACUAUGUUCCUUGACCUCUGCUCUUAACCAUUGUCCAAAUGACAUUUUCUCUUUGCCUGUCAAUUUCGAUUCAUUGAAUGGGAUUUCUUGAUAAUAAGUAGCAUAGUGUCCUAGUCAACCACAGGAGUAGCAAAAAUGAGAAAGUCGCUUAUAACAAAAAUCAAGCUAGAUAGCCUUACCAGCUAUUCGAAUUAACUAUCCUAUUUUCAAUGGUUGACCUAGAUAAGGUUCUAUCCGAACAUAGCCAGCUCUGAUAGUAGUUCCCUCCUUUUUAUCAAUUUUCACCUCCAAUACUUUGUUUACACUCUUUACCGCUUUACAAAGCAUUUGGUCUGAACACCACUCAAGGGGUAGUCCAAAAACUUGUACUCAGAAUGCACAAGUAGUAAAAUCAUAGCAAUGUAAAUGUGUAUUUGGUCUCCAAGCCUUAAGUAUUACCAAAUGACCAGCAAAGUUCCAUGGACCACCCUCUAAUACUCUCUGUUUAUCAAUUUCUAAUUUGAAAGUUGCUACAUAAAGCCCAGCUUCACGUUGGGUAAUUUCAACUUGUUCUAUCCGCCAAACUCGCCUCAGAGUAUUUUGAAGAGCUUGAAGAUUGAUAGAAAGAUUUGAAAGAAUUGUACCUACAAACACAUUUCGGCACUCUUGUAGCUGUUCCAUCGGAGGUGAUUCGUCCCAGACCUCAAUAUCGUAGUCAGACCACAAACGACCCAUUCUGUGACUGAGGGCAGCCAGUCACGAUUCCUCUUCCUGAUGAUGGGAAUCCAUAAGUAAAUCCCCAAGGUAACGGCUGAAUUAGGUCAGAAAGGAUUCGGACAUGCUGGGGCGAUGGCGAAAAAACUGUAUAAGGAGAGGAAAAUGGGGAAGAUUUAGGGAGGAGAACAGAAGAUGGUGGAUAAUUCAAGGAAAAUUGGCAUCGUUGGUGUAAUUGAGUCUAAAAUUGAGAAUCAGACUGAACGAGGGUUGGAACCAGAAAUGCGAAGGAGAUGAAGAAAAGGACUGAAAGAGCAGUCAAUUGCUGGGUCAGAGCCAUCGGUAGCUGGGUUCAAUCCAUCUACAGCAGGGGGAUUACCAGUGGGGUUUGAGAUGAGAACUACCAUUAAUGGUAGAUAUGAACUCUGCAUGUCGAGAGAGAGCUUUAGAGAACUUGGGAUCGUCUAUAUUAAAUGGGUGUCUUUGAUGGUGUAGGAAAUGUUUUUCGCUGGAUCAAAGACUACAAGCAGCACCAUCGAGUGGGCGAUGGCGGAGCUACUCCGCCAACCCGAGUCCAUGAAAAAGGCCAAAGAUGAGAUUGCCAGGUUGUGGGGUUGACCAGAAAGCUCAAAGAAAAUAACACGGAAAAAAAACCCUUUUUGCAAGCUUUGGUGAAAUAAACCCGGAUGCUUUAAGGGAAACCAGAUUCAUGGGAUUUGAUAUACCCAAAGAUACACAGGUUUUGGUGAAUGCGUGGGGAAUUGGAAGAGACCCGGAUGCCAAGGAGGACGCAUUGGCGUUCAAACCAGAGAGGUUCCUAGGAUCUAACACUGACUUCAAGGGUCAAAACAUCGAGCUAAUUCCAUUUCGAUCAGGCAGAAGAAUGUGCGUCGGACUUUCAUUGGCGCAUAGGGUGCUUCAUCUGGGUCUUGCAACGUUGCUUUACCAUUUCAAUUAGGAACUGGGUGGUGGUUUGACUCCGAAGACCCUAGACAUGAGAGAGUGGGUCGGAAUAACACUAAGGAAGCUCCAUCCUUUGAAAGUGGUACCUAAGAAAUGUAGAGUGUGAUGUCUUUGGUAUAUUAUCCAUAGUAACUAGUUAUUGACUGGUAGUAAAAGAAAUGACAAGACAUGAUGCCAUGUACCAAAAACCAGCACAAGAAGUGAGAUUUUCAUGAAUAUAAUUUCAACAUAUAAUUACCCUAAGUAUAUAAGCACUGAUGUCUUCGGGAAACUACUGUUGGAGAAAACUUCCUUGAGUGUUUUGAAGUUGAGAAAACGUUUCCAUCAGUCUAGUCUGAAGAGUUGCAGACUCUUCCAUCAAAGUCUAAAGACCUCUGGACUACCAGACUCAAGACCCAAAGUCUAUCCUCAUUGACAGUUUCUAGAUUGUCGAAGAAGGCUUAUCCAGAACUGAGUAUUUCGUUGAAGAUUUGAUUCUAUCGACUGAAGAAGAUCUCUUGGUUGGAUACAGGAUGUCGGAAUCCAUUAUUCAAAUUGAGAUUGAUUCAGAGAUUUUGGAUCCGUUGAUUAGCAAAGUAUACUUAGAAGGUUCUACUUAUGGAAACCUAGAUCCUGAUUGUAUAGGCGAGUAGGAUUGGUGGGCUAUCGUCCUUAAAUAACUCGAAAUCUCCCUAAUUGAUUAUGUCCAACGGGUAGAUUGGAAGAACUCCUUUGGUAAGUGCCAAUGGGUGUGAUGGCAUGAAGGAGUAUAUAAGGAAGACGUUCCAGUUGUUCAAGUGUGUGCGCAAUAGAAGAAUUCCAAAGUCUAAAGCUCCUUGUUCUUAGUCAAUUCAAUUGUUGAGCAAAAUCUUGUACUCAAAACAGAGUUUAUAUCUUUGUGAGACCUUGAGAAAGUGUAGUAGAGCCUCUACACUGUGGAAUCAAGGAAGAGCUUUACUAUAACAACUCUUUUAAUUCAUAGUGAAAUCCAACUAGUGGGCUAUCAGUGCAGAAGAGUGGACGUAGGCUUGGAUUAAGCCAAACCACUAUAACCAUGUGUUCUUAUUCUCUUCCCUACGCUAUUUUACUUUGAUCGUAACUCAAUUUGUUUACAAGAGUCUAAUUUCCUUUUCAUAAUUUAUUAUUGAUUAGAGUUACACACUUCUCUCGGGGAAAUUUGUUUUUACACAUAUUCACCCCCCUCUAGGUGCUCGUACUAGCUUUCACAAUUUGUAUCAGAGCUUGUGUACUCACUUAAGUUGAAGUGUUUUACUUCAAAGUUAAAGAUCUAUGGCUAGUAUGUUGACUUAAGGUCUGGUUGAAGGGCAAAGCAAUGUCAAACCACCUUGUUUUGAUGGAAAGGAAUACAACAUAUGGAAAAACAAGAUGAAAGCAUUCCUAAGAUCAAAGGAUCCUCUGGAAUAGGAUGUGGUAGACAAAGGAAUCAUUCCUAAAACUGCACCAGUCUCAAAAAAAGGAAAAGAAGCUGUUGAGUCUAGUGAAAUUACUCAAGAAGAGAUAACCAAGAGACAAGCUCUUAAUGCAAAAGCAAUUUAUUCUUUAUAUUGUGCAUUAUCUCCUACUGAAUAUAACAAAAUAUCUUCUUAUGAAACAGCUAAAGAAGUCUGGGAUAGAUUACAUAUCACCUAUGAAGGAACUAAUCGAGUAAAAAAAACCAUAAUCAACAUUCUGCUCGGUCAAUAUGAAGCAUUCAAGAUGAAACCAAGAGAAUCUAUCAAUGACAUGUUUAGUCAUUUUACAGAAAUCGUGAAUGGUCUUGAAUAUCAAGGUCAACCAAUUUCUGGACCCAUGAAGGUAAACAAGCUACUGUGUGGACUGUCCAAGGAUUAGAAUCACAUAAGACCUCAAUAAGGGAUACACAAAGAAUCAUGCCACUCUCUAUUGACGAAUUGGUUGGGACUCUUCAGUCUUAUGAAGUGGAGCAAAUCAAUGAAGAUGAAGAUCCUAAAGGUAAGAAAUCUAUUGCAUUAAAAUCUAAUAAUGAUUCUAAUGUCACAGAUUCUGAAGACGGUAUGGAUGAUGAAGAGCUUGCUCUCAUAAUAAGAAGAUUCAAAAAACUAAAUAGAAAUGGGAGAAAAUUCAAUCCAAAUAAACAAUUUUUUCAAAAGCAACAGAUUAAGUCAGUUGAGGAUGAUGAAUCCAAUAAAGACGUAGUCUGCUUUGAAUGCAAGAAAAAGGGACACAUCAGACCCAACUGUCACAUUCUAAAGAAAAAGAAAGGAAAAGUUGAGAAAUAUCGAAAGGCAUUAAAGCAGAAACUUGGAGUGAUACAAAAUGUGAGGAAAGUGAUGAUGAUUAUGCCAAUAUUUGUCUCAUGGCACAAUUAGACUCAAAUUCAGAUUCAGACUCAGACUCAGAAAGUGAAAUCGAGGUAAGUAAUUUAAAAAUCCCUACUAAAGUUUCUAGAUACAUUGAUGAAUUGUGUCUUAGUCUCAAAACCUCUCUCAAAAGGAUUUCUGAACUUAAAAAGAAAAAUUCUGCACUUAAACAAUAGGAAAAUGUUCGGAAAUAAAAGGUCAAAAGUUUAGACAAAAGUGUUACUACUUUGAAAGAAAAUGCAAACAACAUUUCAAAAGAAAAUGCAUUCUUGAAAAAUGAUAUCUCAAGUAUUUCUAAAAGAUUUUCUACAAGAUCUGAGAAAUUUGAAAAAAUUCUUUCAAUACAAAGACCUUACUUCAACAAAUCAGGUUUAGGAAUGAUUGUUGAAACCAUUCCUCUAAUUGAUUUUCCUAAAGUAAAUGAAAGAAUUAAGCAAAGACCUACAAGAGAUUCUUACACAAAUCAUUUCCAAAAAGUUUUUGUAAAACCUGUAGGUCGCAGUGCUCUUAAAUGAUCUAAGUGCAAUAGCUCAUAUCAUUUUGAGAAAUAAUGUCUUAUGGUUUAGAAGCCUAUUAAGAAGGUAUGGACAAAGACUGUAUAUUACACUAAUACUGAUGGACCCAAGAAAAUAUGGGUACCAAAGAAAGCUUGAGUCUCUUUUUUAAAUGCAGGUCACUAUCAAGAAAAAUGUUAAAUGGUACUUGGAUAGUGGAUGCUCAAGACAUAUGACAGGAGAUUCAAAUUGCUUCAUAAAACUUAUACAAGUUAAUGGUGGAAAAGUUUCUUUUGGAGGAAAUAGCAAAUGAAGAAUUGUGGGAUAUGAAACUUUAAAGAUUGGAAGCUCACGAUCAGUAAUGUUUCCUUAGUAGAAUGACUCAACUACAACUUGCUGAGUAUCAGUUAGCUAUGCGACACUAGUUUCAAAAUCAACUUUCAAGAAGGAAUAUGUUCAGGAACUAGUAAAGACUCCUCUCAGUCUUUCAUGAGGCGAAGACAUGGGAUAUCUAUCUUUUGGAUAUCAAACCAGAUGAAACCCAAUGUCUAAUCUCAAUUCAAGAGGAAGCAAAUUUAUGGCACAAAAAACUUGGGCACAUCAACAUGAAGCAAAUAGCCAAAAUCUCAGUAAAUAAGCUUGUUCAUGGACUACCCAAACUAACAUACCAAAAGUCUGAUCUAUGCACACCAUGUGUGUUGGGAAAACAUGUAAGAAACUCAUUCAAACCAAAAAAAUCAAGUAUCCACUAAUUGUGUACUGUAGCUCUUGCAUAUGGAUCUCUUUGGACCAACCAGAACUAAGAGCAUUGGAGGUAAGAAAUACUACCUAGUAAUUGUGGAUGACUAUUUAUGAUUCACUUGGGUAUAUUUCCUGGCAAGUAAGUCUAAAACAUUUUCUUAUUUUAUAAAGUUUGCUAAAAAUGUCCAAAAUGAGAAAUUAUAUGUUAUUUCAAGUAUACAGACAGACCAUGGAGGUGAAUUUGAAAAUCAAGACUUUGCAAAAUUCUGCGAUGAAUCUGGUUUUCAGCAUGUGUUCUCUUCACCAUAUACUCCAGAGCAAAAUGGAGUCGUGGAAAGAAAGAAUAGAUUGCUGUAGAAAAUGGCUAGAACUCUUUUAAUUAAAAGCAACAUCUCUUCUCGUUUUUGGGCUGAAGUAGUUUCUACAAUGUGCUAUAUUAUUAAUAGUCUUUUUAAGGCAUAUUCUGAGAAAACUCCCUAUGAGUUAUUCAAAGGAAAUAAGCCAAUUGUUUUGUAUUUUCAUGUGUUUGGAUGUAAACGUUUUAUAUUGAAAAAUGCAAAUGAUCGAGUUGGUAAGUUUGAAGAAAAAUCAGAUGAAUGUAUCUUCCUUGGAUAUUCUAUUACAAGCAAAGCUUAUAGAGUAUACAACAAAAAGACUCGAUUUGUGGAGGAAUCGAUGAAUGUCAAAUUUCAAGACUUUAUGAAAAAUCAAUUGAUUCAAACUCAAUUUGAAGAAUCUGAACCUGCUCCAGACUCUACAAAGUCUAAAUCUCCAGAAGUAGCUCAGACUUCAUAAGACUAGCAACAAAUGAUCGUCGAAGAUUCAAAUGAGAAAAAUGAUCAACAAUCUGACAAAUCAACCAACAAAUGGAAGCAUAAGUCCAGUCAUCACAAAAAUCUCAUUAUUGGUGAUAUUAAUGAAGGAAUUCGCACAAAAUCCAAAAGGCGUGAAGAGUCUAGUGCUGUGGCUCUUAUUUCUGAAAUAGAACCCAAAAGUAUAGAAUAAGCUUUAACUAAUGAAAGCUGGAUUGAAGCUAUGCAAGAAGAACUCAAGCAAUUCACUAUCAAUGAUGUAUGGGAAUUGACUUCUAAACCGAAAGGUAAAUCUAUCAUUGAAGCUAAAUGAGUUUUCUGGAACAAGAUGAACGAGAAAGGAAAAGUCAUAAGAAACAAAGCAAGACUCAUGGCCAAUGGAUAUACGCAAAAAGAAGGGAUAGACUAUGAUGAGACUUACGUGCCAAUAGCAAGGUUAGAAGCAAUUAGAUUAUUACUUGUUUUUGCUUGUCAUAAGAAUUUCAAGUUAUUCCAAAUGGAUGUCAAAAGUGCUUUCCUAAAUGGAUUUAUCCAAGAGGAAGUCUAUGUGGAACAACCACCCGCUUUUGAAAACCCAAGGAAACCAUACUCUGUAUUCAGACUGAAAAAGGCUUUAUAUGGUUUAAAGCAAACACCUCGAGCUUGGUACAACAAACUAAGUAAGUUUUUAAUUCAAAAUAGUUUUGUCAAAGGUAAAGUAGAUACUACAUUGUUUAUCAAAAUAGAAAGUAAAAGUUUUUUUCUUGUUCAAAUUUAUGUUGAUAUUAUUUUUGGAUCUUCUAAUGAAAAUCUGUGCAAGAAAUUCUCUAAGUCUAUGCAGGAUGAAUUUGAAAUGAGUAUCAUGGGUGAACUAACCUUCUUUCUUGGGCUUCAAGUGAAACAACUAAAGGAGGGAACCUUUAUUCAUCAAGAAAAAUAUGCUAAAGGACUGGAGAAUUGCAAAAAGACUGAUAUACCAAUAUCAAGUUCUUUGAAGCUAGACAAAGAUGAAGGAGGAAAGAAAGUUUACUAGAAGCUAUAUAGGAGUAUUAUUGGUUCACUUCUUUAUCUUACUACUUCUAGACCUGACGUUUUGUUUAGUGUUUGUAUUUGUGCCAGAUUUCAAUCAGAUCCUAAAGAAUCUCAUUUAAGUGUUGCAAAGCGUAUAAUCAAAUACAUUGCCUCAACUUCAAAUUUAGGUCUCUUAUAUCCUAAAGAAUGAGACUUCACUCUUCUUGGAUACUCAGACGCAGAUCUAGCAGGAUGCAGAGUUGAUAGAAAGAGCAUCUCGGGCACCUAUCAACUACUUAGAAACAAGAUAGUGUCUUGGUUUUCAAGGAAGCAAAGUAUCGUAACUCUUUCUACGGUAGAAGCAGAAUAUGUAACUCUAAGAAGUUGUUGUCCACAAAUUAUGUGGAUAAAACAACAGCUAAGAGACUUUGAAAUUGAAGAUUCAUGCACAAAGGUCAAAUGCGACAACACCAGCACAAUCAAUCUUACCAAGAAUCCGAUUCUUCACUCAAGAGCAAAACAUAUAGAGAUUUGACAUCAUUUCAUUAGAGAUCAUGUUCAAAAUGGAGAAGUUUCGAUUCAGUUUAUUGAUUCAAAGAAUCGACUAUCGGAUAUAUUUACAAAGCCUUUGGAGAAAAAUCAAUUUGAAGUUAUUCGUUCCAGACUCAAUAUCUUAAAGUCUGAGGAAGUUCAGACUCAAGACUGAAAGUCUAAACACACUCAGACUCAAACAAUCAAGAUUUAUGACUGUAAGUUACUUCUAUUUUAUAAACUUAUCUCUCAGAUCAAAUCUCGAAAAUGUACGAUCAUCUAUCCGUAAUUGAUUGAUGUUAUUUCCCAGUCUUCGUGAUUAUUGCAAUCUUUCCUUUUUGGAAAAAAAAAGAAGUUAUUUUUUAAAUGACAGUUAUCUAAUUUUUGAAAAGGCGGUUAUUUUUUUUAAAUGCAUUUUUAUAUUUCCUUUUACGACGUUCCGUAUACCACGCUUCGACUGCCUUAUAUACUGUUGGUUCUUCUUCGUUUUACUCACAAAAGCCCUAAGAGAGCACAAAUCUUCCACUUAUGUCUUCUUAUCUUGUUUAAUGCUCAAAAAGUUUUCAUCUUUCUUAUGAAACAAGCUUGGAAUCUCUCAAAGACUGUGAAAAUGUCAUCUCAAAGAAAGUCUUCGAGGAUCACAAAUAGGGGACCACAGCAAAUGCGUGAGGGACCUACACAUUUUGAUCUCACUGAGGAAGAAGAAUCUCCUAGAGAGCGGCAGAGCCCACAAUAUUCUUAGCAGCGUCCAUCUCCUCCAUCUAGACCUCAGAAUAUUGAACAUCGAGAAGAAGAAGAAAUCAUCGAAGAUGCAGAACCGGUAAGAACUCAAAAGCUCUCUUUUACUUUUAAGCUUUACCAUGCUUUGAAGAGGAGUGGUACUCCUUUGAACUAUAUUGAUGAAUUUUUGAAAGACAAAGGGUAUCGAAAUGAAACCUAUCUUUUACGCACAAUGGAACGAUUGGGAAUUGCCCCUGCGAGGCCAGCAGAAGAAACAUUUGCAAAUAUCCCAAGCGAUCCACGUGUUAGAGGAUUGAGUCAACCUGAUGGGAAUGAUGGUGAAAGGAUGUACACUCAAUUUAAACCUAGAAUGGGUGUUGCGGCGAAAAUCCAAAGCAAAAUGACAGAUUUGUUUCGUUCGAAAGAACACAAGCAACUGUACUCUAAGUUGCUAAAGCGUGGUGUGAUUAACCCUAGAAGUAUGGACUUUGAUUUUCUUGAUUCUCUAAAUGUCAAGCUGAGAGAGAAAUUCAAUCUUCUUCAACUAGAACGGUUUUGUACUAAAUUUGACAGAGGCUCAUGCUGAACUCACUGCUUANNNNNNNNNNNNNNNNNNNNNNNNNNNNNNNNNNNNNNNNNNNNNNNNNNNNNNNNNNNNNNNNNNNNNNNNNNNNNNNNNNNNNNNNNNNNNNNNNNNNUAUUGCAUCAUAGGAAUGUGACACGAUGUGCAUGCUAGAGUUUCCAAAAUGUGUUGUUUUUGAACCUAGUCUAUGGGAUCUCUAAUCACUAGGUUAGGUUUCCUCCUCAUAAUAAAAACUUUUAACCCCAUUCCUUUUGAUGUGCAGUUUACUUACCCUCCCGACAAAUCUUUUGUCAAUGGAUCCACAAUGUUUUCCAUUGACUUCAUAAAGUCCAAAGAAAUUAUUAUGUUCAAGUGCAAUUGUCUCACAAUAUUAUAUCUAUGAUGACUGUGUCUAGACUUACCAUUCUAUAUCACAUUUUGUGCCCUUGUAAUCACUUCUUAAUUGUCAUAGUGAAUGCAUAUCAGAGGCACGGGUUUUGGCCACAAUAGAACAUAUUCUUAAAAUUGCCAAAGCCACUCUACUUCUUCUGUCACAACCCGAACCCCAUCUCCAGGGUUGCAAGCGACAAGGGUUAUUUUUCCAAGCCCACGAAUACCAAUAAUCGGAAGGAUGGGAACGUGCUCUUUCAUGUUCGCAUCUAGUAAGAAUUCCAUAAUUGUCUUCUUAUCAUCAUCUCUCCCUAUAAUAUCUCCCUCUCAUGUAUAAAGGGAUGCGUCUCUUCUCUCUUCCUCCACUCUCUAUUGGGGCGCUCAUCCAAGUGGAAUCCCCUAUUAGCCUUAAUGGCUUCUAUUCUCUUCACAAUGCUCUUACUUUUUUACUCCACUUCAGUUUAAAAGCAAGUUGGUUUGAACUUUGAGAAAAAUAUCUUUACCUUCUUGAUCAUUUCAUUAUAGCCCCUUAAUUUACGUCACAUGACUUCUAUGUUGAAUUCUUCAAGCACAUCGCAUCAUAAAAAGCGUCUUUCAGUUUCUCGAGCCAAACUUGGAUUUGGCGAAUCUGGUGGUAUUGCUCUUCUGCAUCGUCCAGAAUAGCGUGAAUUGUGGAGAUUGUGUCUUUGAGCUUCGCAAGUUCGUGCUUGACGCCCCAAUAACUCUACCACUUUUUCUAUUGCUUGAGGAACCAGCUUUGCAAUGAUAUCUCCAGCAAUGUUCCCAAUGACAGCUUCCGUCAUUUUGUUCUCUCUAUCUCUCUGUGUCAAUCUCUCUGGCUCUAUCAGUGGAGCAGAAGAUAUUAUUACAGUCGUUUAUAAGGCUAGAGACUUCCAAGACAUGUACAACAAGUUCAUGUUAAAGAUGGGAAUUCUCCUCAGCCACGCGUAAUAGAAAGAUGACGCUGUCAAUAAUACAUAUGGGACCCACCUAGGUUGGGUCCAAGGUUUUGGCCUGUCUAAAGACUUUGUAUCCAACCACUGGGAUUCGCCCCAGUGGCCACCCUUCCAACAUGAAAGGGUGAGGUGAGGGGUUCAAAUCCCCACCUUCUUAAGGGGGAUGGGGUGGGGACGAGUAAGUUUCAGAAGUGGGUUUCGACUCCCACGCCCUGCAAGAGGCAGGGCAAAAGUCUGACAGUGAAUGUAGAGUAGGCAUAGAGUAGGACUGACAAAAAAAAAAAGACUUUGCGUCCAUCUAGUAUUUAGUAGUCUAGCAUGCUUGCGUGGGCAAUGACAAUGCUGGCAUUGAAGAGACAGAGAUAUUUAUUGAUUAGUUUGUUUUUAUCUAACAGUUUCCGUGGCCCAGAAGCAAAUGGAAAAGAGAGGAAUAUUUAAAUGUCAAUAAUGAGAAAUUCUUAUCAGAAUAUUGACAUAGCAUUUUUCGACAAUAUUUUUUAUUGAAAUGGCAAUUAUUUCAAAAAAAAAUAUUCAUGUAAAGUUGACGUGACUAUUCUAUUCUAAAACGACGUCAUUUUACCUCAAAAUUUGAUUUUUAAUAUAAAUAUUAAUUAAGUUAAAUUUUAAAAAAAUUGUUAUGGCAAUGCAAUGAGGGCUCGCUACUACUGCCACCCCCACCAUCACUAGAAAGGUCCGAUGACAAUGGAGCAAAGGUCGGUCGAGGUUCUCAAGCCUCAACCAAUGGCCGAUGACACUGGCCAACUAGUGGCAAGAGUCGCCGACCAUCGGCCAAAGGUGCCAAGGACCGUCACUAACUGUGGCAUGGCUAGAUGACCCUUCCCCAGCCAGCAGCGACCUUGGCUAAAAUGGGUGAGGGCCGACAACUCUCAUUGGAUUUGGGGGAGGGUUGCGAGCCAUUGCCAACAUUAGGCUAGGGCCAGGGCUCGGCACCAGUCAAUCCUCACCCCACAAUCAUCGACCCUUUCGAUGGUGGCAGAGGCAGCGGCGACAACAGCUGCAACAACAGUGGCGAGGCACUUACUACUUUGCUAAAACCUUUUUUUUAAUAAAUUUAGUUUUUUAAUUUAACUUGUUUAAUUUUUAUAUUAAAAAUCAAUUUUGGGGCAAAACCACGUCAUUUUGCACUUUUAUUGCUGAGUAGGGAACUCCGAUGAGCCACUUAGACCACAUUUAUUCUUAAAAAUAAAAUAAAAUGUAACAUCGGAUUUCUAGCUAUCAUCAUCCAAGUUGGCACUUAAUUGUCCCAAUUUCAAAAAAAAAAAGUGAUACUUAAGUAUUUUUUUGGAAGUUUUGACAUUUAAGUGUCUAUCUGUGCCAGGUUUCAAUACUUACAGUAUACUUUUGUCCAUUUUCCAAGGUAUUGUCAUCCUCUAUUCACCAUCCUAAAAAGUCGUAACCAAAUUGUAAAUGCAAUAUCAAUCAAUCCUCCAAAGUUUUUUUUGUCGUUACUCAAGAAUUAAACCUAUUUAAUAGGUAUAGUUAUUGGUGCAUAAUUUCCUAAUUAAAUUAAAUUUCCCUGCAUGUCUCUUUUUCUAAGAAGAAUGUGGCCUUAUUCAUCUUGCUAUGUUUCUUUAAGCUUAUUCGGAAGCAGUUUCAAAAAUUAUUCCACCACUCAGAUCAAUUUGAUAGCGACUCUCCCAAAUUUUUAAAUAUCGCAUUAAUUUUCAUCUUUUGGUUUUAAUACACGUGGAGAGCGAUUUUGAGGGGAUUAAUUACUUUCUAAUUUUUUAUUAAUUCAUGGCUCACUGGAUAUUGUUAUAACUAUUAUUUAAUGAAAGGUUUUGCGUAGUCAAUACAUUUAUUUAAAAUUAUUGUUUUUGGUUAAAGGCUCCGUCCUUUAUAUUUUCCAAAGGAUAGCUAGUCAUUUUCUAAAUCUUGGGAUGCAUUUGCGAUAUGACAAAGCUGAUAUUAGAACUUAAGUUAUGAACUUAGGGAAUAUUAGUUAGCUUUUAUGGGGAUCUAUGAGGUGUGAGCUGCAAUUUAUCAGUUACUCAUAUAUAUGUAUGUAUAUUUACACAUAUGCAGCCCAUGUUGGGAUGGAGAUUCUUUUCGUGAAAAUAGAAAUUUCUAUAUGCUUAGAUAACAUGGUUGAUUUAUUAAAAUUCAGAUGAGAUCUCUAUAUCUCUCAAUUCAUAUUCAAAACACUUCUUCUUAUUAUCACAUAACAUUCUCACUAUCAUUUUACUAGAAAAUUGCAGCUUGAUUAGCUAACUUUGCUCUCCUUACUAAUCUCUCAAAUUUAUUUGCUUCCUAUGAGUAAUGCUUCUACGUUAUUGCUUUAUUUAUUUAUUUUUAUUCUCUAAUUAAAUAAAAAAAAUUCAUUAAGAUCUCUUCCUAUAUUGGGCAAUACCAAAAGCUGCGCAUUUAUGCCAUGUAAAAUCCUAUAAUUAGACAUUUCAUCAUUUUCAUGCAUGUCACUCACCUUUCUAGCACACACACUUUGUGCAUAAUCUCUUACUAGUUCAACUUCCGGUGGCAAUUAUCGAUUAGUGAUGCCUGAAUUUUUUGUCGACUGGUAAAGUAUGCAUUUUUGCAAAAAUAAAAAAUGAAUAAAACAAAAAAAGAGAAAAACAAAUAAAUAAAUGGAUGAGAGAGAGUCCAAUUGGGAUAUUAUAGCUUGCAAGGAACCAAAGCCGGCCCAUCAUAUCAGCCCAUCCGGCCAUUUGAUUUCGACCCGGUCCAUCAGCGUUACCUCACAAGUCAAGCUGACCAACUCACCUUCCUAGCAAUAGACCCGUUAAACGGGUGGGUUGGGUCGAGUUUGGGUCGGAUCAUAAAUGGUCCAACUCAAAUCGACCCAUUUAAUCCAUCUAUGACCCAUUUAUUACAAUGCAAAAUUUUUUACCAUACCCAACCCUUACCCGACCCAUUUAACUAAAAUGGUAUUGCUAAAAUAUUUUUAUAAAACACAAAUUAAUGGAAAAAUUUUAUAAUUUUUAAAAUAAUUAUUUCAAAAAAAUAGAAUUUUAAUUAUUUUUAUUUUUAUUUAUAAAAUAUAUUUUUCUUUUUUCUUUUUUCUUUUCUUAUUCUUCUUCUUCUUUGGCCAGCUGCCGGCCACGACGACGGCCGACCACAGGCGCCUGGCUUGUUAACGCCGGCAAGCUCGAGGCUCGCCGACACUGACGAGGCCUCCGCCUUGCCAGAUUCGACAAGCUAGAGGCUCACCAGGGUCAGGCAAGCUUGAGCUCGCCCCACACCAGAUUUGGCUAGGCUCGAGCAUCACCGGACGUCAGCGAGGCUCAAGCCUCACCGAACGUAGGCAAGGCCUCCGCCUCACCAGCCCCUCACCAAAUUUGGCGAGGCUCGAGCCUUGCCAGACACCAGUGAGUUCGAGUCUCGCAAGAUCGACGAGGCUCAAGCCUAGUCGGGUGUUGGCGAGGCCUCCGCCUCGCCCGACACCGACGAGCUAGAGGCUCACCUGGCCGGUCGUUAACCAUUGCCGUGCCGGCGACCGGAGGAAGAAGAAAGAAAAAAAAAGAAAAUUAAAUAAAAAAAAUAAUUAUAAUUUUGGUUUUUAUAAAAAAAAAUAAUAAUUUUGUAAAGUUAAAGAGAGAAUAGAGAGAUUGUGAGGUUUUGGGUGAAAAUGGAUUCUAAAUCCAACCCAUUUAAGACCCACUUAAAACCCACCUAUCAAAGUCUUUAAUUAUUGAACCCAUUUAACUACUUUUUUCUCAAAAAACAAGUGACCCAUUAUGACCCAUUUAUGAUUUAAAUUGGUCAUAUAUGGGUCUAAGACCAAUUUUGCCACCUCUACCUGGCAGCCCAUUUCACACUCAGCUUCAAGUAGGCUCAUAUCCAUGUCCGAUUCGCUUGAGGAAAAUCUGACCAGUAGAGCUGGCUUCGUAAGCCCAUCGGAGAGAAAGGCCUUUGACUUCAAAAUAUCUCUCUCUCAUUUUAACUAAACUAGAUCAUCUGUGGAUUCUAAAAUAUAUCUAAUAAAAAUAAAAGACAAGCAUUACGCGAUCCUUGAAGAACAAUGCAAAAGUUGAUAAAAGGGAUAAUUAGAAUUUACUAAAAUGAUACAUAUUCUAUUAACAUUUAUGGAGCCAGUGAGAGAAGCAUGAGUAAAAUGACCCAGCUACUUUUACCAGGGCUUUUUGGGAUAGAAAUACCAAGGCUCGUGAUCAUGCCUUGAUCCCUAACAGCUGGGCUCGAAUUCCUUGGUGGGGCCCUUGAUGUCGAGUCUGGUGUUCAUGAUUUCAGAAAUGCUUCGAAAGGUGCUUGACCCUCAUGGGCUUGGCAAAGCAUACUAAUAGGAAAGGAUUCAAUUGAGGAACACAUGCAAUGAUCUGCGGGGGAUGGAACUCUUAUUAACAUUCGACGGGAUAGAUGGUUGGCUUUUGGAAUCAUAGGGGGACCAGCUCCUAGAGGAGAACCAGAAAAGCUUGCAGAUUUAAUGGUCCCAAACAGCAAUGAGUGGAAUAUUUCCCUUCUAAGACAGAAUUUUGAUUGUCAUAUAGUAGCAGAGAUUAUGCCUAUCCCAAUUCGGCCACAACAUACAAAGGAUAGACUUAUCUGGAGAGGCAAACUAAAUGGAUCUUUCACAGUAAAGAGCUGUUAUAAUAUCCUAAGGAAGCAACAAGUCAAUCACAACCCAAAUCAAGCGUCCUCCUCUUUUCAUAUACCUCGCAGACUGUGGAAUGCAUUAUGGAACAUGAACUCAUCACCAAAAAUACGUUCUUUCCUAUGGUCAGUAUGUCAUAAUGCUUUGCCUACUCAAGAAAACCUUCAUCAUCGACACAUUAUACAAGAUCCCAUAUGCAGUUUAUGCGAAGAUCAGGCUAUUGAAUCACCAGAACAUUUGUUCUUAUUCUGCCCUUGGACACAACAAAUAUGGGAACAUCCAGAAAUUAACAUCCAGCAGCAUAUCAGAGGAGUAAAUCGAAUAGAAGCAUGGCUGAUCAGCUUAACAGAACACAAAGGUGACCUUCCUGACUUGGAAAUGAUCGCAUCCAUCCUCUGGCACAUUUGGAAGGCCCACAAUAACUGCAUAUUUCGCUAGUAGCAACCCCAACCGCACCACAUAGUGCAGACAGCCUUAGACAGUGCCAUCGCAAAUCAGAAUCCAUCUCAACAGAAACAGAGAGAAGGAACGCAUCAAACAAAUCAACAUUCGUUUUGGCGUCCGCCAGAUCAAGGAGAAAUGAAACUCAAUAUUGAUGCAGUUUACUAGCCUCAUAGCGGAGAAGCAUUGAUCACCUGUGUUUGCCGAAGCUCAUUAGGCCUUAUCGGUGGCCGUUUCCUCGGCCCUGCAAGCAGAGGCAACGGCAUUAAACCACACGCUCCACUUCUUGUUGAACACGGGCAAAAACUCAGAUCGGAUGACCUUGGAAACUAAUUGCUCAGUUCUUGUUGAGGCAAUGUGUAACCAUGAACUACCGCCUCGGGAGAUCAGAUCUUUGCUCGAAGACUGCAUGGUGCUGCUUCAAUGUUGCCCUAAUCUUCGGAUCGUCCAUUGCAGGAGGGAAAUGAACAAGGUUGCUGACCGGGCCGCAAAGGCCCAUCAGGCCGGUUCGCUACCUGCGGAUUGGGUCUUUAAUCCUCCUUUGUUUUUGCGUGAAAUGUUGUCCUUCGAUAUUAUGCAAAAUGCUCCUUCUACUUUUCGGUAGUAAUAAUAUUAUUACCUUUCUGACCCAAAAAAAAAAAAAAGAGGACUUUGUGCUUAAAUAUUUUCUUUUAUUUUGAAAUUCAUGAUUUUGCUAUGGCAAACAUUGAAAAAUCACUUCCAUGUAGAGUAGAAGUCUUGUUGCAUCGCAACUCAAUUAGGACGUGAAAGCAUUAGUUGGCAUCGGUACACAGCACGAUUUUCUCAAGUGUAUCAUGAGAGCGUAAAAUGAAGAGGGUUGUACUUUGCGGGGGAUUUCUAUUGUCCUUAGUUUACCCAAAACGAUUACAGUCCUCUGUCUCAAUCCGAUGCGAGUACCUGCUAGAAUUUAUGGUUUUUGGUCAUGGGUCGACGUUCCUUAACUACUACUAUUCUUCGUAUGCGUCACUGACGAUUUAUUUUUUAUAGAACAAUGACAUAGUAUGGAGUUUUUCUUCAAAAGUUGUCUGCUGAGAAUCCAAUAUUGGAUUGAAGGAGACAUCUGAAGAAUGAUAACUCACUGUUAAUGGAAGAGAGACUCUUGAGUGAUUCAUAAGCAAACCGUAUUCCUUAAAUAUGUCUUGUGUGGUUAGGGGGAUACUCUUUUUGAACACGUGAACCUCAUGGAACACGUCGAAUUGCUACAUUGAGUAUCGGAGCAGGACCCCCUUCAAUAGAUGGGUGAUUCUUAGAUGGACUAAGCCAUACCAAGUGAGAGAGCUCAGACAACAUAUGAGUCUUAAUAGACUUGUAAGAUGGCAAAGAUAAUAGGAAUGAACUAGACCACACAUAUAUAUGGGCAAUAUCACGAUACGAGCCAACAUUAAAAAGGACUCCAGAUCAUUAAACUGAAGGGAAUUUGUAAUGUUUUAGAGUCUCACAUCAAUGAGAGAUGCUCUACAUUGUGUGGUUACUCAAAAUACUCCUUUGGAUAACUUGGCUUAUGUGAAAUAGAGCAAGUGGUUAUAAAUCACAAAAUAUAUAUUCAAACAUACCUAUAGAGUAUUCCUUCCAGAAGACUUGUAACUAUGUAUGUAAAUGACUCUAAUUAGCUUAUGUUUUAGAAAUCAAGGGUCUCCUUGAAUGAUGGCCAUAAUUAACUCUUUCGUGAUAUCACUCGGAUAAUUUAGGUUGUAAUUACAAAUAGUUUGCAGACAACAACAUGAAUUGUCAUUCCUACUUCCAGACAUCGCAGCACUCCGGCGCAUAAUCACGUCAUUUUCCCAUCACUGUAGAAGAAGAAGAACGACGACGACAACAACAAAAAGCUUUUGUUUAUCAAACAUUUUCCGAAGGACCGCUAAAGUCAACUCACGGCCACACAUUCGCAUGCUUUCUUCAUGUUUUGGUGACUUCAUUUCGGUUCAACCUACGCUUUUAACACCAAUAAAAGAUCCCUAAAAGAAAACAUGACUUCUUAACACACUGCACACCACCGUCCAAGACAAGCAAUCCUACACAUAAGUCAACCUUUUUCCGGACCACAAUCAUCGUUGGCUCGACCUUUCUGUUCUUCAGACGUUCGUUUACUUGUUAUUUCCUCAUAGGUUGUGUUUUCCUUAGAAGGAUCAUAAACUGAGGGACGGCUCAGACAUUCGUUUACUUGUUUUCUCAAGUCUAUUGCGUUUAGAUUCCUCAACGAAUUCACCUGAUAGGCUAAUUAUUCCGUGAGUGAUCAGCUCAGGGAAAAGAACUAUAGGCGUGUUAAUGAAAAGUCCAACUUAUUAAAUUGAAAAUAGAACCUGAAAUUCAAGAUGUCACAACUCUUCCCCUUUUAUAAAAAUUUCAUCCUCAAAAUUUAGAGUAUACAAAUCUUUAAACAAAAAGGUGAGGGUACAGUCGUCUCAUCGAAUCUUCACUUUCUUAGGUUGCUCCCUAUGUGCCAUGGUGUUACCAGAUCACUUUAACCAAUGGGAUCAUCUUUGUGCACAGAAUCUGCUCUUUUCAAUCCACGAUCUAAACCGAGAUUUCCAUGUACGACACUCUGUCGUCCAUGUCUAAUUCCUCAAAAUUCAGCAUGUGAAUCGGGUCAGGCUCAUACUUCCUCAAUAUUGACACGUGAAAGACGUCAUGCACUUACGCCAACCUCAGAGGUAAUGCAAGACAAUACGCUAAAGUCCCUAUUCUUUCUAAAAUCUCAAAGGGACCUACGUACCUCGGACUCGGCUUCCCUUUCUUGCCAAAGCACGAAGUACCUCUCAUUGGUGACACUUUCAAAAAGACGUGCUCACCAACUUGGAAUUCCAACGGUCUCCGACGCUUAUCAGCAUAGCUUUUCUGGUAGCUCUGAGCGGUCUAUAAUCUGUCCUUGAUGACAACAACUGCAUCCACUAACUGCUGAACCAACUCUGGGCCUGUGAUCUUUCAUUCUCCAACCUCAUCCCAACAAACUGGUGUUCUACACGCUCUGUUGUACAACGCUUCGAAGGGAGCCAUCUAAAUGCUCUGAUGAUAGUCGUUUCUAUAGGUGAAUUCAACGAGAUGAAGCUGUUCCUCCUAGCUUCCCUUGAAAUCCAAUACGCAAGCUCGCAACAUGUCUUCGAGGGUUUGAAUUGUCCUCUCAAACUAGCCAUCCGUCUGAGGAUGAUAAGCCGUACUGUACUGCAGCUUCAUUCCUAAAACGAUCUACAGGCUCUUCCAAAAACAGCGAUAAACCUCGGGUCUCUAUUUGAUGUAAUCGUCACUGGCAUUCCAUGCAGAUGAAUGAUUUGACGCACACACAAUUAUGCAUGCUUGUCCAAAUCAAGGUCCUUUCGUACGGCAAUAAAGUGAGCCAACUUCGUCAGUCCGUCGACUAUACCCAACUGGGAAUCAUUCCUUCNNNNNNNNNNNNNNNNNNNNNNNNNNNNNNNNNNNNNNNNNNNNNNNNNNNNNNNNNNNNNNNNNNNNNNNNNNNNNNNNNNNNNNNNNNNNNNNNNNNNGGGAUAGAACGACGGAAGGAAAGAUUUCAUAUUUGAGGAUGAAUGCCUCCAACAUUUUGCUUCACAAGAUAGUGAUCAACUACCUCAAACCCAAAUCAACUUCAAAGACCGACGUUUCAAACUCGGAGGCAAAGCUGAUGUAUGCCAUUAACGCUGGCAAAAAGUUCUCUCUUCCACACACUAUUAUAUUCCACAUGUACAAAACAAUAGUGAAGGACAAGGACCAACUUCCUUACUCAACACUUGUCACCAAGUUAUUCAGACAUUUGAACAUUCAACUUCCCCGGAUUCUUUAUGUUCAAUUAUGCGAUCAAAUGGUGGUGGGACUGAAAAUGGUCUCUAAAAUGCGUCUAAAGGAACUUAACAAGGCUUUUGAGCAAUUCAAGGUUAAAACCCCUGUUAAGACUCACCCAGUCUCUUCGGCUGCAAAGCGGAAAGGGAAGGAGCCCAUGGUUGCUCCAUCCAAGAAAAAAAGAACACUCAUCUUGGAGGAUGAAGAGGAUGAGAAUGAUAUCACGAUUUUUGCUCUUGCAUUGAAGAACUUAAGUUGUUCUGUUCUAGAGACAAAGGAGAGACAGGAACAAGACAAGGACGAGAUCGAACAGAGGACUGGAGAGAGAGAAUCAUUGGAGAAAGAAGCAUAGGAAGAAAGGAUUGAGGAAGAAGAAGAAGAGGAAAGAGGAGAACAAGAAGAAGCAAAGCAUGAAGAGUACUUCUCACCGCCUGAAGGCAUUGAAACAAGGGGAGAUCCUGAGAAAAGAGGUACGUCCUCAAUUGUUGCCACUAGUGAAGGAGUAAGUCGUUCUCCAGCAGAUUCAGAAGACAUCUAUGCCUCUCAAUUUCUUGAGGAAGGCCAUGAGGUUUCAUCGCCCAAUCUGCAUGAUCGUGCUGACUUGCCAUCAUCUGCCAAUACACCAUCUGAUCGUGCAGAAGCCAGUACUCAAACUGAUAAUUCAGCAGACUUUCGCAGAGUGCUUGAUGUUCUCUUGAAGAUGCAAGGCCAAAUUUAUGCUCUGGGAUGCGAAGUACAGAACUUGCAAAAUGUAGGUCAAGCCUCUUCAGUUUCUUUGCAUGAUCAACUCCAUGCCCUUACUCUUCAAGUUCAAGCAAAUGCCAAGGGUGAAGAUGUGGCUCAACUAAAAGAGGAUUUGAAAAAGCUGGAAGGGAUUAUCUAGUCAUUAGGAGAUUUCUAGCUUGUUUGUGUUCCCAAGCAAUCAUAAUUCCAUUCUCUUUUCAUCUCUAUUUUUUUAAUGCUGACAAAAAAGGGGGAGAGAUGUGGUGCAGAUUUGAGAUUUAAACUUUUGAACUCUUGACUUUUGUGUUUGAUUGACUUUACUUUUGUGUUUGGUUGUUUGGCUAUGAUUGGAUUUGGAUUUGGACUGUUUAAACAUUUGUUUAUCUUAAGCACUAUUGGUAUUUCAUGGCAAAGAUAGUUGCUCAUUUACAAGACUAACCUACCUUCUGUGGAUGCAGAUUUUAAUAUUAUCUUUACUAAGCCAAUUAUCCUUUGUGAAAUAUCUAUGUUUGAUUGAGUAUUGUUUUACAGGUCAAAGUUAUCCAAAUCUGCAAGAAAGUUUUGUCACUAUCAAAAAGGGGGAGAUUGUUGGAGAAAAAUUCAUUAAGUGUUUUAAAGUUGACAAAACGUUUCCAUCAGUCUAGUCUGAAGACUUGCAGACUCUUCCAUCAAAGUCUUAAGACCUCCAGACUGCUAGACUCAAGACCCAAAGUCUAUCAUCAUUGACAGUUUCUAGACCGUCGAAGAAGGCUUAUCCAGAACUGAGUAUUUCAUUGAUGAUUUGAUUCUAUCAACUGAAGAAGAUCUCUUGGCUAGAUACAGCAUGUCGGAAUCCUUUAUUAAAAUUGAGAUUGAUUUAGGGAUUUUGAAUCCGUUGAUUGGCAAAGUAUAUUUGAAAGGUUCUAAUUAUGGAACCUAGAUCCUAAUUGUAUGGGGCNNNNNNNNNNNNNNNNNNNNNNNNNNNNNNNNNNNNNNNNNNNNNNNNNNNNNNNNNNNNNNNNNNNNNNNNNNNNNNNNNNNNNNNNNNNNNNNNNNNNNNNNNNNNNNNNNNNNNNNNNNNNNNNNNNNNNNNNNNNNNNNNNNNNNNNNNNNNNNNNNNNNNNNNNNNNNNNNNNNNNNNNNNNNNNNNNNNNNNNNNNNNNNNNNNNNNNNNNNNNNNNNNNNNNNNNNNNNNNNNNNNNNNNNNNNNNNNNNNNNNNNNNNNNNNNNNNNNNNNNNNNNNNNNNNNNNNNNNNNNNNNNNNNNNNNNNNNNNNNNNNNNNNNNNNNNNNNNNNNNNNNNNNNNNNNNNNNNNNNNNNNNNNNNNNNNNNNNNNNNNNNNNNNNNNNNNNNNNNNNNNNNNNNNNNNNNNNNNNNNNNNNNNNNNNNNNNNNNNNNNNNNNNNNNNNNNNNNNNNNNNNNNNNNNNNNNNNNNNNNNNNNNNNNNNNNNNNNNNNNNNNNNNNNNNNNNNNNNNNNNNNNNNNNNNNNNNNNNNNNNNNNNNNNNNNNNNNNNNNNNNNNNNNNNNNNNNNNNNNNNNNNNNNNNNNNNNNNNNNNNNNNNNNNNNNNNNNNNNNNNNNNNNNNNNNNNNNNNNNNNNNNNNNNNNNNNNNNNNNNNNNNNNNNNNNNNNNNNNNNNNNNNNNNNNNNNNNNNNNNNNNNNNNNNNNNNNNNNNNNNNNNNNNNNNNNNNNNNNNNNNNNNNNNNNNNNNNNNNNNNNNNNNNNNNNNNNNNNNNNNNNNNNNNNNNNNNNNNNNNNNNNNNNNNNNNNNNNNNNNNNNNNNNNNNNNNNNNNNNNNNNNNNNNNNNNNNNNNNNNNNNNNNNNNNNNNNNNNNNNNNNNNNNNNNNNNNNNNNNNNNNNNNNNNNNNNNNNNNNNNNNNNNNNNNNNNNNNNNNCAGUGUUGUGCCUUCACUUGCUGACAUGUCAAACACUUGACGACAUGCUUGGCAAUAUCCCGCUUCCAAACCAAACCACCCAUAGUGUUGACGCAAAUUUCUGAUACAUUUUCGUACUGUCGAGAUGAAUGUUGUAACUACUACACUGAGCUUCUGACAAGAUCUCUUCCUUAAGCACCUACAUCGUCAGGUACACAUAAUCGUCCUCAGAACCCUAGUGUUUCAUCAUCAGAAAUCUGAAAGUCAGGUUUCCUCUUUUCGGUAUCCUCUUGCAAGAUCUUCUGAAUCUCUGGAUCUGUCAACUGAAGCGUCUUGAUUCUGAUAUGCACUUCCAGCUCAAUUAUGAGGGUGGCCAUAAGAUUUGAAAGGUAGCCUACCUCAAAUUUGAAAAUCGAAUAUCGAGCCCUCUCAAGUAAGAUCCAUUCCUUGAGUACCAUCUACGCUACUAAAGAUUUCUGACUUAGCGUAUAUGCAACCUUGUUAGCCUUUCCAGGAUGAUAUAAAAUAUCACAAUCAUAGUCCUUCAAGAGUUUCAUUCAGCAACGCUAUCUCAUAUUCAACUCCUUCUGAGAGAAUAGAUACUUGAGACUUUGAUGGUCAGUGAAGAUCUGGAAUUUGUCUCCACACAAAUAAUGUCUCCAAAUCUUCAAAGCGAAAAUAAUUUAUAUGAGUUUUAAGUCAUGCGUCGAGUAAUUUAGUUCAUAAGGUCUCAAUUGAUAGGACACGUAUGCAACAACCCUACCAUGUUGCAUCAGCACACAACUCAGUCCUCUAAAUGACGCAUCACUAUAGAUCUCGUAUCCUCUAGGACCAGAUGGAAUCAUCAGCACGGGUGUGGUAGUCAACUUCUGCUUAAACUCUUGGAAACUAUGCUCGCACUUGUUUGUCCACAUGAAUUUCUCUUCCUUCUUCAGUAGUUGAGCCAACGAUGAGGCUAAAGCUGAAAAUCCUUCCACAAGCCUUCUGUAAUACCCUGCUAAACCUAGAAAGCUUCUGAUCUCUGUCACGGUUGUCGAUCUUGGCCAGUUGAUAACUACUUCGAUCUUGGACGGGUCCACGAAGAUUCCUUCGCCUGAAAUCACAUGCCCUAGGAAAGCAACACGAGUUAACCAAAACUCGCACUUGUUGAACUUGGCAUACAGCUCAUGAAUUCUCAAAGUUUGAAGUACCAUCCUCAAAUGCCUCUCGUGUUCCUCGGGACUUCUCGAGUACACCAGGAUAUUGUCAAUAAACACGAACACAAACUAAUCCAGAUACUCCUUGAACACUUGGUUCACCAGAUCCAUAAAUGUAGCUGAGGGUGUAUGAAUCCCUUAUCCAACAAUUUGCAUCUACACCUUCAGUUCUUUCAAUUUAGACAACACCAUCCGAUAAGGAGCCUUAGAGAUUGGCUCUGUCCCGAGUGCUAACUCAAUACGAACUCAAUCCCCUUUUCUAGCGGCAGACCUAGCGAUUCCUUUGGAAACACAUCUAGAAAUUCUUAUACUACUGAGAUGUCAUCAAUCUUUAGCUCCUCAAUUGUCGUAUCCACAACAGUUGCUAGGUACACCUUGGCAACCCCAGUCUAACAAACGAGUUGCCUCAAGCGACGNNNNNNNNNNNNNNNNNNNNNNNNNNNNNNNNNNNNNNNNNNNNNNNNNNNNNNNNNNNNNNNNNNNNNNNNNNNNNNNNNNNNNNNNNNNNNNNNNNNNACAAGCUGUUAUGUUAGCAUUUGGGUCUUGUUUAAGUUGUAUGACUUCAGCAUGUAGCAGGGUAGCUCAUCUUCCUUUUAUGACAUCGAUAAAACUUUACUGGUCGUUAAAAAAAAAAAAAACAAUUAAUCUAAAGUUGGUUCCACAGGUGAGUGCACAAAUGGAUGUCUUUAAUGGUGCCUACGAUAAAUUCCCCGAUUCAGAGACCCCGAGCAGUACUAACCAAAGUUAAGAAGGCAACGGCUUAAUUAGGUUGUUGAAUAAUAGAAUAAGGAGGUAAGAGAGACCGACAUGAAAGAAAAGGAACAAAAAGAAUAUUGUAUGAUCUUUUCAGAUCUUGUCAAAUUUAUAUGGACAAUUGAUCGCGUGCACCUGCACCACAACCAACAUAAACACGGUCGAAAAAUGGUCCUGGCCCACGCACUUUGUCACUUUUGCAAACUACGCUAAAAUAAAUAAAAGAUUGUAUAUUUGCUAAAGAAGCCCAUAGAUACCUCUCGAUUCGAGACGCGAACACCUCAAGUGGCAAAACUUGACACAUAUGAAUACAUAAGUACCACAACUUCCAAAAGAUAGACUUAAAUGUCAAAAUCAAAGAAGAAAUGAAUAUUUAAGCGCCAAUGAUGAGAAUUUCCAGCCAAACAACUAAUGUGGCUUUUUCUAGCAAAAUUUUUAACUGAUGUGACAAAUUUCUUUUUUUUUUAAAUCAUCCACAUGACGCUAACAUGAAUAGAUAAGCUUAAAACGAUAUCAUUUUAGUUCAAAUAUGAUAUUUAAUAUAAACAUUACAAAAUUAAAAAUUAAAAAAUAAUUUUAUAAAAAAGAAAAAAAAAGAAUUAAAUUUGGGGUCAUGGAGGCCCUUGCCACCACUGCCCCACCAUCGCUAGAAAGGGCCGGCAACGGUAGCCAACCCACGCCCUAUCCUCGGCAAAAAGGCCCCACUAUCACCAACCCUUUUUGGCCAGGGUGGGGCAACGACAACGAGGGUGAGGGCCUAGGUCUCCACGACCCCAAAUCUAAUUCCCUUUUUAAUAUAGUUUCUUAAAUUUAAUUUAAUUGAUAUUUAUGUUAAAAAUAAAAUUUCAGGGCAAAACAACAUUGUUUUGAGACAAGGAUGCUGAGUGGACAUUCCAGCAAGCCAUGUAAACUAGUAUUAAUGAAAUAAUACCACGAUGGAUUUUUGGCAAGUCUUACUGGAGUUGGUACUUAAGUGUCUAAUUUUUUUUUUUAAAAGUGACACUUAAGUGUACAUUUUGAAAGUUUUAACACUUAUGCAUCCACUCAUGCCAAGUUUAAACAGUUAUGGUAUACUUCUUCCAUCUUGAUUCACAUUCAAGAUCUAUCUAUACAUAAUCCAAAAGAAUCUACUGCACCUUUGGAUUUAAAUUUCUAAUCUGCUUUUGAACUUCUAAUCAAUAAAUUUAGUUUAGUAUGUUCUCCUUUUACUUUUCUGUGGCUGAUAUCAAUGAAGUUCUCUUUGGGACCAAUCAACUACAUACCAAAUGAAUGCGUCAACAAAUAAAAUUGAUACAGAUAAAGAAAAUCGGUUAAAGACCAUAGUUCAAUUUUUGUCCAUCAUCUUAGGUCAUUUCCAAGAGCGCAUUAACCUCUUACCUGACGAAAAGCUCUGACUUGUAAUGUACAUGAUUUAGUCCAAUUUUAAAAAUAAAUUAGGCUCUGAUCAUGCACAUAGUUCAUUUAUUGGUCCUAUCACCCAAGAAAAUGAAGGCAAAGGCAAUAAUUUGGUGAGAUUUUGUAGGAUCAUUACUAAUGUUCUAAGAGCUUAAACUAUUAUAUGACAGUGCGAUAUAAUAUUUGAAUGUUCUAACACCCCCUUCACACGUAGGUUGGACUUUGCCUAAGCCUAAAGCGUGGAAAUAUGGAAUUAAGGAAGCAAUUAGAGAGUUUGAAAAAAAUUGAACUCAGAACAUUACUGUGUGCCUCUUAAUGUUCAAGGUCAUUUUUUAAAUUGAGUGGAAAGAAUGUUUAUAUAGGCAUAGAUCUAGGGCUUUUCUGAAGAUGCCCCUUUCCAAAAUUGAAUCCAUGAAAUUAUGUGAUAGGUUCAAGAUAAGAAUUUGAGGCAUUUCUUUUUCCUAUCUCCACCAAACUUAAUUAUGUGAUAAUCUUUCCUAAUUUGCACUCCCCACGUGCAUCUUAUAUGCAAAUUUCGGCCACCUACGGUAUUCAAGGGGCUUGACUGAAUUUUAUACUCUUGCGGGCUUAGUCCAAUAAUUUAAUUAAUUUUAUAGCCCCUACUUAAACCCAUUAGAUCCGGUCCAAUUAGAAUUCAAUUUAUGCGGGCCUAUUACAAUAAAAAUAAAAUGUGCUACUGUGCAAAUGUAAAUUAAUAAUAUUUUUACUUAGGAAUCGACAUUGACUCCUAAUAUUCUUUGCAAUGAAUGGGCCAUCAAAAUUUAAUUGUUAACAACUGCUCUUCUUUAAAAGGAAGCUUGCAAAUGAUUCAUUCAAAGAUAAAUGAUACCUAAAAUUUAGCAAUGCAAAUGUAGUGUGAUGACUUUGUUUGUUGGAAAGAUAGAUCUCAAUGAGAAUGCAAUGACAUGUGAGAAAAUAUCGAUGUUAAUGCAGAGAUGGAAUACGUACAUGUAGAUUCGGAAAAGUAAAUUUUUAAAAGUCCUGACAAACACCUGGAAUUCACCUCAAACAUUUGAAAGAUUUGAAGAUUACUAAAUAGUUUUCAAACACCCUGAACUCGUCUCAAAUUCUCGAAAAAAAUUUAUCCAAUAAAUACCUAGAACUCACCUUAGACAAUUUAAAGGUUUCUUUACAAAAUAUCUGGAACUCAUCCCAGAUACUCGAACGGAUCUACCAGAAAAUACCAAGAACUCACCUUAAGUAUUUAAUGAUUUAGAUUGAAACAUUUGGAAGUCAUCACAGGAUUUGGUUUAAAGAUUUCUUAACUUAAUACUUAGAACUCUGCUUAGAUACUCUAAAAGAUUUAACUGAUAAACACCUAGAACUCACCUUAAGUAUUUAAUGAUUUAACUGAUAAGCACCCGAAAAUCAUCCCAGAAAUUGAAAAUUUUCUUAACGAAAAUUUUAGAAUCAUCUUGGAUAUUUGAAAAGGCUCUUUAACAAAUAUUUAGAACUCAUCUAGAAACUUGAAUAUUUAACCGAUAAACACCUAGAACUAUCCGUAAAUUUUUAGCGAUAUAUCUGCUAAACACUAGGAAAUCAUCCCAUGUGUUUAAAGAUUUAUUAACAAAAUAUCCAAAAUUCACCUUGAAUAUUAAAAAAAAAAGGGUUGGUCAAGAAACACCCGGAACUCACUCAAAAAGUUUAAAGAUUUCUUAACGAAAUAUCUACAAAUGACCGUAGAUAUUCCAAAUGGCCGUAGAUAUUCGAAAAGGUUUGGUAAAUAAACACCUGGAACUCUCUCUAGGAGCUUAAAGAUUUCACGAAAAAAUAUCUAGCACUCUAUAAUUAUUCAAAUCAGUUACCUGAACUCAUCUCAAAUUUUGUCGUUGGAUAAGAGAGGCACCUAGCGUUUUUCGUCUCAAAUAUUUGCAACUACUCAGAAUUUUCAAUCCUAAGACUUUGAAGUUACCUAGAGUUGUUCAUCUCAGUAGUUAGUAUGCUUAAGACUUUACACUUAGGACUUGAAACGUUUAAGGUUUGGUACUCAGGACCAGAAACAUGUAAGUUUUUGCACUUAGGAUAUGAAUUGUCUAAGGUUUUUCCUUUAGAACUUGAGAUGUCUAAGGUCUUUCACUUGGGACUCAAAUUGUCUAAAAUCUUCACUUAAGACUUGAGAUGUCUAAAGUUUUCUACUUACGAUUUGAAUUGUCCAAGGUUUUCCACUUAGGAUUUGGAAUACCUAAGGUUUUGCACUUAGGGCCAAAGGUUUUUCACUUAGGGUUUGGAAUACCUAUGGUUUUGCACUUACGGCUUCAACGAGUUUCUCAUGGUAAACCUCCUCAAGGAAAUCAAUUUCGAAAGUAAGUCCAAGGUAAUGAAGCACUUACAGGGCAUAAAGGACUUUUUGGUCUCUAAGGAAGUAUUUCCCAUCAAACACGACUAGAGCAAAUAGACGCGCAUUCAAAGAGAUAAAGGAGUUCAAGUUUAUCCUUGAAUGAGCACGCAUAUCUAGAAUCAAUCAUUUUCAUCAUUGAUUGCGGGUUAUGAAGAGGCAUUUUGCCAUAUCUACAUCACUAAAUUUCCACCGAGAGGAAUCAUCAUCAAGAUAAUUUUCACCACCGUGGCAUGGAUCUCUUGAAAAUACUAAAUAAGACUUUCAGUCUGAAAGGGCUUUUCACUUGCUCUCAUUUAGAAAGAUAUUUUAUCCCGGCUAUUGAUGCGGGAAAAAGAGAGACACUAGAUCUUGACAUUAUUAUAAUCUCAAUAAGAGUCUGAUUUUACUCACAAGUUGUAUGACCAUACCAAUCUAAAAGUGUUUAUGAUAUAACCGUAAUGUAGGCUUAGUCAACAGUUUAAAAUGGAUAAUUCAUGGCUCAUAAAGAAAUGUUAUUCAUUCAUUAUCUCUGGCGUUUUACAAAUCAAGAAACCUGCAAAAUGAGAUAAACUCUCUUACCCGCACUUCUUCGAGUAAAGCUUUUAACAUUUGAAACUCCUCCUUUAAUGUAAUUACCCUAAUUUGAAGAGACUCUAUAAGGGAUGUAACAUAAGCUCUUCGAGAGCAUGCAUGUCAGUGACUAAGUAUGUCAACCUGGAGAAUGCACAUGGGCUCGGUGAUUAGGCAGGUCAUCUUGGAAAAUCCACGUGGGCUAAGUGACUAAGUACAUUAACCUAGAGAAUGCACGUGAGCUCAAUGACUAGAUAUACCAUCUUGGAGAAUGCACGUGGACUCGGUGACUAAGUACAUUAACCUAAAGAAUGCACGUGGGCUCGAUGAAUAGAUAUACCAUCUUGGAGAAUAGAUAAUAUUGAAUGUACCGACUAGGGGAAAGGUCGUGAUGACAUGUAAUCGACUAAGUCGAUUGAUCGAUAAUUCAAUCUAAUUGAUGUGAUGUGAUGUGAUGUGAUGUGAUCGUGUAUAUUUGAUAUAUAUACUAACUUGCAAGAAUGAACUGGGGACAAGGUAAGUCCUCUGACCCGUGUUGUGCUUAGACAGCCUUUAGGACAUAUUGGCUUCCUAAUCGGGUCUUAAGAGGUAGAACUCGCUAAGACGUUGUCUCAUUAGUUAUUGUAUAACCAUUUUAGGUUCCUAGAUGGCCACUCUUGAGUUUUUGGGACGGCCUAAGAAGAUCACAGAGGAAACCUCUUACUUUCCAUUUCAUGGGUGCCCUAGGGGCUGAUCUUAUAAGCUAGUGAGGUCUAUAGUUAGGGUCGAUGCGGGUCUCACCCACAAGGUGCCCCAUCGAUAUAGAUCAUGGUACCACCGACCCAAGAUGGCCAGAGAGAGGGUCCCCUACUGGAGUCUAAGAUACCUUUGUGUGUUCUGGAGGCCGCCUUUGGAAAAGGCACCGCAAAUUCCCUUUUGGGCUCGAUCGUAGAUGCAGCAGAUUUGAAUUUUGAAGAUCUCGGAAGUUCGGUGCAAUAUGCUGAAGGCUCCAGUUGGAGUGUGGGGGAUGAUGAAGAGGAGGACGAGGACUCGUAGUUUGUGGAAUUCCCACCCCUACUUGUAGACCUUGUUUCUGAACUUGUUUAAGUUGAAUCUAACUUAGUAGUUCGCCUUAUAUAUAUGUGCACUGGUUUGCAAUGUAUAUAAGUGUGGUUGUUUUUUAAAGUUCGGAAUUUAAUCCUACUUUUCUAUCCCAUUACUUUAUUGUCUAAGGAUUAUUAUUAUAUUCUUCCGCAUGCAUAUUAAAACAAAAGGGUCGGCGAUGCGUCCUGGGACGUCGCUAUUAAUCGACUAGUUGAGGGAUGGGUGUACGCUCGAGAAUUGUGGCGUGACAGUUCAUAUCGUGGACAGAAAAGAACAAGUUCUGCAUACAAAGACCAUUCCAUUGGUCAAAGUGGUCUCACAACACCACGGUACUGAAGGAGCGACAUGGGAAACUUAAGAGUCGAUGAGACAAUUGUACCCCCACCUUCUUGCUUAAGUUUUGUAAUGAUUUAAAGUUCGAGGACGAAUUUUUUAUAAGAGGGGAAGAGUUGUGACAUCCUAGAUUUUCAAUCCUAUUUUCUAUUGAAUAAAUCGAGCAUUUCAUCAAUGCGCCUAUAAGGCUAUUCUCAGAGCUUAUCACUCUCGAGAUAUCUAGACUAUUUAGAGAAGCCAUUAAAGAAUUUUAAUACGAUAGAUUUGAGAAUUCAACCAAGAAUCGGCUUCUCAACCAUGCUCAUCUUUAGAGGCCAUUACGGCACAAUAUAAAAUUCAUUUGAAAUCAAAGAUAGACCAGUUCAACUGAGAUGUGUGGCUAAUUGUGGGUGACACCAUUAAAUUGGAAAAUUCUCGUUGGCCGGCACUAGAGUGAUUUUUCUAUCAUUUUGAUACCUUGUGUCCAAAUUUGAAUCCUUGAGAUUUUCAUGACAAUCGAAAGUCGCCAAUGCGUCGAGUGGGUUCAUUGUGGCUCGAAAAAAAUCAACCAAGGGUCAUUUGCUCUAAAAACUUCUAAAAACUACCCGGUAGUCUAGGUCACGCUAAAAACACACCAAAUUGAAAUUAACUACGAAAUUGAAUCUGAUUUCAGAAAUUGAAAGUUCCGUCAUGUCACAAUUAAUUCUAGGAGCGUCGACUCAGUCUCAGAAUAUUUUUCUACAACCCAAGACUUUUUAGGAAAAAGUCGGCUUAGAGCCGUUUUUUUCCAGAAAAAAGAUCGGGAUUGUUUUAGAUCGUGAAAUUGGGAAGUAAGUGGAUUGUAUGAGUGAAGAAAAAUGCCGAGAUGAUCGAUGAUGGGUUAAUUGGAUUUAUUGAUGCCAAAUUGGAUUUUUUGAAGCAAGAUUAAGUGUCCAUUUGACACUAAAACCCAUGAAAUGCGUAUGUCCCCCCAUUCCCACAACUUAUGGACCUCUUCAACCUUCUAGAUGAGUGCAUGGAUGGUUGAAUUGCAGCCAUAGAAGCCAGACUUGGCUAUGGGUGAUGUCAAGGAGACAUUUGAAUGGAAAAUAAGGCAAGUGGCCCCCUACAACCCCACCUUGUUCCCUCUCUCUCUCUCCAACCGGUCAGCAGCCUCCUUUCCCCUCCUCAUUGUGCCUUGCUCAAGCCCAACAAACCAGAGAAGCUGCCUAUCCAUGCUGCACGCCGUCGUGACCGUCGGAACGCCGUCCGCACGCCCCACCGCCCCACACGCAUGCCAUACCGCGCCACCGCCCAACCCGACGCCCCUGCUACUUCCAACCCUCUGUUCCACCAUCCCCGUAGCUUCCUCAGCUUGUGCCAGAGUCGUUUAGCCCACCUCCGACCUCCCAAACAAAGAAUUUGUGGGUGGGUUUCCAGCAAGCUUAUAGGCCCAUUUUGAGGUGGUUCUGAGCCUCGAAAGUUUGACCCACUUUGAGGAAAGUCGGUCCCCGUCGCAUUCCCAACAUUUUGAACUGAACGGAUCGCAAAACAAGUGAGUUGAACUCACUAAUCCUCAAUUAGUCAGUUAAUGAUGCUUAGAGUUUGAUUAUAUUAAUUAAGCAUGGUUUAGGUGGAUAGAUUAAAUUAGAUUAUAUUAGAUAAUUUAAUUAUCUGCCGAUGCAUGUCAGGUGGUUAGUUAGUGGCAUUAGCGAGUAGACUCGUGCUAUUAUUGGUUUAAUGAACCUUGAAAUUUUUCCGGGUCUGUUUCGAUGUCCAAUUAGGCAUUACGGGCCUAAGUUGGAUUUAUUGCAUUUAUUUAAUAAUUCCAUAAUUAUUUAUUUAUUUAUUUAUUUUUCGAAAAUUAGGCUGGAGUAGCCGACGAUCAGAAUUUUAUAUUGGUUAUUGUGGUACAGUCUGUUUAUUUAUUUGAGUUCGAAAUUGUGCCGAAUUGAUUUAAUUGUGAUUUUAGGAUUUUAUUCCUAAAAUAAUUAAAGUCGCUAAUUAAUUGGAAAAUUACCUAGCAUUGGUCUACAGCGCCAAAAAUCUAUUUUUGGAAUAUUAAAAAAAGUGUAAGAUUGAUAAUGAAAUUAUUAUAUUUUGGCUAAGGCUGAUCGUGUACCCACACACGAUUAUUUUAUCGAGAAUAAUAAAAAGAUGGAAUUGGUUGUAUGAUUGGAAUUAUAUACUAUAUCGGCCUACAGGGGAUAUGUCAAGUUAGCAGAAAGUAGUAUACCAAUAUACUAUAUCAGCCUACAGGCGAUAUGACAGCUUAGCAGAGAGCAGUAUACCUUAUCGGUUUUGAUUGAAUGUCGGUAUACUACAUCAGCCUAUGAGCGAUAUUACAGCUUAGCAGAAAGCAGUAUACCUUAUCAGCUUAGAUUGAACAAUGUCAAUAUACUAUAUCAGCCUAUGGGUGAUAUGGCAACUUAGCCGAGAGCAGUAUACCCGAUCAUCUCAGAAGUGAGCUAUAUUAUCUAUCUAUCAACUUAGUAGUGAGUAGUCUGAUAUGGAUAGAUUUAUAGAUAGUAUGAGAUGAGCCAACUAAGGAAGGGUCGAGAUGACAUGUAAUUGACCGAGUCGAUUGAUCAAUGAUUUGAUCUGAUGUUAUGAAUUGAUUGAUUGAUGUGAUUGGAGACAUCUGUAAAUGAUACUGCUUUGCAUGGUGGAACUAAGGCCAAGGUAAGUCCUCUAACUCGUGGUUGUGCUUAGGCAGCCCUUAGGGCGUAUUGGCUUCCUAAUUUGGCCUUAGGGGGUAGAACUUGCUGAGACAUUAUCUCACUGGUUAUUGUAUAAUCAGUUUCAAGUCCCUCGUUGACAGCGGGGGAGGACUUGAGGCCCGAAGUUUAGAAGGCGAAGCUCGGAGAAUCGGUGAGCAUGUCCGACUAGUUAGUCCUAGGACAUUUCUCUUUUGUUGAAAGCCGAUUCCUUUUUGCAUGCUUCCGUGUAUAAACCCGUGUGUUUAUAAAAAGGUAUUUUGUGAAAAAUUAGUCCUACUUUCCUAUUCCAUUGUUUUAUUGUUUGUGGAUUAUUUAUAUAUUUCCGCAUGCGUAUUGAAAAGAGAGGGUCGGCGAUGCAUCCUAGGACAUCUCUAUUUAAUCGACCAAGUGAGGGAUGUGUGCGUGCCUGAGGAUCAAGGCGUAACAUCCCCGUUUAAGUGGUAUCGGAGUAAUGGUUAGGGAUUGGAGUGAUAAGGUGCGAUGGACCAUAGGAUAGUGGUAGGAAAGACCUUUAAAUUCAUGUUGGUGCAUGUUUGUGGUAACUAAUUGAUAGACUUGCUUGUUAUUUAGAUCACUCUGUUUCUAAUUCGGCUUAGAAUUGGAAGCAGGCUUCAAUAAAGAAAGCUGAGCCAUGAGUGAUUAGGAGCCAAGAACUCCUGCCAAGAGGACUGCUAGGGCCAUAACUCAGGGUAGGAUGCUGACCAGGGUCGGUACACGAGGAGGCCGAGGUCGAGCGCCAGCACAGGCUAGCACUAGUGGCGUAGCACCACCUCCUGUUAGUGCUAGGGUUGCAGCCCCAAGUGAUCAAGGAACCAUUGGGAUCACCCAGGCUUUGGACACCAUGCGAGAAAUGAUGAGACAGCAGGCCUAGAAUCAAGCUGCCGCCUUAGAAGCCGCUGCCACUGCCUUUGCCAAUGCUGCCAUUGCUUCCGCAGCUAUUGCCGCAGCUGUUGCUGCACCUACCGCCACACCUGCUAAUGUUCCCAUUGAGAACAUAGAGGUGCAGAGAGAAAGACCAAUCCACAAGUUGGUUAUUGUCGUGCAAUCUGUUUAUUUAUUUGAAUUCUAAAUUGUGCCGAAUUGAUUUAAUUGUGAUUUUAGGAUUUUAUUCCUAAAUUAAUUAAAGUUGGUAAUUGACUGGAAAAUUAUCAGGUGUCGGUCUACAGCGCCAAAAAUAUAUUUUUCGACUAUCAAAAGAAGUGGGAGAUUGAAAGUGAAAUUAUUAUAUUUUGGCUAAGGCCGAUGGUGUACCCACACACAGCUAUUUUAUGGAGAAUGAUAAAAAUAUGUAAUUGAUUGUAUGAUUGGAAUUGUAUACUAUAUCGGCCUACGGACGAUAUGUCAACUUAACAAAGAGUAGUAUACCGAUAUACUAUAUCAGCCUAUGAGCGAUAUGGCAGCUUAGCAGAGAGCAGUAUACCUUAUCAGUUUUGAUUGAAUAUGUCGGUAUACUAUAUUAGCCUACAGGCAAUAUGGCAAUUUAACAGAGAUCAGUAUACCUUACCAGCUUAGAUUGAGUAAUGUCAAUAUACUAUAUCAGCCUACGGGCGAUAUGGCAGCUUAGCGAAGAGCAGUAUACCCGAUCAUCUCAGAAGCGAGGUAUACUAUAUAUCUAUCAACUUAGCAGUGAAUAGUCCUGAUACGGAUUGACUUAUAGAUAUUAUAAGAUAAGACGACAAAGAAAGAGUCGAGAUGACAUGUAAUCGACUAGGUCAGUUGAUCAAUGAUUUGAUUUGAUGUUAUGAAUUAAUUGAUUGAUGUGAUUGGAGACAUCUGUAAAUGAUACUGCUUUGCAGGGUGGAACUGAGGCCAAUGUAAGUUCUCUGACUCAUGAUUGUGCUUAGGUAGCCUUUAGGGCGUAUUGACUUCCUAAUCGGGUCUUAGGGGGUAGAACUUGUUGAGGUAUUGUCUCACUGAUUAUUGUAUAACUAUGUUCAGGUCCCUAGUUGACAGUGGUGGAGGACCUGAGGCCCGAAGUUUAGAAGGUUUUUGACACCUAAAUUUUGGUGAUCCAUUUAGUCAUUUAUCGCAUUAAAAAAUCAGGGAUUAAUUUUGACCCCUAAAAAAAUAAUAAUUUAAUUCCAAAACAUAUGGUCAUUAGAAGAAUAUUUCAUUUAAUUGCAUAUUUGUUAGGCCGGCGAUGAAUGGAUUUUGGUGAAUGGCUUUGAAUAUUGAAGCCAACAAGAGCAUUAAACUGUGGAUAAGUCGAUAAUUCCUCCAUGGUGAUUGAUAUUACAUGGGUGUCCUAAAUUGUUAAAAGUCAAUUAAGAAAUUUCCAGCUUAUUGGCACCAACAUAUUUGUGCAUUUAAGGGAAAGAAUGCAAAGGAAGGACAGCCUGUAAGCGGCCACCGAUUCGAACAUAGAGAAGCCCAUCCACGUGAAGGAAAAUUAUGCGCUUUCCCAUAAUUCGGUCAACGUGGGGAGCAAGAAAUUGACCAGCAUUAUUUUAAGAGGAAAGAUACGAGCAUAUGCACAAAGGAAAUUUGAAAGAUCAGCAUGAGAGGGGAAUGUUGGGCACGUUCUGCAUUGCGGGCAUGGAUUUGCAAAAAAUAUAUAUAUAUCGGCAUUCGAUCAAUAAAGAGGAAAGGAAAGAAAAUAUAUUUCAACGCAUGCACAGAAGGAAACAGAAUAUGCUUUCUUUCGUCAUUGGUUUACGCCCUUUCAAUAUAAAUUGACUCAUUACAGGACAAAAGCUGGGGGCAUUCUUCAUACGAGAGAAAAAACACGUGAGAAUCGAGAGUGGAGAGGGAGCUCUGCCAGAAGCUCUUCACGGCCGUGACUUUGCUGAGUUCGUGGCCGCACCUUGACACUGAUCUUGCUACCGAUCGUCUGUUGCAUUGACAACGACCAGCUUUCCAGUGAUCCUUCCCGAUGAUAGAGCAACAGCGUUCACUUCCAGUCAAGCCUUGAUCAACAACCACGAAGUUUUGGAGGCUACACAAUGGAAUACAAGGCCACGAAAGAGUGAGAGAGAAGGCUGCUUUCCUCGGUCAAAGACUUCGUUGGAUCCAAUUUGAAUUAUUUGCAGACACCUCAGUCCAUUCAAGCCAUCCCUGACGUUGAAGUCCCACGGCUAAAACAGCCAAAUUUGGUCAUCGCAAGUCCCUUGCACCAGGCGACUCCGCUAUUGUUGUGGCCUUGCUACACAACGGGGCUGCUUUUCUGGUCUCGCCGUGUGGACAACGAAGCUGCUGCUCCCCCCAUUUCGACGCGCCGCCCCUGCUUCAUCCUACCAUCGGUGGCGCUGCUGGGCUCGUGCCAAAUCAAAAGCCUCUUGGGCGCUCUUCGCAUUAAAUAUUUUUUUGGCCUUUGCAGGUUAAGAGGAGAGCUUCAAACGGGGGUCAAAGGAACUGUAUUGGGGGUUACAUUAAAAUAUAGAAAGGCUCCUAAGAGGAGACGAUCGGCAAAUAAGAAAGCCCACUUUUGGUUGUGUCCGAUAAUAUUGACGCAACCCUUACUAAGCCGAGAGCCCUCUCCACCGUUGAGUGCCGCGAGCGAUUCCCAAAACGUUAUUGUGAGCCAGCUACCGUGAAGCAAAGUUGAUCAUGACUCCUACGAUCCGAUACCCGUCCAAACUAGGAAGCAACAAUCAAGGUAGGUAAAAUUCCCAUCUAAAUUAAUUCUUGAAUAUUUCGUUUGCUCAAUUGAGGUAUUGCAUUCUUGAUUAAACCCCCCGAAUGAUGUUAUCUUGUCCCAUGUUUCCCGAAUAGUCUUUCAAAUUGGGAAAUCUUCCUAAUUUUGCAACGUACAUAUGAUUGACGGUCCGAUUUCACGCUCGAAAUAUGACCCGCAAUCGUACGGAAAAAUCACCAAUUCGAUCUCACGCUUGAGAUACGAUUCAUGAUUUUAUUUUAAAAUUGGCCAAUCCGAUCUCAUGCACGAGAUACAAUUCGUCAAUUUAUUUCCCAAAAUUAAAUGGACAUGGAUGAUAUCUUGCUUGAUUUGUUGCCGUAAUGUUGUUGAUGCCUUUAUUUGAUUGCUCCCGUAAAAGAAAACCCCAAAAAAUAUAAAUAUUUAGGUUAAUUGCAUAUUACGAUAGAUCGCAUGCUUAUUAGGGAAAUAAAAAUCAUGUGCACGUCAUAUAGAAUUAAGUUCAUACAAUGCAUGUCAUUUAGUAUUUUUGCUAGGCCCAUUUAAUUAGAAAUUACAUGUCAUUAGAAUUAGGUCAUUUAGUUAAUAUUGCAUAGCAUAUUGCAUGAUUUUCAUUAAUUAAGCGAAAAAAAAUAAAAAUUACAUGUUAAUUAUAAACCAUAUCUAGGGUUGUUGAUGUGGAUUUUAAUUUAACAUUGCAAAUGCUUUCGUUGCUAUGAGGUAAGUCCUGCAUUUUUCUAUUAUUUGCUUUCUUGGGUGUUAAAUGGGUGAUUUGUGCACCCGCAUGAUCACCUCACAUGUUAGGGGAGAUAGUUUAAAAUCAAUUCAAGCUGCCUGCAAAACCUUUUUUUCAAAAUAAAAGAAAUGGUACCGAAAGGGCGUUAGAGAAAUCUAGCGUAACCAAGUCCCCGUACCCAAAUCUCUAGUUCGUAGGAAUAAAGUAAAUCUCCCGUUACUUUACUUGGAUUUCUAAUCGACCCACCAAAAAUAGAUUAGUGGCGACUCAUAAUUUAAAAUCAAUUGCAUGUUAAGAACUUGAAUCUAAGUCGCGAAUUGGUAUGUGCUUGGGAAAGCCCGAGUUAAGUCUAGGCUUAACAAUCCAUUAGCCAAACCCUAGGUGGUUCACGCCUGAAAAAUUGGUCGCAACAAAGGUGAAGCCCGGAGAAUCAGUGAGCAUGCCCGACUAGUUAAUCUUAGGACAUUUCUCUUAUAUUGAAAGCCGAUUCCUUUUUGUAUGCUUCUAUGUAUAAACCGGUGUGUUUAUAAAACGGUCUUUUAUGAAAAAAAAAAAAAAAAAAAGGUCAUACUUUCCUAUCACAUUGUUUUAUUGUCUGUGGAUUAUUUAUAUGCUUCCGCAUGCGUAUUGAAAAGAAAGGGUCGAUGAUGCGUCCUAGGACGUCGCUAUUUAUUCAACCAAGUGAGGGAUUGGUGCAUGGCCAAGGAUCGGGGCAUGACAAUCACUCCAUAUGCAAUUAUCAUAGUACAUAUUAGUACCAAGGAUAGUUUUGGAAUCAUCAAGUUCUCAUUGGGAUGCUUUCUCAACUUGUAGCUGUAUUUUCUUUUCAACAAUUCAACAUUUUUGGACUUUGGUGGCCUUCAUCUUCAGUCGACACUCUGAACCAUGCUACUUCAUCAAGUCAACUCAUCAGCCUUGCCGCAAUAUGAGGAAUAAUCACCAACUAGGUUUAGAAAUGAAUUUGCAAGCUCAAAUGGGCUCUACAAGGAAUAAAAGUGUGUAUGAUAGAGAAAGAAAUGUUCUUCAUCACUUUAAGGCACCUAAAUUCUUGUUUGAGUUCAUCUGUAAUAAAGAUAGUCAAAGAUUAAUUCAAGUGAGGGCAAGAAAAGUUCUUUCAUUUUUCUCAACCUAUAAUGUCAACUUUACCUCAAUUCCGCCCCAGUGCGAGAACAAGGUUAAGUCGAAAGAAAAUUUUCCAAUCAUUCAAGCUCAAAAGGCUUAAACAAUAGUUUAACUACAAUGUUUAGGAUAAAGGAAUGAAUGGCCCCUCAUCAUUCAAUUUGCAUACCUUCCUCCAGAAACCAAUUACCUUGAGGACAUGAAAUUAUUCCACUCAUCUCAUAGUGUAUAAAUAAAGGACUAUAGGUAGGAUUAAGCUUGCAUUUCAUCAUUUUGAUGGAUGCUCUGAAUUUACUCUUCCCCCCUGCAAAACAAAGUGUACAGAGAUAUAAUGUAAGUAAUCAUAAGUACAAAUUGUGGCUUGGCUUAUGCAAAAUAUAGAUCCUCUAAGGAUCUCAUGAUUCAAGGCAUUAUACCUCUAUUAUCUCAUCAUGUAUUUUUUAAAGUCACAACAAGUUCUAUUUGCAAUGGAAAUAUUCCCGGGCCACAAUGCAAGGCGAUUACAAAAGGAACGAAGUGGCAAAUAGGUGCUUAAAACUUUUAUUUUCACUAAAUUUUGAGUGGAACAUAAGAAAGCCAGCCUUCAGAAUUAUCUCCUCGCCUCAUUUUUUAUUGGUAGGAUUUUAUAAUUAGGAUAGUUUGGUUUACUUCAACAUUCCAUCAAAAUAUGAAAAUUUUGAUGAACUUGCAUCUUAUUGAAUGAAAAUAAACAAAUUACAUUGUAUGGAAAAGGAAAUCCUAGUAAGCAAUCAAAUACAAAGAAUCAAGCACUAGAAAGCAUAAAUACUCCUAUACAAAUGAGUGUGUCAACAAUCAACGAUGCCCUAACUCUAGGUGAUUUGAACUCAUCCUAUCAUCCAGCCUUACAUCAAUGGCAAAGACUGCAUUUUCCAUUUGUGCAGAUAGCCUCAUUAUUUGACAGAUCAUCCCAACCAUUGGGCAUAAUGUCCUUGACAACAAGAUCAAUGCUUCGCAAUUUAGAGCAUAGCACAUAAUAGUCCUACUCGUUGCUUAAAUUGUUCCAUUGUACUAAAAGGCUCGAUGUUUGGAGGCAAGAGUAUAAAUUGGCCCAAAUCUCACACUCUCGCGAUUGGGUCGGGUGCUCUUGACACUAGCUCAAUCAAAAGGCCACCCUAUAGUCUUGCAAUCUCAAGUAUCAAGAAAGAAAGUUCAGGGUUUGAAAAGUGCAAUCCUUAGUCUCGUAGUUUUGUGGACAAGGUUGUAUUGUCUCAACACCAUCCUUUUUUUUCCUAAUAUGCAAUCUAGGUUCGAUUGCAGGAUUCAUGCAAAAGUUUAGUGUUAUGCACAACAGUUUAUAAUAUGCAUACAUCACUUCAAUAUUGAUCUAACGCAUACAUUCUCAACAUCUCUCUACAAAACAAAGUGUUAUAAUUCAUCCCUUAUAACUCUCAUAUGCAAGAACAUUUAACAUAAUUGUUAGUGGCACAUCUUAUCUCCAUACUGCUCAAACGAAAACAAGUUUUAAAAGAGAAAAUGCAGGCCUAAGUCAUUUGGAAUUGUCAAGUUGCUGGGACCUUUGCAGGAGUGAACCACCAAGGAAAAGAUAAUAGAUUACUGGGUAGGGUACGAAUGGUAACUCAUUAAAGAAGGUACCUUUGUCUAGCGCAGACUCUUCCGAGUCCAUACCAGUCACAACUUUGAGUUUUAAUUAAAUCAAUUAACUAUGUAAAUAAAUUCAUUUUGGGAUCACCACUAAUUUUUACAGGUUAAUUGGAAACCCAAGUAAAAUGCUCUUACAUUUUACUUCUACCGAUCAAAUAUUCAUGGAUUGGGAUUCGGUUAUGCAAGAUAAAUCUACCACCCUUUUGGUACAUUUUCUCUUUAUUUUAAACAUGUCUGGAAGCAGUUUAGAUCAUUUAAUCUUAAGCCACUAAUAUGCGAUGGGUGAUCAAGAGGGUGCACAAGGGUGAUCAAGAGGUCAAUGACUAUGUAAUGGGCACAAGGGUGCGCAAGCAAGAAUUUAACACUUAAUAUUCAAAGCAAUAAAUAAAUUGCUUAGGAAAGAGUAAAGAACCUCAGCACGUUAAGCAAACUUUAUUGUCGUCCAAUGCACAAAGUAUUCUGCAGUAUGUUAACUAAGAAUUAAACGACUAUGUAAUGCAUGCAUCUAGACAAGAUUUCAUCAUAUGAUUAUACAAUGCUAAUUAUUUCUAUCUACAAGAUGAGGUCAUUAAAAUCAAUCCUAAAAAUAUGUGACUCUCUAUAUGACGUGCAAUGUUGAAUGUCAUCAAUAUGAGAUAUGGAUGCAAUAUUUUUUGAGAUUUUCUUUAAAAGUAAAAAUAUGAAAUUAUUGUUUGGAAAAUCCCUUAUGAUGUUUUGAAGAUAACAAAAUAAAUCAAAGGCUACUAAGGUGUUUAAUGGUUGAGUAAUAGACUAUGCAGAUGAUAGAACAUAUAAAGGAUAUUGUCGAAGUCUAUACUUGGAAGAACCAUAAGACAGACUCUAUGAUGAAGCUAAACUUAUUCAGAUUGUGUCGAGACCUUAAGGCUAAAUAUGUUUAAAAGCAGAAUAUGUUCAGACUUAUGUCCAGAUUGUAAAGUCUAUUUCAAAUGGAAGACACUCAAACUUUACUUUCGACAUAACACUCUCAAACUUUACAUCUAGAACGAGACACAAGUCCAUAACGUGACAAGGUUUAGAAUGAGACACAAGUUCAGAAGGUAGUAGAUUCAGAACAAAACAUGUUCAGAACGAGACAACUUGACAGAACAAAACACAACCCCCAAACAUAUAACGGCUACUAAUCUGGUUUAGAUUCUACAUCAAGAUAGAUUUGAUUGACUCAAUCUAAUUUAUUGACAAUUGGAUCAUAAAGACAAGAAAUUUAUAAACGAAGAAGCUCUACUUAUGGAACCAAGAUUCUGUUUGUAUGGGCGAUCAGAAUCAAUUUGGGAUUCUACUUCUAUCACUCAAUGGCUAAUAAAUCUUCUUGAUACAGAUCUGUCCAAUGGGUAGAUUGGAAGAUGAUUCUCUAUAUACUAUCCAACAACUAGUUUGGAAGUGGAUAAGUAUUUAAGGAGACUAAGGACCGAUGAGCAAGUAAGAGACGAAGCGUAAAAUUUAUAAUUCCAAAGUCUAAGUGACCUUCGAUCAUAUACCUGUCUCUUAUGAGCUUAAACGUUUAUGAUCUUGUGAGCUUAAAAGUUUGUGAUCGUGAAAGAAAUACCAAAAGAGUGACUUAGUGAAAUGGCGUGAUCUAUCACUGAGUGUUUGCACUCAAAGUUGUAAUCUCUUGUUGAUUGCAUAGUGGAAUACAACCAAAAAGCUGUUAGCGUGGGAGAGUGAACGUAGGCUUGAUCUAAGCCGAACCACUAUAAAUUUCGUGUGCAACAUUCUCUUUCCUUAACUCUUUAUAUUUAAGUCUAUUAUAUACUUAUAUGUUAUUUCAGAAGUCUGUUCUAUCGUAUAACAGAUUCUAAACAUCUACCAGAAGUCUGGUGGCUCGCUUAUCAAACUUUGAUCCUUAUUCAGACUUUUCUCAAAAUUUAUUUUAUUAUGCAUUUAUUAGCCAAGAUUUAUUUUAAAUACUUAUUCACCUCCUCUAGGUGUUCGUACUAGCACUUUCAACUACCUAAUUCCACAUGAUGAAUUUAACCAAUAAGAAAAUUAAAUAUCAUUUUUAUGUGAUGCAUCUAAUCUAAUGAUAUGCAUAUCCUAAAGUUCUACAUGAUUAGUGAUUAAGUGACAAUGAAAUCACUAUAUUAUAUUAAUAAUUACUAAGGCUAACCUUAGAUUAUUAAAUAUCACUUCAUGAUAUGUACAUAAAAUGGGAAAGAUUUAAUUCGGUAUCCAAUCUUUAGUCUCAAAGAUUCGAUUUCCUAAUUUAUCCAACCGAAACAAAGAAUGGAAAUAUUUAAUUGAGGCUCCAAUCUUCGUGCCUAAAGAUUCAAUUUCACUGAUUAAACUUUUAUUUACAAAUCAAAAUAUUUAAAAUAGGAAACUAAAUAUUCUAACCCACCUUAAUACGCGAGGGAUAUACGCAAUAUCUAAUUACUAGUUCUAAUCGGGCGAGAUAGUGAUGACAUGAGCGGACAUGGAAGCUUAUCUGGAGCACCGAGAAACCUUCAAUGAAAGUGUCAAGCAACAGGGUUCAAGGAUGUGAUGACGGUGACAAGGGCUGGUGCUCGUUGAGAAUCACUCGGAUGCAUGCGAAGCUGCUCAGAGUCGGUCACAGACUGGUGCGGGUGUGCUGGUGCUUGCUGAAGCUGAGGUUGAGCGAUGGUGAUGCUGUGCACAGCGGUGGGAAACUUGUAGGAGAUGGUUAGAUCGAAGCGAAGCUCGGUAAGUUGGGCCGGUGCUUCUGCAUUGGUGCAAGUGGAGUGGCAAGGGGGAAACAGUGGUCGAGUGGCAAGGCACAGCGACCAAGUGGGGCUUGGCGGCUUUGAAAAAAUUCGGGACCUUCGUUAAACGUUCCCUCAAUUUUCUCGCUUUUGUAUGUGUGCCUCUUAGUUUCUAGCCCCUGUUUUGAAUUAGAAGGAAAGAAUACUUAUAUAGGUAUAGAUCUAGGGCUUUACUUAAGAUACCACCUUCCUAAAUUAAACAAAAGAGAUUAUGUGAUAUGUUCAAGAUAGAAUAUUGAGGUAUUCUCUUUCUUUUUUCCCCCAUAAUUAAAAUUUUCAAAAAUAAUGCUUUUAUUGCAUACAAACUUAAUUAGAUUAUUUUUACCCCAAAAAAAACUUAAUUAGAUUAUGCAAUUUUUCUUAAUUCGCACCUCCCAUGUCAUCUCAUAUGCAAAUUUUGGCCACUUAGGUUAUUCAAUAGACUUGGCCGAAUUUUUACUUUUGUAGACUUGUUCUAAUAAUUAAAUUAAGUUUAAAGCCCCUUACUUGAACCCAUUUGCUCCAGUUAAAUUAUAAUGCAAUUUAUGUGGGUCUAAUAUUUUUAUAAAAAUGCUCCUCAUUUGCAAAUGCAAAUUAAUAGUGCUUUUUUUUUUUAGGGGAUGAGAUAGUCUCCCAAUUUUCCAUACAUUGAAUGGGUCACCAUAAUUUAGGUGUCAACAGAAAAACUACAAGGCAUUCUUCUACAACCUUAAUGACUUUCAUUCUUUCCCCCAUUGCUUUUACUUUGUAACUCAUCUUCAAUUGAAAAGCAUGUCAGUUUCAAUUUGAGAAAAUUGUACAUACCUCCUUAAUCAUUUCACCGUGUUGGAAAUAUUAAUUACAUAUCAACACUAUUUGUCGUAAUCUGAAAAAAGCGAUAACAAAAUAAACAGGUGAUGAGGUACAACUAACUAAAUCUCUUUAAGGUAAUUAGUUCCUUCCAACAAUACUAAACAACUUCACGAAUUAUGUCUCCCAAGAUACAACAUGUCGAACAUGUUUGUAUCAACACUAUAUGAACAGAACUCUGUUGAGCACUUCUCAAAGCCGACACACUUAGACAAUGACUACCAAAAAAAUUAGUAAGUACUUUGAGGCAUUUUUUUUGUUAUUUUGAACUAAGAAGACAUGCCUAUUUAUAGAUGAGAGAAACAGCCGUAGAAAAUUGAAAGGAAAUUAACUCAAAAAUCAUGUCGGUUAUGCUUGUAUUAGUUUUUUUUGUUUUUUGGUCGGUAUGCUUGUAUUAGUUGAGUCAUUGACACUUAAUAACANNNNNNNNNNNNNNNNNNNNNNNNNNNNNNNNNNNNNNNNNNNNNNNNNNNNNNNNNNNNNNNNNNNNNNNNNNNNNNNNNNNNNNNNNNNNNNNNNNNNUAUGAUCGGUGUAUGCUUUAGAUCAUUCUUGUCUCCUUUCGCCAUCCCUAGUGGCGUCCUACCAACGGUAGUGGUGCUUAUCCCUGAACCUGCGCGGACAAUUCCUCACCCUGAUGGUCGUGUUGGCCCACAUUCAUAGCACGCUCCCGUGAUACCAAGACAUUGGGCUGAUCCAUACUUUCUUUCUACAAAUUUGGCACACAUUCGGUGAGUCCUCUACCUCUUGUCAUGUGACAGCACGCACCCUUUCUUGCACCGGAGACCUGUCCCAAUUACCCAACUGUGCAUUAUGCGGUGCAUUCUUCCUACUCUGGCUCAUCGGCGGCAGUGGCGGUAGCUAUUAUGGUUCCAUCUGCCCGAGCAGACAGUCCUUGAUCAAGUGGUUGUACUGGCAACACCCGUAACAAACCCUUGUCUUUUUAAAACACAAGGCGGAUCCAUGUCUUUUCCCACCGACAUGACACACGCCUUUCUGGUUGGGUGUUAGCUUUCCCAUUAUACUCCUUUGAGUGGGACGAUUGAAGUGCUUUCCUUCUGUCAUCAGUUUCUUCCCGAAUCAAUUGCUAACUCUAUCUGAACUAAACCACGACCUAAAUGUGGUGGCUCUCUCCCCAAUCACAAUUCCAGGUUGGGCCUCAACCAAUGCAGCAACAACAGCAGUUACGGCAUUGGCAGCGGCAGUGACAGCGACAACAGUGUCACGCCCCGAUCCUCAGGCACGCGCACAUCCCUUACCUUUGGUCGAUUUUAAAAUGCGAUAUCCCAGGACUAUGUAUCGCCGACCCUUUCAUUUAUAUAUGCACAUGCGAAAGCGGUUAUAAAUCCCCAGACAAUAAAACAAUGGGAUAGAUAAGUAGGACUAGAAAAUUGAACCUGAAAGUCAACACCCUUAUGUACAUCUAUAAUGACUCAGUCAUACAUCUACAUAUACAAACCAUGCUAAAAAGGUUGGUUUCUACUCAAUUAGAUUCUACAGCAAUAGUCAUCAGGAUCCUACUCUGGAUCAUCCCUUGGGGUUCUCUUUCAGAUACUCCUCUUUGAGUUCUUUCUCCUCACGGUUUUCCUCGUCAGGUUCCUCCUCCUUAAGCUCCUUAUCCGGGUCCUGAAAUGGUUAUUCAAUAACCACUGAGACAACGUCUCAGCAAGUUCUACCCCCUAAGACCCGAUUAGUAAACUAAUACACCUUAGGGCUGCCUAUACACAACAUGAGUUAGAGGACUUACCUUGGCCUUAGAUUCCACCUGCAUAUUAGCACAAAUCAAUAGGCACCCAAGUAAUCACAUCACAGAUCGAAGCAUCGAUCAAAUCGACCUAGUCGAUUACAUAUCAACAAGACCACUCACGGUCAUUUCCAUCCAAUCAACCAAUUCACAGCAUCAGAUCAAAACAAUGAUCAAUCGACCUAGUCGAUUACAUGUCAUUCGGACCACCUCUCGGUCACAUCAACACCAUACUUUAUAAUCUCCAUUCGGGUACAUAGUCACAGAGCCAGAUGAAUGCUCUCGGGCGUCUUUUUCGCCAAGGUGACGUACCAAUUACCGAUCACGAUAAUCUCCAGCAGUACACUUAGUCACAGAGCCUCAUUAAUGCUCUCGGGCGCUGCUUUCGCCAAGGUGACGUGUAUAAUGGGACAGCACUCGUGCGUUCUUUAAGGCGUCGUUUUCACCAGUGAUAUCUUCCAUCACCGAACCACGUAUGUCCAUACUGCUGCAUGUAAUAGACAGCACUCGUGCGUUCUUUAAGGCCGCCGUUUUCACAGUGAUAUCCUUUAAUCACGAACUACAGCAUUAUCGAUGCUAAAUAAUAACACUCGGCCAUCAACCAAUCAAUCAUUCAAUUUCAUCCAAUUUGGGAUAAAUCACUAAAAUUGCACAAUCAAAUCAAUUCCACGCAAUGUAGAGCUCAAAUAAAUAAACGGACUGCACCACGACAAUCAGCACGAAAUUCUGGUCACCGGCCAUCCCAGUUGAAUUUCCGGAAAAUAAAUAAUUAAAUAAUUAAUUUCGAAAAUUAAUAUUUAAUUCCUAAAAAUUCCAUCUAGGCCCGAUUUGCUGAAUUAACACCCGAUGAGGGACGGGAAAAAUCCCAAGAAGCAUCCAAUAAAUACUAUAGGCAAUUAUCUAUCUAAUUACACUAAUCACACAACUAAUAUGCAAAGUAAUUAACUAAUAAUCACUAAGCAAUUCUAAUCUAACCACAUAAUUACACUUAAUUAACACUAAUCAACAUUUAAGUAUAAUUAGUACACUAAGAAGGCACUAGUGAGUAAAACUCACUUGGUAAAGCGAAGAUCGAAAACCGCGACGGCGGCCGAAUUCCAAAGUUUCGGCGGCGACGAUAGACACUCGAGCCGGGCCUACAAGCCUCGCAAGCCCACAACAAAGGCUGGCCUUGGGCCGACUUGCUUCACGGGCCCAAGAUAGGCUGAACUUGCUGGGCCUUGCUGAAAUACAAAUGAUGUUGGACUCGACACUCGGGCUGAGAUGGGCUUGAAACAAAACUGAACUAGGCUUCAAGAUAUGGGCUGGACUUCAAUUGCUUUGCUGGAAAUUGGGCUUGGCCAAUUAACUCACGUGGACUGGGCUGGGCUGCAGCUGAAGUAAUUCGACUGGGCUUGAAAUGGCCCUCAGCUGGACUGAACUUUACUGGGCCCAAAUGAUUGAAAGUGUUGGGCUAAGGGCAGGCCGCUGGAGAAGACCGAAGACUGUUGGAGCUGGUGUCACGCGUGGGCUGGGCUGCUGCGGUUGGCCCACGAACUGGAGAAGCAGCUGCUGGCGUGCACUGGAAUCUUCGAGCUUCGCUGGCAACAAGGGGACAAGAUGCAGCUUCGCUCGGUGGGGGAUUUCUUCGGUCAAUCUUCAGCGGUUUUCAGCUGGGUCUUGACCGGUGAAAUGGACCGAAACGUGGCAGAGAUGGGGAGCAGCUGUUGGCGUCGAUGGACGUGGGAAGAAGACGCAACGUGGCUUCGCUGGGGUCUUCAAUUCGCUUAAGUCCACGGACGUGAGUCUUCUUCAGUGGAAGGCCUCGCGCGGCUGAAGAAGAAGAGGCGCGGAUGAAGAGUCUUCAGUGGAAGCUGCAGCUUCAUUGGACGUGGCUGCUUGAAGAUUGUCGGUGGACGUGGCAGCGGCAGGAAUUGCUCAGUCAACCAAGGAAUUCGGUGACUUGCUGGUUGACCGAGAGAGCGCAGACGUUGGACGGGUGGCAAGGAGAUUUCGGUGGAGAUGGGGGGCGUCCGUUGGCGUUGAUGCUGAGUCGUGGAUGAAGAAGCCGCUUGGGGUUUUGGUGAGUGGAGGUUUCACGGUCAACACCAGCUUCGCUGGUUGACCGAACUGAAUGAAUUAGUUCGGUGGGUGGAGCUACAGGGAAUCAUGGCCUAAAGUGGAGAAGCGGACGAAGGUGCGGCAGCUUGGGGGAGAAAACUCGGUGAACUUGUUUCGCGGCUUCAGUGGAGAAAGAUGGAGUCUUCGCUGGGGGGAGAGCUGAGACGACGGAGAGAGAGAUCUUCGGACGUGUGGCUGGUUUCUCUCGGUGGUAAAANNNNNNNNNNNNNNNNNNNNNNNNNNNNNNNNNNNNNNNNNNNNNNNNNNNNNNNNNNNNNNNNNNNNNNNNNNNNNNNNNNNNNNNNNNNNNNNNNNNNNNNNNNNNNNNNNNNNNNNNNNNNNNNNNNNNNNNNNNNNNNNNNNNNNNNNNNNNNNNNNNNNNNNNNNNNNNNNNNNNNNNNNNNNNNNNNNNNNNNNNNNNNNNNNNNNNNNNNNNNNNNNNNNNNNNNNNNNNNNNNNNNNNNNNNNNNNNNNNNNNNNNNNNNNNNNNNNNNNNNNNNNNNNNNNNNNNNNNNNNNNNNNNNNNNNNNNNNNNNNNNNNNNNNNNNNNNNNNNNNNNNNNNNNNNNNNNNNNNNNNNNNNNNNNNNNNNNNNNNNNNNNNNNNNNNNNNNNNNNNNNNNNNNNNNNNNNNNNNNNNNNNNNNNNNNNNNNNNNNNNNNNNNNNNNNNNNNNNNNNNNNNNNNNNNNNNNNNNNNNNNNNNNNNNNNNNNNNNNNNNNNNNNNNNNNNNNNNNNNNAUAAAUCAAUCGACGCUCAAUGUCUCAAUUACUAUUUUUCCUCAUCCAAUAAACCAUCGUGCAUCUCAAUUUUGUAACCAGAAUUGAUCCUCGGCUUCAACUGAACAAAAACAACCAUAUUUAUUCAGUUGAAAUUAGAACCCGAAAGUGACAGCUUGAUUCUAUGCUUGCUAACCCAAAAUGCUUCCCAAAGUCUCAAGCGCCUAAACGAUCCCAUCAAAUCUAGGAUCGCUCAGUGCUACUAAACUCACAGUACUGGCCUGCAACGGUACUCUUACACUCACAUUGGCCUGAGCCUGCGCUCUACCUCGGGUACCUCGAGUAUCAACCCUUGUCAACGUCCUACCCCGAGUUACAGUUCCUACUAACCUAUGCCUAGGAGUUCUCCGCUCAUGAUCACUCAUGCUACAGGAUCUUAUAGAAACAUGUUUCCAAUUCCAAUACCAUAUUAGAAUUUGAGUGAUCCCACAAACAAGCUACCAAUCAGCUAUCACUCGCAUACAUCAACAUAAUUAAAAGGCAUUUCCUACUAACUAUCCUAAGAACCCAUCGCACCUUAUCACUCCAACUAUUGACUAGCUCUAUUACCACUCCGGGCGGGGAUGUCAUGCCCCAAUCCUUGAGCGUGUGCCCAUCCCUCGGUGGUCAAUAAUAAAAAUGUGACUUCCCAAAACGAGUCACUGACCCUUUCAUUUUAUUGCAUAUUCGGAAGCGAAUAACAAAUCCCCUAACAGUAACCAUCUGGGAUAUAAAAGCAAGACAACAGAUUCACAAGCAAAACAUGUUUUUAUAAAUAUACUGAGUCAUGUACAAAGGUUUAUAACCAAAAGACUUCAAAAGACUGCCUCUCCAAAAAGAAAUUGUCAUAUUUGACCUACACCACGAAUCACCUCAGCUCGGCUCCAAGUCCUCCACCCUACGGUACUGAAAAGUUAAGCCCACGACGAGGUAAGAUAUAAAUUUCAACGAAUUCAUGCUCUAAACCCCGAUUAGGAGGGUAAUACGCCUAGAGGCGUCCUAACCACAUAACCACACAACUACAGAGACUUACCUUGUCUCAUAUCCUUCCUGCAUGUCAGCAAAGUUCAUACCACAGACAACACAAAAGCAUGAGCAGUAAACAAGCUCAUCAACUGGAACGCCACACUCAAAUUUCAAACAAGCACAGGGGUCCUGAUUAUAUCAAAUCGUUAUGACACAUCCCAUACAGUGCCACACAAUUUUAUCCCAUAAUUCGGCACAUCUAUCUCACUCAAUCAUGUGUUUUAAUUGAUUACUACUACCCGCACAAGCAGUUUUACCCAACACACAUCAGUCCUCUGGCAUAGCCAGGUUUCAUCUCACUCCUUUGAGCAAAACUACAUCCUCCGACACACAUCAGGGAUGGCAUUCCUUACGGCAUACCCGAAGGAGCUUUAAUCCAGAAUCUAUUGUGACCGGCUUCCCAUAUAGAGUUAACAUCCACUCAUACACACUGGGGACGGGUUCUCUUAACCAACACACGAUCAUUCAAUUAUGGCAAAAAACACUGUGCAUUACAUUCAAAUGUCCCAAUUAAAAUAAUGCACUUGGCUCAUUUUCUUCGUAUUAAAAACACCCGAUGAAAAUAGUCGUUUGUGGGUACACGAUCAGAUCAAAUCAAAAAAAAAAUUGAUAUCCUUCCUUUUAAAAUCCCACUAUUUUAUAUAGUAUAUAAAACAAUUUUCGGUGUCAAAAUCCGACACCUAGGAUUUUCUAAAUAAAUAUUGAAUUUCAAAAAAUUUCGAAUAAAUAACCAAAAUUCUAAUCAGUACUCAAUUUGCACAAAUUAACACCUAAUUGCAUAAACUAAACAUACCAUUGUAAUCAACACGAAAUUUUGGUCACCGACUAUCCCGGUCUAAUUUCCGAAAAAUAAUUAAUAAUAAAUAAUUAUGAAAAAUAAUUAAAUAAUGUAAAUUAAAUCAAUAAAUGCAAACUUAGGCUAAAAAUUGCUAAUCUAACCACCUGUUGAACUAAUUAAUUUAUACUAACCAUUCUAACUAUAAUGCCACAUAAUAAACUAACUAAUUACAAGUUCUAACCACCUAAUUCACUAAUCUAACUAACCUAAAUUAAUUAAACAAGCUAAUAACUAUCAUAAUAUAAUCUUAAUAUAAUCUAAACACCCCUUUAACAUCAUUAGCCUACUAAUUAGAGUUUAGUGCAUAAACUCGCUGAUUUAGCGCGAAAACCGGUUCACCGCAAUGGUGGCGCAACAGCAACCGAAACUUGAACUUUUGGCAACACCAAUGGAGACUUGGACUGGGUCAAAAAUAGCUCACAAACUAAUUGCUUGAGCUGAAAACCAAUUAUGCUCAAGAACUCGUCGCGAGCUUGGCUUAGCGGCUCGAGACUACAGCGUGUGAAGGUGAAGAGAGCAGUUGGAGGUGGCAGGUGGCGUCAACGCUAGUGGUCCACAAACCAGAUGAAGAAGCAGCUUCGAGCGGAGAGGAGCUGCUGGAGUCAAUGUUGGCGGAGAAGGCGUUGCUGGAGUUUGACUCGGUGAAUCAACACCACGCGAAGAUGGGUAAGGCGGCAGCGAAAUGGAGGUGGGACAGGCGAUGGUGGUGGAGUAGCUACAAGAUAGACUCGACAGAGGGAAAUGGAAGUAGGUGCUGGCGGAGAGAGAGAGAGAGAGAAACAACGGAGCUGCUUCGGUGAAGGAAUAAAUGAACGAAAGCAUAAGGUAGAGGGGUUGGUCAAACCGGCGUGCGCGAGAGAAAGGACCAAAGGAGAGGGGCAGCUUGGCGUAAGGAGGAAGCUGCAAUUUGGGGGAAAGAAGUCCACAAAAUUAUCCACUCAAUUAAAUGCUUGGUCUCACAAGCCUUCAAGUUAAUCCCCUUUGUCCCCCAAUCACUUUCAUGCAUCUAAAUCCCCACAAAUAACAAGUUUUGAUGCCAAAUGUUGCAGCCCCCUUCAAGCUUACGAAUUUCCCUCAAAUAGACUUCAAUUUCUUCACCAAUUGAUGUCCAAUUUUGCUGAGGAGGAAGCCCACACAAUUUCUACAAUUUCCCUUCACCAAGUAGCUCACUUUGGAGGCCAAAAAUCCCUUCAAUUUGGCACAUCCAAAUUUCCGUUCUUUUCCGAAUCGUCCGAAUUGAUUUUCCGUAAGAAUCUUGAACUCGCCGAAAAUUCUUCGAAAGAUGAGUCAACAUUCCUAAAAUAAAUCGUGACAUGAAAAAACUUUUAUUUUCUAAAAUCAAGUUCAACUUCACGGUUAAUUUCAAUCUGGUGCGAUUUUAGCGUGUCCUAACCUACCGGGUAGCGUUUAGAAAUUUUUAGCGCAUUUGACCUGUGCUCGAUUAUUUCGAGCCACAUUGUGCAUCUUCGACACAUUUGCAACUCUCAAUUGUUGUGAAAAUCUCAAGAUUUCAAAUACGGACACAGGGUACAAAAAUGAUAGAAAAAUCGGUCUAGUGCCGUUCAAUAGAAAUUUUGCAAUUAGGUGCAAUCACCCACACACUAAUCACAUACCUCUAUCGAAUCAACCUAUCUUCAAUUUCUAAUUAAUUUUGACGGUGCCGUAAUGACUCUUUCAGAUUAGCACAGUCGAGUUGGUUGAAUUCUCAAGUCUAUUGCAUUUAGAUUCCUUAAUAGCUUCACCUAAUAGGCCAGUUAUCCCGUGAGUGAUCAGCUCAGGGAAAAGAACUAUAGACGCAUCGAUGAAAAGCCCAACUUAUUAAAUUGAAAACAAAACUUGAAAUUCAAGAUGUCACUGUGGCACCCCUCGAACGGCCCCCGAUCCGUUAUGGUCGCCACAAUGCACUUACCUUUCUCUUGUCUUGACAAUAUAUCACUCUAAUAGCAUAGAAUCAUAAUAAGCCCAUAACUCCUGGGGGUUUAUAUCUUUUGAUCAGUCCCUACACAGAAAUAUGGCGGAAGCAUAUCCAACAACUCCCUUCCCUAUAUUUAGAAAAUGAUGCACACCAACUAAACAUUUAUAGAUAAAAGCCGAACACUUUUAUUUACUUAAACCAGACGGACAUCAUUCAUCGGUAUAUCAAAAUGCCAUAGUCUUCUAUAAUCGGCUAUACUUUAAAAGAUGACCGACAUCUUUUCCAACAAUCGUAUACUUAAAGUCCAUUAAUCAAUGUCAACGUCCAAAAGUUCCUUCCUUUGUUGUCCUCCUCCUCACAAUCAUAUCCAACCACUCGAUCCAUUUGCUAGUGGCGGUGAUAGUAGAGGCAUCUUAUCUAGUCUGAAAUGUUAGUCUCCAAAAUGGGUGAGUACAACCACUCAGCAGUAAAAGAUUCAUUAAGUUAUAUCAUGCAAUACCAUCAAUAUCUAGAUUCAUACAAGAUAGACAAGAUAGGCAAUCAAUGAAUAAGUAUGCAUCCAAACCAUAUAACUCUUCAAUGCAAUGAUCAGUGCAUUUCCAACCAAUAAGAUGCAUCAUGUCCAAUCACACAAGUCCUGAUCAUAGGGUCAAACUGUAAUGACACGUCUCAUUUCAUGCCAUACAAUUUAGUCCUAUAACCAGACCACACACACACUUAGUGGAACCAUCAGUUUUAACAUUCAAAAGGUUUCACCCCCCAGAGGACCAAUGUUUGUGUCCUUAUGGGCAAUCGCACCCAAUUCUAGCGUCGCGAAGUCCUCCGGUACACACCUCUGAACAUCUCGCAUCCCACCUGGCAUCACGAGGAAUUGCUGGGGCUCGCCAUAAAAAUUGGUUAUCCAUGCCUUCCGGGAAUUAUGUACCGACAUACCACCGGGCAUCCGGCACACACCUCCAAGCAUCUCUACUCCCGAGGAAAAUCCUCUGGGCAUGUAUUCAAAAUACAACUAGGCAUCCAAAGGGCAUCAACUCAUUCAAACCUUUGGGCAUUCUAACUCCCGGGGCAUCGUUGACCCGAGGGUCCAACGGCAAUAAUUAACAUCUUAAUUUCCAAAAACACUUUUCAAUGCAAUGACAAAAUGUCUCUUGAGUCUCAUCACAUCUCAAUAUUGCAUAAUAUGCCAAUGACAGUAUCAUCAUGUCACAUAACAACCCAAGAUGCAUUCACUUUUGAAAUCAGUUGAGCAAAGUCUGAGUAAAACAGCUUAAAAACCAAAAUGUGCAGCUUUAAUGAAAAUUUCGAAAUAACCCCUAAAUGAACUCAGAAAAUUAUGAAAUUUGGAUAUGUUGUAAAAAAGACCUAAAGGAAAAUGUUUCAUGAAGAACACUAAGUCAGAUUCACUGUAUAUCAAGAGCAAUAAUUUCGAUAUUCCCUACUAACACUCUGUAAUAAUUUCCAGAUUUAACAUUUACAAGAAAAAUCAUUUCACCGACCAAAACUUGUCCAUUUAUUCUCAAUUUUUGAGAUGUUAUUCCUACAGAUGUUCUCUCCAACUUUCAUUAAGUAUUCGAAGUUCAACUCUAUCUAGAUAAAUACAGAAAAUUCGUGGAAUCAUCAAAGGUCAGGCUGUUUUUCUACGGAACAGUUUUCUGUUUUAAAAUGAAUUGCUUCUAUCUACACAUUCUUGUAUUCAUAUAGCUAUAACUAUGAGUUAAACUCAAUCUAAUGGAUGUUAUAUUAAGUAAAAUGAUUAUAUUCCUUAUCUUCAUCUCUAGAAAUUAAAGCUACACAAUAUAAACGAUUUUCUAUCCAUGUUCAUCUAAGACAGAAAACAUCUAAUGCUUUUCUCUUCAUUUCCAGCUCAAUCAAACCGUUUGUUUUACUACAAAUUCAUCAUGUAGCAUCUCAACACACUUACACAGCAUCUAGGAGUAGUCAUAGUACAUUUUCACUCACCUAGAACCCUUCACAACUCGGUACAAAGCACGUACUCACAUCUUGGCUCAUGUAACUCAACAUGCAUCACCUUUUCUAAACUCAACACACACCAUUACACCUCACUCAACAAUCACAGCUCACUCACAAUUAGAUUUCGAGACAUGCAAGCCUCAAAUGCAACAUGCAAUGACUUAUAGCCUCGAUCUAGAACUUAUCUAGCUCAAUCCAACAUAAAAUAACAACUUCGCAUUCAAUCCUCCACAGAUUGGCAUUCAGUUUUUAUCUCAACCCUUCCUCAAGUCUAUUGCACUACACUAGAUAGCAACAGCACUACAUCACAUAGAUUGAUGAACUUCUACUUGCCUCUAAUUCCUUAGCUUGACAGCAAGUAAAACCGAAAGCUUGGGCUUGGCUCAACAGCGACAAAGACCGGCGGCGACAACGGUGGCAGCUCGAGCACGAGCACGGGUGAUCUCUUCUUCCUCACACUGUGCACUCACUCACUGCUUGCAUCUCUCUCUCUCUCACUUGCUCACUCGCUCGUUCGGUCUCUCUCUCUCUCUCUGCUCAAAAUUCUAUUCGGUUCACUCUCUUUCUUCACCAUCAAAACCGAGCUAAUAAUUCCCUCAAAAUUAAUUAGACUAAUGAUGAUAUUUGCAUGUAGGGGUUUCGAUGGAUGCAUGCAUGGAGGACAGGUGGGGGAGACAUGGCAAUUUUCUUUGGCCACUUGUAGACACGAACGAAGCAGCUGUUCCAAGCUCCUCCUUCGCUGGCCACCGAAAUGGAGAGCAACGUGGCUGCUGCUGGGUGCCCCUCGGUCAACCACCCACCUUGGUUGACUCCUCAACGUUCGUAUGGGCUGCAUGGGCGUGGGCUGUGGGCUCUUCAUUCCAACGUGAUUAUGGGCUGUAGACGUGGGCCAUAUACGUGAGCUUCAUGUUGCUGCAUGGGUCAACAAUCUUAUUUUGUUGACUGGUUGGACAACAAAGAAAGGCGCGGCUGCAAGUCUUGUACGUGCAUGGGAUAUUUGGGUUGGCAUGGUCCUCAUGCGUAAGAAGAAACGGCCAGCUCGAGGCGGCCGAUUUUUUUGGUGCUCCUCACCAACGUNNNNNNNNNNNNNNNNNNNNNNNNNNNNNNNNNNNNNNNNNNNNNNNNNNNNNNNNNNNNNNNNNNNNNNNNNNNNNNNNNNNNNNNNNNNNNNNNNNNNNNNNNNNNNNNNNNNNNNNNNNNNNNNNNNNNNNNNNNNNNNNNNNNNNNNNNNNNNNNNNNNNNNNNNNNNNNNNNNNNNNNNNNNNNNNNNNNNNNNNNNNNNNNNNNNNNNNNNNNNNNNNNNNNNNNNNNNNNNNNNNNNNNNNNNNNNNNNNNNNNNNNNNNNNNNNNNNNNNNNNNNNNNNNNNNNNNNNNNNNNNNNNNNNNNNNNNNNNNNNNNNNNNNNNNNNNNNNNNNNNNNNNNNNNNNNNNNNNNNNNNNNNNNNNNNNNNNNNNNNNNNNNNNNNNNNNNNNNNNNNNNNNNNNNNNNNNNNNNNNNNNNNNNNNNNNNNNNNNNNNNNNNNNNNNNNNNNNNNNNNNNNNNNNNNNNNNNNNNNNNNNNNNNNNNNNNNNNNNNNNNNNNNNNNNNNNNNNNNNNNNNNNNNNNNNNNNNNNNNNNNNNNNNNNNNNNNNNNNNNNNNNNNNNNNNNNNNNNNNNNNNNNNNNNNNNNNNNNNNNNNNNNNNNNNNNNNNNNNNNNNNNNNNNNNNNNNNNNNNNNNNNNNNNNNNNNNNNNNNNNNNNNNNNNNNNNNNNNNNNNNNNNNNNNNNNNNNNNNNNNNNNNNNNNNNNNNNNNNNNNNNNNNNNNNNNNNNNNNNNNNNNNNNNNNNNNNNNNNNNNNNNNNNNNNNNNNNNNNNNAAGGUGAUUAACGUUAAAGAGAAAACGAACAAGAAAAAACAAAACAAGAAGAGAUCAUUCACAUCAAGGUUUUUCUGUCUGCUCAAGCAUUUGGCUAAAGUACACUUCAAGUGCCAAAAGUUGGUAUAAAUGGACACUUAAGUGCAAAAAAUUACAAAAGUGACACUUAAGUGCCAAAAUUGGAAAGAAAUGGAUCACUUAAAUGCCAAUCUGGCCAAAAUCCGGCCAAAAUGCUGAUGUGCGCAAUUUUCGGCAAAGUAAGUGCAAAACGGCGUCAUUUUGCAUGCUGACGUGGCCAGAUAAUGAAAAAAUGACGUCAUUUUGGUGCUAACAUGGUAAAAAUUAAUAUAAAAAUUAAUUAAAUUUAAUUGAAAACUAAAUUUAUUUAAAAAUUUUGAAAAUACAAAUACAAAUAUUUUUUUAAAAAAAAAGGUGGGAGGGAGGCGGCGGCAGCUGAGGGCUCAACCCUCAGCUGCCUCCCUUUUUAAAUAUUUUAAAUAUUUUUAUUUUAUUUUAAAAAAUUUUAAAAAUUUUAAUUUUUAAUUUAAUUUAAUUUAAUUUUUAUAUUAAUUUUUUACCACAUUAGCACUAAAACAACGCCGUUUUGCACUCGUUUCGCCGGAAAAUUGACAUAUUAGCAUUUUGGCCGGAUUUUGGCCAAAUUAAUACUUAAGUGAUCCAUUUUGCUCUGUUUUUGGCACUUAAGUGUCCCUUUGUACCAACUUUUAGCACUCCAAGGGUCUUGGUGUCUAAGCAUUUUAUUUAUCAUUUUGAUAGUGUUACUUUCUUGUUUCCAUACUUGUAUGAUCAUCCAUCGCAUGUAAGUGGUUUAAGACCAAAUCAAUCAAGGCUACUUGCAAAACAUUUUGUGAAAUAAAGUGAAGGUGCCAAAGGGAGAUAGAUUUAUCUAGCAUAAUCAAGUCCCUUAUCCAUGAAAUCUCUAGUUCACAAAAAUAAAGUGUUCUCUCACAUUUUACUCGGGUUUUUAAUCAACCAUAGUAGACUAAUGGCAAUUCUUAAAUGAAUUGAAUUGGAUGUCUAAAUAAUUUAAUUAAAACCCCAAAGUUGUGAUUGUUGGGGGUUUGAGAGAACCCGCAUUAGACAAUGGUACCGUCUUUUUAAUGAGUUACCAUUUGUACUUGCAUGAUAAUCCAUUAACUUUCUCUUAGUGGUCCACCUCUAAGAAGGUCAUGACAAUUGGCAAUUAGAGAGUGGCAACUAAAUUAAAGAAGGAAAAGUGAGCUUGUUGAAUUAGAGACGAGUUGACCGAGCAACCGCAUGGAAACAAUGAAUACACACUCCUCAUUCAUCCGAUUGCACUAAAAUGUUGAGGGGAGUUAGUCAACAAGCGGACGAAGCUUGUGUAAAAUUUUUAGACCAAACGGAUAUUGAAAAUUUCAGUUUUGAAGGCUUGACAACAUUGUCUUUUUGUCCAGGCAUCUUGGUGCAAGAUCAUCCAACAUUCCUUGAAAAAAUGCAAAUUUAGGAACUAUUCUUGAAACUAGCAUGUGAGCCAUAUAUUGUUUGAAAAUAGAUGUAAAGACACUCGUCGUGAUACUUUUUUUUUCUCAAAAUUGUCAUGAUACUUAUCUUGCAAUUGUUUUGAGCUUGUUUGGGUCUUCAAUCAAUCAAGAGAAGUUGGGUAUAAAUUACUAGGAAGAAAAUUGAGUCCAAGUGUGAAUUGGUGCUGUUAUAGCUCUUUGGAGUGAUCAUAAUUUUUCCCGUAGAGCCUGAGGUUCUCAUACUACAUUGUCCCUAGUCGAAGAGUAUAGGAGAUUCCUAAUAUUCAUCAUAUGCACGGAUGACCUAUGUGAGCUGAAACCUUACUAUUAAUGAAAGAUCAUGCCUCUAGUUUAUAUGUGCAAAAGGAAUGCCACGAGAAAAAUGUAUGCAAUGUUGUAUAAACUGAUUGUUUUGUUUUUAUCAUGGGUCAAAUUUAUGAGAUGCAAAUGUAUGAUAAAUUCAUUAGUGAAAUUCAGGUGUCGACAUCAAAAGUCCUUUAAAUAGUGAAGAUUGGAAAUUUCGAUCAAAUUGAUGAUUGGACUUAUAUAUAUGAUGCUUUUGAAAAAGACAAGCCAUCUUACUAAGGCAAAAGUUGUUGGAGUUAUCCCACAUUGAUUAUGGAAUUUUUUAGUGGUUAGUUUAUAAAUAUGAGAGAAAGUCUCACCCUUUGGGUAAACGUUUGAGAUGAGAGAAGCGCAAGAUUACCAAACAUUGGUGUUAGAGCCAAUAGUAGAUUGGCGGCCCCCAAUCUGUUCAAGAUAUCUCAAGAAAAGGAAUCUAGUUACCAACAUAGUUUCUAGGCAAUGUGUGUUGUGGUAUAACACAAUCCCAAUGGUAGUCUUCAUGGUUCGAUUCAAAGAAAAAAAAACAUGGAUAAAGGUGAGGUGUUGGAGAUUCAAGUUAAGAUUAGUUAAAUAUAAAAAGAUACCUAAGUUAAGGGGAACAAACCUAACAAUGAGCUCAUAUGUAAUGGGGAGAUUGUUGAGAUAUACAUGUGAGUUAUCUCAAAGAAAGGAAUCUAGUGACUAACACAGUUUCCGGGCAGUGUGUGUUGUGGUGUUGCAACGCAAUCAAAUGGUAGUUUUCAUGGUUCGGUCCGAUGAAAAAGAAUAUGGAUGAAGGUGAAUGUUGGAGAUUCAAGUUGAGAUAAGUUAAUGUAGAAAGAUACCUGAAUUAAGGGGGAACAAACCUAACAUGGAGCUCACACGUGAUGGGGAAGAUUGUUGAGAUACAUAUGUAAGUAGGAAUUUAGCGACUAACACAGUUUUCAGGCAAUGUGUGUUGUGGUGUUGCAACGCAAUCCAAUGGCAGUUUUCAUGGUACGGUCUGAUGAAAAAGAACAUGGAUGAAAGUGAAUGUUGGAGAUUCAAGUUGAGAUAAGUUAAUAUAGAAAGAUACAUGAAUUAAGGGGGAACAAACUUAACAUUGAGCUCAUACAUGAUGGGGAGAUUGUUGAGAUACAUAUGUAAGUUGUGUUAGGAAAGUCCCACAGUGGAGAAUUGUAGUGCAAAGUAAUUAAUAUAUCUAGCUGGCUAAUAACUCAUUGCUUUAAGCUUUUGAAUGAAGAUAUGUAUAAUUAGAUAUGUUAAUUGGCUUAGACUUGGGCUCUUUCUUAGCAAUCUCCUAGGUUAAAGAUAUUGGACAUCUGUUAUACACUCUCAACAAAAGUAAACACAUAAUUAUCCGAUUUUGAUAGGACAAAUUAGUUGAUAAACCAAUUCGUGAAACCCAAGAAAGAACCAGACAUCAUAAUUUUGUGGUACCGAAGUAAAGUUGUAGGACUUAAAUGCACAAAUUAAAAGUUACGGAUUUGAUUGCAUAAUUCGUGUAAGUUGUUUGACCAAAAAUGAAAUUAUUCCAAUUAAAUAAGAAUCGAAUUUAACCUAAUACGAUGAAAUGGAUGGAUCACCGGACUUACGUGACCAACAUGUUCACUCCUAUCCAUAGCCAAAAGAUAUAUUAAUGUUUUCUCCUUUUUAUAUUGUGGACGCAAAUAAUAGCAUCUCCUGCUUUUUCUUUAUUGUUUUGGGUUGCUUUCUUGUGAACAGGAUAAGAGUGUAUAUUAAUNNNNNNNNNNNNNNNNNNNNNNNNNNNNNNNNNNNNNNNNNNNNNNNNNNNNNNNNNNNNNNNNNNNNNNNNNNNNNNNNNNNNNNNNNNNNNNNNNNNNNNNNNNNNNNNNNNNNNNNNNNNNNNNNNNNNNNNNNNNNNNNNNNNNNNNNNCCCCUCAGCCCCCCGCAUGGCCCGUGAUCGGCAAUAUCCUCGACCUCGGGACCAUGCCGCACCAGAACCUCCACAACUUCCGAGCCAAGCACGGGCCUGUGACGUGGUUGAAGCUCGGUUCCGUGAACACCAUGGUGAUUCAAUCAGCUCAGGCCGCGGCAGAGUUCUUCAAG